AUUAAAUAGGAUUUACGGUGAGUCAAACAUUGGUCAUUAGGUAGUCUUGACUUCACCAAGCUGCUAUGUUGUAUAAGCUCCCAACCUUGAGAGAAUAUUGAUCUAGUGCUAAGGUCUUCAAUGGAUUUAACCCAUGAGUGAGACCCUAAAGUGGUCAUAUAUUCUCUAUAGAUUGGGUCACUACGAUUGAGGCAUGUGAUAAUAGGUAUUCUCAAGAUAAGCACCAUGAUAUCUUAGGGGUUUGAGACAUUAUGUCCCCUUAGGUGAUCCUAAGGACAUGUGAUCAUGAAAAUUGUGGCCAUAAUAAUUCCUUAAGUGGAAUUUGAUGUAUGCUCUUAGAGAGAUAUAGUAUGUCAAUUGAUCACAUAAUAGGAGGAUCUAAGACUCAAGGAUUGUAGAGGUAGUCUUGAGAGGUUGAUAACAUUCAUCUUGUUAAAUUAUGAAUACCAAUUCAUGGGGAGCUUGCAUGCAAUUGUUAGUAGGUCGCAGACUGAAGUUUUCUAUCUCGAUCUAAUAUCAUAAGGAUACUAAAGUGUAGUUGACUCUUUAUAGUUAGAUUUUGAGUCAACUUUAAAAUUUGAUUUUAGGGGAGCCAACACUUCCCUACGGGUCCUAGUGGUUUCCACUCAAACUCAUAUUCCUUGGUAAAAAAAUAUUUGAGGAAUAGUUGGAUUCUUUAUUUAUAUGUGUGUAUAAGAGCAUUUUGAUAAAUACGGAAGGUUGCACUAGUACAUAUAUAUAGCCUUUUUAGAUUCGGAUAAUUAAUUAAUUGGAACUCAAUAGAACAAAUUAGUUAAUUAGGACUCAAUGAGUUAGAUUAAGUAACCCAAACGUAAGAUGAGCUCAAGUCACUCAAGCUAAGAGGUAAGCCUAUAAAAACUCCUUAAAGGGUUUCAGGCUUAGUACUUUUCAUCCAUUCAAUCUUCUAUCUUAAUAUCUUAAUAAAACCAAAAUGAGAGUGUAGAGUAUAAAAAUAAAAAUGAAAAAGAACUUCUCAUGAGAAGUGAGGUUUGCCUCAACUCUCCUUAUUCAACCCAUUAUCACAUCUUUGGAUUUAAAAUUAUAUCAAAUAAACAUUCAAAUUGUUUUUCUCAAUGGAGAACUAAAUAAGAAGAUCUAUAUAGAUCAACUGACUUGUUUUAUGGAAACUAAAUAGAAAGGCAAAGUUAACAACUACAAAGGUCCAUUUAUAACUUACAAUAAUCAUCUAAACAAUGGUAUAUUACACUAAUGGGUUUAUGAUGGUCUAAGAACACUAUUGCAUGUUUGUUAAAUGGUGUAAAGGUAGAUUCUAUAUUCUAUUUUUUGUAUACGAAUGAAAUGUUGGUUAGGGAUGAUAAUGAGAUGGUUGUCUCUAAAGUGUGGUGGUCGUCAACUUUUAAAAUGAACAACAUGCUUAAAGCAAACUAUGUGUUCAAAGUUAUGAUCCUAAUCAAUCAAUCAAGAAGACUUUUUGGUUUGUUUUACAAAUCAUACACAAUGAAUAUUCUUGAAAAAAUUCUAGAUGUAAAAUUGAAAAUCUAUUGGCAUUCAUAUAGAGAAAGAUAAGACCUUAAGCUUUAACAUGUGUCAUAAGACUUUAGAUGAAUAAGAAAAGAUCACUCAAGGUUCCUAUAUGCUAGCAUUGUUAGUAGCUUAAAGUAUCCAAUGAUGUGUACAUGAACUAAUAUUUGUUAUAUAAUUAGGUUAGUAGCUUCCAAUUAGAUCUAAACCUUGCUUACAAAAAAGCAAUGAACCGGAUGAUUUCAUACCUCAAAGUCACCAUAGGCUAUAUAAUUUGCUAUUGAGGAUUGAAUUUGGACUUGAUUAGCUAUGACAAUGAUAAUUGAGGUAGCAUCAUAAAUGACCCCAAAUCCACAUAUGGUUAUAAUUUUAUAUAUGCUCUAUGAUGUUAGCAUAUAUUGGUGAAAUAGAAAAUAGUCAUGUAUAACAUUGUCUAACAUGCAUGGAGUUGGGAGUACAUUACUUGUCGUUUAGGAAAGUGACUAGUUUAUGAUGUUCAUGCAUAUUUUUCACAAUAUUUCUUGUUCUUUUGAGCAUACUACUAUUUAUUGUGAUAGCAUGGAAACUUUAGCCUAUGUCAAAGACCCCCCCAAGUAUCAUAGUUGAACCAAACACAUCAAUCUUAAAUAUUAGUUUAUAUGAGACAUGGUUACAUAGGAACAUAUUUCUACUUGAUUCAUGGUUAAAAAUCCCUCCCCCCCUCCCCUAUUGACUAAGCUAAUACGUAAAGAUGUUUAUUAGGGCCAAGUUGAGAGCAUUGGAUUAUGUAGAUAAUGAUUACAUAGGAGUUAAGUUAAGAGAAUUGGAUCAUGUAGAUUAUGAUUACAUAUUGUAUAUUUCAAUUAACCAUUAUACCUAUGAUUUAUUCAUUGUCCAAUCUUGUUUGAUGGUGCCAUUUAAUUAUUUAUUUUACUUUAUCGACAUGCACUUUCAUUACUUUGCACAACUGAAACAUAAUGAGUCCAAACCACUUAGAUAGUGUGUUAGGUCAUUGAUAUUUGUAGUACUCCUUUUUGUAUCCAAUAUGACUUACAUGUUAGUAGCGACCAAGUAUAGAUAGUCCUAUUGUCUACAUUUGUAAUGGAGCCAAUUGCCAAAUCUUGUUAAUUUAGUGCUUGAUUUAGUAAGCAUGUGCAAAACUUCAGUUCUUUACUUGAUGCAAUUAAACUAAGAUUUGUACGAUAUAGAAGAUCUAAGGUACACUCAUAAUGAAGAUCUCCAUGUUGGCAUGUAUAUUCAUACUAUAUCUUCUUGGUAAUCAAACAAGAAUGAAUGAAUAUAUUCCUAGCUACUUCCUCAUCCUGUGUAUUAAUCUUAUAGGUAAUUAUAUAGGAUAACUUUUAUGCCCUUGUGAUUUUCAGUCAUAAGUUACAUAUAUGGUGUAGUUUGAAAUAUUUUUCUAGGGGGAUUAACCAUGUUUAACUCAAUGUGAAUAAAUGUGUUUAAGAUAUAAUGAGACACCUUUUAGGGAUGAAUUACAUUGGUUAAGAUGAAAUUUAGUUUAAUUCUCUUACACCUUUCUUAUCAAUGUGUUCAAAAGUUAUACAAUCCAUUGGUCAAUAUAAACAUGGAUGGUAAUGAUAUAGUUGAGAGAAAUGCAUGAUGUUAUUUUGCCUACUAUGCAUGAGUGGGAGACAAUGGAGUUUCGAUUUCAUGAGAUACUCUUAGUAGAACUUCAUCAACUAAGAACUUGAGAGUAAGUUACAUACUUAUCAGUUAAGAUUCCUCAUGGGAGGAAAGUUUAGUUAAGAUUCCUCUUGUGGGAGAAGGUUCAUAUUUAGAUUUGGUGAGAAUCUGUAAGAGUUGUUUGUCUUUUUGUAAUUCCAAUUCUAGGCCUUUUGCAUAUUUUCAAUUUAGUUUGUGGCAGUUGUUAAAUACUUCUACUUUAGUUUUUAGCAAUUAUAAUUUUUUAAAGCUUGCUAUUUAGGUUUAGAUUUACUAUAUGCUUAUUAGAUAUCUUAAUUCUUAUUGUAUUCUCCUUGGUUAAUAAUCUUCCAAUUUGAUUGUGGAGUUCAAAGAUUUUAACCAAAAUAGGGAUCAGGGUUUUCAAAGUUAGGAAAAGUAUUUAAUACAAUUAAUUUUUGAAUAAGUUUGCAAACUAAAUCUUUCAAUUGAACCUAAUGAGUUUACAUACUAAAUCUCUCAUUUUCAGCCUUGGUUGUUUCCACUCUUUGCAAUUUAAUUAGUUUUUUUUCAAAUAUAUAUAUAUAUAUAUAUAUAAUUCAUUUUGUGUACCUAUAUACUCAAGUUUUUGAGUAAUUAUGAGUUGUAUUGUUAUAUUUAGUAGAAUUUGACAAACUAAAAAUGAUUACCUUUGAACAAUCGAGUCCAACAGCACAUUUGUGUGGAUAGUUCAUAGCUACCAACUUGAUUCUUCAUGCCUCCUCUAUUAGGUUGACUAAGAAAAUGGUUUAAUUUCAUAGGAACACCUUAAGAAUAAAAAUGUCAAGAAAAAGGAAGGAAAAUUAUGCUUCGUCUAAUUUGACUCAAAGACUUAAAGGAAAAAACAUAAUAAUAUAAUAGUUAUUAUAAUGAAUAUAAUAAAAAGAAAAUUUGUCAUGUUCUUCCCAAUACUCAUUAAACCCCUUUCAAUGAAACUUUGUAAGCUAUACUAAUACAAAAUAAUGGUCCAAAUAGUAAAAGCUCAAUAAAUGAAUGUUUGAUAAAUUAAUAAUCUUACUUAUAAAACAAAAUAUUCUAGUCUUAACUCAAGCCAAUGUACUAAAUUAGUAAUCUCGCUAAAUACAUAAGAUAAAAAUAUUUUCAAAAGUCUUUAAGGGCUUAAGAAAUAUAAACUAAUAAUUGAUGAAGUAUAAACAAAAAAUCAUAGUAUAGCAAAUAGAACUUCAUAACAUAGUAUUAAGUAAUUUUUUAUAACUUUUAUUUUUCUAAAUUCACUUCUUUUAGAAUUAUCACAUAUUUGAAAUAGCUUUAUCUUUUACAACAUUAAGUUUUGAUGCCACAUCUUUGUUGGGGAGUCUUUUUUUCUUUUACAAUCAAUAACUAUUUUUUUUUAUUCAGUCUCUUAGGUUUCUAUUUAUUAACUUUUUACCAUGUGUACUAUUUUCAAAUUUAUAAGUUAUACAUGUACAAAUAAUGUACAAUAACAACAUAAUACUCUUCAUCAAUUAAUAAAUAACCAUUUAUCUAUAAAUCAAUAACCUUGCUAAGAUCAUAUUUUUUCUUGGUCCCAAGAGUAUUAUUUUAUAAGAGUUUUUCUCUAUAUAGUUCCUUCAUUGUAGGAAUUUCUUUAGGUUAAUAUUACUAAAGUUGUAAUUUAAAAAAAAAAACUAUUAUGGAAACUAAGAGAACUUUGAAAGCUAUAAAUUAGUGUUUUAUAUCAUUCUUUUUUUCUAUGAAUGCCAAAGCCAUUGUCAAAUAAAAAGAGUAAAUAAAGUAAUUAGUUGAAAGUGAAAUAGGUGACUUAAAACUAUUGCUUUGGUACAUGUUUGUUUUAGGUAUAGUAGAUCAUAAGAAAUAAAAUCCUCUAGCUAUGUUUAUUUGAUAGAAUAAAAAAGUGAGUGUGUGGUUGCUCCACAGGAGAAGACCACAUGUUAGCCAAAGAAUAAGUAACUAUAAAGCUUACAAAAGUGUUAAAUGAUCAAUUUCUCACCUAAGCACAUUAAUGAGAACUAAAUGAUGAAUUAAACCAUACUCAUGCACCCAUACUAAGACCCAUGCCUCCAUGCGGGGAGACCCUAAUUGGUCCCUAAAAGGAGAAGUUUAACAAUGGCCACAUCCUCUAUGCCAUGUUAUUAUUCCAAAAACAUAGAAAGUUAACCUUUGAGUUGAUGCUUAUUUGUUUGGUAGUUUCCACAUUCUUCUUACUAACUUGACAUUUGAAGGCUCUACGACCAUAAGGAGCCUAGAGUGCUCACUUUAGGUUCCUUAUGAUUGUAAGGUCCUAACCAUCCAUUGAAGUAAGAAAGUGAACUAAGAGUUGGAAAAAUGGUGUCAUCUAUGGUUAAGAUACAAAAAUUCAGCUCACCAAAAAAUCACAGUAAAGCUACUAAAAAACACCCCACCCCCAGGCAAGGACCUUCAUUUAAGUACUCCUUGAGGUAUAUCCAAAUCAAAGACCUAAAGUUGAAGAAAUGAAGUCAACUAAACUUGGUUCCAUGCAUGAUAAGGUUGAAAAGCCUGCAUAAAAACCUACAUAAAGCUUGCUCCUUUAUAAGAAUAACCUGAACCUACAAGGGAAGAAGACCUAUAAAAGGAAAUCAUAAACAACAAAGAAAAAAAAGUCCCUCUCUCCUUUGAAAAAGAUUUCUUUGAAUGCAGAAACCUAUUUUUUGUAUCAAAAAAUUGGUGGAAUAAAAAUUUUCAAUUAUCUAUGAAGAGUGUUAGCUUCUUCAUAUGGGAAUGCAUUAAAAGCCUUGAAGACAUUGUUUAGAUCUAUAGCAACAAUUGGGCAAUAGAAAACUAUGCAAUAGAGUUUUGGUAGGGAAAGGCAAUCAUGAUAGAAAUGAAGUGGAGCAAUGAGUGAGAGCAAACCCUUCAAUAGAUGGAAGAGCUCAUUAAAAGAAGCGACUAACUCACUCAAGAAAAUGUUGCCUUUAGGGUAAGGGUAGACAAAUACCAAUGUGACUUUGACCAACAGCUCUCAUUGGCAAGCACCAAUAAGAUGCAAGUUAAUGAAUAAUAGUUAUCGAAGCAACUAGACCAACAUCUAGAUUAAAUUGGGAGAGAAAGGUGGGAUAAACCUUAAUUAAACUAACCAAACAGACCACCUUGCCAAAGGCCCCAAUGCUCUAAGGGAUUCUUGCCACCAGAGCUACCACAAAAUGCAUAAUCUUGGUGAAUAAGGUGAUUGAGCCCAAGUCCCUUUAGAAGGAGAAUGAGGCCAUAUGAGAGUUUUCUCUCCCUAAGUUCAAUUUCUUUCAAUGAAACUAAAGACACCCUAGACUACUUAUGCAUUUCUAUGCAUGUGAUAAUCUUAGAGAAGGGAAACAAUCGACUUUUAUGCAAAAUCUUCCCCUCCAUCCUCCAAGGACUAACUUUGUUUUGUCUUUAUCAACUUACCUUAGAGUUUGCUCCUGAUAUCGAGACCCUAAGGGUGAAGUAUGCCUCUUAGUACAUGCACUUAAAGAUUAUCUACUAGAUUUGAGCAACUAAGCAAGGUAUCAAGAUAGUUAUAGAAGCAUAUGGCAAUUGAAGCAAAAGUCCUCACAUCCUUGCAUGAAGCAACUACCACUUGCCCACAUGUCAUAUGCUUCUCUAAUAAAGGCUUAAGAGGAGUCCAAACCCUGCUCAAGAUCCAUUGGUUAUUACUUUAAGAAUUAUUGACUACAACAUGCACCUAUUUUUAGUUGACCUAACAAGUUUAGUUAACUUGCUAAAUAUAUUAGCCCAUAUAUGAACAAGUGAAUAUGGACGAAGGAAAACUAGUGUCAAGUCUUGGGUCGUUUGUGGGACUAGACAAAGUCCUAUGUGGCUCAACUAGGGAAGUCGCUCUAAUGGUUCCAAUUGGUUGUUGCCAUAUAAUGACACAAUUCUUUGUUAUGGAUAUCCUUUUCCCGAUAAUGCCAUUAUGGGAUGACCAUGGAUAUACAACCUAAGAGGAACACUAUUCACAUACCAUCACACCAUUAAAUUCCUAAUACUACAAGGAAUAUGGGAAAUAUAUCGAGACUAGGUGGCAUCAUGAGUAUGCUACACCAUAGCCCUUAAAGCGGUCAUCAAGUGCAUCAACUAGGACCCUUAGGAAGUUCAUAAAUCAAAAGUCAAAUAAAAAUUAGUAGGUGACCCGAGAAGGCAAUUAGAGAACCUAGGGAGUCAUUAUUCUAGAGCCCCUAAACCUAGGAGGUUCCUUCUAGCCCAUGCAAAAAAAAAAAAAAAAGGUUUCAGAUGGCUAUUAGAAAAGAACACAUCUUUACUAGGAAACUACAAGACAUCGUGGGCAUUGAUCCCCAAGUUACAUGUCAUCAACUCAACAUAAACCCUAGUGGUUAGCUCCUUAAAGACAUUAGAUUGUGAAAAAAAAGGUAUCUAGGCUCUUAGAUGCUAGAUUUGGUCAUCUAGGUCUUCUGACAACAAAUAGAAGUUAGUAUGCUAGUUUACAUUAAUAACAUGUUAGUAACAAGUAAGAAGAGGAAUGACUACUUGAUCGACCUCCUAAGAACAUUUCAAACUCUUCAAAAGUAUUAAAUGAAGCUAAAUAAGUGAAGUGCAACUUUAAUGUAGGGUGUGGAAAGUUCCUUAGGUACUUGGUUACAUACAAAGGAAUGAAAGCUAACCUAGGCCAAAUAAAAUCAACUUUGGAGAUACCAAUGACCAAAAGGGCUAGAGAAGUCCAAAAGAUCACUAACAAGAUUGGUUCUUGAAAUAGAUUUAUAUAUUGAACAACAACUAUGUGUCACCCUUUCUUCGACAUUAGCAAGAAGGGAAAAUGGACUAAAAGAACCAAAAAAUGCAACUAAGCCUAUGAAUCACUAAAGCAUUACAUGAUGUUAACCCCCAUUCUGGAUAAACCCUAGGAUAAGGAGGUCUUACAAGGUCUCAAUAGCAGUAGUAAGUGGAGUCUUAUCUCAAAAAAAGAGGAAAAAAUGAGCAAUCAAUGUACUAUGUCUAAAAGACCCUCUUAGAUGUGGAAACCUGAGAUAUAUAUAAAUAUUGAAAAACUGGUGCUUGCCCCUUAGAUCGCCACAUUGAAGCUUCAAUGUUACUUCCAAGUGCAAGGUAAGAACUAAGUGAUGAGAACUCAAACUUAAUACUUUAAUGGCUUUAAAGGGCCCACUUUAGUGUAUUUGAGGUACUAAAAAAUUAACCUAAGGUUUUGUUUUUUGUAUAAUACCUUAGAAAAUUAUGUUUGAUGCAUUCUAUGACCAUUCUACAUGCUUUAAGGUGUUUUUUUUGUUAGAAUAGAAUCCUUAAAAGCAUGACAUGAUGUAAUAAAUUUGGAAUUCAUUAUUUAUUUACUGAUGUUCUAGUUUCACUUUUAUCUAUCCUUAUUCCAUGUAUUGUACUUUAUGAGUAUUCUUGCCUACAUCUUUUGCAUUGUACAUGACUUAGGUGCAUUAGGAGUUGCACAGAAGAUUUAAGUCAUGGGUUUCUUGCAAAUAGAUUAUUUGUUCACAGUCGGUUCAUGAACCUAGGCAAACCAUUAGAGGUUGUAGUGCACCACCUCCUAAUUGGAGGGAUGGUUAGUCUUGGCCAUGGGAUGAGUUUCCCAUGAUAAGUGCACUAGUGUGUAUGGUUGCACAUUGGAUAGGACCUAUGGUGAGUUAUGACUUAACCCUAUCAAGUAGUCAUGACUCCACCGAGUUGUUUCAUUGUAUUAUCUCUCAACCUUGAGAGAAUAUUGAGUUUGUGCUGAAGUUAAUAAUGACUUUGAUUUAUGGGUGAGGUCGUAAGUUGAUCAUAUAUUCCCUAUGGAUUAGGUCAAUGUUGAUGGAAGUCGGUAACAAUAGGUAUUCUUAAUAAAGGCACCAUGAUAUCUCUUAGGAUUGAGACAGUGUGUCCCAUUGGAUGAUCCUAAGGAGGUGUGUUCAUGGAAACUAUGGCUAUAGUAGUUCCUUAAGUGGAAUUUGACAUAGACUCUUUGAGAUCUAAGAUAUGUUAAUUGAACAUACAACAGGAAGAUCUGUAGCUCAAGGAUGGUAGAAGUAGUCUUGAAAAGCUAAUGGCUUUCACCUUGUUAGACUACGAACACCAAUUCAUGGGGAGACUAAACAUAAUGGACAGUAGGUCACGGACCCGAGCACUUAGUGUCUUCGUUGUUAGUUACAUAGGAUACCGGAGUUUAGUUGAUUCUAUGUAGUGCAAUGUUGAAUCAACUUUAAAAUUGGACUAUGAGGGAUCCAUGGUAUUCCUAUAGGUCCCAAUGGUCCCUGCUAUGAGCUUAUAUACCUUGUUGGAAUGGGUAAUGAGGGUUGGAUUGACUCUAGGUUCACUUUUGUGCAUAAGGGUAUUUUGGUAAUUAUGUAAGGUUAUAUAGGAGUAAAUGAACAAGGCCUCUAGAUUAGGCUAAUUGAUUAAUCAAUUAGAACCCAUUUUGGGCUGGAUUAAGUUACCCAACCCAUGUGGGCUCAAGUCACUUAAGCCUACUUAGAAACCCUAUAAAUACCCCCUAUGGGUUAGGGUUUCCAUAACUUUUGUCUUCCAUCAUCCAAAGAGAUAGAAAGUCAUAGCCUUCACCAUCUUUUCCUCCUCAUUGGAAGUGUGCCAAGAUCAAGGUUCGAGUCAUCGGGCGGAAGACUUCGAGUUUACGAGACUUCUGGGAUUUCAAUUUUCAUCUUCACCAUGUAGAUUUGAUUCGAGAACACCCAAAUCUAAUGUAUAGUUUUUGUUAGCACUUUUUGAAUCCUUUUAAAGUAUAAAAAUGUUAUUUUUCUGUUGUGCAUAGGAUUUAGAAAAAACCUAAGAUAGUUAUGCAUGUUCCUAACCUGAUUCAGACUAGGGAAACAGAGAGAGAUUCAGGUUUUUCCCAUCAUUUUUAGUGCAAUAGAACCUUGUUAGGAACUCAUAGAGACAAAAAUGCCCAAGUAAGGAGGAAAUACAAAUUGCACACCCAAAAGGUGUGCAAGACUCAAUCAUGCACUUCUUUCUUUUUGUAAAGCCACAUAGUACACCUCCCAUGUAUACCUUAAAGACCAAACACACAAGACCUCUCUAAUGCUUUGGACCAAAUUUUAUACCCUAUUCAAGCAACUCGAUCUGCAAACCUCUUAAGUGCUUUAAGCCAAGAUGUUGUGCACCCCCUCACUUGAGUCAACAGGAUGUGUAGUAGUGCAACCCCUUGAUGUCAUCUAAAUUACAAACCAUUCUUACCUCUACAAUAGCUAAGUACUUAAUAAUUCUUCUAAUGAUUGGCUCACCCACCAAAGUAGUAUGUUGUUCAUACCUCAAAGUCUUCAAUUGUACUACCAAAACGUACCCUAACCAAAUUACAUAGAGAAAAAGGUGCAACUACUGACCAUAAGCUAACUAAUCAAGAAUGAAGGUGGUUGAUUGCAAUGACAAAGGACGUGACCCUUAGUAUAAGAAGAGACAAGUCUAGAGGAGUGGUGUCCGAGUAGUUGGAAUGACCGGGGAGGGAGGGGGGACAUUGUUUUGUAUAUAAAUGGAGGAUUGUGAAUAUACAAGUGGAAGAAAAUUAUAGAAAGUGAAAUUGUAGAUAAGUUUUUCUUCUUAUAGGAACAAAAGUAGGAAUAAGAGUAACUUAAUGUAAUUUAAGUUUUUAGGUUUCCAUUGUAAUCUUUUCUUUUCAUUAUAAACUUUCCUUAAUUUCUAGUUUAAUGAAUUUUCUAGUCUUUUUAAUUAUUCUUACAUUUCAGUUUUUCAAUUUCAACUUACAAAUUUGCAUUUUUAAUUCUUUACUUAAUUUUUAACAUGCUUAGAUAACCUUUAACACUCUAAGGGGUGAGAGGAGCUCAAGUCUCCCAUAUCUUAGUUUAGCUAUCUAUUGGUUUAUUUGUGCAUUAGUUACAAACAAUAUGAUCUCUAUCAGUAGUUAUAAUGACCAAAACAAGUAACCAUGGGGAAAAAGUCUAUGUUGCAUUGGUUGUGAGCAUUGUACGUCAAGCAAAUUUGGAAGCAUACUUAGGCAUUGUUUUAAUGAUUCUUUCAACUAAGUAUAGGCCUAUUGCCAUGAAAAUAAUCUUAUCUAAAUCAUUUGGUUGUAAGGAUAUAUAUAUAUAUAUAUAUAAAGAGCAAUUAGAGAGAGAUGAACCUUAUUAAGGUGGUUCUUGUUCAUUUGAAGCAGGAAACCUUUUUUGUAUAAAUCCUUGCUUUGAGCCUAAAUCUGAAAGCAUAAGUUCAAAGCCUUGUUGGUGAGUUGUAUAUGAAAGUGGUGAUCCUAGUGAAUCUCUAGGUUUGAGGUUUUCUUUCCUUUAAUUUUCUAUCUUUUAAACUUUGUGUGUGUAUGUCCUUUUUAUUUAUAAAAUCAUUUUUCUAAUCUUUUAGCUGCCAUUCACACUCCUAAAGCUAUUACCUUAGUUGCUAACAAUUUAAAGUUCCUUGUGGAGGCAACCUAACAACUAUACCACUAUUAAUUUUUUUAUUUUUUUAUUUUUUGGUUAAGGAGUUGAGAGUUUCAAUGAAUGAUCUAGUUUAAUUUCUCUUUGUAAAACUUAACUGUUAAAUAUAUUUCCAAGUUUUGAUAAAAGGAAUGAAUUAGAGAAUGACAAACCAAAAAUUAGUGUCGUCACUAGGGAACUUUCAACAUUGAUGACUCUAUAGGUAUUUUUGUGUAUAUGCUUGUUGUUUUAGAAGCUUAACAAGUAUAUUUCACCCAUUCCCCACCUAUCUUUUAGUUGGAUUUUUUUCUUUUUUUACUUAAUUUGUUUUCUUUGGAUUUUCUUUUUAUUCUCAGUUUUCAUUUUUAGUUGUUAAAUCCAACAUUUCAAACAUUUUCUUUAAAGUGAUAUGAUGUAUUAGGGAAAUGAUUUUAAAAGAAGGGUACUAAGAGUGAGUUUGAGAGUGAUUCUAUGAAGCGUUUCUAACAUUUCUAACACUUAAGUGAUAAAAUGUUGAUCUUCAAGGCAUCAUCAGAGGGCUUCUCAAUAUCUCUUCUACUGAAAAAAAUUUCUUGACUGAAAGUGGCUCUUAACUAGAGGGGAGGGCAUCCCAAAAAUUUUAGGAAACCAUGAAGAAAAAUUUAUCAAAAUGGAUGCUUCCAAUCUACCUGUGGGAAGUAAAGAAAAAGUGAAGAGCCAUUGGCUAGCUAGAAGCUAGCCAAAAACUUGUAAAUAGCUUUCAUUUUUUAUUUUCUUUAUUAUUUUUGUUUAUAUUGCUUUGGCCAAUUUAGUGUGUAGGAGUACCAUCAUAAGAACUCUAAGUAUAAAUUUCUCUAUACUCUAUUGGUUUUAUCAUGCUUCAGAGUAGGUGUAAAUUGUUAGCACCAGGAAAGUGUUGGACAUAUAGGAAUUGCGCACUUUUGAGGUUUGCUAACCCAACUUGUAUGAUGACUUAAAUUGCGUAUCUCAAAUUGUACACUUUGAAAGCAUGACUGAAACUCCACACCCUAAGAGAUUAAUUUAAACGGUGCAUCCAAAGGAGCGCAACUAAAAACUGCACACCUUUAAGCAACCAUUGAUAUUGCCCAGCUUAAAUUACACACCAUAAGCACGCCAUCCAUACUAAAAAUGCCUUCCCAAAUAAAACCAUAAUUGCUUAGAGACUUUUGUCCACCCCACCAUCAUAUCAAUUGAGGUGUGGGUAGCCAACCAAAUUAAUUAUUAUCCAAAGACAGAAAAUUAAUUAAACAGGAUUAGCAUAAAAGAAAAUAACUUGACUUAUAAACAAAAGCAAGGGAGAUGCAAUGGCAAACACAAAGCAAUUUAAAAGGGGCAAGCGAGUAAAGAAACUAACAGUGAUAUAUUAUGAGUUGCCAUAAGUUGAAGCGACUUCCACUUCGGAAAGCCCAAGGCCUUUUAGCCAAUACCGUCAAAGGGGCUUUAUCAUCAUCAGAAUCUUUAGCAUCACCGAAAUUGCAUGUGGCAAGGUCAGGAUAACGUUCAACCAGAUGCAGUGCUACAUCUGCAUAUUAUAAAAUUGUACAUGGGAACCCGACGGUAAUUCAUAUCAAGAAAAUAGAUAGGGGAUGGUAAAUAUAGCUCACCAUGAAACCCCACCAUUAGUGCUCUGCGCAGAAGUUCGAAUCCAGGCGAAUUUGAGAAAGGAUAUGGAGGUUCAUCAUCUCUGGUGACGCUUAAUAAAUAUAAAGUCAGCUCUUUAUGACCAUACCUAACAGCGCUGUGAAGAGGCGCAAAAUUGUCGCGUUGGCAGAUAUUGGGCAAGCUUGGGUUUUUGUUCACUAACAACUUGACUGCUUUUAUAUUGCCAGCCCUUGCAGCGUUGAAAAGGGCAGUGGCGCCAUCAGAAUCCCGCAGAGCCAGUGCCUCACUUGGCAUAAACUCAACCAACUUCUCCACGAAACCCAUUCUGGCCUCUCCUAACUCAACUGCUAUGUGAAGCAUUCGGGAAUCAUCUGUUCCGAUCGGGGCAGAGAAUGAUCGUGGAUCAUCCUUCAAUAAUUUUGGAGCACUUUCCCAGUCACCAUUGAGCACAGCUUUGUACAGUUCCAAGUAAUAGAAUUCUGCAGUCACAAAACCAAAAGAUGUAUAGGUCAGCCUAGAUUUCCCUGAUAUCUAUAUUACUUCAACGUUCACAAAAUCCUAAUACUAAAAUUAUUUUUUAAAAAAUAAAUCAUUUAAGUUAUGUUUGGUUCUUAGAAAAUUUGACAAAUAAUACAAAGAAAAAUUUAAAUAAUUUAAAAUUUAAUAAAUUUAUAACUAAUUUUAAUUACAUUUGAUUUUCUUAAAUAUUUUUUUUUCGAUAAAACCAAAUACGGGAAAAUCAUUUUCCUUGAUAUCUUUUCUUUGCUAAUUAUUUUCUUAGACUUCUUUGUUUACCUCUAAUCAACAUCUUUCUAUCUUUCAAUAAUAGUUUGAACCUCCAAUAAACUACAUGAAUUAAAAUUUAAUUUAGUUUCAUUUUUUUUUAACAGCAGGUUGUAAAACACUUCUACUUGUAUACUAAUUAUGCCCAAAAGUUGCAGGAGGACCUCAAACGGAAAUGGACAUGAACAUGGUUUUUAGCAUCUUACCGGAGCUGCUAAUCCUUUGCAAAGAUGAAGGGGAAGAGACUGGAGCAUAUUCAUCAGCAAUGUCGAUUACCAUUGUUUGGGCUGUCAUCGAUUACCGAGAUGGAAAUGAAGAGAAGUCAUUGCAGUAAACUCCUCACCAUGCUCAGCAAUGUCGAUGUCACUGUUUUUAGGACUGUUUGCGCUGUUGUCAUUUCUAAGACGUAGUGAAGAAGAAGAAGCCUUUACAACAAAUUCCUUAUCGUGCAUAUAGUCAUUGCCAACUAUAUGGAAGAUUAUAUUUAACUGCAGCCCUUUUUCCCAGAGUCUUCAAAAGAUACAGGAAAUGGGCCAGGAACCAUUGAAGCAUAAGAGGUGCAAUGAUAGAGUCUUCCAAGUCAACUUUAUUUAGUUGAGUAGAUAGCGUUGAAAAGUUUUGAUAAUUUUUAUUGCGAAAAAACGAUGUUUUAUAUACUUUUAUUUCUAUCAUACUUUAUUAUUGUUUAUAAGAUAACGAAAUAUUCAAAUAUGAUAAACAAUAGUAAACAUAUAUCAAAUAUAAAAAAUUUCUCACAAGAGAUGCAAUUAAUAUUUUUUUUCUUCAAUAAUGUGUAUAAUAUAUACCAUGUGAUGUAUUAUUUCUAUUUUAAGUUUUGUUUGGAUGUAUUUUUUAUUUUUUUAUAUAUAAAAAAUGAAUUAUAUUUUAAAAUUUAUAUGUGAUAUAAAAAGGUUAUUAUUUUUUAGUAUUUGAUAUAAUACAUUUAUAUAUUUACUAAAUUAUGACAAUAAAUGAAAAUAAAGUGGAGCGGACGAUGUAGGUUAAGGAUUAAUGUCUUUCACAUUAUAACAUCUUUCACAUUUAAUCCUUUCUGAUGUGAAUGCAGUACAGCAAAAGAGAAAGUACCAUUAACUUGAAUGCGAGAAGGGUGAUUGAUCUAUCAAUCUGUACGUGUCCUUCUUGAAAGGGACCAGAUUCUAUGGGGUAGCUUAAGGAUUAAUGUGGGUGCCUGUAGCAUGAAAGUGGAAGGAAUUAAUCCUGUGCACCACACAUUGCUAUGAUCGUUUGCAAUAACCAAUUAUAUAAAAUCUAUUGAAAUAUUUUAUAUAAUUAACUUUUUGGAAUUUUUUUAUCAAGUUGUAAAAUAAAGAAAAUUUAGGAAAAAAUAUUUUUGUAAAAUGAUAAAAUUUUACAAAAAUGACAUUUUUUUUGUAAAAUGUAGAAAAGGAUACAAGGCUAUGAAUUCAUAAUUGUAUGAUAACCUUUUAGUAUUUCAAUCUUUGAAUUUUUUUGGAGAUUAUUUCCAUAAAUUCCACAUUCCAAAAACAAUGAUAAUCUUUACACAAUAUUAUUGUCAUUUAAAGUGGGAAAAAAUAUAAAAAUAAAAUAAAAUUUUCAAAAAAUUUAGAGAUUGCAAAAAAUACGAGGAUAUGAAGAAUGUGAGGAUCGUCAUAUUUUUCAUACCCUCCUCACAUUCUUCAUACCCUUACCCAUUUGAAUAUUUUAAUCUUUUAAUUUUUUUUUCAAAUAGUAUUUACUUCAAUUUCAAGUGUAAUUAGUGUUUUUACACAAUACCAUUGUCAAAUGAAGUAAAAAAAAAAAAAAAUCAAAAUUAAAAUUUUCAAAAAAUUUAAAGGGUACAAAAAUGCGAAGAGGGUACGAAGAAUGUGAAGAGCCUCACUUUUCUCGUACCCUCAUCACAUUCUCCAUACCUAUUAUAAUUUAUAAAUUUUAAAAAAAAUAUUUUUCAAUUUUUUUAACAUUAUUUGCAUCAAUUUCAAGUGUAAUUAAUAUUUUUACCCAAUAUUAUUGUAAAGUGAUGUGAAGAAAAAUUUAAAAUUAAAUAAUUAAAUAAUUUUAGAGGGUACAAAAAAAUAUGAAAAUAGUAUGAUGAAUGUGACGAGGGUACGAGAAAUGUGAGGAUACAAGAAAUUUAAAAUAAAAAAUAAAAAUCUCAUACCCUCCUCACAUUCUUCGUACCCCUACAAAUUUUUAAUAUUUUAAUCUUUUAAAUUUUUUGAACAUUAUUUGCUUCAAUUUCAAGUGUAAUUAGUCUUUUUACAAUAUAUUAUUGUCAAGUAAAUUAAAUUUAGAGGGUACAACAAAUAUGAGGAGUGUGCGAGAAAUGUGAAGAGGGUAUGAGAAAUAUAAGGGUACAAGAAAUAAAUAAUAAUAAUAAUUCUCGUACCCUCUUCACAUUCUUGUACUCUCCUCACAUUCUUUGUAUUUUCACCAAUUUUUGAAUAUUUUAAAUUUUUUUCGAAUAUUAUUUGCUUAAGUUUCAACAAAAUUUUCGUACCCCACCAAUUUUGUAAUAUUUUAAUAUAUAUAUAUAUAUAUAUAUAUAUAUAUAUAUAUAUAUAUAUUAACAUUAUUUGUUUCAAUUUCAAGUGUAUUUAGUCUUUUUACACAAUAUUAUUGUCAAGUGAAGUGAAAAAAAAACAUAAAGUUAAAAUUUUCAAAAAAAUUAAAGGAUACAAAAAAUGUGAGAAGGGUAUAAAGAAUAUGAAGAGGGUGCAUGAAAUGUGAGGGUAUAAGAAAUAAAAAAACAAAAUACUCAUCCCCUCUUCACAUUUCUUGUACCUUCCUCACAUUCUUUGUACCUUCACCAACUUUUGAAUAUUUUAAUCUUUUAAUUUUAACUCAUCUACCCUUACAAAUCGUGUCUUUAAGGAAUAUGAGCUUAGAGCAGGAACCAUUGGGAUCCAUAGGAGUACUGGCUCCCUUAGAAUCAAAUUUUGAAAUUGAUUCAACAUCCCACUAUAGAGAGUCAGCUGCACUUUAGUACCCUAUGUACAUUACAAUAAGACACCAAGUACUUGGGUUUAUGAUCUACUAUCUAUUGCAUGCAAACUCCCCAUGAACUUGUGUCCGUAAUUGAUUACUACCAAAAAGUACUAUUUUGUAGAUCUAAUUAUAAUGGUUUUAAGCACCUUUAAGUAGUAAUCAUAUUCAUUUAACCCAAUUAAUUCAUUAAGGUCCUUAGUAAUUGGUUUUAACCAUUUUGUGGCAAGUUUACAUGUUUUUAUUAGCUUGUGAACCAAUUCAAGCAUGCCAAUUGAUGGAGGAGCUAUUUGGGUGAGUUAAGCAAGGAUUUUGGACAAUUACAGGCUUGAAUUUCAAGUGGAAACACGAGCACAAGCAAUGGAGAAGAGGAAAACAGAGUGAAGAAAACAGCUGCAGUCUUCUUUCGCACUUUUGAAGCACUUCCCGAAGUCCAUUUUUUGCAUGCUAUAUACCAUUUGAAAUCUUAGAAAGUCAAGAAUCCAACGCUUCAAACCGUGUAUGAUUUGGAGUUGAAAUGAGGAAGAUAUGGCCUUUGGAAGGCAACUGUAUCAUGUCAAAUGACCAAUUUCGCAAGGUGAAUUUCACAUUGCGAAAAUUUCACAAGGAGAUUUUCUUCAUGGUGCGAAAUUUUGCCACUUCGCACCAUGAAGAAACACCUUGCGAAAUUUCGCAAGGUGGAUUUAGGCACAUUGCAAAAUUCCUUUGAAUCCCCUGUUUUGAGACGUUGUUGAUGUUAUUCCACUGCCGGUUCUCCAAGAUAUUUUGCUUGAUUUUUAGCUUUGUAAAUACCUAUUUUACCCUUGUAAUCAACCAAUGAAUAGGUUGCUUUUGUAAUAGCUCUUGUAAUUUAGCUUGUUAUUGUCUUUAAAUAGAGGUGAAGAGCCUCAGAUCAUCAAAUCUUGUAACCUGUAACUUUAUAAGUUAUAAGAGCACUUUUGUUCAUACGCUUCUUUUCUCUUUUCUUUCUCAUUUUCUUAGUAGCCAAACAUCCUUGGGGGAUGAAAUCCCCAAGGAUGAGAGGCUUAAACCUUUUAGUUUCUUGAAGUAAUGGAUGCCAUGUGAAGCUCCCGUGUCAGGAUGGAGAUUUCCAAGCCAUGAAUGUAAGUAGCUGAGCGUCAUAAAUGUUUUCAUUCAAAGUAAAGCUUUUAAUCCCUCUGACUUGCUUUGAAUGGCCAAUACUUGAUAAUCUUUUGGUCUCAAUGGAUUCUUAUUGUUAGAUCCACUGACGUUCAUUAGUUAUCUCCUACGAGCCAUUGUAUUGCAAGUCGAGGAGAUGCCCUAUAUCAUUAAAAGGGCAUUUAUGAGGUUCAACUACCCUUUUUGUAAGUUUUCAAGGACUAAAACUCAGUUGUUAAACUCAUACCGGUUCGGGAAGUAAGCAUCACCUUAGUUGCUUUCCCAACUCGAGGUGAAAAGUCCCAAAAUCUCCAUUUUUUCACAGUGAGUUAAGCAUGGCUAUCCAAAGCUUUGAGAAACUUCUUUUUCCAUCUUUUAACCUAUUUUCAUGUUAGUUUAGUUUACACACCUUCAUCUUUUUAUGUUUUCAUCUUAACCUAAUUUUUAUUAAGAAAAGUUCACUCCAUCCUCCGAACUUCACCAGUUAAAGUAAAAACUCUUCCCAGUGUUCGAUCCUAGAGCCACUAUGCUAUAGUAGCUUUGCUACUUUAGUGUAAGGACCUUAGGUAUAAAUUUUGUUGAUACCCUUACAUGCCAAGCUACCAAGAGUCGGGUUAUCAGUAAUCUAAUAAGGUGGUGUUGUCACCUAUCAAGAUUACCCCUCAAAUCCUUUAGUUAUAGAUCAUACUUAUUACGUGAUUAAAUGACAUACUUUACCUCUAAUGAGCAUAUGUCAAAUUCCACUAAAGGAAUUAUUCCAUGAUCACAUGUCCUUUGGAUCACCCAAGGGGACAUAUCGUCUCAAUCCCAUGAGAUAUCAUGGUGCCUCUAUUGAGAAUACCUAUUGUCAUUAGCCUCCAUCAACAGUGACCCAAUUCAUAGGGAUACAUGGCCACUUUAGGGUUUCACUCAUAGCUUAAAGUCUUCUAUUAACUUUGGCAUAGACUCAAUAUCCUCUAAGGUUGAGAGUCUAUACAGUAUACUAGUUUGGUGAAUCAUAACAAUUGAUAGCCUUGUGUCAUGAUUCACCGUAGGUUUUGUCUAGUGUGCAUCACAUACACUGGUACUCUUCAUAGGAAACCCAUUCCAACGGCUAAGACCAAUCAUCUCUCUAAUUAGGAGGUAGUGCACUAUAGUCUCUACUGGAUUGCCUAAAUCCAUGAACCAAUUGUGGACAGCUUAUCUACUUACAAGGAAUCCAUGACUUGUACUUUUGUGCAACUCCUAAUGCACCUGAAUCAUGUACAAUGUAAGAAACAUGGGUUGAAUGCUCAAAUCAAUGUUAAUACACUAGAGGGAUAACAAGGAGACAGUUAAGUCUAACUUUGUUACAUCAUGUCUUGCUUAGUUAAGUCUAACUUUGUUACAUCAUGUCUUGCUUAGUUAAGUUUAACUUUAUUACAUCAUGUCUUGCUUUUAGGGUCUUAAUCCUAACAAGCUCCUACUACCCCAAAAGUAGACUAGGGUACUGUAGAAAAAAUAUACUCUACAGUCACGUCACCUUUCUAUACUAUCCCACAACAAGGUAUCACUUGUUUUCUAUAUAUUAUCUCUUAUAGUGGCACUUUAGUUAUUUGGACUAUGCCACAAUCCCAUAUAACAAUAUCUUAGACGAUAUAGCCAAUGGAAAUACUCAUAAGCUAAAAGGCUUCCUUUGUUGCUAUAGAAAUAACAAAAACCACUUAGAGUGUACACAUUCCCUAAGGUAGACUUGCGAGAGUCCUCAUUAGACUGAAAGUCCAAUUUCUCGAUACAAGGACUCACAAACAUAUCAUUCUUCAUUCUCUAAGGAUACUAGAGUAUAUGUUUGAAAUUCGCUCAAAGCUCUAAUCAAGAAAUGAACUAAUAUUCACUCAUUAUUCCUACAACAAAGCAAAUAUCUGGUUUAGCACAUAGCAUUGUAUGCUUAAGGCUAUCCAUUGUAGAGGCAUUGGAUACCUCCUUAAUGUGAUCUUUCUCCACAAAUGUCUGAUUACUACUCAAAAAGUGCUAUUUGAUAGCUUGUAAUUAACUCUUUUAAACACUUUUGAGUAGUAGUUAUUGCCUUUUAACCCAAUUAACAUGUUAAGGACCCUUGCAAUCAAUUCUAAUCAAAUUGUGUUAAGUUUUGGUCUUUUGAUAGCUUUUUGAUCACCAAAGCAAUCCAAGAUUGAGGAGAGUUAUUUGGAAUCCACGACAAAGCAAUGGAAAGCUCAAAUUCAUGAAGAACAAGAUUUGGAGCUCCAUAGCUCUUUGCCAAAGUCGUUCAAAGUAUGCAAGGAAAGAACAAAGGAGAGAGGAAAAACAGAGUGAAGAAAACAGAGGACAAUAGCUGCAGUCUUCUUUCGCACUUUUAGAGCACUUCCCGAAGUCCAUUUUCUACAUUCUAUAUACCAUUUAAAAUCUUAGGAAGUCAAGAAUCCAAUGCUUUAAACGGUGAGCAAUUCGGAGUUGAAACGAAGGAGUUACAGCCAUUGCAAGUAGAUCACUCCAAGUUGAAGGAAGAAUUUUGCACAACGCUGCGAAAUCACCCUUUUGUUGCGAAAUGAUUUCGCAGCCUUUUUGUUUAGUGUUGUGGAUUCCCUCCUGAAGUUGCCCGAUAUAUGCCGCAAGUUGGAAGCUGAGCACCUCAAGAUGAAAGCCAACUUCGCAGCCCUGCGAGAAUAACCUUUUGCUGCGAAGUGAUUUCGCAGCCCUUUUUGUGCAUCUGUGAAAUCUCGCAGACCUCGUUUUCACCUACGAAAUGGUCCUUAGUGCUUCCCAAUAUUUGUGCACCGACUCUUUUAGAUCUUUUCUUCAGAUAUUUUUGUAUAAAUUUCCAUUCUCUCCUAGUAAGCCACCAAUUAUGGGAUUCCUUAGUUAUUAAGUUGGGAAAAGGGGUGAAUAACUUGAGAUAUUUUGUUUUGUAAUUUUCUUUAUAUAUAGCUCUCGGGAGCUUGUUCUCAGGGCAUCAUAUCGAUCAAUAUAUAGAUAUAUCAUAUAUAGAAUCAACGAACAGAGCACUUGCUCUGUUUUUCAUAUAUAUUCUUGUUUUCUCGUUAGUUUUCUUUCUAGCCAACCAAACUCUGAGGAUUUUUCCUCAGAGGAUGAGAGGCUAAGCUUUUUGUCUCUUGGAGUAAGGAAAACCGGCUAAGUUUCCACAUGCAUAAAUUGGAAGUUUUGUUGUUUUAGUUUUUAAUGAAGAGAAAGUGUGACCCGUUAAUGGUUUUUAUAUUUUUAGUUAACUUAAAACGCCUUUAAAUCACCUGGGCCAACACUUGGGAAGGCAAGUGAUCUCUGUCCAUGGAGAUGCACUAGUUUACCCCUUGCGAGCCUUUGGGAGGUGACUUGAAGGUAGGAUUUUCUAGAAUAGGCAACACUUGGUAAGCUUUUGGACUCCAAGGAGACAUCUAUUAGUUAUCUCUUGCGAGCUUUUGACGGGUAAUCCAAGGUUAAAGAUCACCUUGAAUGGCAAGUGCUAGGUGAGAGGUAUGAGCCAUUGCAAGGUGCAUCAGUGAGAGGGAUUUAGUGUUUGAACCCAUUAAUGGGAAGCAUCUGUACAACACCGGUUAGAGAAUUAACUAUAUGUUAAUUCUCUAAUGCGAGGAAAAGAAACAAGUGACCGAAACUCUCUUUUUUGUAUGAGGAACCUGAGCCUAGUGAUCUGAACUCCAAAAAACAUUUUUCUUUGUAAGUAAAAUCAGUUACUAUUUUUGGUUAGUUUAAAACCAAACCUUUUUCAUUCAAACAUCUUUAUGUUUUCUUUUAAAGCUAACCUUGAAAUGAAAAGGCACCAAUUCAACUUUGAAUUAAUAUCAUUUGUGAAGUGAAAACCCAUCCCAGUGAACGAUCCUAGNNNNNNNNNNNNNNNNNNNNNNNNNNNNNNNNNNNNNNNNNNNNNNNNNNNNNNNNNNNNNNNNNNNNNNNNNNNNNNNNNNNNNNNNNNNNNNNNNNNNUAAUGGGAAGCAUCUGUACAACACCGGUUAGAGAAUUAACUAUAUGUUAAUUCUCUAAUGCGAGGAAAAGAAACAAGUGACCGAAACUCUCUUUUUUGUAUGAGGAACCUGAGCCUAGUGAUCUGAACUCCAAAAAACAUUUUUCUUUGUAAGUAAAAUCAGUUACUAUUUUUGGUUAGUUUAAAACCAAACCUUUUUCAUUCAAACAUCUUUAUGUUUUCUUUUAAAGCUAACCUUGAAAUGAAAAGGCACCAAUUCAACUUUGAAUUAAUAUCAUUUGUGAAGUGAAAACCCAUCCCAGUGAACGAUCCUAGAGCCACUAUGCUAUAGUAGCUUUGUCUUUGCUACCCUAGUAAAUGGUGUAAUAGGUUAUAAAUUUUGUUGAUUACUCCCUCAAUCAAGGAGCACCAGCUGGACACGAAUCAGCUGAGACACCAAUUGGGCAUGAAUCAAUGUCCAAGGACAUUGAUCCUAAGAAAGAUAACUCCAAAUCCAAAGAGUAACAAACCUUUCUUGGAGUUUUACAUCAUAUACUUGAACAAAUGCUGAUUAAUGUAGAUGACAUGGCAUAAUUUUUCCUAUUCCUGCAAUGCUAAAAGAUCUUAACCUUAAGAAUAUAUUGCGCAUUCCUCUAAAUUUUUUUCUAGAACUAAGUAAACAACUAGAUCUUGACAGAUGACAAUAUCUUUACAUCAUAUCCAAUGAGUAGAUUAUCAUCCACCUACAAGAUCUUAGAGCAUUACUACACUCCCAUAUGCUUUCAUGUACACACAAGGCCUAUUGCUAUGAAAAUGUUUGGUUGCUAUAUCUCAUAAAUCAAACACACUGCAAUAGAUAAGAGUAAUCUACUAGAUUUGAGUAUGAUCACUAUUGAAAAGGUUUUCCAUAGUUGAAACAAAGUUUCAAACUAUAACCUUUAACUAUAGUCUUAGCCAUAUAAAACUCAAGCUUUCCAUCUACUCCUGUGUUUCUCUUAUAGACCAACUUACACCUAUGAGUUUUAUCUCUUUAGGUGUCCUACAGGAACCCAAACUAUGUUAGAAUACAAAGAUUCUAACUACCUUUUCCUAGCUCAUUACCUUAAGUGAGUAUAAACAUUGUUGAAUGCUUCAUCAUAAUCUAUGAUAUAUAAACUUCCAUUACGAUGAGGCAUUGGUGUACUAGAAAUCAUAGGAAUGGUAUGCCUUUAACCCUCUAGAUCCACAAUAUCCUAUGCAAUAUGGGACUAUUUUCUAAUUUCUCCUCCAAUCUAUAUCAUUUUUUGCCUUAUUCCUUAUCAUACAGUUUUAAAUUUUUUUUUGACAUUUGUGCUAACAAAUAUCUUUUAAUGAUCCUAACUAUAAAGGUAGUAACCCAAAAAUGCUCUUAUAUAUCCUAUAAAUUGACAUACCUCUUAAGAAAAAGGGUAACCACCUUUUUAAAAAAUAGUAGGUAAAAUAUACUUGAUACAUACCUUCAAUCUUUUGUUUGUUUUACAUUUUGGUCUCUUAUAUUUGAAAUCCAUCAUUUUACCUAUUCAAACUUAUUAGAAAUCAACACUUCCAUAUCAUUUGCAAACCCUUUAUAAAUUAUAAAAAUGAUCUUUUUUUUUUCUAUAUUCUUGUUUGAACAUUGGUUUGAAUUUAGGUAAAACCAAUUUUGAAUUCAUAGCCUUGGGUAGUAUUUCCCAAACAUCUUUAUUUUAUUAUUUAUUAUCUAAUCCUUCAUGUCUUGUGGAAGCACGUUACAAGUUAUCUAUGCUAUCCAAGUACACCCCCUAUCACCUACCUUCUAAAUUAUGUGAAUAUGCUUAUCACUGUGAACCGUGCCUAUGUUUGGUAGUGCAUGGGUGUCUUGAUAUAUUGUUUCAUUGUUCAAUUAUUUAUGAUAAAGCGCAUGCUGGGUGAUAUUCUAUUUGAACUAACUUUAAUGUCUUUUGAUAGUGCUUAAAAAGCAGUCCAGGUAUGCACCCUAAAUCUUCUUUAUGAUUUGUGAUUGGUUCUUUUGUUUAGCAUGAUAUUUGUUUAAAUCACCUUAGUCUACCUAGGCACCCUCAAUCAACCAAUUAAUUGUCCCAAUUCUCUCAACUUAGCUAGUAAAGACCUCUUUAAGGCUUAGAGGGGUGCUACCUCUUAGAGGUAACUUCCCAAUAGGUAACCUGAUCCCCGAACCUAGACUCGGGUUUUUCAAAGACACAUUUUUCCAAAAACUAUAGUCACUUCUUUAGGGUUUUCUUUCUUAUUUUAUUUUUCCUUUUAAAAUAAAAUAAAAUAAGUGGUGACUCCAACUUUUCCAAAUUUUUCUUUUUUACCAAUAAAAGCGAAUAUCAUCGAUUGAGUGGGAGCGCAUGUGAAAAAUGCAAGACCACACUAUGGCUUUUGUAGUACUCCGGGUAUUGUUCUUAAGGACUAGCUUAUGGAAAUAGUCAAUACUAGAAUAAAUGAAUUGCUUUCGUUUAAAUCCUAAAGUGAAAAACACUAUGAGAAUAAUGUGAAACUAAGUAAAAGAAAAAUAAAUUAAUAACAAAAAUGGAUGUUGAUAUUAAAUUUGAUUGAUUCAAGUUUGGGGCUUUCCACAAUCCAACCUAGGGUAUAGAAAUUAGAGAAAACAAGGGUCUUUUAAGUAAUAUGAUCUUAGGGUUUUGGGAUCCUUGGCUCCUCAUGAUCAAGUUGAGUUCUAUAACAUAAAAUUGCAUCCGAAACCUAAUUUUUCCUUUUUAAAAUAAAAUUCCUAAAACCAUCAAAUGAAUGAGAUUGAUUACUAGUUUAAAAUUUGGACUUUUAACCCUUCCUACUCCUUAUAGUUUUGUUUUGGGGCAAAUAAUGAUAGAGAAAACGAGGAUAACUAAUGAUCAAGAAUUACCAAAAAUCACUAGUAUCGGGUAAUAACCUACCAUAUCAUUCCCUAAACUAACUCACAAGGAUAGGAUAAAAAAAUGAUAAAUUGUCACCCAACCAAUAAUUAAUCUCAUUGAUAUAAUAAUUUACCCAUUGUCCCUAUAGGUUUCCUAACCCUUAGGUUUUCAUGCUUUAAGCCCCAAGUUAGCUCUUAACCUCUCAUGGGGUUAUUGUCACAUUCACAAUCCAUAAUAGGGUAAAAAUCCAUAAUUUGAAUCAAAAGAACCUAAAAUAAUAUAUUUAAUAAAGAAGAAAAAGAAAACAAACCAAAGUUCUCAUCUUCUUCCACCUUCAAUGUCAAACUCUCUAGAAAAAAAAAAAAAAAAUCCAAGGUCCCUAAAACCUAGAACUAAGAGAGUUUAGAUAAUAUCAUCAAUUACCUAACAUGUGCCACACUCUCAUUGGCCACUUAUUACAAAAAUAAUUACCUAAAAAUGAUUAAAAAUUAAUAAAAUGGUGAUUUCUAGCAGUGUGUGGGGUCCAUUUAGGGGUGAUGGAGUGUCUUAGAUGCAAUUUCCAAGGUAGAGGAGGUGAAACAUCAAAGUGGCAGUGGGUGAAUUUGAAAUUGGUGUCAUUUUGAUGUGGAUUUUGAAUUCAUAAGUUGAAUUUCGAAAUCAUUUCGAAAUGACCCUUUAGAUUUGUGUAGUCGUCUUCAAAUAACCAUAACUUCUUCAUUUCAGCUUCAAUUUGCACACUGUUUGAAGUGUUGGACUCCUGACCUCCCAAGCUUCAAAAAAAUAUAUUGUAUGCAUAAAAUGGGCUCCAGAAAAUGCUCCAAAUUUAUCCUCAAAGUCAGAGUAUAUAUUACCAUCAGAUUUUUGAGUUCUAGAUUUCCAUGUAGCUGAAUCUUGCUUCAUGCCUCAAUUCCUAUGUUUUCUUGCCUUCUUUCUUACUCCAUUAUGAUCAUUUCUCAUAUUCCAAACUCAUGAUAUCCUCGUCUUGCCUUUCCUCAUGGUCCAUGAGUCAUGACUCACCUAUUUCUUCAUUUAACCCUUUCUUGAUCUUUCAAAAUCUAAAGUGAUUCAACUUGCACCAUUUUCUUCCCUUGAACCUGAGAUAAGUCUCCAAAGUACAAAUAAAACUCCUGGCUAGGUCCUUAGCAUUAAUUUAGGUCAAGUUGGGUGAUUUGAAUGUUCUUUGGUGCACAAAUCAUAUCAAAUAUGUGUCAUUAGAGCACAUAUUUUGGCUCCAAUCAUCCCCCUCAACUAAACUUUGCUAGUCCCUAGCAAAUGAAAAGAGUAAAGAAAAAAAUUAAAAAUAUGUAAUGAGAUUCAUGAAACCAUAUUGACUCAACAUAACAUAUUUCACACACAAGAUACCCAAGUAGUCAAAUUUCUUAGAAUUGAGCAAAAUGAAACAAGAUAUGCAAUUUUUUAGUUUUCUCACCUUAUCUUCGUAUACAUAAAUGUGCAUCCACGUUUAGCAUUCCCCUUAGUGUCUCUUGAUUUUCCCCUGAUUAGUUUUUUCCACCUAAACCUCAUGUGCUUAAUUUUGGUUUCCUCUCACAGUAUUUUUCUUUAGACUUUUCUUAAACUCAAACUUCAUCAUUCUUUAAGUUAAAGAGGGGGGGAAAUUUAUUUUGAUUUUUCUUUCUUAGUUUAGGAAAUCUCCUUCUAUAUGGCUUAAUAGGGAUCCACCGGCAACUCCUAAGUUUUCACCCAUGGUACCAGGUAUUGGGAACCUUUAUAGGCUACUUACUCCUCAGGUAUUACCCUAGCUCUAGAUAGAACAAGGUCGAAUUUCCUAAACAUUUAUUUAUUUUUAUUUUUCAAAACUGAGUUUAACUUAUGUUACAAGCAAGAUACUGAUGACUCUUAACCAGUCGGUUUCGGGCACCAGGGCUUGAAGACACAAGGCCAUUACCCCCUCAAAUAAUUUCUCAAGCUUAAAUCAAUCAUUUUCAAUUUUCUUUUCAUCAAUUUGUUUUUUUUUUUUUCAUUUCCUCCUUUUAUUAGUUAAGAACAACUCCUUUUAAUCUAAAGAAAUUAUCUUAAUCAAGAUACCAUAAAGGAAUAUGUGCUUUGUGUGUGCUUUGAGUCUUAAAUAGAAAAUAACCAUAAAAAUAAAAUAAAAUAAAAUUUUGAAGGUAUUCCAAGGAUUCAACCUAAUUAUUUUUGUACUUAAAGGUAUAUAAAGAUAAGGUAAGUGAACUAAUAUUCUUGCUCUAACUGUAUUUUUUCUCAAAUUCUAAAGAAAUAAUACUACUUAAAGCAUUCUCAUGCAAAAUAAACCAUGAGUUACCAAGGCAAAUCAAGAAUCUCAUUAACUAACCAAAGAUAACAUGCAAACUUUUGAAAAAAAAAUUAGGGCUAAUAGACCUUCCCCCCUCAACCUAAAUUACACAUUGUCCCCAAUGUGUAGGAUAUUGGGUCAAAAGAAAGGAAAAAUGGAGAUGUUAUCUCAAGAUCAUCGAGUGAGAAGUUUGUUAUGAGGACUUCAUAUAAACUAGUCUUGCACAAAAGCAACAAGAUUAGUGGCAAAAGUAUGCAUAGAGAAAAAUAUAAAUGGUGAUCUAAAAGAGAGUAUAAGAGUAUCAGUAUGCUCCAAAAAUACCAUAGUGUAUACAAUUAUAUCGAAUAAGGUAUAUAUAGAAAUGAACAUCAAGCACCAAUGAUAGGAUCAACAACUCCAUCUAUCCCCUCCAACACAUGGGUGGCUACCUAGUCAAUAUCCUCCAAUAUAGGUGUAGUAGCUAAUUAGUGAUCUCCACGAUAGGUGUAACGGCCUCGCCAACAACCUGUACCAUAGGGGGGUCAUCCUUAAUAAUGAUGUCCACACUAGUGUCAGUAGUAUGAAUGAAGAUCUCACCAUCGACCUAUCCUGCAGAAUCUGGAAUAUCAAUAGUUGAGGUAAAAAUCUUAGUUGCGGCAUCACUUGAUGUUUGUAAAAUAGGCAUGGUCUCAUGGGCUACUGUCGGUGCUCUAGUGUUAGAGCCAGAAUCAAUCACCUCUGUAGUGUUGCCAUCAACCUCUAAGUUGGUAUCAAUUGGUGUAAUAAAAUCUCCCCUCUGUCUAGAUGGAAUAAUCAAAGAAGUGACCUAUUGUACACAAAAAGUGAGGUCAUCCAUCUAAGUCUCCAUCUUACUUAAGCGAGCAUCAAUGCGAGAGUCCAUGGACACAAAUAACUUUUGAAGUGUGUCUAGACGAGCCAUGAUUGAUAAGGUACUCAGGGUAGCAUCAACAACCUGAGGCAGUGAAGGUUUAAGAAGAUCAAAGGUUGGUAAUGCUAGUGUAGAAAUAGGAAUAUAUAGCAGGCUCUAAGACACAUGAAAGAGGUGGUGGAAGAGGAAUAGGAAGCACUGGUAAGCUCGUGUCAAAAGUAGGAGUAGGUGGAAGCGGGCUCUCUAUAGUAGAUGGAAGUGGAACAACAUGCAAAGCUCUCUUUCUCUUAGCGCCAUAGGUAAUCAACUAUGACCCUGAAUGAAUUGUUUGACCCACUGAUUGAUAACAUAAGUGUGAGAAGUCAUGCGAUGAUCAGACUUAGGUAACUGGCAUCCAUGACGGAGCAAGUAGUAUGAGAGCAACUGAGGCAAAGGAAUAAGAUAACUUUGAGCUAAAGAUAAUUGUUUCUCCUUAACCUUUUGAAAAAAAUAAAAGAUGGUAUCCAUGAUGAGUUGAGGUGGACUCCACCACUUGCCUGUGUACAUGUGAUAUAACCCCUAUAAGACUAAACCAGAACACUUUAUAGAGUGUCCAAAUGGAAAAUGUUGGUCUUAAUGACCUGAUCCACAAACCAUAAGAUCUAUGGCAUCUCAAGGUGAGUGAUGGCUGAACGAUAACAAGUAUCCCGAGGUGCUAAUAUAUGUGCAAUCCUCGAAAAAGCUGGUUGUGAUUGAGGUGAAAAUUGGGCUUCAAGAGGAGCAGAUGAUGGUAAACCAAAGGUUGCAACAAUGGUCUCAGUGGAAAUAAUAUCAAUUCAUCUAUUGAUAGAAAUAUGGAGCUCUCGGUAUCUCCCUCUCCAAUCCUCGAGAGUAGAGAAGAACUCUCUUACACUAGCGACAUAAAAAUAUGGCGGAGGAUCCAUCAAUAAGAGAAAAUAAUAUCGGUCAAGGAGAUGCAUGGACUAUGUAGUGGGCUAGUAAGUACUAAAUGCCUUUAUUUCAUAAGAGAACUCUUGAUCAAACUUCAGUUAAGAUAGGUCCACCCUAGGGGCAUCAUCACAAACUAUUAGAGAUGGAGGACGUGUUGGGCUCAGAGUAGGAGGAGCUGCCCAUGGAUGUGGAGGAGUGGUAGUAAGCUUGGUGGUCUUAAGAGUGGUUGAGUGAUCAAAAUGAGCCUUUGUCUUGGCUUUGACAUGCUUGGCUUGACGAGUGACAUGCCUCUCAGUAGGCUCAAUAAUCAUUCCACCACUUCGACUUUGGACAAGAGGUCGGGCAUGUUUUUGCCUUGGAGAAUGCUUAGUCUCAUUGUCACUUUGAAUAACAACUUUCCUUUUAUAUUAAGCCAUCUGAAAUAAAUGUCAAAAAAUAAACUAAACUUAAAAAAGGGAAAUAAAUAAAUAGAAAUAAAUACAAAAACUCAUAAGGGUUAAGAAAACAAUCUAAAAAAAAAAAUUGGAUGCUCAUGAAAUUUAUGGAUUCAUAUGAAACGGUGGUAGACCAUUCCUAAAAUGCGGGAGAACAUUCAAGGUGUCCAACAAUGAUGAAAACAUGAGUCUUUGAAGCCUUAGAUAUAAUCCAAACAAUACCUAAGUUCAAAUAUCAUGUGACAAGGAAAUCAAAGUGAUUGGUUAGCUUAGGAGAAUGUGUAGAACAAAUAGAAAAAUCUACUAGAGAGUUUAAAAUGUUCUAGAGCAUAUAAAACAUAAAUUAGGCAACAAUUAUGCAAAACUCAUGGAAAAAUAAGAACUUUGCUCUCAAAGUAUUCUAAGAUGUUCAACAAGCCCUAAGAAUCAUGUAGAAAAAAUUUCAAAAUUUUUCUCCAAGUAUAAACCAAAAAUUCUAACACCUUGAAUUUCCAAGCAAAACAAAUGAACGUUGUGUAAUCAAAAUCAAUCUUGUUGAGUUACGUUCAAAUUUUCGGGGGUCGAGCUCCCCGCUAAGCUUGUGGGGGUCGGGGGGCAGCACCCUCUAGAAUUGUUUUUUCAUUAUAUUUAUUAUUUUUUUUUAUCUACCCAACAGAAACAAUAGAAACCCUAAACAAUGUUAUUGAGAGUUUGGUCACACUGCAUUUUAUAUGGAGCAACACCACACAAUGAAACCAUAAAGAUCAAGGAAAAUCCAUGAAAAAUAAACAAGAAAUGAGUAUGAGUGUAAUGCGUACCUGGAAUGUGACAAACCCAUAAUGAACCCUUAAAUCACCUUCAAUGGAAGCUAGGACAAUGAACAAGGGAAGAAUAAACAAGGGGAAGAGGAGAUAAAGUGGUCUAGAAGUGGAAAUGGCCUUUUGUAAAGGAGUUUGGUUGAUUUCGGAGUGAACUCGAAAUAGAAAUUAAGUAUUUUGAAUUGGAACUUUGGUUAAGAAAAGUCAUUUUGAAAUUUAACUAUUGAAUUCAAAAAUAACCUUAUUUUGAAUUCGUUAAUUAAUGGUAAAAAAAUGCCCAUUUUAAAAUGUAACCAUUGGAUUCGAACACUAUCCUAUUUCCAAAUGGCUCACUAUAUACAAAAACAUUUCAAACACCUCAUUUCGAAAUGAAAAAAAAAAAAUCAUUUCUAAAUUGGGCAAAUUUCGAAUUCACCUUCUGAACUUAAAAAAUCUCAAUUCUAAAGCAAAAGUUUCAAUUUUGAAAAGCCCACCAUUUCAAAUUUGCUAAAUGUAGCCUCAAUACAGUGUAAAAAACCUGUUUCAAAAUUCCACUAAUGAUUUCGAAAAUAGCUUCAUUUCAAAAUGGCUCACUGUUGAUUCCAACUUCUAUUUCGAAAUAGCAAUCUUUUUUAUUUCAAAUUUGACGUCAUUUCGAAAUAACCCACUAUGGGUGUUGAAGUCCAUCUUAAAGCAUCAAAAUUGCUCAUUUCGAAAUUCAAAAUUCAUUGUAUUUCAAACUUGUUUUUUGUGAGUUCAAAACACCUAUUUCAACAUUUACUAGUGAUUUCAAAAUCAAUCUCAAUUCAAAUUCACUUUCUAUAUAUUUAAAAUUGCAAUUCCAAGACAAAAAAUUUGAAUUCGAAAGGAUCAUAAUAUUGAAAUCACCCAUUACUGGUCUUCAAAAGUGUCAUCUCCAUUUGAGAUUUCAAAUUCAAAAAUAAAGGAAUUUUGAAUUCAUCCACUAUACCUUUAGCCCUUUAUCAUAAAAAUUUAGGAUUUCUUUCCCAAGGGCUACUCAGUUUUGUAUUUCAUCCUUUGUUUUCAAAGUUCACCAAUGAUCCUCACAAGUAAAUUUUUGGGAGGCCUAUGGUCUUAAAUAUAGAUCAACGUACUUGUAGGAGCUUUGCCACCUUGAACACUUAUGAGGCUUACCUUUUCACUACAUUGAAGUUCACAUUUACCUAUAUCACUUGGAUGUUUGCAAGCUAAGUUGCUACAACUCAUAAACUCAUUAGUAAGUUAAAGACAACUUAAAAAAAUACUAACCAUAUUUCUAAUGACUAAUUGAAAAUGAAAAACUAAACAAAGGAAAAUAAAUAAAAUAAAACAAAAUAAAAGAGAAAUUAAAUAAAUAAAAGUUUUACCUAAAUUUAAUUUUUACCUACUAGAUUUUCAGAAAAUACUUCAACCCUUUUGAACAUUCCCAUAAAGAAAAUGGAGAUUCUCCUCUAAUGUCUCAAAUCUUUCAAUGAAAUGCUUUAAGCGCUGACCACUAACUUUGAAUUCAUUACCAUUCCUCAGAUUUCGAAUGGUCACGAUGCCAUAAGGGAAGACUUCCUUUACCACAUAAGGGCCAUUCCACCUUGACCUAAGCUUUCUUGGAAAAAUGUGACGCUUAGAGUCGUACAACAACACCUUUUCAUCUUGCUUUAACUUCAUUCAUAAAAUAAGUUUGUCAUGGUAGAAUUUGUGUGUUUCCCUUGCAUUACGUAAGCAUUCAUAAUUCUAAUUUUGAUAUGCCUCAAGUUCAUUCAAAUCAUAUUUCCUUUUAGCUCCAGUUUGAUCCAAAUCAAAGUUCAUUUUUUUAUAGCCCAAUAUGCACGAAGUUUGAGCUCUAUAGGCAAAUGACAUGAUUUACCAUAAACAGUCUGAUACGGUGACAUGCCAAAGAUAGUCUUAUAGGUUGUCCUAUAUGCCCGAAGUGCAUCACUCAACUUGGUAGACCAAUCUUUUCUUGUAGUAUUGACUACUUUGGUAAGGAUUCUCUUAAUCUUUCGAUUUGCUAGCUCAGCUUGCCCAUUUGUUUGAGGGUGAUAUGGGUGGACACUUUAUGCCUCACUCCGUAUUUCUGAAAAAGAGUGGAAAAAGGGCUUGUUACAAAAGUGUGAACCUCCAUCACUAAUGAUUGCUCUCAGAAUGUCAAACCUAGAGAAAAUAUUCUCCUUUAAAAAUUUGAGCACCACUUUGUGAUCAUUGCUCUUGCAUGCCACUGCUUUUACCCAUUUAGAAACAUAAUCCACUCCCACCAAAAUAUAGAGAUUACCAAAAGAAUGAGGGAAUGGUCCCAUAAAGUCAAGGCCCCAACAAUCAAAGACCUCAACAACACAAAUAUAAUUUUUUGGCAUUUGAUACUUUGUGUUGAUUUUCUCCAGUUGUUGACAUUGUGGACAACUUCUGCAGUGAGUGUUACAAUCCUUGAACAUAGUUUUCCUAUAGAAUCCACUCUGUAGAAUUUUUUCCUAAGUCUUCCGUAGACCAAAAUGACCUUCACAAGCUCUCUCAUGGCACAUUCGCAACAUGUUUUGUUGUCCAUCCUCUGGAACACAUCUUUGAAUAAUUUGAUUUGGACAAAACUUAUACAAAUAUGGAUCAUCCCAAGCAUAGUGUUUUGCUCACCAACAAUCAAAGACCUCAACAACACAAAUAUAAUUUUUUGGCAUUUGAUACUUUGUGUUGAUUUUCUCCAGUUGUUGACAUUGUGGACAACUUCUGCAGUGAGUGUUACAAUCCUUGAACAUAUUUGGCCUAUAGAAUCCACUCUGUAGAAUUUUUUCCUAAGUAUUUUGUAGAGCAAAAUGACCUCCUGAUUCGCUUGUAACUCCAAAUGGGUCAUUUAAUCAAAAACAUUUAUAAAACCUAUGACCUCAUACUAAUGUAGUAAAGCUACUAUAGUAUAGUGGCUCUAGGGUCGAACUCUGGGAUGGGUUUUCAUUCUACCAGUGAUGUAUUCAAAAUUAGAAAUUGUAUUUAAUGAUUUCCUUUAUCAAAAACUUAAAGUUUAAAAGAAAAUAAAAUUUGAUUUGAAAGUGUUUAAAACUAAACUAACAUAAACUAAUUAAAAAUGGAAGAAAGAAAGUCUCCCGGAGCUAAGGGUUGCUAGGAUCAAGUUCAGAAUAGAAAGUGGAAAAUUCCGGAUUUUUCUCCUCGCAUUGGGGAUUUAACCUAUAGUUAUUUCCCGAACCGGUAUAGGUUUGACAAUGAAGAUUUAAUCCAUAAAAGAUCAAUAGAAAUGGUAGUCAAGGUCCAUUAAUGGCUUAAGACACUAUGGGUCUUCACCUUGAAUCACUUUCCAAUGACUCGUACAUGAUAACUAAUGGACUAAUAUGGAUCUAGCAAUAAGCAUCCAUAAAGACCUGAAGCUUACCAUGUAUUGAUCAUUCAAAGUGAUUCUAAGGGGUUUAAAGUAAAACUUUGGAUUUAGAAGCCGUUUAUGAAUUCCAACUACCUGAAUUUAAUGCAUGGAAGCUUUCCACCUUUUCAUCUGGACUUUUCACCUAGCUUCCUUUACUCCAAGAAACCGAAAGUUUAGCCUCUCAUCCUCCGGGCAAACAUCCUUAGAGGUUGUUUGGCUUCCAAGAAAAGGAAAAUAAUAAAGAGCAAAGAGAACGAGAGAGCUCUGUAAAAUUCUCAGUGUAAAAACGUAAUACGUAUUCCAUAUAUUCCAAGAGAUGAUUUCCACCCCUUAUAAAGUCUUUACAAAAGCUAAAGCUUAUGAUUGGUUAAUUACAAGGAUAAUAAAGGAAAUUACAUCACAAAAUACAAAGGAAAAUAUCUAAAGUGGAGUCGGCAAAGGGCAGAGCAAAAUUCGCAACACGCAUAGGUUAUGCGAACCAUAUGCGAAUGUUAUGCGAAUUUCGCAUAACCUCUUGUGGAAUGCGAAAUUUUCGCAUAUGCUAGAGCAGUUGGCUUCCGAAGGCCAUAUCUUCCUCAUUUCAGCUCCAAAUCGUACAUGGUUUGAAGUGUUGGAUUCUUGACUUCCAGAGCUUUGAAAUGGUAUAUAGCAUGUAAAAAAUGGACUUCGGGAAUUGCUCCAAAAGUGUGAAAGAAGACUGCAGCUGCUACAUCUUGAUUUUUUUUCACUUUGCUUCUCUUUGCUUCUCUCCUUUGCUUGACUUGUCUUAAUGAUCCAAAAAGCUGUCAAAACAUUAAAACUAGCCACAAAUAUGAUUAGAAGACAUUGCUAGGUCCUUAACAUGCCAAUUGGACUAAAGAUGGAGAACUACUACACAAAAGUGCUUAAAACAUAAUGCAUUAAAGGUGUAAAAUAGCACUUUUUGGGUAGUAAUCACCUCCACAAGCUCUCUCAUGGCACAUUCGCAACAUGUUUUGUUGUCCAUCCUAUGGAACACAUCUCCGAAUAAUUUGAUUUGGACAAAACUUAUACAAAUAUGGAUCAUCCCAAGCAUAGUGUUUUGCUCAAGAAAGAAAAUACUUUUCAUCUCCAUGUUCCAUUCUGAGGGAAGCUCUCUAGUUGCCAAGUAGUUGACUAUAUUUGCAAACCAAGGAAACUUCUCCACUGCACAAAGUGCAUCAUCAAGAAACUCAUCAUUAAUCUAUGCUUCGUCAAAAAGUGACUCUACUUUAACUCAAGAGAGAUGAUCAGCAACCACAUUCUUUACCCCUUGCUUAUCCUUGAUUUGCAUGUUAAAUUCUUGAAGAAGAAGGAUCCAUAUGACAAGUCUUGUUUUGACAUCCUUUUUGUUGAGUACAUAUUUCAAGGCCGAAUAAUUAGUAAAAAUUACUAUUGAAGUUCCCAAAAGGUAGUUCCUGAAUUUAUCAAGUGCGAACACCACUGCAAGGAGCUCCUUUUUAGUAGUUGUGUAGUUCUUCUGAGCAUCAUUGAGGGUCUUACUAGCAUAGUACACCCUAUAUGGUUUUCCAUCCUCCCUUUGACCUAGUACGACUCUCACUGCAUAGUGACUGGCAUCACACAUCAACUCAAAUGGAAGAGACCAAUUGGGAGGUCUCACAAUUGCGGUAGUAGUGAGAAGUGACUUUAGUCUCUCAAAAGUUUCUUGACAUGCUUUAGUCCAUAUAAAUUCUGCAUCCUUAAGUAACAAAGCAUAAAGAGGUUGAGAGAUUUUUUAGAAGUCCUAUAUGAACCUUCUAUAAAAAUCUGCAUGCCCCAAAAAUAGUAUAAUUCACAUGUUUAUUUUAUUUUAAAAAUUAAUUGGAUAAUUAGUUUUGGUAUAAUUUUUGUUAAUUUUAUUUUAAAGAUUCUUUGUAUGAUUAAUUUGUAUAAUUUUUGUUAGUUUAAUUUUAAAAAUUCAUUAGAUGGUUAAUUUGUAUAAUUCAUAUGUUAGUUUUAUUUUAAAAAUUAAUUAGAUGAUUAGUUCAAGCAUAAUUUUUGUUAAUUUUAUUUAAAAAAUUCUUUGUAUGAUUAAUUUCUAUAAUUUUUCUUAGUUUUAUUUUAAUGAGAUUGAUUACCAGUUUAAGAUUUGGCUUUUUAAUCCUUCCUACUCCUUAUAGCUUUGUUUUGGGGCAAAUAAAGAUAAGGAAGACGAGGAUAACUAAUGAUCAAGAAUUACCAAGAAUCACUAGUAUCGGGUAAUAACCUACUGUAUCAUUCCCUAAACUAACUCACAAUGAUAGGAUUAAAAAAAAUGAUAAAUUGUCACCCAACCAAUAAUUAAUCUCAUUGUUAUAAUAAUUUACCCAUUGUCCCUAUAGGUUUCCUAGCCCUUAGGUUUUCAUGCUUUAAGCCCCAAGUUGGCUCUUAACCUCUCAUGGGGGUGAUGUCACAUUCACAAUCCAUAAUAUGGUAAAAAUCCAUAAUUUGAAUCAAAAUAACCUAAAACAACAUAUUUAAUAAAGAAGAGAAAGAAAACAAACCAAAGUUCUUAUCUUCUUCCACCUUCAAUGUCAAACUCCCUAGAAAAAAAAUCCAAGAUUCCUAAGACCUAGAACUAAGAGAGUUUAUAUAAGAUCAUCAAUUACCUAACAUGUGGCACACUCUCAUUGGCCACUUAUUACAAAAAUAAUUACCUAAAAGUGAUUAAAAAAAUUAAAUGGGGAUUUCUAGUCGUGUAGGGUCCACUUAGGGAGGAUGGAAUGCCCUAUAUGCAAUUCCCAAGGUAGAGGAGGCAAAACAUCAAAGUGGCAAUGGGUGCAUUCGAAAUUGGAGUCAUUUUGAUGUGGAUUUCGAAUUCAUAAGUUGAAUUUUGAAAUUAUUUCGAAAUGACCCUUAAGCUUUGUGUAGUUGUUUUCAAAUGGCCAUAACUUCUUCAUUUCAGCUCCAAUUUGCACAUUGUUUGAAGCAUUGGAAUCAUAACCUCCCAAGCUUUGAAAUAAUAUAUCGUUUAAAUAUAAAAUGAACUCUGAGAAAUGCUCCAAAUUUGUCCGCAAAGUUGGAGUAUAUAUUACCAUUAGAUUUUUGAGUUUUAAAUUUCCAUGUAGCUGAAUCUUGCUUCAUGCCUAAUUUCUUAUGUUUUCUUUCCUUCUUUCUUACUCGAUAAUGGUCAUUUCUCAUAUUCCAAACUCAUGAUAUCCUUAUCUUGCCUUUCCUCAUGGUCCAUGAGUCCUGACUCACUUAUUUCCUCAUUGAACCCUUUAUUAAUCUUUCAAAAUCUAAAGUGAUUUAACUUGCACCCUUUUCUUCCCUUGAAUCUGAGAUAAGUCUCCAAAGUACAAAUUAAACUCAUGACUAGGGCCUUAGCAUCGACUUAGGUCAGGUUGGGUGAUUUGAAUGUCCUUUGGUGCAUAUAUCAUAUUGAAUAUGUGCCAUUAUAGCACAUAUUUUGGCUCCAAUCAAGCUUACCUGCCAAAUUCUGCAUGCCAAACAUUGAGUGAUAGAAUGGAGUGGGUUGUCCGAAGAUUCAUUUGAGGCUCUAUAGUAUAUUUGUGAGAGCACACAGAUUAGAUGAUAUGUAGUUGGUUGCUCUCUUCCCUAUGUCAUUUAGUUGAGUAGCAUAGAGGUGGCUGGCCUCAAUUAAGCAUUCGAGACUCUACACUUGGGAGGAUGUGGCCUAUGAGUUUUUGACACUGUUUGCCUUUAGUGCCGAUAUUGAUUUUUUUUUUUUUUUUACCAAACAAAGCGUCGAGAAUGUUACUUAACCAUCCCUAUAGUAAAAGCAAAAUUUGUUGCUUUUAGUGCUGAUAAUGAUGUUUCUAGGCGAGAGUUAGAGGCUACUAAGUAGAGGCCAAAUGAAUCUGUUUCUUCAUUUAUUAGUCAUUAGAGGGCUAAGGUGGUUGGUAUGAUAGAUUGACUAAAGGAGUAAGAUAGGAUUAACGUGCUUCUUUGGAAACUUCAGCCGAGGUUUGCCAAACAUCUUGUAGGUAUUCCAUUUGAAGACUUAUGAAGUUUGGUUCAAGUCGCUUUUAGUGUUGAGGAGAGUAUUGCUAGAGGGUUAUAGAAAAACAUUAUUCCUUCCUUAGAUAAUAAAGGAAAGAAGCCUGUAGAGGUUAGCACUAUCAGUUAUCAUCAUCAAGGUCAGUUUAUCAAUCAUACCAAAGGUCUCCUACAAUCAGAGCCCACUUUCCUCAUCCUUUGUGCCAAUAUUAGUCCACCUAUAUUCAACAACCUUUCAUUACUCGGACCAGUAUGCAACCACGACUUCCAUAUCCUAGAGGCAUUGGUUCUCAAUCAUUACUCAUGUUCCCACUCAUAUUUUUUACACACGUGAUCUUUAUCGAAGAGGGACAUAUUUGUAGACCCUCCAUUCUAUCUCCUUAAUAGAUGCCCUAUUAAGUGUUCUUUCAAUACUCCACAAUGGUUCCCUAGUGGCUCUUUGCUGCCCAUAUAGCCUACCUAUUUUAGCCACCUUGGAGGCUUUGGUUAAGGAAUUUAUUUGACCCCUUAUUUUGACCCUUGGCAGAAUCGAGUUAGAUUUAGGUUUUUCUUUUUUCUUUUUAGGAUAGUUCCUUUAAGUACAUUUCUAGGAUAGAAUACUUAGGCAUCAUUUUUCGAUCACCUUGGCCCAUUUAGACACUUUUGGCCAAUUUAGGCACAUCCGACCCAUUUAGGAUCACCCUAACCCAUUUAGAUACAUCUGGCCUAUUGAGAUCACCUUGACCGAUUCAGACACUUAGGUACAUCUAACUCAUUUAGGUCACCUUGGCCCAUUUAGACACACAUAGGCCCAUUUAGGCGCAUCCGACUCAUAUAGGAUCACCCUAGCCUAUUUAGACACAGCCAACCUAUUUAGGAUGACCUUGUCUCAUUUAGACACAUUUGUCCUAUUUAGGAUUACCUAGACCCAUUUAGGCACAUUCAACCCAUUUUGGUCAUCCUAGCCCAUUUAGACCACUUAGGCCCAUUUAGGCACAUUAGGCACAUUGGACCCAUUUAGGAUUACCCUGGCCUACUUAGGCACGCCUUAACCCAUUUAGGUCACUUGGCCCAUCUAGGCACAUUUGGCCCAUUUAGGAUGACCUAUGCCAAUUUAGGCACAUUCAACCCAUUUAGGUUGCCUUGGCCCAUUUAGAAACACCCAAGCCUAUUUAGGUCACUUAGGCCCAUUUAGGCACACCUUGGCCUAUUUAGGUCACUUAGGUCCAUUUAGGCGCAUUCGACCCAUUUUGGAUCAACCUGACCCAUUUAGGUAUAUUUGGCCCAUUUAGGAUCAUCGUGGCUCAUUUAAACACACCCUGGCCCAUUUAGGUCAUUUAGGUCCACUUAAGAACACAUUAACCCAUUUAGGUCACUUAGGCCCAUUUGACCCAUUUAGGAUCACCCCCAGCCCAUUUAGACAUACCCAAGCCCAUUGAGGUGACUUAGGUCAAUUUAGGCACAUUUGGUCCAUUUAGACACUUUGGGCCCAUUUAGGAUCAUCUAGGCCCAUUUAGGCACAUCCAACCCAUUUAAGAUCACCCUAGCCCAUUUAGACACAUUCGACCCAUUUAGGAUCGUCUUGGCCUAUUGUAGCACAUUUGGCCCAUUUAUGAUCACCAUGGCACAUUGGGCCCAUUUAGGGUCACUUAAGCCCAUCUAGGCACACCCUAAGCCCAUUUAGGUCACCCGUUGUUUCACUUCUUAUUGCAUGGUUUGCGUGAUUGCAUUGUUGAACUUCCUUGCAUGGCUUGCAUGACACUUUGUUUUUUUUUUUUGUUAUUAUUAAUUACUUCUUUAUUUUUAUUUAUUAUCUUUCUAUUUAUUUAUUUAUUAUUUACUUAUUUAUCUAUUAUUAUUUCAGCAUUUUCUAAAUUAUUUUUAAAUACUAUUCAUUUGUUCAAUCUAAUUUUAUUUUUGUGUUUUUGUAGGGAAAUUUACCAAAGAGAGAGCCAACGGAGAUGGAAAGUAAGAAUCACCAAAAUGAAAAAGGAAGAUAAUGGCGAAAGAGAGUAAUACUUACCAAAAAGAGAGGGGAUUGUGAGUUGCAUUAUAAAAGUAUGGAGAACACAAUUUGGGAAGUUUAUCAAAGAGAGAGCCAAUGGAGGUGUAAAACAAGAAUUACCAAAGUGAAAAAGGAAGACAAAGCGACAGAUAGUAAAACUUACCAAGAGAAGAGGGGAUUGAGGGUUGCAUUAUGAAAAUAUGGAGAACAUGUUUUGGUACUGAGAAAUUCAACACAUGGAGAAGGUUUUGGAGUAAGGAGAGGAAGGAUUUCGUCAAGGUGGAAUUUUAAGAAAAAAGGAUAUUCAAUGUGGUAGGAAGGAAUGUUUAGCAUAUUAAGGAAGAAUGUGGGGAUAGGUAGGGGGGAAGAAGAAUAAUUGCAAUUUGUUUUUUUUUUUUUGGUAGAGAGAACACUUUGGCAAAUUUUUGGGAGGUUCAACGUGCAUGUACAAUAAGAUCUCUUGAAAGAGCACGUAUAGAAGAGGGCACAAAUUUUUUUAGGAGACAAUUAGUUGCAUCUUAAAAGGGAAUUGAAGGUAAAUAUUGAUGAUGAUAUUGAUUUUAUUAGUUUCGAAAAUAUUGAUAUUAGUUUCAUGAAUAUGGAUGUUUUAGUUUAGAUAGAUAUUGAUGUUUUAGUUUUGAAAAUAUUGAUGUUUGCUAAGAUGUUUUGAUUUGGAUAAAUUUUGACAUUUUAGUUUUGAUAAAUAUUGAAGUCUUGGAUGUAUUUGCAUGUUGGUUAUAUUAAAAAAAAAAAAAAUUCCAAAAGUUUAGUUUUCAUGAAAUUGAUUGUUAGUUAUUUCUAUAAAAAAUAAAAAUAAAAAUAAAAAUAAACAUAAAUCUUGGAAUGUAAUUUUGAUUAAAUUAAUUGUUAGUUGUUUUUUUUUUAAAAAAAAUAUAUAUAUAAAUUCUUGGAAUGUUCAUUUGAAUAUUUUUUUGUUAAUUUUGUUUUAAAAAUUUAUUGGAUGAUUAGUUUGGGUAUAAUUUGUAUGUUAAUUUUAUUUUAAAAUUUCAUUGGAUGAGUAAUUUGUAUAAUUUACAUGUUAGUUUUAUUUUAAAAAUUCAUUGGAUGAUUAAUUUGUAUAAUUCACAUGUUAGUUUUAUUUUAAAAAUUAAUUGGAUGAUUAGUUCAAGUAUAAUUUUUGUUUGUUUUAUUUAAAAAAUUAAUUUGAUAAUUAGUUGAAGUACAAUUUUUGUUAGUUUUAUUUUAAAAAUUCAUUGGAUGAUUAAUUUGAAUAAUUUUUAAAUUAAUUUUAUUUUUCUAAAUUCAUUGGAUGAUUAGUUCGGGUAUAAUUAGCUUGUUUAUUAUAUUUUAAAAUUUUAUUAGAUGAUUAAUUUGUAUAAUUCACAUGUUUGUUUUAUUUUAAAAAUUAAUUGGAUGAUUAGUUUUGGUAUAAUUCUUGUUAAUUUUAUUUUAAAGAUUCUUUGUAUGAUUAAUUUGUAUAAUUUUUGUUAGUUUAAUUUUAAAUAUUCAUUAGAUGAUUAAUUUGUAUAAUUCGCAUGUUAGUUUUAUUUUAAAAAUUAAUUAGAUGAUUAGUUCAAGUGUAAUUUUUGUUAAUUUUAUUUUAAAAAUUCUUUGUAUGAUUAAUUUGUAUAAUUUUUCUUAGUUUUAUUUUAAAAAUCAAUUGGAUGAUUAAUUUGGGUAUAAUUUUUGUUAAUAUUUUUAGAAAUUAAUUGGAUGAUUAAUUUGUAUAAUUUACAUGUUAAUUUAAUUUUAAAAAUUCAGUGGAUAUUUAAUUCAUAUAAUUUGCAUGUUAGUUUUAUUUUAAAAAUCCAUUAGAUGAUUAAUUUGUAUAAUUCACAUGUUAUUUUUAUGGGAUGAUUAGUUUGGUUAUAAUUCACAUGCUGGUAUUAAUUUAAAAAUUCAUUGGAUGAUUAUUUUGAGCAUAAUUUUUGUAAAUUUUAUUGGAUGAUUGGUUUGUAUAAUUUUAAUGUUAGUAGAGUUUAAAAUUUUAUUGAAUGAUUGCUAGGUUAAAUUCCCAUGUUGAAUGUGUUUUAAAAACUCGUUAAAAAAAUUAAAUAAAAAUUCUUUGAAUGUUUAUUAGGUUAAAUUCUCAUGUGGGCAUUAUUAUUAUUAUUAUUAUUUCAAAGAUAAAAAAACAAAAAAAUCAUUUAAUGCCAUAUUUGGUUGAAUUUUCAUGUCAAUAGUUUUUUUUUAUUAAAAAAAAAAUUGUUGAAGUUUGUUAGUUUAAACGUUUAUGUUAAUAUAUUUUUAAAAUUCAUAGGAUGUUGUUGGCAUAAUUCUUAGUUGCCCUUAUCUUGAUACUUAUUGUGUUUGUUCCUUGAAGAAUUCUUAUAUUUGAUUUAAAAAAAAAAUCGAAUUGAAAAUUACUUUUUGAAAAAAAAAAAAGGAGAAAAGAAAAAAAUUGAAUUUUUUCCAUAUUGAACGAGGCUUCUUGAUUUCAAAUGGAAGACAAUAAAAAAGAAAUAAAAAUCCUUAUUGUGUAUAUAUUGUUUGAGGUUUACUAAUUCACUUGAUCCUUUUUUUCUUCUUUGAAAAAGAAAAAACCAUCUUCAAAAGUAUUUAAACCGUCAAAAGGAUUUGGAAACAAAUACUCAUUCUAGGUUUAAGGACCAUAUUUUAUUUUCAAAUCAUGCAUUCUACUAUUUUAUUUUCAUCUAAGCUGCAUUCUACUUUUUUUUUUUUCUUCCAAAAUGUUGUUUUUUAUUCCACAUAGAUUUGAAUGUAUUAGAUAAUUUUGAAGAUGGCCACCUAACACAUGCGACCCAUCUCUAAAACCUUUCUAAAAUAAGAAAGUCAUCCAAGAAAAUAAAAAUAAUAUAAGAAAAAGGCAAAGUUGUUGCCUUUUUUUUUUUUUUUUUUUUUUUUUUGGGCCUGUAUUUAUUUAUUAAUUUAUUUUUGUCAAUCUCCUACAAGAUCAUAUCCCACUUACCCCCUUACGCAGCAAGAAGAGCGCGUGGGACACCCACUUCGACCCCACAACUUUAUGAUGAAUCUGAACCCUGUGGACAAUAAUACCACGUGCAUACGAGCCUGUAACACUCAUUUAUGGGUUUAAAUUCAUUCAAAUGAGUCAGUAGUAAAAGCUAUGAAAUAGAUCGAACCCCACCUUCUUUUUCGUUUUUAAAUUUUCUGGGGUCCCUCAGUUACUUUACAGAAGGUGGCAGAGAAAGAGAGAGAGAGAGGAGUUAUUAGAGUUACAGACGAACAAUCACUUUCAAUGCUGUUGUCUUCUUGUUGUAAGGGUAAAAUAAGAGGCAAACAAAUUAAUGAAUUCAUUAUCUUACCUUUCUAUUCAAAUGCCUUCCAAGAAAUGUUUUGAGAGCUUUGAGUUUAGUCUAUAAUAAUGGUAGUAUAUUUCAAUGAAUAUGCGUUCUAGAAAAAUAUAUACCUUUAGCAUAUACCAAGAUAUCCUAGGGUUUCAAGUCGUGUUACAACGGGGAAGUAAUAACCAAUCAAAACACAUGACUUUGUUUUCUAAAAAAUCACUCUUCUUGGAAAACAUGCAAGGAACUUAAGCAUCAUAAGUUAAGCAAUCCUAGAUGGAUGUUCGAGUAUCCAGCUCUUUUCUUUAAUCCUAGAUGGAGAGAGACAACAUCUGCUCUCUCUCCAGCAUGCAAGUGUGCGUCCUAGGCAGCUCUUUUGUGCUUUAAAUGAAUUGAAUACUUGAUCUUAUUCUGCCAUUGUUUUGGCUCAAACCUAGGAAGUAUAUUUACCCUGACUUCUUUUCAUGUCUUCAACUUACUUAAAGGCUCACAAGUCCCAUUGGAAGCAAGCAGUUAAGGAUUUUUGAACUAAAAUGAUCAAACAUAGUCUUGCUUUACUAGUAGGUUAUACUCUUUUCAACAGUUUAAAUUGCUUUUGUUGAUAGAUUAUAUGGAUGUUUUAACACUCCAAGAAAUUGGAAUGAAGCAAAAUAUGAAGAAAGAAGAAAUGACUGUCAAUGGAUAUAUUUAUUCUCUUUUAUUUCUAUUGAUACUAAAAUUUUUAGGGAUAAAGGAAUUGUUACUGUUGUCCAAAUAUUUAAAAUUCAUCUGGAUCUGCAAGAAACCUGCAAGGGAAUAUUUUCUUAGAAAUAAUGGUUUAAAUAAGGAAAAGAAAAUAUAUAGAUGAAUUGACUGAAGGUUGCAGACAAGGGACCAACGACCAGGUAAUGGAAGACUGGAGAAAGGGAUUCAUCGGUUUGAUUUUUCUCCCAGCUGGCCCAGUUGUUUAUUUCAAAGUGCAGUUUAGAACAACUUUCAACAUUUGAAUAAGGAAAAGAAAAUAUAUAGAUGAAUUGACUGAUUCAAAGGGCAUAUUACAGUCAGUCUGUGCGUAACAGGGCGGGUGACUUCAAAUGGAUACACUGAGGUCUAUCUGUGCGUGUUAGGCAUUCAUGAACCUGUUUUCUUCGGUCAAAGAGCUGCCAAUACAAGGAAAAAAAAAAUGGCGAAAAUUAAGUAAAGUAUGACUUCUGGAAGAUUUAUCGCCUUCGUAAAUGAAGUGAGAGUUUUGACCGAAUUGAAGUAAAAAAAUUAAAUGCAAAACUUCCACUAAAGCUUGGCAUCAUUUUUCAAGGUUCUUUGUCAAUCCCUCAUUCUCCAGAACCAUGGGAUUGGUAGAGAAACUCAUUCUUCUCAACCAUGGCUCUUAACCAAUGGUUAAUUACCUUGCAACAAUGCAUGAUAUUAUUGAUGAAUUGGACCUUCUUAGAGAAGCCAUUCCAAAUUAAUAACUCAUCACUUACACAUGCAAACGUGUCGCCCCGAAUUCAAUGAAUUGUUGUUAUAUGCACACGAGAUACUAUGAUCACAUUUGAUGAGUUUCAUGACAAAUUAGUCGAAUAUGAAGCCUUCCUCAUGUAGCUUAAAACCAAAUAUGUCAUCAAAGAAGAUAGCAAUAAUCACCCCCACACAAUGAUAUCUAUUAUAAUACAUUAGCUGUAUCGAACACAAAUUUCCUUCAAUAUGUGUCUCAAUAUUAAAGUCCACGUAGAAUCAGGUGUGCACCAUAUUGGGGUUGGAUAGUUAUAAGACUGAAAGGAGCAUGAGCAUAGGAUGGCGAAAGUUCAAAUGAGAAGCGUUGUAAGAUCAUUGCCAAAGCUGUUUUUGCCUCCAUCAUUGCAAAAUUUUGUCCAAUGCACACCCGAGGACCCCAACCGAAUGGUAAAAAUGAAACUUGGUUUUUUGUUGCCUUUGAAACUCCUUCAGCAAACCUCUCUGGAUUAAACUCCUUUGCAUCGUCUCCCCAAAUUUCAUGAUCAUGGUGAACUAGGAUGGUGGGCAAAGAGACCUGCACUCCGGCUGGAAAAUACAUGUCUCCCACUUGAGUGUCCUUAGAAACCAUUCUGGUAAGCACUGUUACUGGUGGAUAUAACCUAAGAACCUCAUGAAAAAUCAUGGUAACCUGUGGUAGAGAAACUUUAGAAGUUGUAGCAUGAAAAUUGUUACUGAAAUACAUCUUAAAUCCUUAUGAAGGACACUGACGGAUAAAGGAAUUGUUUAAAAUAGUAAUGCAGAAGAGAUAUUGGUCUAAAUCAUGCAUGGCAUGAUGUCAAGUAUACAAAGGAUAUAAUAAUUUUAGAACCUCAUGAAAAAUCAUCAUAAUCUAGAGAAAUUUCAAGUCAUGGCAUGAGAAUCCAUUCCUGAACUAUAAGUAAAUGAAAGAAAAUGUUCAGUACAAGAUAAAAAAAAUAAAAAAAAAGUUAUGCGUUUUCAUUUUUACUCCAUUUAUUUUUCUCUUUUUUUUUUUCCUUUUGUGUGUGUGUGUGUGAGGGUGGGGGUGGUGGGUGGAAUAGAGUGGACUGAGUACUCACAAUUUUUAGGUGGUUUAAGCCAUCAUUUUCAGGUUUGUUAUUCCCAAAAACCUGUAAAACCUCUUCUCUUGCACGAGCUUGCCAGUCUGUAUGUUGGCUUAGCAGGACCAUUGUCCAUAAAAGCAAAACUGAGGUUGUCUCUUGGCCAGCAAGAUAGAAUAGCUUACAUUCAUCAAUGACAUCUUUGGCACUCAUUCCAAUCUUCGUGUUAUUUUGAUGUUCUUGAAUUUCUCUAAAAUUGGAUUCCAUUAAUAUACCUAAUAAGUCACUAUUAGCAGUUUCGCCAGCCUCCAUUGCCUUCUCCCUUUUGUUGAUGAUGCCCCCCAACAAUGCAUGUACUUCUUUGCUUAUUUGCUUCAUCCUCUUGUUCGUCUUUGUGGGAAAAAACCUGCAACUUAGUAAUUCCAGUAAAUAAAAGAUCACAUGAAGAACACUGACAUUAAUUUUUUGAAGCUUGUAUAACACUUCAUAGGCAGAAACUAUCAGACAAUAACUAAUGGUUUCAUCUACACAUGUAUUGCGGUGGCAUCUUAUCAUCUUGGCACAAUAUCUGGCCAACACAAGGCAUGGGGAUGCUAGACCUCAAUUUAUGAAACACACUACUUUCUAAGUGCUACACAGAAAGAACAGAAAGAACAGUCCUAGUAAAUGAAGUAUAAAGGCAUGAAAACAUAAAAUUGUCCAGGUAAAUGAAGACAUGCAAUGAAGAAGAAAACUAUUGCAGGCUACACAAAUCACAACCACAUAAAUCAACCACCCACCCAUUUUCAAACUUCCAGCUCUCAUGCACUGGCACAGUUCGGUCCUCUUAAAGAUUAAAGUAGGCAUCUAAAAUUUUAUUGGUUUCAAGGAAGAGAACCUUUUUAUUCUAAAUAUUUAAUAGUAGAUUCCUUUCUUAGCUUACCAGUAUAUAUAUAAAUUACUCAGGACCUUAAGAAGUUGAUAUUAUAAUUUAAACAAUGUUAUAUCAUGUGUAUUAGGAGAGAACCAAUCUCACCCACAAAUAAAGAGCACUCAAUUGUCAAUUCUUAAGUUUAUGACUAAUAUAUGUAUACUUAUAUAGUUUAUGUAUCUUUUGGAAAGUCAUGUGUAUAUUUAAAAGAUUAUAGUGUACACCAAUAAUAAUAUACCUGCACCAUUCAUCUAUGCACCUCCUAGAGCUCCCAUGAGUUCUUUUUUUCUCCUUCAUCCUACGUUUCACCAUGGCUGAAGCAAGCUCAACCAGGCUAUCCCACCUUCCCUUACCUAUCAAUACCACCAUGAACCUUAACAAUCUCAUUGCCAUCAACACAAUUAGCUAGCCAACUUCUACUCAAGCUCAUCCUCACUAACUAUUACUCAUGGAAAACAUAGUUUGGUGCACUGCUCUUUGGAUAUGACCUACUUGGCUACAUUGACGAAAUAAAGCAAGGACAAACAAAUCUCAAUCCUAACUAUACUUUUUGGACAAGUAGGACAAACUUCUUCUUCUAGGGAUCAUCGGCUCUCUCAGCCACAAAGUCGUACCUGUGGUUCAUUCAUGCAAAACUUCCACUAAAGCUUGGCAUCAUUUUUCAAAGCUAUGUCAAUCCCUCAUUCUCCAGAACCAUGGGAUUGGUAGAGCAACUCAUUCUUCUCAACCAUGGCUCUUAACCAAUGAUUAAUUACCUUGCAACAAUCCAUGAUAUUAUUGAUGAAUUGGACCUUCUUAGAGAAGCCAUUCCAAACCAAUAACUCAUCACUUACGCAUGCAAACGUGUCACCCCCGAAUUCAAUGAAUUGUUGUUGUUAUAUGCACACGAGAUACUAUGAUCACAUUUGAUGAGCUGCAUGACAAAUUAGUGGAAUAUGAAGCCUUCCUCAUGUAGGAAGAGCUUCGCUCCACUAGCAAUCUUGGUACCAUUAAAGUCAACAAUACACAAUUUUCAUCUUCCCAUUGUGACAAAAACGCUAGCCAAAAAUAUUUCCCUAGUAGGAAAGGAUACCAAGGCCAGCGUCCUCCUCAUUUUGGGAAUCAACACCCCAGCAAGAAAGCCACUAUGAUUUGCCAAUUCUCUGAGAAGAAAGGUCAUACUGCUUGCUAGUGUUACAUUUCUAAGAAAUUGUUCCUUUCAUCCACACCUACUACUAGUCCAAUUAUCCCCACAAACAACUCCUUAACCAAUUGGUUCGUAGAUAUCAGUGCCUCACAUCUUGUUACAUUUUAUCUUAACAACUUGUCUCUCUGCCAACCAAUGAAUCUUGUCAUUAAUAUUUUUCACAUUUCCUAUACUUGGAGGGUUGUUCCAAGAUUAAAUAAAGUAUUUUCCCAUGCUAGUCUAAAUAUAGUCUUUUCCUUUUCUUGGAGGGUUGUUCCAAGAUUAAAUAUGCUCAGUUUCAGAAUUGAGAGGACUUUUUCAUAUUGCUAAGAAAAAAACUUGUGAGUUUGAUUUUUCUAUCAAAGGUUUAUCUCUAAGGUGGAUUCCUCUGAGUGGUGAGCUUAAUUGUGAGUUCUUAUCUGUAAGGUGAUGAAUUUCUUAUCCUUAAAAGUGGUGAACUUGUGUUAUUAGCUCAUCAUUUUAUUUCCUUAAAACGGUAUCAUUUUGUGUUGGAAAAUGUAGUUACAAGCUUCCUUCAAGUUUCUCAUGUAUCAACCCACAAUCAACUUGUAGAUAUACUCAACAAACCAUUGCCCAAGUCCCACUUUACAUUCUUUCAGUCCAAGAUUGGCGUUUUUUAUGGAAGCACCAUCUUGCAAGGGCAUAUUAGGAGAGAACCAAUCUCACCCACAAAUUAAGAGCACUCAAUGGUGAAUUCUUAAGUUUAGGAGUAAUAGAUGUAUAGCCUUGUAUAGCUGUUGUAUCUUUUGGAAAGUCAUGUGUAUAAGAUUGUAGUGUACACCAAUACUAAUAUACUUUCACCAUUCAUCUAUUUACCUCUUUAAUGUGGAAUGACAACUGCACCAAAAGAUACUUUGGUGCCUAUACAUCCAUUAGUUUUUCAAUUAAACUGUUGAACAAAUGCCAUGAAUUGAGGUACUUUUGAGAGAUAAGAAAGCUCUUACCUUCAUCAAUUAAGCAAUGAAUGAAGGUACUUUUGAGAAGAUUUUCAGUGCAACCAUAACCAAGGAAGUAUGAGAGAUAUUACAUUUUAAGUACACAUAACAAAGUUAACAAUACACAAAAGGUUAAUCUUCAAACUCUUAAAAGAGAAUUUGAAAGUUUGAGUGUGAAAAAAAAAAUUGAAUUAAUCUCUAAUUAUUUUUCUAGAGUAUUAGAUGUUGUGAGUUUACAAUAAAAAUAUGUCAAAAGUUUGAAUGAUAGUUAUGUGGUAAAAAAAUAUGUUUAAUCUUUAGAUUCCAAAUAAGUUUAACUAAAUUGUUGUUGUCAUUGAAGAAUCUAAACAUUUAGAUUCUAUGACCAUUGAUAAACUCAUGAGACCACUAUAAGCUCAUAAAAAGAGAUUAAAAAGAAAUAACUAAGAAAAAUUGCAGCUUUUUUAAGCAAAUUAAACUUACACUAAAGGAGAAUGAUGAAAACAUUAGUUAAAGAAGUCAAAACAAUCAUGGAUAUGUCGAAGACGUGGUCAUAGACAUGGCUAAGACAAUAGAAGAAGAGAUAAGUUUAAUUUAUCAAACAAUGAAAUAACAAGUCAAAAUUCACAUUCCUUAGGAGGACAUGAAAGAUGACACAACUUAAGGCACAGUAAAAGAAGAGGAUAUGAUAAAUUUCAAAUUGAAUGUUAUAAUUAUAAAAAAAUAUGGUCAUGAUGCUUAUGAAUAUAGAAAUGCUACAAACAAUAUGAAAAGACACCUCCAAGGUACUAAAAAUAAAGAUCAAGAAGAACCAACCUUAUUAUUGGCAUAUAAAGGAGAAAGCUAGGAGAAAAUUACAUGGUAUCUUAACCUCUAAGUAAAAUCAUAUGUGUGGAUUCAAAAAUGUGUUUGUAGAGCUUAAUGAAUUUGAAAGUGGCAAUUUUGCCUUUGGGGCUACAUGUAAAAUUCCAAUAAAAAGAAGAGGUAAAAUCUUGAUUCAUAUGAAAAUGGAAGGCAUAUUUCAAAUGUCUACUAUGGUGUAACAUGGAAAACAAUAUAUUAAGUUUAGGUCAACUCUUAUAAAAGGGCUAUGAUAUUUAUCUCAAAAAUAAAAGUGUCUUAAUAAGAUACUAACAUGCCAAUAUAAUUGGUAAUGUGCCCAUGAUAUAAUGUUUUUGAAUAACAUUCAAAAUAAUAUUGUAAAAUGCCUAAAAUCUCAUGUCAAUAAUUCCUCUUGAAUUUGACACUUAUGAUUUGAACAUCUUAAUUUUAGAGGAUUGAAAUUGUUAAGCAUGAAAAACAAUGAAAUAAUUGUUCUUUAAUAAUUUGUGUCAAUUGUGUGAAAGAUGUUUACUCAGAAAAUAUGUCUAAAAAAGUUUUCCAAAGGAAGAAACAACAAGAGAAGAAGCUUUCAGUGCUCAUUAAUGUGGAUAAUCCAGUUUUAAUUUUUAUGGGUGAUUCUAGUAAAAAAUAAAAAAUAAAAAAAUUUGGUUGUAUCUUUAGCUCAAAAAUUUGUUGAAGAAACUUAAUUUACCACAAGAGAAACCAAUAAACAUCUAUAUGAAUAUAAAAUUGGUGAUUGCCUUAGAAAAGAUAUCUAGUUCUCCAUGAUUGAAGCAAGUAUAUUAAUACAAAAUAUCAUUUAUUAGAAAGUAUAUUAUGAAACAUGAAGUACACAUAAAAUUUGCAAAAUCUCAUAAUCAAAAUUUGAAAAUGCUUAUAGAGCCUCUCAAGUUUAAAGAUUUUAGAUAGCUAAGGAUGCUACUUUUACAAAUCAAGUUGAAAAGGGCAUGUAAGUUUAACUAUAUUUAGAAAGUUUCUAAAAAUUAGAAUUUGAGUCUUUCUAAAUAUUAAUUAAAAUAUUUUAUAUUAAAAGGUUGAUUUAGUUUCACCCUUAGAAUCUAAGCCUUUCAAAGUGCCAAUAGUUGUUAGUUGUAGAUAAGGCUUUCCUUUUUACAGCUCUGGGUUCUAAUCUAUAUAACCUCCUAAUGGUACAAAGUGCACCUUUUUCAUAGAGGCAAGUAGUAACCUAUUGUUAGCCCCUUGAAAUGGACUAUGAGGCACUAAGGCCUCAUGGGGCAAUAGCUUCACAUCAUGAGUAACCUAUGAUGGCAAUAAGGUGGCACAGGGGUACAAUUCCUUGUGCAAGGAGAUGGCUUGGUGAGCCAUGGGCGUAAUGCCAUGAUAGGUACAACACUAAAAGAGACUUAGAUGAGCAUAUUGUUGUGGUGACUUAGAUGAAAUACAUGAGGGUGCAAUGCCUUGUGCAUGGGGAGUCAUAGGUGCAAUGCCAUGACAUGUUGCCAGACCAAGAAGAGGGUUUGGGCAAAGCAUAGAGUCACAACAUCAACAAGGUGAAUGUCGGAGCAUGUUGCCUCAACAUGGAUGCAAUCUAGAUGUGUAGGCCAAAAGAGAACUUAACAUGCACAUGAGCCAUUUAUAUAGAUUCCUACAACAACAACAUUCAAAGUUGGACUCGAAGUAGGAUUGCAAGUCAAGCAUGAGUAGGAGUCUUGAUGUGAAUUGUAAUUGUAGUAUGAUUAGGACUAGGACUUAGAGUCUACGUAAGAGUGUUUAUUUCCAUAACCUAUUAAGAAAAGUCCUUAUAUAACUAGGAGUAAAACUCCUAGUCUAACAGAGAGCAGGUGGUGCCACUCUAUAAAUAGGGAGGGUUGGAUAGACUUUAGAGAGAGAUCAAGAGGAAGCCUGAACUACCAAAAGUAUUGUGGAAGUGUAGCUAAAGUCUUGUAUUCUUAUUCAAUAAGUUAAUAAAAUAUAAUUUAGGGUUGAUGCCCUAUAAAUCUUGUGUAUUGCCUUGCGUGUUGUCAUCUAGUGGGGAAAGGUGUAGGUUAGCUUAGAGAGCUUCUAAGUAUUUGCAUAGAUGUGAAAGUUUAUGUGGGAAUUUUGCACCUAUGACAAUUGGUAUCAGAGACUAACAAGCAAAUGGUUGGGGGAAGUACUAUAGAGACCUUAAGAGAAAGGAGCUCAAGACUAGAAGAAUUGUUAGGGGAAUAACAAGGUGAUAAGUUGGUUGGCUUGAGAAUCCUUGAAACAAUUGAAGCACACUAGUUCAACAUAGGAGUAUAUCGAGGAAUUUAGUUCCUUAAUGCUCGACAUAAAAAAUAUGUCCAAUGAGGACAAAUUGUUCAACUUCAUGUUUGGAUUGUAGGGAUGGGCCUAAAUUGAGUCACAAAGAUAAUGGGUGUGAGAUCUUUCUAUUAUAAUCAUUGCAACAGAUUGUUUGGUAGUCUAUAAGUUGAAUGGUGUGAACUCUACAAAUCAGAAACCUAAACUAGAUGGAGCAAAGAAACCUAAUAAAGAGGGGAAAUCUUCUAAGAAGUCAUAUGAGAAGAAUUUGAAAAAGCCUGCAGCAUCGUAAUCGAAUGAAAAAACUACUAAGUAUGGGUAGCAAACAACCAAACCCAUGGGUUGAUUCAUUUGCAUGGCCCUCACUGUGCUAAGAAGUGUCCAAAAUGGGAAAAACUAUCAGCCCUUAUGGCUACUAAAAGUAGUGGUGAUUCUGACAUGGAUACACCUUUAAGAGUUAAUCCUUCAUAGCUCUUGAACAUAAUCCACGCAAAUGCACUAAUUCAAAAAGGGUUGAUUCAUGUCCAAGUGCUAGUAAAUGGCAUGUAGGUAAAACCAAUGAUGGACAGAAGGGCAACCCAUAAUUUUGUGGCUAGUAAGAAGCCAAGAAGCUCAGUUUGGAACUAGAACAAUACACUAUUAAGAUCAAGGCAAUAAAUAGCAAAGCCCAACAAAUUAAUGACAUUACCAAAAAAGUCUCACUCUAAGUCGGAAAUUGAGAAGGCAACUAUAGCUUGCUAUGUGUACCCUUAAACGAUUUUGAUUUGAUCUUAGGGAUCGACUUUUUCCUUAAGGCUAAGCCGGCAUUGCUCCCAUACCUUGGUAGGUUAAUGAUCAUGGAUGAGAGUCAACCUUGGUUAUUUUUUCUAUAAAGGAAAAAGUCAUAGAGAAAGGUCAAACCAAGAUGGUUUCUACGCUUCAAAUAAAGAAAGGGUUGAAGUGUGGGAAUGUCACGUAUAUUAUAACCUUGGUUGAGAACAAAGCAGAUCAUUCAAUGGAGGUGCCACAUAGUGUAGCCCAUAAUAAAAAAGAAUUUAAAGAUGUGAUGCCUACAAAAAAACCCAAGGAGUUGCCUCCUAAGCACCAUAUAGACCAUAAAAUUGAGUUGCCACCUAGGACCAAACUUCCUACUGAUCAGGUCUCAUAUUGGAUGUCACCUUCGAAUUACUUGGGUUAAGGAAGUAAUUGAAGAAACUGUUGGAUGCAGGCAUGAUCCAAUCUUCAUGGGUUCCCUAUGGUACUCCUAUUCCAAAAGAAGGAAGAUGGGACCCUAUAGAUGUGUGUUAAUUAUUGGGCCUUGAACAAAGUAACGAUCAAGAACAAGUAUCCAAUCUCCUUAGUGGUAGAAUUAUUUAAUAAAUUGGCCAAGGCAAAGUUUUUCUCCAAAUUGGACUAGUGGUUAGGAUACUAGCAAGUAAGGAUUUUAGAGGGGAACGAAAAAAAGACUACAUGUGUAACCCGCUAUGGGUCAUAUCAGUUCCUCAUGAUGCCAUUCAAACUAACUAAUGCCUCAAUAACAUUCUACAACCUAAUGAAUGAUAUGCCAUACGAGUUCCUAGAUGCCUUUGUUAUGGUUUGCUUCAAUGCAUUAUUGUUUAUAGCAAGACCUUAGAAGAGCACGUGAAUCACUUGAGACUAGUGUUUCAAAGACUAAGAGAACAUGAAAUCUACGUGAAGAGAGAGAAGUGUGAGUUUGCACAAAGGCAUAUUACCUUUCUAGGAUGUAAGAUAGAGGAAGGGUUGAUCGAGAUGGAUGAAGUGAAGGUCCAGGCCAUUAAAGAUUGGCAUGCUCUAAGCAAGGUGACACUGGCAAACUACUAUUGAAGGUACAUAAGGGGUUACUUCAAGAUAGUGGCUCCCUUUACUAACCUUCUAAAGAAGGAUAUUUGCUAGGAUUGGGGGUUUGAAUGCUAGAAAGCUUUUGACAAGUUGAAAGUGGUGAUUUUAGUUAAAUUGGUGCUACAUUUACUAGAUUUGGAUAUCCUAUUUGAGGCCCAAACAAAUGCAUCAACUAAGGCCUUGAACUUGGUGCAAGAAAGGCACCCAAUAGCCUUUGAGAGUCAAAAACCUAAUGAGUUAGAACAAAGAUACUCCACUCACGAGAAAGAGAUGACAACGAUUAUCCAUUGCUUAUAGUAGUGGAAGCAUUAUCUAUUGGGGAGUAUAUUUACUAUAGAUGGUCACAGACAACAUAGUUAAUACCUUUUUCAAGAUGCAGAAGGAGUUGAGCCCUAAGCAAGCUAGGUGGCAAGAAUUCCUUGGCGACUUCAAGUUUGAAUGGUUGUAUUGACGAAAAAGACAUAAUGUAGUUGUAAAUGCCUUGAACCAAAAGGAAUUAACAGAGUAUGUAAUCACUCAAUCACAUAUGAUUUCAUAUUUUAAUGAGAAGAUCAAGCAAGCUGCUAAGCUUGAUUCUACUUAUGAGAAUAUGAAACAACAAUUCAAAGAGGGGGCUACUAAAAAUUUUUGGCUAGAAGAUGACCUCUUGGUGGCUAAAAGAGGUAGGCUAUAUGUACCAAGAAGUUGCUUACAUAAGGAGUUGCUAAGAGUGGCCUAUGAUGUCAAGUAGACAGGUCACCCUAGCAAAGAGAUGACAUCAAUAGUAUUGUCCAACUACUAUUACUAGCUAAAAAUAGGAUAGGACAUCCAGACUUAUGUUCUAUAUUGUUUGAUAUGCUAGUUGGAUAAGACAGGCAAGAAGAAAACAAUAAGGUUACUACAACCUCUCCCUAUCUUAAAGAGACCUUAGAAUAACAUAUCUGUGGACUUCAUCGGUGGCUUUCCAAAAGUGAGGGAAUUCAAGUCUAUCUUCAUGAUAGUAGAUAGACUCUCUACGUAUGUUGUUUUCAUACUUACACCACAUGCAUGUCCCGUAGAGGAGGUGACUAGGCUAUUCUUCAACCAUGUGGUCAAGUACGUACUUCAAGUUGCCUAAAGACAUAGUCAGUGAUUGUGAUGCUCGAUUCAUUGGUCAAUGUUGGACUGAGUUGUUUAAACUCCUAGGAUUGAAGUUGAAGUUCUAAAAAACAAAUGAUUCGUAGAUAGACGGGCAAACAAAGUGUAUCAAACUUAAGGAAUACCUCAGACACUAUGUUUUUAUAACACAAAAGAACUGGAUUGAUCUAGUGGAGAUAGCUCAUUUAUCCUAUAACUUGCAUAAGAGUUCAAUAAUAGGGUUGAGUCCCUUUGAAUUGGCUAUAGGGCAACCACUAAUUAUGCCUUGGAGAUGUUUAAGCAAAAGUUUGGUGGUAAUUGUCUUAUAGCUUAUAAAUUUGCAAGGUCUUGGCAGCAGAUGCUCGAUGAAGCUUGUAAAAGCUUAGAGAAGGCAUUUACAAAAAUGAAAAAGUAUGCGGACAAGGGCCGAAGACCCUCAUAAUUUAGAUUGGGGAUAGGGCCCUUCUAAACCCUCAUAUAUGGAAUAAAAUUAGCAGUAAGACUAUGUAGAGGGUGUUGAUUCCCAAAUAUGAUGGACCUUUCAAGGUGAUGUAGAGGGGGAUAAGUAGCUUACAAAUUGAAGUUGCUGGAUAGGUUAAAGAUAUACCUCACGAUCCAUGUGAGCUUCUUAAAGCCUUACCAUGAAAACCUAGACUCAAGAAGGAUACCAACAAGGCGAGUGAUUAGAAAGAAAUUUGAUCGCGAGUGAUAUCAACAAGGUAGAGAAGAUAUUAGAUCAUUGAACUGUGGGAAUGAGUAAGAAAAAUUGAAGAAUUGAUUUUCUAGCUUAGUGGAAGGAUAGUCUUGAAUUAGAGGCUAGUUCGGAAUGAGAUGUAAUGCUCUGGAAAUUUAAGGAGGUAGUCUAAGCCUACCCAUAGUCCAAGUCAAUGAGAGCAUCAACUACAUCAAGUAGAAGUGGUUUGUUAGCCCCUUGACAUGGACCAUGCGAUACUAAGGCCUCAUGGGGUGACACCUUGGCCUCUUGAGUGACCAAUGACAACAACAAGGUGGUAUAAGGGUGCAAUGCCUUAUGGAGGGAGAUGACUUGGUGAACCAUGGGCACAAUGCCAUGGUAAGUGUAGUACUAAGAGAGACUUGAAUGGGCAUAUCAAUGGGGGGCAACGAAGCCAACUUAGAUGCAAUACAUAAGGGGUGUAAUGCCUUGUGCAUAGGGAGUCAUGGGUGCAAUGCCAUGAACUAAGAAAAGGGCUUGGGCAAGGCACAGAGCUGUAACAGCAACAAGGUGGAUGUAGGAGCAUGUUGCCUUGACACAAAUGCAAUCUGAACAUACAAACCAAAAGAGGGCUUAUCAUGCACACGAGUCAUAUAUAUAGAUGCACACGGUAGUAGCAUGAAGAGUUGGACUUGAAGUGGGAUUACAUAUCAAGCAUGAGUAGGAGUCUUGAUGCCUAAUGUAAUUAUAGUCUAAGUAGGACUAGUACUCAAAUUCCAUGUAGGAGUGGUUACUGCCACAACCUAUUAGGACAAUUCCUAGUAGAACUAAGAGUAGCACUACUAGUCUAAUAAGGAGUGGGUGGCACCACUUUAUAAAUAGGAAGGGUUGGAGAAACUCUUGAGAGGGAUCUAGAGAAGGAAAUCAUAAGGGAGGUCAAAACUCACCGAAGCUAUUAUGGAAGUCUGGCUAAAGUCUUUUAUUCUUAUUUAAUAAGUUAAUAAAAUACAAGUUGGGAUUGGUGCCUUGUAAACCUCAUGUGUUGCUUUGCAUGUUGUUGCCAUCUCAUGGGGGAAGGUGUAGAUUGGCUUAGAGAGCUUUUAAAUGCCACAUAGACAUGAAAAUUUAUGUGGGAAUUUUGUGCCUAUGACACAUAACCUUUAAAAGUCUAUUCAAGGGGGACCCUUCAUCUCCCUUCAUAUAUUUAAUUAUUUGCCUGUUUUUUCAACCCUAUUAAUGCAACAUAGGUGAAUUUGCCCGAUGGUUUAUAAGAAAAUUCAUGUCAGUUAUGUUCAACAUGUUAAAUUCUACUAGGCUUAUGUAUCGGUAUGUAGAUUAUAGCUUCUUCCCCUAAGCCCAAAUUUUUCUUUGGUUUCAUGGUGUUAACAUUUCAUGAAAGUAAAUGCUCCAUUGAAGAAUAAAUUUACCUAAAAUUGAAUAUGGUGUGCUAGGACAUAGAGAUUUAUUAAAUGUUAGGAAAAUGUAAGGGUGACUUGAAACCUAAAUUUGAGCAAAUAAAAAGUCUAUUUAACAGUGCUUUUAGAAAACACUUACAUUAUAGAAAAAAAAACAUUUUUGAAGAAAAACCAAAUGUUUGACCAAAUUUAGAAAAUACUUUUAAAAAGUUCAAAAUUAAAUUAUUUGUAAUGCUUCUUGGAGAAACACUUCACAUAUUAUUCUUCCAAAAAUACUUCUAGAGAAAACCCUUCCACUAAAAGCACUUAAAAUAGAAACUCAAGCAAAUCUACUCUAAAUCUGCCGAAGCACUGCUAAAAUAAUGAAAAAACAAGCAGACUCCUGUAUAUUCAUAAAACUGAGCAGCAUAUUUCUUGAAAUAUUAUAUGAUUUUAUGCAUACCUCCAUCCUGGGAUAUAAACUGACAUUGCAACCUUGAUUGCAAGAUAUGUCUGUUCUUUCUGGAGUUGGAAUAUCCUUCUUCCUUCUUCGUAGCUACUGCCAAAUGCUGUCCGAGAAAUCACAUCCCCUGUCAAAUUUUCAAGAUAGGGCCAAACAUCCAACUCACAUGAUCCCUUCACCGAAAGCUUCUUCCAUUUGUUCAACAUGUCGCUACAACUCAAAUGAAAUGCCGGUAACAUAUUCUAUAACAAGUUCAACCACAAAAUAAAUUAAUAAAGACGAAGAACAUCUCUUCGUUGGUAAAAUUAUGGAAACGGCCCAUUGGAGAAAGAGGGAAAAAGACUCUAUAUGAGUAUGUGAAAAAGAAAGGGAAAAAGAAAGGAAACAGUAGGACACUUGGUAUGUGAAAAACUAGUCACCAGUACUUCAUUAAAAUGACUGAAAUAUUUGGGAAUUCUGAUGUUUAUACAGGUUUUUAUAGGAUUAAAAAUAAUUUUUCAAUUACUUCCAUAUUUAAAAAUAAAAAAUAAAAAAAAUUAGAAAGUUUUCUGGAUGGAAAGCUAGGUUAAUGAUCUUUCUGGAAACUAAGGUAAAAUAUUGUCGUUUGAAAACUGGGCAUUGAAAAUUACCUUCAACUUUUCUGGAUGGAAAACUGGGUUGAUCAUCUUUCUACGUUUGGCCCAUUGUUCACCUUCCAAAACCACUAGACCAGAAACCAGCAACUUGACCAACGGGUGUGAGGGUGUCUUUUGAAAGAUAUUGGACUUCAACAAAACAUCCCUCAUUAGCUCAGGCUCCAUAAUGUUUACCCUUGGACUUGGACCCACCCAUGUAAAGAAAUUUUUUCCUGCAUGUUUAUGCCAUUAUUGGAUAGUGUUAGUCCGGAUUGCUUUUAGUUUGGAUAAUUGUUUUAAAGACCGACUGGUUUGAGCAGUCAGACCGUCGACUGAAAGCAAAUUUGAUCCGGAUCAGCAAUUGAGCCGGUAGGGCUAUUGAACCGCCAUCGAACCGGACGACCCAGCCGUUGAACCAUUGACCUGGUGAACUGGGUCGCCGGUUUGGGCCUGGACCUAUCUCUAAGUGAAACUCUUUCGGCCAAAAUGGGCCAUGGUUUUAGGUUGAAAUUGGGCGAGUGGGCUACCGCUUGGGCCACUCACAGACAUCCACACUCAGGGCAAGCCGACUAUAUAAAGAGAUGUUUAUUCCUCAUGCCAUUCAGAUAUGGGACUAACUUGGGAAAAUUAGGAUAUCAUGACUAUACUAUUUAUGCCUUAUGUAAACAUUUCCACAACACUAGCUUAAAAAAAAAAAAAAAAAAAAAAAAUCUUCCCAAAAUUUUUAUAAUAAUAAAAAUGCAAACAAUUUAAAGUAAACUAAUAUAAUUUUUUAAAAACUAUAAAAUAAUAAGGUGUAUAACUUUUAAUAUCUUUAUAUAUAUAUAUAUAUAUAUAUAUAAAUUAAAUAACUUCACAUCUAAAUAUUUUAUAUAUUUUAUUUAAGAAAAUCUUAAAAUAUUAAUACAUCUACAUAUUAAUUUAAUAAUAUUAAAUAAAAAAUAAAUAUUAUUAUUUUUUAAUUUCUUUAUAUAUUUAAAAUAUUUUAAAUUUUAAUAAUAUAUAAAUUACAUAUUUAUGAUAUCAUUGAUUUGACAAUCAGUUUAAUCAGUGAAUCGUAAGUUGUUAACUUUUUUGGUUUAAUAAUCAAUCCAAUUCUAAAACCGUCGAUUUGGACUACAUAUACCAAGUCUUCUCGAGCUUGUAAUAAAAGAUAAAGAAGAUGAAAUUGUAACAUCUCAAAAUUUGAGCUUGUGGCAUAUGGAAAUCAAUCUAUACAUAAUUACUAUGUAUAUAUUAUCAAAUAUAUGAAUGUAGAAGCUAUUUUAAUUAUCAACCAUAGAAUUGGCAUGGAAUAUUAUAACAUCCCAAAGGUGCGUUGACUUGAAACAUCCCAAAUUAAUUCUAACACUUAAAAAAAAAAAAAAGCAAAAGGUGAAAAAGGAAAAGAAAAAUAGUUAGGAAGAGAAGAACAAAAACUAAACAAAUGAAUCCGGAAUACUAAAAACAUAGAGUAAAUGAUAGGAUCAAGAUACAAAACAAAUGGGAUAAAGAUAGGAUCAAGACACAAAAUAAAAACUCAUAUUUAGCUUUCGAUAUGAUUCAUUUGAUAAGGAUAAUAAAAGAAAAAUAAAUAUAUAAUAUUAAUUGUUUUAUUUAUACAUCAUCACACCGUCUCUAUAUGAAUACCAUCUUCCUAAGAAGAAUAACAUGACUAACAACAAUCCACGACAAUAGUUUUGGAACGAUUGCCAUUUGUUUGUUAAUAUUCUAUUGUCUUGCUAGUAGGGCAUGGACAGCUUUAAUAAAGUAAUUUUUUAGGAGAGUGCAUGUCAUUGGAUUCUUAUAAGGAUGCAUGCCUGUAUCUAGGCUUCAAAUUUAACGUUUUAUCGGUUAAUAAUGCAUUGGGCUCCUCCCAUCCGAUGUUUGAUAGGAUGGAUAAGAAGAAGAAAGUGAAGUAAGAUCAAAAUAUCUGAUCACAUUUAUUUAAAAACUGAAUAGGACAAAUGGGUGAAAUGAUUAGUAGUGAGUCGCCCGGGAUAACACGGUCUGGGACAUUCAUAAUUGCAUUCUUUAUAGCUUCAUUAUUGUUGGUAGACAGUUGAGUGCAUUGUCUUUGACCAUUCCAUGCUAAGCAAGAAUGAUAAAAUUAAAUAGCAGAGAAAAAGAGAAGAAAAAUAAAAGAAUGGUACUUAUACGAAGGUGCUAUGCAGUCUAACAGUACCUGAAGAGAAAGAGUUGGCAAUCAAACAAGGAACAAUGCCUAAGUAUAGAGGAAGUGCUCUGUGCAGAACCUCUACACACGCACAGGGUACUCUACACAAAGAGAUGGCAAAGGAGAACCCUACACAGAGGCCUGCGCAAGUGAUGUGCAUAAUCAGAGAAGAGAAAACGUGCAUAUAUAUAUAGAUGGCCUGCACGAAAUCUGCGCAAAGAGCAUAUAUAUAUAUAUAGAGAGAGAGAGACACACACACACACACGCACAGGGUACUCUACACACAGAGAUGGCAAAGGAUCCUCCUCUGCGCGCACUCCUAGGGCAAUGAAUCCCAAGCACAAGGAGUUCCUGGAGUAGAGAAAGCACGAACGGAGUUAUGAGGUAGCAUUUCUUGAGGGCUCAAAAUUCUGAUAAUGAGUGAUACCUAGUAUCGAAAUUUUGAUACUCAUGUUGAUACCAUGUAACAAAGAGACUUCUCAUGCAUAUAUUCUAGGAGGUAACACUCAACUAUUUUUUUUUUUUUAAAGAAAAUACUAACCUUUUCAUGGUAUCAGAGCCUCCAAACCUACCAGCCAAGAAAAAUGUCUUCACACAUACUUCCAUCCUCCACCCUACAAAUAGAACCUGAAUCAAACUUUCAAUCCUUUCACCAAUGUUCUAGCUUGAUCUCCAUCAAACUGAACACCACCAAAUUUCUAUUGUAAUGCAACCAAAUCGCUCCCUUAGUUUGUAGCCUUAGUGUUCUACAUUAUUUGUCAAAUAGAGAAAAAUUUGCUGAAGAAGUUAAGAAUGACAAGGAGGAAAAAUCUCCAAACUCGAACUAUCAAAGGUGGAUCAACAAUGAUGGACUUUUAACUUCAUCGCUUCUUGGAACCAUAAAAGAAAAUGUCUUAAACUUGAUUGGUGGUGAGCCAGUUUAUCAAGUGUGGAAUUCCCUUGAGGAGUAGUCAUUGCCAAUUACAGUAAAGAAUGAAAGGAAUUUGAAAAAUAUGUUAAUAAUCAUUACAAAGGGUUUUCGAUCUCUUGAAGAAUACUUGACCAUAACAUUCAUUGCUAGUAUUUCAUGCUUAUGAGUUACUCAUUUCAGCCUUUCUUGGACUCUUCAUGGUUCACAAGUCCCAAGUCUUUUAGUUAUGCAUGUUUAACCCCUUCUACUUGUUUGGUUGAUAUUGACUUUUGUACUUAUCAUUUUUUUCAUCUCUUGAACCUGAAUUAGACUCAAAAUGGAAAUUAGAUUCAUAACUAGGGUCUUAGCAUUAAUUUGAGUUAAGUUAGAUAAUUUGAGCUUUUUAUAUUGUAUAAAUCAUAUCAUAUAUAUAUGUCAUUGGAGCAUAUAUUUGGUUCUAAUUAACUGCAUAGGGAAUCCUAGAUCUCUUUGUUCCCCAUCAUAGGACUAGGUUAGGAGCAUGAAAUCUACAUAGGGCAUUUAGAUCCUAUGAACGAAAGCAAAAAUAUAAUUUCUAACAUUGAAGGAUCUAGAAAAGUGUCAUAAAAAACUUUACCUUUGAUUUGGAUUUUCCCAAAUCAAAUCCAAAGUCAUUGGAAGCCUCGUAAACCUAUUAUCUUUUGUCCUAUAACUCUACCUCGAUCCUCAACACUCAAACAAUAAAGUGUUUGGGAAGGUGAAGGCUAAAGCUCUCUCUUCUCUUUAUAUGGUGGAAGAAUACUAACUAGAAACCCUAACCCCUAAGAGGAUAUUUAUAAGGUUCCUUACUAGGCUUAAGUGACUUAAGCCCAGUAAGGGCUUGGGUCACUUAAUACAACCUAAAAGGGUCUAAAUUGAUUUAUUAACCCAACAAAGUUGUCUAAUUAAUUAAUUAGUCCAAUCCAAAGAUACUGUUUACAAACCCCUAUGCAACCUUGUGUAAUUAUCAAAAUGUCAUUAUGCACAUAAGUAAACCUAAAGCUUAUGCAACCCUCAUAAAUCAUGUCAUCAAGGUAUAUGAGCUCUAGUAAGGACCAUUAGGACCUAUCGGAGUACUACUCUCUCAAAAUCCAAUUAUGAAGUUCAUUCAACAUCUCACUACAGAGAAUCAAUUACACUUUGAUACUCUAUGUAAAUAACAACAAGAUGAUGCUUAGGUUCAUGAGUUACUACCCAUUACAUGCAAACUCUCCAUGAACUAGUGUCCAUAAUUUAACAAGGUAGUAUUAUCACAUAUUAAGAUUACCUCUCUAAUCGUUGAGUUAUAAAUCCAUCUAUUAUUUGAUCAAUUGACAUACUCUAACUCCAAGGAGUAUAUGUCGAAUUUCACUAAGUGAAAAGCUAAUGGUCAUAGUCUUCUCAAUGACAUGUCCUUUGGAUCACCUAAGGGAACAUUGUUGGAAUUGACCAUCAAGAUGGGUUUCACAUGAUGAGUGUACUAGUAUGGAUAGUUACAUAUCGUAUAGGAUCAAUGGUGAAUCAUAACAUAAGACUAUUGAUUGUCAUGAUUCACCAAGUUACUAUACUGUAUCAACUCUCAACCUUAAAAUGAUAUCGAGCUUAUGCCAAAGUCAACAAGAGGAGGCUUUGACCUAUGGGUGAGAUCCUAAGGUGGUCACAUAUCCCUAUGGAUUGGAACACUAUUGAUGAAGGUUGGUAGCACUAGGCUUUCUCAAUAAAGGGACCAUGAUAUUUCAUGGGACUGAGACAAUGUAUUGCCUUGGGUAAUCUAAAGGACAUGUGAAAGAAGACUAUGGUCAUAACAUUUUCUUCAAUAAAAAUUUGAUGUAUGCUCCUUAGAGCUAGAGUAUGUUAAUAGAUCACAUAAUAAGUAGAAUCUAUAACUUAAGAAUUAGAGUGUUAUUCUUGAUAGGUAAUAACACUAUCUUGUUAGAUUAUCGACACCAAUUCAUGGGGAGUCUGGAUGUAGUGGAUAGUAGGUCAUAAACUUCAGUUUCAUCUUAUUAUUAUUAUUUACAUAGGGUACUAGAAAGAAAUUGAUUUUCUUUAGUGGAAUAUUGAAUCAACUUUAGAAUUGGAUUCUAAGGGAACCAGUACUCUUAUAGAUCACAAUGGUCCUUGCUUUGAGCUCAUAUACUAUGAUACAGUUUAUAAGAGUUGGAUUGGAUCUAGGUCCACUCUUGUGCAUAAGAGAAUUUUGGUAAUUACAUAAGGUUGCAUAUGCAGUAGUGAACAAGUUCUCUAGAUUUGGUUAAUUGAUUAACUAGAUGACCCUAUGUGGUUAAUUAAUUAAUCAAGACCCAGUUUAAGUUAGAUUAAGUGACCCAGGCCCUAUUCGGAUCAAGACACUUAAAUCCAGUAGGAGAACCCUAUAAAUACUAUUGAAAUUGAGCCCUAAAAGCAAGACAUGAUGUAACAAAGUCAAACUUGACUCUCCCCUUGUUAUCCUUUUAUGUAUUGACAUUGAUUUGAGCAUUCAACUCAUAUCUCUUACAUUAUCAUGACUUAGGUGCAUUGGGAGUUGCAAAGAGGAGACAAGUCAUGGGCUCCUUGUAAGUAGAUAAAAUGUCCAUAUUCAGUUUAUGGACUUGGGCAAUACAAUAAAGAUUGUAAUGCACUACCUCCUAAUUGGAAGGAUGGUUUGUCUUGAUCAUAGAGAUAGAUUUCCCAUGGUGGGUGGACUAGUGUAUGUGAUACACAUUAGACAAGACCUACAUUAAAUCACAACAUAAGACUAUUAGUUGUUAUGAUUCACUAAGAUAUUGUACUAUAGGAACUCUCAAUCUUGAGAGGAUAUUAAGCUUGUAGUAAUAUUAACAAAAGACUUUGACUUAUGGGUAAGACCCUAAAGUGGUCAUAUAUCCCUAAGGAUUAGGUUACUGUUGAUGGAGGUUGGUGGCAAUAAUAUUCUCAAUAGAGGGACCAUGAUAUCUCAUGGGUUUGAGACAAUAUGUCUCCUUAGAUUAUCCAAAGGACACGUGAUAAUGAAAUUUAUGGUCGUAAUAAUUCCUUUAGUUGAAUUUCACAUACACUUCUUAGAGUUAGGGUAUGAUAGUUAAUCUUUUAAUAAGUGGGAUUUGUAACUCAAUGAUUGGAGAUGUAAUCGUGAUAGGUGAUAACACUACCUUGUUAGAUUACGAACACUAGUUCAUGAUGAGCUUUCAUAUAGAAAAUUGUAGGUCACGGACCUAAGCUCCAUCUCAUUGUUAUUUAAAUAGGGUACUGGAGUGUAGUUGAUUUUCUAUAGUAGGAUAUUGAAUCAACUUUAUAAUUGGAUUCUAAGGGAGCUAGUACACUUACGAGUCUUAUUAGUCCUCGCUUUGAGCUCAUAUACCAUGUUAGCAUGGUUUAUGAGGGUUGGAUUGAUUCUAUGUUCACUCUUGUGCAUAAGGGCAUUUUGGUAAUUGCAUAAGAUUGAAUAGGGGUUAGUGGACAAGGUCUCUAGAUUGAGCUAAUUGAUUGAUUAGAUGGACUUAUGUUGUUAAUUAAUCAAUUAUGACCCGUUUUAGCCUAGAUUAAGUAACUUAGGACUAUAUGGGCUCAAGUCACUUAAGCCCAAUAAGGAAACCCUAUAAAUGCCUCUUCAAGGGCCAGUUAGGGUUUCCAUGACUUUAGACAAUUAUCUUCCAUCUCCAAAGAGAGAGAGAGAAAGAGAGGGAGAGAGUCUAGAUUCCCACCCUUGCAAAGCUCACACUUUGGAGUGUUAAGAUCAUGGUUUGAGUAGUCCAAAUCUAGGAACAUCCAAACUAUUUGGGCACAUUUUUCACCAAGAGAAAUUGAUCUAGGGCAUCCAGAUCUAGAUCUAUGUAUGAGUCUCUCAAUCUCUAACUAUUUAUUUUGUAAUGAUUUUUGAAGCCAUUAUUUUUAUGCACUAGAUUUAGAGAACCUAGGGUUAAAUGCAUGCACCCCACGAGAUCUAAGGCAUAGGAACAAAGUAAUCCAAGGUUCCUAAGAAAUACCCCCUUAGAGGUUAGGGUUUCUAAGGUUUUCAAUUGUCUUCAAGAUCUAGAAAGUGUAAGAGAGAGAGCUUAGGAAUCCUCCAUUCCAAAGUCCACUCUUUAGAGGUCUAAAAUCGUGGUUCGAGUAAUCGAGCAUAAGAUCUUGGAUGUAAGAGACCUCCAAACUCUUCAGGUUUCUUUUUUACCCAUGAAAUUGAUUUGGGAACAUCCAGAUCUAGAUAUGAAUGUUUCUUUUCUAGUUUUAUUAAUCUAAAUUGUUUUAAAAAUCAUGUUUCAACUCAAAUUAGUUUCUAUAGAAGCUUAGGGUAGAUUUACAUGUACCUAUACAAUCUAAGAUAUGGGAAUGGAGUGAUCCAAGGUUCUCAAUAGACACACUAUCUCACUCUCAUGAGAUAUCAUGGUGCUUCUAUUAAUAAUAUUUUUUGCUAGCUGCUCCAUAUGGAUAUAUGACCACAUUAGGGUCUCACCCAUAAAUCAAAGUUUCUUGUUGAUUUUAGCAUAAAUUCAAUAUAUUCUCAAGAUUGAGAGUCUAUAUAUCAAGUAGCUUUGUGAAUCAUGACAACUAAUAGCCUUAUGUCAUGAUUCACUAUAGGUCUUGUCCAAUAUGUAACCAUACACACUAAUGUACUCACCAUGGGAAACCUAUCUCGAUGGUCAUGAUAAGCCAUCCCUCCAAUUAGGAGGUAGUGCAUUAUAGUCUCUAUUGAAUUGCCCAAAUCUAUGAACCAACUAUAAACAACUAAUCAUCUUGCAAGGAACCCAUGACUUAUGUCCUUUAUGCAAUUCCUAAUACAUUGAAGUCAUAUACAAUGCAAGUGAAAUGACAUGUUUGUUCAGGUAACCAAUCAAUACAAAAUGGGAUAGUAAGUUGAAUAAAAAACAUAAAUAAAUAAAUUUAUUAAUGAAUCUAAAACUGUUAUAUCAUGUCAUGCUUUCCAAGGCUCUAUCCCAAUACGUUGGAUUAGGUGACCUGAAUCUAGUUUAAGCUUAAGUCACUUAAACCCAUAAGAAACCCUAUAUAAAUCCUCUCAAAGGUUUAGGGUUCACAAUUUUAACGUUUUGGCCAUCAUUUUCGAGAGAGAGUAAGAGUAAGCCCUAGCCACUCUUAAGACAAGAAGAGAAGCUCACCCUUCUGUUGUGUUAGGAUCUUUGAAGGGAGAAAUCGGAUAAAAGAUCUUUGGGUAGAUGAACUCCACAACAUCCCCAACAUCUUCUUUGACAUCUUCCUGGGAUUAGAUUCGAUUUUGGAAUAUCCAAAUUACAGGUAUGAAACUUUAACCUCUACGUCUAGAUCAUAAUAUGGUUUUAGUUACCACAUAUUUCUACUAUGUUAGAUGUAGAGAGCCUAGGACUAGAUUGCAUGGACCCUACAUGAUGCAGAGCCUAGGAAUAGAGUAACUAGUGGUUCCUAACAAUUUACAAUUAUAAAAUGAUGAAAACUAAUGUCUUUUCACCAACUAAACCUUAUAAAGCAUUGAAAUCAUUAGUUUCAUUGCAAUUUCAAGUUAAAUAUUAAAAUGCACUAAGUAUGAGUCUCACACACAAAAUGAUCCCUAAUGCUCAUUAAUAUAUGUAUAUAUAUAUUUUAUUUUUAAAAAGUCAAAAGGAUAAUGAAGAUGAUAACAAACCAAUAAUCAAAGCAAACAUUUGAUAAUGAAUAAAUAUGUUAUGUUUAGUGUCAAAAUAAAAUAAACGCUAAAUUUUCUAAUAAAAGAAUUUGAUAAUAGGUUGUGACUACAAGCUAGAUAUCAAUUUCAUAUUGAUACAAAAACAGAGCUUAAACCAAUUUGAAAAACAAGCAUAAAAUCAACAUGUAUCAAAUCGAAAUCAACAUGUAUUUCAAUAAAUUAUAAAAAAAAUCAAUACAACACUAACAAUGGUAAUGUUAUUCUUUGGGAUAAAUUAAUAUAAAAAUAAUAAAGGCUCUAAGGUAUCAAAAUAUCAUUAAUGAAUACAAAAUCUAAUUCAACCAAUUUUAGGCAUUCUCAUAUGAAUUUAGAAGUAUAAAAUGAUGAAAACUAAUGCAUUUUCACAAGCUAAACCUCAUAAAAGCAUUGAAACCAUUAGUUUCAUUGUAAUUUCAAACUAAAGAUCAAAAUGCACCAAAUAUGGGUCUCUCACACAAAAUGAUUCCUAAUGCUCAUUAAUCUAACAUAUAUAUAUAUAUAUAUAUAUAUAUAUUCAUAUAAGAUGAAAACAAAUAGAAUUCAACAAUUUUUAAAGGGCUAAUUUUUUUUAAAAAAUGAUAAUAUAUUGAAUGAAAGCAUGGAGUGUAGUUGGGGAGGCUUCAAGACUUGUUCAUAGCUUUGAUCUUUCUCUUUGAUCUCCAGUUUGACAAAGUUUCACCUCCUUUUAUUUCCAUAGAAUCGUCUCAUUUGAAAAUGUAGCUUUCUCUUUGUAUUUAUUGCUAAAAGGAUGAUGAUAAACCAAUAAUCAAAGUUAACUUUUAAUAAUGAAGUAAUAUACUAGGUUCAAUGUCAAAAUCAAAUCAACACCAAAUUCUCUAAUAAAGGAAUUUGAUAAUAAGUUGUGACUGCAAACCACAUAUAAAUUUCAUUUUGAUACAAAAACUGAGGUUGGACUAAUUCGAUAAACAAACAAAAAAUAGGUGGUUCAAGAAUUGAUUUGAAAUUAAUACUUGAUUAAAUACAACUACCCAAAUUGAUACUACUCUACAACAUAGAACCAAUGUUGAUCCCAAUAUGAUAACAAGAUCUAUGCACCAUGAAAAAUCAACAAAAAAAAAUUACCAUAGACUUGCAUUGAAUCCAAAUCAACACUAAUUUCAAUGAAGUAUUAAAAAAUCAAUACAAUACAAACAAUGGAAACAUCAUUCUUUGGGAUGCAUGAAUACAAAAACAAUUAAGACUUUGAUAUAUCAAAAUGUUAUUAAUGCUUUAGUAAAAAAAUCUAAUUCAACAAGUUUUAUCAAUUUCCAUUUGAAUUUACAAGUAUAAAAUGAUGGAAACUAAUGCAUUUUCAAUAGCUAAACCUCAUAAAAGCAUUAUGUAGACUUUCCUUUUUGUCCUCAUAACACAUGCUUUUAAUUGUACUUAGUACCCCUCAUUUUUUAGCAAUUUAAAUUUUUUUUUUUGGUUAUAAAUUAUAUGAAUGUUUUAACACUUGGAGAAAUUGGAACGAAGCAAAAUAUGUAGAAAAAAGAAAUAAUUAUCUAUAGCUAUCUUUAUUUUAUUUUUUAUACGUUUCUAUUGACAUGGAAUAAAUCAUCAAUAAUUGUUGUGAUUAAUAGCGUUGAGAAAAGUCAAUGGCCAUAAUAAUAUUCUAUUGCCAUUUUUUUUUUUGUAAAAUAUUAGAUCAAAUCACAUCUUCUUGUAAAAUUAUCAUUAAGAUUUACAUGAUUUCUUACAACGUAGCUUAAAACCAAAUAUUUCAUCAAAGAAGUUAUCAAUAACCAACCCCACACAAUGAUAUCUAUUAUAAUACAAACUUCUUCAAUAUGUUUGUUUGUGAGUGUAAAGAAAGAAAGGUAACAGAAAUUGAGAAAGUAAAAUAAAAGAAAAUUUUUCUCUUUUUUUGUUUUAUUUUUUUUUUCUCUAUUUAUUCUGCUAUUUACAGAGUAAUAUAUAAAGUAAACCUAACUAACAAAUUCUCUAACUAUUCAUCUAACAAUAAUAGAAGAAAACCAAUGAGCAUAUGACAUGUGUACAUCUUGUAACUAUAUGAAACUAUCUCUUAACAUUCUCCCUCAAACUUAAGGUAGAAAGAUUUUCUACUUUGAGUUUGUUUCUUAGAUUUACAAACUAAGUGCUUAAGACAGCUUUCAUCAAGACAUCUACUACUUGAUCAAUGGAAGGCACUUGUUAGAUUAAAACCUUUCUUUGCAGAACCUUUUCCCUAACAAAAUAUAAAUCCAAUUCAAUGUGUUUUGUCCUAGCAUGUAAUAUUAGAUUAACAACCAACAUAAUAGUGCUAAGAUUAUCACACCAAAUAACUGUUGUUGUAGGCAAAGUGAUUUUAAUUUAUGAGAGAAGAGAUAGUAACCAAGUGAUUUCUGCAACCAAACCAGUUAGGCUUCUAUACUCUGCUUUUGUACUUGAUCUAAAAAUAGUAUGUUAUUUCUUUUACUGCUAAGUGACUAAAUUUGAACGAAAAUAUACAAAAAAUCCUAAAGUUGAUCUUGAGUCAUAAAGAUCAGAGGCCUAAUCGACAUCACAAAAUGCUACAAGAUCAAGAGUAGGAGACUUUCUUAAAUAUAAUCCAUGAUGAAGAGUUCCUUCAAGUAUCUAAGAAUUAUUUUGACUACUUUCUAAUGAGAUUCUAAUGGAGCUUGCAUAUAUUGACAAACUUUAUUAACACUAUAGGCAAUUUCAGGCCUAGUAAUUAUUAUCUACUACAAAGCUCCUACAAUUGAUCUGUACAACUUCACAUCCUAAAUUGAUUCACUUCCAUAGCCUGAAAGUUUUUGUCAAUUGGUCAUGGGAGUAGAAAUAGGAUUGGCACUUUGCAUUUUGGAUUUGUAUAAUAGAUCAAUUAUGUAUUUUCCUUGAGAGAUGAAUGCUUUCAACAAUAUGCUUCACUUCAAUCCCUAAAAAUAGUUGAUUUCUCCAAGAUCUUUUAAGGCAAACUCUCUGUUUAAAUUGGUAAUGAGAUGCAUCACAGCUUGUUCACUACUACUAGUGAUAAGAAUGUCAUCUACAUACACAAGAAUAUAGGUAGAAUGAAUUUUUGUCACACAAAUGAAUAGAGAUUGAUCUGACUUUGUAGAGAUAAAUCCAAAGGAAUAUAGGGCUACACUUAACUUUUCAACCAAACACUUGGUGCCUGUUUUAAGUCAUAUAAAGUUUUAUGUAAUUUGAAAACAAGAUGAGAUUGGUUGUGCUGAAUAAAUCUAGGAGGUUGUUCCAUAAAAACUUCCUCAUGCAACACUCCAUUCAAAAGGAAUUAUUAAUGUCUAAUUGAUGAAUUAACCAAGCUCUAGACAAAGCUAUAGUAAGCAUAACCCGAAUAGUUGCAGGUUUAACAAUUGGAUUAAAAGUUUCAUUGAAAUCAAAACCAACAACUUGAUGAAACUCUUUUGCAUAUAUGUUUAACAAUCAGAUCUAGUUCUCUUGCUCUAUUUAAAUCCCUGGCAUUUAGCGCCUCCUUGUCAUCUCUCUUUGUCGCAAAUUUCUCUUCUCAGGAUAAGCCCAAUCAUGAUCACCCAAUUUGUUCUCAUUGUGGGCUCAUGGGGCAUAUUGUGGACCAUUGCUACAAGUUACAUUGGUGCCCAACUGGGUACAAGCCUAAACCCAAGGCCCAAAUGAGCUCUCUUCGGUCCACCAACAAUCCAUUAUCUUUCCCUGAGCCAUCAAAGGACAUCCACUUCUCUUCUUCAGCUACAACUACCAUACCACCCUCUCCACUUUCUGGUUCUCUCUCAACAGAUCAAGUUCAAUAGCUCAUAAAGUAGACUUUGUUCACUUUGGAAGGAUCCUUUGUCAUGCUCAAAUCUUAUUAUGCGCAUGCAUUGUUUAACUAAGAUCAUUAUAAUUGUUUCCCAAAGUGAGUCAAUGCCAAAUAUUGAAUAAUUGGUUAAGCAUAACUCUUACACACAUUCUAAAAUUUAUGCUCUUAAAUGUAUGUGACUCACUUGCGACAUUUGGAAAUACCCCUAAAAUGGAUACAAAAGCAACGAUGAAUGAAAAAAAUCACAAUGUACAAUGGCUCUAUUUUCAAAAGAAAAAAAAAUCAAUAUUGAUCAUAGUGUACAAUGGCUCUACUUUCAAAAGAAAAAGAAAAUAAAAAGGAAUAUGAUAUCAAAUUAAGGGAAAGUCAAGUUGUGUUGUAUAUAGAUCAACAAGACCUUGUUAAAUGGAAAUCCAACAAUCUUAAAUCAAAUUAAUUAGAUGUGUACUUUAAUUAGAACAAAUGCAUGACUAGAUCUCUUCUAAGUGAUCAAAUUUUAAAUGUAGAACUGGACAAUAAGUUGUAUUCCCUUGAACAUCAAUACUUAUGUUUCUAUGUUGGUCCUCUUAUCCACUAAUGGUUAUGCAUUGGGUUUCAAAACUAAAAUUACAAUUAACUUUGACCUUUGGACUUGAAACCUCAUUCUUGAUGGAUUGAUGUAUAAUAUCUAAAGUAAUUUUGUAAUUGAUUGAAGAAACUCCUACAAGACAUUUAAAGAAAUCUAGUACACCAUUUCUUAUUUAUCACUUUUUUGAGUUGUUUCAAGCACUCUAAGUUUCUGGUUCUUUGUCAUUUGAGGUCAAUUCUCUUAGUUUUUCGCAUUUUUUUCAUAUAGUAUUGUUUUACCCUCAUUUUUAGUAUUCCUAGUUGUUUAGGGGUUUUUUUUUUGUUUUUUUGUUUUUGGAUUUUUAUCUAUUUUUCUUUCUUUUAAUGUCCUUUUAUAUUUCAUCACCUUGUUAUGGCAAGUCAUCCUCAUCCUCAUGAGCUGACCCCUCCAAGGUCACCUGAGGCCGUUUAGAGCAUUGCUCUCCAAGGUCCUUUUGGCCUAAGAGCUCUUUCUAUUGAGUGCUUCCAUUGUCAGGAGGCAUGAGACCGAUACUACACCUCUUUCCAUAAUUGACUAGUUGAGGUUGAGCAUUCAGUCAAUCUCAAAGUCUUCUAGGAGACUUCUUUUCUUACUGUUGUUAGAGAUUGAGGAUAAAAGACGUUACUCUCUCUUUAGGGGACUUUCUACCCCCAUCUUAUUUUCAUUUUCUAUCUGUUGUAAUUGGAGUUACCUUUCAGGUGAUUUUGUAUGAUCAACCAUUUCUUGUCUCUUCCUGUUCCAUCCAACAUGUCCUUAGCAUGCUGCAACUUGAGUCUUGCUUUGGUCAGAAGCUAUUCUCCAAGCCAACAUGGUUGCUAGCUACUUCUACCAUUCUACUCAUCGUACCCAGAUCUGUCAGUCGUUUACUCAAUUCAUUCAUGCCAUACUCUCUGGCUACCAAUUCGAUAUCAACCAAGUGGUUUUGGAUAGCAUUACUCCUUCCCGUGAUCCAUCUUUUUGAGGAGGCACCCCUCCCUUUAACCUUCUCAUCUCGUAGAUUUUGGAGGAUGUAGGUUUUGGGAUAAACCUUGCAUUAGGGGUCCAAGCUAACCAUGCCCUCUUGGAUGGAUGCUCCUAGGCUAAGCAUUAUAACCACAUUUAGGGACUGAUGGCACCUCCAACCCACCAUGGUCCUGAAAAUGCGGCUCAACAAGCAGCUUAGGAGGCAACAACAUAUGAGAAUGAGCUCCAAGCUAUGAAGCAAGGUGUAGUACCUGAGGUAAAUUAUCUCAAGCCUUCUUUAAGAACUUGUUCUAGUUGAGGUCAUGCAAGUUCUUCAUGAGCUACUCAUGAGCAAUGUUAGAAAUGCCACAAAAUGUCAGUGAUAUUUCACCAAUAUUUCGGGUAUCGAUGGGGCUCGAUAGAUAAAUAGGAUGGAAAUUUUGGUUAUUAAAAAUUUCAAUUAUUUCCCUCAUUUUUCAUUGAUAUAUUGGCUAUAUGCUGAUAUAAUACCGAUAUAUCAGUUAUAUUGGUGAUUUUUUAGUGCCUUGCUUACUUUUAGGCCAAAAGGUUUCCCCAUUUUUACCAAAAGGUUUCUCGUUUUUGCCAAAAUGUUUCUUUUAUUUAUUUUUAUUUUAGGCCACAUUCUCACACACACGACCAUACAAUAGUCGUUCCAGAUGAGAAAGUCACCAUCUAUUAAAUAGGCAAUUUUGUUCUCUUAAGUUGUUGAUGUGGGACAACUUUUAUUGACAAGUUUAAAAAUCUAAUCAAACAGGUAAACAAAAUUUACAUUGGUGAGACUCAAACCCGAGUACACAAGUUUGUCGUGAAAGGACACUAGCAUUGAACCAUAUGUGAAUUUGUAGUUUUAAUUGUAUAUAGAAUUAUAUAUAUAAUGUACAUAUCUUUUAUACGUUAUAAUAUUUUUAAUAUAUAUUAUAAUAUUAUUUAAUAAAUUAAACUAUUAUAAAUAAGUUAUUUUUAAUUAUCUUAUUAUAUAUUUUGUAUACCAAUUAAAUACAAGGUAAAUAUCAAUUUUAUAAAUAAAAUAUUAACAUUUUUAAUAUAAAAUACUUAUCUAAAUAUCAUUGUUUUUUUUUUUAUCCCUCAAUAUAUUCAAUUUAGACAUAUUAUCAUUCUAAUAUUAAUGUGCUUUUAAAUUAGUAUAUUAUUGCCUACUAUUACAAAUUUAUUACAUAUUACUAUAUAUAUAUAGUAAUAUGUGUUUUUUUUUCAUGUUUUAUCAUUUUUUUUUUGAAGUUUCCAAGUAUUUUCAUGAAUUUCUGUUUCAUCAAUUUUUUUUUUUUGGGUCAAAAUAUUCCACCGUUAUUCCCUGAUAUAUCUAUAAAAUCCAAUGAUCAAUAAAUCCGUGAUUACUGAUAUUUUCAUUCUUGCUCAUGAGACAUCUUCUUCUACCCACCCACCUGAGAGACAUUCGAUUCCAUGGCCUAUCUCCAGCAACCAAUGGACUCCCAGGAUCUUUAGCUUCAUCAGAUCCAGGGACAACUCCACUAUAUCAUUUCCUAGAUCCACUCUAAAGGCGCAUUGAGCUCUAUGUCUCCACCUCCUUCGGAUACUUAUAUAUGUGUGUGUGUGUGUGUGUGUUCUUUUUCUAUUGUUAAUCUGGAUUUGUGUUUUUUUUGCAUAUCUUAUGUAUCCAAAAUCAUUUUUUUUCUAUAUAUAUUCUUCUUUCUCUUUAACUCUUGUGUGCUUUCCAAUGUUUAUAAUUCAUAUGUUUUGCCAUUUUUAUGACAAAAAAUAAAAAUAAAAAUCAUUGACCAUAUUUAAUUCACUUAAAUAGGGGAAGCAUAGGCAUCGAUAUAAUAGAAAAAAGAUAAAGGAACUCCUUGAAAAAUAGGAGUUAAUAAGUUUUGAAUUAUUUAUUCAAUUCAUUCUUUUACUCAUUUAAUUCUUAAGGGAAAUUGUAAUAGUGGAGAAAAUUAAACCUGAGACAUUGGAGGAAAUUAGAUCAACUAUUGAAAGCAUAACUUGGAAGUUUAAGAGAGUUACCUAAUAUAGAUAUAUCCUAUAAGAUAUUUCUAUUUGAAUUGUCUUUCAUUUUAGAACUAUUAUGAGUCACAAAAGCUUCUUCUCAUGACUUUUAUUGUCUAUUUUUUGGUUGGAGAUAGACCUCUAGGCAUCAUAGUUGAUCUAUUGUGUCUUAUCCAGCUUCUAUUAUGUUAUGUUGAUUUGUAUACAUUUAGAUUCCUUUCGAGCUUUACUUUGUACCUUGUUAUCACUAUAGGGAUAUGUUUCUCUUACAUGCUUUCACAAUGUAUCGAGCAAAAUCUCCAACUAUCAUGUUCUAUUGCUUUGAUCAUAUCUUAUCUCACACAUUUUUCCACCUUUGUUGAAGUUUUUUUUUUGUGUGUAGGUUAUAGGAUUGGAAAAUAAGUACUACUAGAUGAUUCAAAACAUUCCCUUAGUUUAUUUUUAAUUAAGCAUUAAUGUUUGUUAUGUAAACUCCGUUAUAAGAGUUCGGGUGGGUUUAUGUAAUGAUGUUUUGUCACAAGAUUGCCAUAAAGGGAAAUUGUUAGGACAUUAAGCCUUGAUUAUAUGUCGUCAAUUUGGUUCCUUUUUAUAUUUGGCCAUAGAAGUCUUUUUAGAUAGUGACUUGCUCUCUAUUGAAGAUUAAGAGUUGUAAUUUGUCUAACCGAGAAUUCAUAAGUACAUCUAAAAAAGUUUGGCUUGUAGUAAGUUAGGCUUCUUUGAGGUAUAAAUAUGAUUGCUAAUUGUUUUGAACUUAAAAUUAAUUUUUAUAAAGUUUUUUAAAAAUAGAGGAUGCUCAAGUGGGGAGCAGUGCUUAAGUGUUGUGACCGCUCAAGUGCCCCACAUUGCUUGAGCUCCCAAAACGCUCAAGCCACCUUUGUAAGCUCGAGAAAUCGUGAAUCUCUAGUCGAGAUUUUUUCACGCAAAAUUGAUUUGGAAGUCUUCUAAAACCAAACCUUUUGGAGAUUUAUUCCUACAAAUACCUCUUUAUAACCCUUUAAGGGUUAUAGAUUGUUUUAGAGAUUAGUGAGAGAUCUUACAUUCUUUAGAGAGAGUCUCUUAGAGAAAAAGCCUAAUGAGCCACACCAUUCCCGAUCUCUCAUUCAAGGAUUCAAUAUUUGAAUCUUGGUUUGAAAACUUACAUCCCUUUAGCAAGGUUGAAAUGCAUUCAUUAGAGUAAUAGGAGGUUGCUACGUUGCAGACAUGGAUCAAGUUUUAAGUAUUGAAGAGUAAGUCUUUAGGGUAAAGUGGCCAAGUAAAUCUAUGUAACUUGAUAUCAUAUAAUGGAUUUAGAUUAGCGAUCAUAGACUUCAUGGUUUUUUAUCUCCACAGUUAGUGUGGGGGUUUUCCAUGUAAAAAAUCUCUUGUACCUCAUUGUUUAUUACUUGAUAUCUUGUUUGAAUUGCCUAUAAUAGAAAUGAUUGAUAUACCUCAAUAUAUCGUAGGAUAAAAAUUGGGUAUAACAUAUAAACUUUAUUUAAAUUUUUUAAUACAUCCAUUUAGCCCUCCUCCCCUAGGUAUUUCCCCACUAGACUUAGGGGCUUUUUCAAACCAUAAGUUAGUUCACCCUGAGCUAUUGGUUUAUGUUGUUGACCAUCAUUAGUUGAUUCAUUUUUUUUAUUGCACUUGUUAGUCGAUUAAUAUAUAUAUAUAUAUUGUUUUCUCAUACCUAACUUUGGUUUCUUGUGAUUCUUCCACCUAAAACCUACCAAUUAUUUUACAUCAUAAACCAGAGUUUCACCACUUGUUUUGUAUUCUAACCUUAACAAUUCAUCUUCUUUAAAAGUAACAUCUCUACUGAUUUUUGCCUUCCUCAAAUUUAGAUGCUACAACUUAUACCCCUUCACUUUAGUAGGAUGUACAAGAAUUAAACAUUUCUUUCUUUGCUCUUGGUUGCAACUUUUUAUCAUUUACAUGUGCAUAUGUUGUUGACCCAAACACUAUAAGGUGUUGGUAACUUCCUGGUUUACCUGUCCAUAUUUUUUGAGGCGUUUUGAACUUUAUGGAACUCGAAGGGAAUUUGUUAAGCAAGUGACAUGUUGUAUGGAUAGCUUUCGCCUAUAACUUUUUAGGUUAUUUUAUAUUUAUCAACAUGCAUCUUACUCUUUCAAGAAUAGUAUGAUUCAUCCUUUUAGCCAAGCCAUUUUGCUGAGAUGUACUCUUCACUGUUCUUGUUGGGAUUAAGCCCCUAAAGGAAAGACAUGAUGUAACAAAGUUAGAUUUAACUAUCCUCUUGCCAUCCAUUUGGUGUAUUGACAUUAAUUUGAGCAUUUAACUCAUAUCUCUUACAUUAUUAUAUGACUUGGGUGCAUUAGGAGUUGCACACAAGAUACAAGUCAUGAGUUCCUCAUAAGUACAUAAGUUGUCCACAAUUGGUUAAUGGAUUUGGUCAAUCCAAUAAAUAUUGUAGUGCACCACCUCCUAAUUGAAGGGAUGACUUAUCUUGGCCAUUGGGAUGAGUUUCCCAUGAUGAGUGCAUUAGUUUAUGUGAUACAUAUUGGACUAGAUCUAUGGUGAAUCAUGAUGUAAGGCUAUCAAAUGUCAUGAUUCACCAAGCUAUUAUGAUGCAUGGACUCUCAACCUAGAGAGGAUAUUGAGCCUAUGCUGAAAUCAACAGAAGGCUUUGACAUAUGGGAGAGACCCUAAAGUGGUCAUAUAUCCUUAUGGAUUAGGUCACUAUUAAUGGAGGCUAGUAACAAUAGGUAUUCUUAAUAGAGGCAUCAUGAUAUCUCAUGGGCUUGAGAUAGUGUGUCCCCUUGAGUGAUCCAAAGGACAUGUGAUCAUGAAAUUUUUGGCCACAACAAUUCCUUUAGUGAAAUUUGACUUAUGCUCCUUGGAGUUAAAGUUAGAGCAUGUCAGUUAAUCAUAUAAUAAGUGGGAUCUAUAACUCAAGGAUUGGAGAGGUAAUCAUGAUCGGUGAUAGCACUACCUUGUUAGAUUACGAACACCAGUUCAUGGGGAGUUUAUAUGCAAUGGAUAGUAGGAUGUCGUGGACCUGAACUUUGUCUCAUUGUUAUGUACAUGAUUCGUGCCCAAUUGGUGUCUCAGCUGAUUCGUGUCCAGCUGGUGCUCCUUGAUUGAGGGAGUAAUCAACAAAAUUUAUAACCUAUUACACCAUAUACUAGGGUAGCAAAGACAAAGCUACUAUAGUAUAGCGGCUCUAGGAUCGUUCACUGGGAAGGAUUAGCAAGCUAUCAAUGAUACCAAUUCCAAGUGAAUUGGUCUUGUUUCAUUUCAAGGUUAGCUUAAGAAAUAAAACACAAACUUUGAUUGGUAAAGAUUUAAACUAACUAACAUAACAAGUACUCGGAAUAACUUAGGAAGAAAAGCAUUCCUUGGAGAGUUAGGUUCACUGGGGUGGUUCCUCAUGCAAAAGACAUAGCUCCGGUCAGAUGGUUCCUUUCCUCGUGUUAGAGAUUCAACAUAUAGUCACUUCUCUAACCGGUGUUGUACAGCUACCUCCUUUAAUUAGAUUUCACUUUAAUUCUCUCACUGAUGCAACUUGCAAUGGUUUAAGCCUCUCACUAAGCCUUAACCAUUCAAGGUGAUCUUUAACCUUGGAUUACCCGUCAAAAGCUCGCAAGAGAUAACUAAUGGAUGUCUCCUUGGAGUCCAAAAGCUUACCAAGUGUUGGCUAUUCUAGAAAAUCCUACCCUAAAGUCACCUCCCAGAGGCUCGCAAGGGGUAAACUGGUGCAUUUCCAUGGUUGGAAAUCACUUUCCUUACCAAGUGUUGGCCCAAGUGACUCUAAGGUGUUUUAAGUUAACUAAAAACAUAGAAAUCACUAAAGGAUUUCACUUCCUCUUCAUUACUAGCUAAAACCACAAAGCUUUGCAUUCUUGCACUUGGAACCUUCCCCGGCAACCUUAGCUCCAAGGAAUUAGAGGUUUAGUUACUCAUUCUCUGGGGAAAAUUCCUCAGAGAGUUCAUAACUUAGUAAGAAAAUAAAAAUACAAAGUGAGAAGGUAAGGCAAUACAAAGAACUGAACUUUACUUGCUUACCCAAAACUUUACAAAAGGAUCUCCUCUCUAAGAACAGGCUCCCGAGAGGUAUAUAUAUGAACAUAAUAUAAAACUAAUUAUUACAUAGAUAUUUUCUCUUUUUACUAACUUAAAAGCUAAGGAAUCUUGUAAUUGGUGGCUUACAAGGAGUAUUUUGGGAUUUAGACAACAAAAAUCUGAUGUAAAAUAUUUCCCAAUGUCGGUAGCAAAUAUCGGGAUGCUCCAGGAACCAUUUCUCAAGAGAAAAUGGUGUCUGCGAGAUUUCGUAGGCACUCAAGAAGGGAUGCGAAAUCAUUUCGCAAGAACAUGCUAUCUUCGCAGGGCUGCGAAGUUGGCUUCCACCUUGAGGUUCUCAGCUCCCAGCUUGUGGCAUAUAUCGGGCAACUUCAGAAGGAAAUACACCCUACUGUACAAAAAGGCCGCGGAAUCACUUCGCAGCAAAAGGGUGAUUUCGCAACACUUUGGAAAAUGCUUCCUUCAGCUGGGAGUGAUUGGUUUGCAAAGGCUGCAACUUCUUCGUUUCAACUCCGAAUUGCGCACCAUUUGAAGAAUUGGAUUGUUGACUUCCUGAGAUUUGAAAUGGUAUAUAGCAUGCAUCAAUUUGACCUCAGAAAGUGCUCCAAAAGUGGCUGCUACGACUGUCAUCAAGAAUAUGCUUCUUGGCAGAUUCUCUUUACUUUUUCUCCUUGCAUUCCGGAUUUACUCUUGGCAAAUGACUUCCAAGCUUUGCCCAAGAUUCCUCAACACUCUCCUCAAUCUUGAAUUGCUUUGGUGAUCAAAUUACUAACAAAAACACCAAAACUUACACAAAGUGAUUAAAAUUGCUUUCAAGGGUCCUUAAUAUGCUAAUUGAGUUAAAAGGCCAAAACUACUACUCAAAAGCGUUUAAAAGGAUUAAUUAUAAGUUAUCAAAUAGCACUUUUUGAGCAGUAAUCACUCCCCCCAACCGACAUAUUGCUAGUCCCUUAGCAAUAUAGGAGAGAAAAAUGAAAAUAAAAAGCAAACUUAACCUAUAAUGUACAACAUCAUGCUGAACAAAAACAAUUCUCAAGUGGCAUGAUGAUUUAAUUCUCUCAUGAAACAUUAAAGAAAUACAAACCCAAAUUUCAACAAGAGUUAUAACAAACUAUGCUAAACACUUUCAAUCAAGGGAAUGCAUUAUGCAAACUGAAGUUUUAAAAUCAUUUCCACUUUCAAAGAACCAAACUUUAUUCUUCCUCAAAAAUCUAUGUGUAUAGGUUCCUUAGGUUCCGAGAAUAAUAUGCUAAACUAAUCUCUCCCCCCAACCUAUCUCUUUUCAACACUUAGAAAACUGACCAAAAUCAAUAAAGAAAGAACACAUUUUUUUUUUUUUUUUUUAAGGAGGCUUUAUGGGAUACUCUUUCUGAAUUGUCCAUGUAAUGGGGGUCCAUCGAUGACUCCCAACCAAUUAAGGUUUAGGGCAUCAAGCUUUAAGGAUCUUUCAACCACUAACUCCAUGGAUUUUUCCCCGGACUUUUGAGAAUGAAUUUCUAAUACCCAAGCACCUAGCAUAUGCUAACUCUACCUAUUCACCCUUAUAACGAGCAUUGAGGUCGGUGACUCCCAACCAAUUAAGGCUUAGGGCACCAGGCUUUAAAGAUUUUCACCAUAUACCCCUCAGACCUUGCUCGGGUUUUAAGGCAAGCAAACAACUUUCUUUAUUUCAAAGGCUCAUUGGCCUUUUGCAGGGUGUUUCAAUUUUAUCAAAUGAGGUCAAAUAUACCAAGUCCCAAAAUUAUCCUAAGUCAAGAGGGAAAUAGCUUUUCAUGUUAUAAUCGGAAUCUAAUGUGUACAGUGUGUGAAUAGCUUAAAGUGGAAGAACUAAAUUCAAUUUCAAUAGAAGCUUCAACAAUUGAACCACUUUAGUGAGCAUAAUCCAUACUCUAAGUCAAGUGAAAAACAACAGUUCAAUUUCUCCUGUUUCAAUUUGAAAAUUUUUCCUCAAAAUUCAUGGAGAAUAGAGUAAAAAGAGUAAAAAGCAAAAACUACAACUAAUUUACCAAAAUAAUUGCAUUACCAAAAAGGCUUAGCAUACUUCCUUUAAUUUAGCAUAACUUCCUUCAUCAUUCCCCCCCAACCGAACCGAGCAUUGUCCUCAAUGUGAUAUGAGUGACUGUAAUUAAAGGGAGGAAGUGGUACCUCCUGAGUGAUAUCAAAUUCGAAUACUAAUUGGAGAAACCACAUGUUUAAAAAAGAAUAGAAUAUGUGAGAAAAGGAAAUAAGAAUAAGUUAAUGCUAACUGUUAACAAAAAAAUAUUAAACUUGUAUUACUUUGAAUCCAUUUGAGUACACUGAAAAAGAAAAGCAAUACAAGCAAUCCCAAAUAUAGUACCAAAAUAAUGGGAUUUCUUUCAAACUAAAAAUGAAAUACAUAAAACAAAGAUAGUAGAUAUAUAUAUAAUGAUCUAAUGAGUGGGUGGUGCUGGGGCUAGGCAGAUGGGUCUGCCUCUUCAGUUGGUGCUUCAGCUGGGGCUUGAGGCUCUGAGGGAUGAGAGUGUGGAUCUGCUGGAGUAGAAGUGGAGGGCUCAACAGCUGGUGGCAGGUCGAAAUGAAGCUGAAACUGCCUUAAGAUGACAGUGUGUUGAGCCUGAGUGGCCAACAUCUGCUCUUGGCAUGCUCUAAUGGCUGCCAUCUCUUGAGCUAGACUGCUCUGAGAUGUUGUGAGGGUCUCCAAUGCACGGCACAACUCUCGAUAUUCAGAAAUGGGUAUGGCCAUCCUCGGCUCAGCUGAAAUGGAUGGCUGAGAUGAAGCUGGAGCAGCUGGUGGAGCUCUGGGAAUGGCAGGAGCAGCAACUGUGAUACCCUCAGGUAUGUGUCGUGGGGAUGCUCUCCUUGUAGUUGGCUGAGGACGCUCAGGCUGGUCAACUCUAUAAGCUGUCAUGUUGUUCCAUUUGUCGAGAGUAAAAAGCUCACGACAAAUGCGCUUUCGCUCCAACUGAGGCUCAGAAGGAUAUCCCAAGUGCUCCAGAAUUUGGCAUAGCAGCCUUGGAAAGAGGAGGGGAAUGCAAUCAGCUCUCUGAAGCUUCUUUUUGUGUACAUUAUCUUCGAAAUAGAGAAGGACUGCCAGAAUCAGAUGAUGAGGCCCAAAGAAAAAUCCUUCAGACAUCUUGUAUAGGGCUUCUAAGAGGACUCCUCUUCUUUGAGUCCAAUGCUGCAAUGGGUAGAGGUUAUGACGCAAAAAUGCAUCAAUCAAAAACAUGAUUGGAGGAAGCUCCCCCCUCAACAGAUGUGAUCGAUUGGCAGCUCCUCUGGAUAGGGUGCGCACCAUCUCCAGCUCAGUAGGAUUGGUCCAAGCUCUAAAAUUAUCGAAUUGGGUUGGCUCAUAGGGAAUUUGCAAGGCUUCAGCUAUAUGGCGUGCUCCCAAUAUGCCAUGCCUCCCAUCAAUAGUGAAAUGAAUUAAAGUUGGAUCCCUGACCUGGUUAGUUGUCAUGGAUUGAUAGAAAUCCAUGGCUACCCUUGGGUAGAAAAAGUCUCUUGGAGUCAGUAGGUGCUCCAUAUGGUAUCUCCUCAGCAGGUUGAAUGUCUGUGCAAGCUCCGGCUGCAAUCGGAAUGCGGCUAUGUCAAAGCAUAGCUCAGAGUGGAAUGGCCGAGCUCUACAGUCCAAAUUUCCCUCAAUUGGGGGCUGAGUUAGCAUUGGCCUCUUGAUUAUUUCUUCCGGAGCUAUUUCGGAUUGAAUUUGGGGCUCUGGAAGUGGCGGCUAAGGCUCCUGAGAUUUCGCUUGCGGCGCCAGAAAUGGCACCGGCGACGGAACUGGCGAGGAUACCGGAGAUGGAACUGGAGUUGGAACCGGUGAUGGCUCUGGAGAUUGCUCCGUCUAGUCGAUGGGUUCUGAGCUUUCAACCCUGGGUCUCUUUUGCAGUGGCCGACCCCCUGACCUGGUAAGGUAACGUCUCGCCAGAGGCUUUGGCGGCGCUGGCUUCACCGGAGGAGGAGUUGCUUUCAGCUGCGAAGGCUCAGAAACGGGAUCCGGGACUGGCUCCUUUCGCAAGCUUCUCUUGCGGCUUGAAGGGGAGGAAGACUUGGCCCCUCUGGUUUGCGCCAUUUCGGGUUACCGAAAUUUGGCCAGAGCGGAUGGUCGGAGAAGAUGAUCGGAGGCUUGCGCGGUGAGGCUUGAGGAAGGAGAUGGACGGUCUGCGAGAAUGGACGGUAUAAUUUUGAAACCCUUUUCGCAGCUCAAAUGACCGGUAUAAAUAGGAAUAACGGAAGACUAAGGGUCAGUUUGAGUUUCGCAGUAAAAUGCCAUUUUCGCAGCUACUUCGCAAUGCGUUUCGCAGCUGCGAAAUUAAUGUUACUGUGCUGCGAAGUGGCACACGUGUGUCAAAAUCUCCUUCGCAAUUGCGAAAUACCCUGCGGAAUGGGACUUUUGUUGCGAAAUCUGGGCUUUACCACUUCGCAAGUCGUUUCGCAGCUGCGAAAUGGGGGCUCCUGUGCUGCGAAGUGGCACUCGUGUGCCAAACUUGCCUUCGCAGCUGCGAAAAUUCUCGCAGAGAAUCCCAAAGUGUUGCAGAAUGAUUUGGCAACAAAAUGCUCAUUUCGCAAAAGUUUUCUUUAGGCUGCGAAAUCUCGCAGAGCUCUGUUUUUGCUCUGUUUCACUCUGUUUUUGCUCCGAUUUCGAUCCGAUUUUUUCUCUUUCAAUUUCCUUGAAAUUUCUUCCACCUGAGAUCAUUUAAAAAGAUUAAAACACACCUAAAAACAUGAUUUAAGAUCAAAAACUAAGAUCAAAUGUAUGGAAAAAAACUUGAAAAUUUACAAAAUUUACAAAAAUUUUGGACUGUGGUAAACCAUGUCUAGCAAACCCUUCUUUGCUUAGGCUUUUUGAGGCUCAAGGAGGUUGAUAUCCUCCUUUUCUAGUUUGAAUGGCUCCAUUAAUGGCUUGAGACGAUAUCCAUUGACUUUGAAGGUGUCCUUGCCAUUUGAAUUCAAUAAUUCCACAUCUCCAUUGGAACAUACUCGGUGAAUUAUGAACGGGCCUAUCCACCUUGACUUGAGCUUCCCAGGAAAGAUAUGGAGUCUUGUGUCAUACAGUAAAACUCUUUACCCUUCCUGAAAUUCCUUAUUGGAGUUUAGUUGAUCAUGCCACUUCUUCAUCCUCUGUUUUGCAACUUUGGAAUUGAUAUAGACAUUAUUUCUUAAUUCCUCCAUCUCAUUAAGGUCUAGAUAUAUUUUUUCUCCGGCUCUGAUCAAGUCCAUGUUCAGCUUCUUUAUUGCCCACCAAGCUUUGUAUUCAACUUCCACAGGGAGAUGGCACGCUUUGCCAUAGACAAGACGAUAGGGAGACAUGCCAAGAAUAGUCUUAUAAGCUGUUCUAUAUGACCACAAUGAAUCAUGAAGCUUAAUAGACCAAUCUUUUCUGCUGGAAUUCACCACUUUCAUCAAUAUGUUCUUUAUUUACCUCUUAGCUAGCUCAACUUGCCCGGAAGUCUGAGGAUGAUAAGGUGUAGCCACCUUAUGCUUCACUCCAUACUUGGAUAACAGAGCUUCAAAAGGUUUGUUGCAAAAAUGAGCACCUCCAUCACUGAUUAUGGCUUUGGGUACCCCAAAUCUCGAAAAAAUGUUCUCUUUAAGGAAUUUGAGAACCACCCUGUGAUCAUUUUGUUUACAAGGGAUUGCCUCAACCCAUUUAGAAACAUAAUCCACCCCCACCAAGAUGUAAGAAUUACCAAAAGACAUUGGGAAAGGUCCCAUGAAGUCAAUACCCCAUACAUCAAAUAGCUCAACUAUUAGAAUGGGGUUCAUAAGCAUUUGAUUUAUUUUUGUUAACUUUCCAAGCCGUUGGCAUCUGUCACAACUUCUACACAUGAUGUAGGCAUCUUUGAAAAGAGAUGGCCAAAUAAACCCUGAUUGCAAUACUUUCAUGGCUGUUUUCUGAGAGGCAAAGUGGCCUCCACAUGCAUUCUCAUGACAAUGAUAUAGAAUCCCUUGCUGCUCAUCUUCAGGGACACACUUCCUUAUGAUCUGAUCUGCACAAUACUUAAAAAGAAAGGGCUCUUCCCAAUAAUAAGCAUGAAUUUUGGCAAAGAAGUGCUUCCUGUCCUGUGCAUUCCACUCACUUGGAAUUUCUCCAGUUACUAAAUAAUUAGCAAUAUGAGCAUACCAAGGAGUUUUCACUAGGAACAUGAGUGAUUUUUCAGGAAAAUCAUCAUUAAUAGGCAAGGGAUGGGAAUUAUGUGCUAUAACUAACCUUGAAAGGUGGUCAGCUACCACAUUCUCCACUCCUUUCUUAUCUUUGAUUUGAAGAUCGAAUUCUUGUAACAAAAGAAUCCAUCUAAUCAACCUUGCUUUUGCAUCUUGCUUUGUCAAUAAAUACUUCAAGGCUGAAUGGUCAGUGAAGACAAUGAUGAAAGACCCCACUAAAUAAGCACGAAAUUUGUCCAAAGCAAAUACCACAGCUAACAAUUCUUUCUCUGUAGUUGUGUAGUUCCUUUGAGCUUCAUUCAGUGUUUUGCUUGCAUAGUAAAUCACAUAGGGCUUCCCAUCUUCCCUUUGGCCAAGCACAACUCCUAUAGCAAAGUCACUGGCAUCACACAUCAGUUCAAAAGGUAAUUGCCAGUUAGGGGCUCUCACUAUUGGAGUUGUUGUUAAAAAUUUCUUCAGUUGAUCAAAGCUGUUUUGACAUCUUUCAUCCCAUAUAAACUUAGCAUCCUUAGCUAACAGCUCACAAAGAGGUUUUGAAAGACUUGAAAAACCUUUUAUAAACCGCCUAUAGAACCCUACAUGGCCAAGGAACUGUCUUACUCCUUUCACAGUUGUUGGGGAUGGUAAUUUGACAAUAAGCUCCACCUUUGCUUUAUCAACUUCAAUGCCUUUUUCAGAGAUGAUAUGGCCAAGGACAAUUCCUUGACGUACCAUAAAAUGGCAUUUCUCCCAAUUGAGCACCAGGUCUUUUUCAAUGCAUCUGUGAAGAACUGCUUCCAAAUUGACUAAGCAUUCCUCAAAUGUACCUCCAUAUACGGUGAUGUCAUCCAUGAAAACCUCCAUAAUUAGUUCCACCAUAUCACUGAAAAUACUCAGCAUACAUCUUUGAAAUGUAGCAAGUGCAUUGCAUAAACCAAAAGGCAUUCUCCUGUAAGCAUAUGUUCCAAAUGGACAUGUAAAAGUGGUUUUUUCCUGAUCUGCCAAAUAAAUUUCAAUCUGAAAAUACCCUGAAUACCCAUCCAAGAAACAAUAGAACGGAUGUCCAGAGACUCUCUCCAGCACUUGGUCAAUAAAUGGCAAUGGAAAAUGAUCCUUCCUGGUUACAGCAUUCAGCUUUCUAUAAUCAAUACACACUCUCCAACCUGAAGUGAGGCAUGUAAGUAACUUCUUCUCCUUUUUCAUUCUGAACCACUGUGAUUCCUAACUUCUUUGGUACCACUUGAGUAGGACUCACCCAAGGGCUAUCAGAUAUAGGGUAGAUGAUUCCUGCUUGAAGUAGCUUCAGCACCUCAGCUCGCACCACCUCUUGUAAAUGAGGAUUCAAUCUUCUUUGAAGUUGACGAAUUGGCUUUGUCUCCUUCUCCAUAUAUAUAUGAUGAGUACAAACUAAAGGACUAAUGCCUUUCAAGUCGGAUAUUUGCCAUCCUAUUGCCUUCUUACACCUCUUGAGAACUUCCAUUAAACAAUUCUCUUGAUGACUGGUCAGAGAUGAAGAUAUCACAACAGGACAUUGAUUAUUUUCUUCAAGAUAUGUAUAUUUCAGCUCCACAGGUAGAGACUUCAGAUUGAGUUUUGGAAUUUCUUUUUCAGCAACUGCCUCCUCUUCUUCAUUGAACAAAGGUAGAAUCUCUUCUAUCUUUCUCCAACUUUGUAGAGUAGCAAGCAUAGUAGGAGAUUCAGACAAACCUUCCUCAAAAUCCACAAGACUUUCAUUCAACUUGUCUUGCAUAUUUUGAUUACAGUGCUCCUCCACCAAAGUGUCAAUAAUGCACAGCUCUUCUGGACCCUCUUCUUCUUCCGGAGUGAUUUGCUUUUUAGACAUAUAGAAAAUAUUGAGAUCAAGUGUCAUGUUGCCAAAAGUGAGUUGCAUCAGUCCAUUCCUGCAGUUGAUGAUUGCAUUUGAGGUAGCAAGAAAUGGCCUUCCAAGGAUGAUAGGAACUAAAUUAGCUUCCUUUAUAGUAGGAUCUGUAUCAAGAACAAUAAAAUCUACUGGAUAGUAGAAAUUAUCCACUUGAACCAAUACAUCCUCAAUUACCCCCCUUGGAAUUUUCACUGAUCUAUCUACUAGAGAUAAAGUGAUUGCUGUUGGCUUCAACUCUCCAAGUCCCAAUUGCUUGUAGACGGAAUAUGGAAGCAAAUUCACACUUGCUCCCAAGUCUAACAAGGCUUUCUCCACUACCUUUCCUCCAAUCAUGACUGAAAUGGUAGGACUUCCUGGGUCUUUGUACUUCAAAAGAGACUUACAUUGUAAGAUUGCACUUACUUGCUCAGUCAAGAAGGCUUUCUUAUUUACAGUCAACCCUCUUUUGAUAGUACAUAAGUCCUUAAGGAAUUUUGCAUACGUUGGAACUUGUUUAAUCAUAUCCAGCAGUGGAAUAUUGACUUUCACUUGUCUCAAUACUUCAAGGAUUUCAGCUGCAUUUCUAAUCCCCUUUUUCCCAUGUAAUGCUUGAGGAAAAGGUGGAGAGGUUGAUUUCUUCAGCAUUUCUUCCUUCAUAAGUUCCUUCUCUGGAAUUGCAUUCAUUGUUGAAUCAGAGUCCUUCUUUUCUUCACUGAUCUCACUCUCUUUAUCUUCCAUUUCCUUCCCUUUCUUUAUCUCUUCUUCAUUAUCAACAUGUGGCUUGGGUGUUGGUUGCUCAAUUUUUUUACCACUCCUUAGAGUGAUCAAGGCGUUCACAUCUUUCACCUGUGAUGAUUCUCCCUCUUGGCUUUCCACUUCAUGGACACCUUUGGGAUUUUGGUGAGGUUGAGAAGGAAAUCUUCCCUUUUCUUGUAGUGUAUUCAAAUUUGUAAGCCUUGAAAUUGAAUAUUGGAUGUUAUCAAACUUUUGGUUCAUAUCAUUUUGCAUUCCAUCCAUCCUUUUAUUCAACAUACUCUCCACUCUAUCAAUUCUUUGAUAGAUUUGAGCAUUGGUGGCUUCUUGCUUUCCAACAAAAUCUCCCACUACCUUGCUGAGAUUAGCCAUUACUUGUUCAAGACUUGAAGAUUGUUGAGAUGGUGGAUCCGGCUGUUGGUAUUGAGUUGCUCUGGCCUUCCAUGAGAAAUUUGGAUGAUUCCUCCAACUUGAGUUGUAGGUAUUUCCAUAAGGCGCAUUGUUAUUGGGCUUGAAUUGCCCAAUAACUUUUGCUUGAUCUCUAAACAUUUCCCUUUCAGCUGAAAUUGCAGGGCAUUCCUCCACCAAAUGUUCAUAUGAUUGACAAUUAGGACACAGCUUCACUUGCACUGGUGCUUCAGCAACAGCUUGCACUUCAUGUAUUCUUUUCAGCUCCAGCUCCUCCAAUCUUCUUGUCAUAGCUGCCAACUUUGCUUUCAUAUCAUCAUCUUCUUUCAAGGUAUACAUCCCAGCCUUUGUAUUGAAAGCAUUCGGUUGAGACUUCAUCUUCCCCACUUCUCCUUUAGUUGGUUCAUCCCAUCCCCUUGAAACAUCAGCUAUAUAGCUCAAGAAAUCCAUAGCUUCCUCUGGAUUUUUUCUCAUGAAAUCUCCUCCACACAUUGUCUCGAGGAGUUGCUUCAUUGAGGAGGACAUACCAUCAUAGAAAUAGCUCACCAGUAACCAAGUAUCAAAGCCAUGGUGAGGGCAAGCAUUUAUAGCUUCCAUAUAUCUUUCCCAACACUCAUAGAAUUUCUCAUUCUCUUUAGCUGAGAAGUUUGAAAUUUGACUUUUCAAGCCAUUUGUUCUAUGAGUGGGAAAAAAUUUCUUGAGGAAUUCAGCUUGUAAGUCAGUCCAAGAACGGAUACUCCUUGGCCUUAAAGAAUUAAGCAAAAUUUUGGCCUUAUCCUUUAAAGUAAAAGGAAAUAACUUAAGCCUCAUCAAAUCAAUUGAAGCUCCUCCCUCUUGGAAUGUAUUACAAACAUCUUCAAAUUCCUUGAUAUGUGCAUACGGAUUCUCACUUUCCAUCCCAUGGAAAGUUGGUAGAAGUGGAACAAGAUACGGUCUGAUCACUAGCUGCUCUGUAGGGGGCACUAUACAUGAUGGUGCACUCAUACGAGGUGGAUGCAUACGGUCCCUCAUUGAUCUGAAUUCAUUGAGAUUGUCUUGACGACCUUGGUGACUAUGCUGAUCUUCAGGUGUAGCUUCCAUGAUAUUCAAGCUUACUUCGAAUUCUCUUCUCUGAGGUGUAUCACACUUAACAAGCCUUCCUCCACUGUCUCGUAUCCACUUUGGCAUACACAACUAGUAUCUAUCUGCAACUUAAUGAAAAUAAAGAACAACAACAGAAACAGGGCUACAACAACAAAAUUAAUCUAGGCUAAAUUUUAAAAUAUAAACUUAGAUUAUGAAUAAAUAAAUAAAGAAUGAGAAUUAGUAAAGUGAAAGAAACGUUACCAACUUGUGAUGAAAAUCACAAGUGCUCAAAAAUGGUAUCACUAUAAAUUUGACACCUUCCCUGGCAACGACGCCAUUUGAUUCGUGCCCAAUUGGUGUUUCAGAUAAUUCGUGUCCAGCUGGUGCUCCUUGAUUGAGGGAGUAAUCAACAAAAUUUAUAACCUAUUACACCAUAUACUAGGGUAGCAAAGACAAAGCUACUAUAGUAUAGCGGCUCUAGGAUCGUUCACUGGAAAGGAUUAGCAAGCUAUCAAUGAUACCAAUUCCAAGUGAAUUGGUCUUGUUUCAUUUCAAGGUUAGCUUAAGAAAUAAAACACAAACUUUGAUUGGUAAAGAUUUAAACUAACUAACAUAACAAGUACUCGGAAUAACUUAGGAAGAAAAGCAUUCCUUGGAGAGUUAGGUUCACUGGGGUGGUUCCUCAUGCAAAAGACAUAGCUCCGGUCAGAUGGUUCCUUUCCUCGUGUUAGAGAUUCAACAUAUAGUCACUUCUCUAACCGGUGUUGUACAGCUACCUCCUUUAAUUAGAUUUCACUUUAAUUCUCUCACUGAUGCAACUUGCAAUGGUUUAAGCCUCUCACUAAGCCUUAACCAUUCAAGGUGAUCUUUAACCUUGGAUUACCCGUCAAAAGCUCGCAAGAGAUAACUAAUGGAUGUCUCCUUGGAGUCCAAAAGCUUACCAAGUGUUGGCUAUUCUAGAAAAUCCUACCCUAAAGUCACCUCCCAGAGGCUCGCAAGGGGUAAACUAGUGCAUUUCCAUGGUUGGAAAUCACUUGCCUUACCAAGUGUUGGCCCAGGUGACUCUAAGGUGUUUUAAGUUAACUAAAAACAUAGAAAUCACUAAAGGAUUUCACUUCCUCUUCAUUACUAGCUAAAACCACAAAGCUUUGCAUUCUUGCACUUGGAACCUUCCCCGGCAACCUUAGCUCCAAGGAAUUAGAGGUUUAGUUACUCAUUCUCUGGGAAAAAUUCCUCAGAGAGUUCAUAACUUAGUAAGAAAAUAAAAAUACAAAGUGAGAAGGUAAGGCAAUACAAAGAACUGAACUUUACUUGUUUACCCAAAACUUUACAAAAGGAUCUCCUCUCUGAGAACAGGCUCCCAAGAGGUAUAUAUAUGAACAUAAUAUAAAACUAAUUAUUACAUAGAUAUUUUCUCUUUUUACUAACUUAAAAGCUAAGGAAUCUUGUAAUUGGUGGCUUACAAGGAGUAUUUUGGGAUUUAGACAACAAAAAUCUGAUGUAAAAUAUCUCCCAAUGUCGGUAGCAAAUAUCGGGAUGCUCCAGGAACCAUUUCGCAAGAGAAAAUGGUGUCUACGAGAUUUCGCAGGCACUCAAGAAGGGCUGCGAAAUCAUUUCGCAACAACAUGCUAUCUUCGCAGGGCUGCGAAGUUGGCUUCCACCUUGAGGUUCUUAGCUCCCAGCUUGCGGCAUAUAUCAGGCAACUUCAGAAGGAAAUACACCCUACUGUACAAAAAGGCUGCGGAAUCACUUCGCAGCAAAAGGGUGAUUUCGCAACACUUUGGAAAAUGCUUCCUUCAACUGGGAGUGAUUGGUUUGCAAAGGAUGCAACUUCUUCGUUUCAACUCCGAAUUGCACACCGUUUGAAGCAUUGGAUUGUUGACUUCCUGAGAUUUAAAAUGGUAUAUAGAAUACAUCAAUUGGACCUCAGAAAGUGCUCCAAAAGUGGCUGCUACGACUGUCAUCAAGAAUAUAUUUCUUGGUAGAUUCUCUUUACUUUUUCUCCUUGCAUUCCGGAUUUACUCUUGGCAAAUGACUUCCAAGCUUUGCCCAAGAUUCCUCAACACUCUCCUCAAUCUUGAAUUGCUUUGGUGAUUAAAUUACUAACAAAAACACCAAAACUUACACAAAGUGAUUAAAAUUGCUUUCAAGGGUCCUUAAUAUGCCAAUUGAGUUAAAAGGCCAAAACUACUACUCAAAAGCGUUUAAAAGGAUUAAUUAUAAGCUAUCAAAUAGCACUUUUUGAGUAGUAAUCAGUACAUAUGGUAUUGGAGUGUAGUUGAUUCUCUUUAAUGGAAUGUUAAAUCAAUUUCAAAUUUGGAUUUUGAUGGAGCAAAUACUCCUAUGGGUCCUAGUGGUUCUCGCUUUGAGCUUAUAUACUAGGUAACACAUUUUAUGAGGGUUGGAUUGACUCUAGGUUGAUUCUUGUGCAUAAGAGAAUUUUGGUAACUACGCAAGGUUGCAUAAGGGAUAAUGAACAAGGUAUUUGGUUUGGGCUAAUUGAUCAAUUAGAUGACCCUAUAUAGUUAAUUAAUCAAUUAAGAGCCAUUUUGGGCUAGACUAAGUGACUCAUGCCUUGAUGGGCUUAAGUCACUUAAGCACAAUCGACAACCUUAUAAAUACCCCUUUAUGGGUUAGCAUUUCCUAAUGACUUUUAAUGAGAGUUGUUUUCCACCUCUAGAGAAAGAGAGAGAGAAAGUCAUAGCCUCAUCCCUUUUGUUGCGCACACUUUAGAGUGCCAGGAUUGUGGUUCAAGUCAUCGGGUGGAGGAUCUUGGGUAUAUGAGACCUUCUUAGAUGAGAGGCUACAUCACAUGGACAUGCGUAGAGCACAUGCACAAGAUGUGCAUAGGCCAUGUGCAUGGGAAUUGCAUGACACAUGCACAUGGGCAGUAGCAUGAGGAGAGAGACUCUCUAGUUUUUCCAAGUAUGUUCUUCAUCGGAUGGAUUUUGAUCUGGGAACAUCUAAAUCACAUGUAUGAGUUUCAAAUCUCUAGAUCUAUAGUUAUUAAUGGUUUUCAUUGCUAAUUUAUUCCACUACGAUAGAUUUACAAAUGCCUAGGGAUAGAUGCAUGCACCCUAUGAGAUCCAAGGUAUAGGAACGAAGUAUUAAUCUAGUGGUUCCCAAGUAAUGAUAAUAGUAAGAUAUCAAGAUUGAACCUAGCACUAAUUAAACAUCUGGUAUUUAGACCUAACUCAUAUUAAUCUAAAUAGGAUCCAAAGAUUGGUAAAGUCUAGACUCUUUGAUUCCAAAAGAUCUUCUAGUUUACGAAUCCUAUAUAGAUGGUAAAAUGAUCAAGAGUACUAGAGGUAAGGAAUAUUUGGAGUUAGUGCAUACUAACAUGUAUGGAACUUUUAGAGUCUAUGCAUGGGGAGGGUAUGGGUAUUUCAUCACUUUUAGUAAUGAUUACUUUAGGUUUGGAUAUGUACAUAGGAAAUCCGAUGCCUUGGAUACAUUCAUUGAAUUUAAGGCGAGAUAGAAUAACCUAUUGGGUAUACAUACCAAGUCAUUUCAAUUAUAUCAAGUUGAUAUGUUUGGUAAGUUUGAUUCUUUCUGUUAGAGCAUAUGAUUAUUUUCUAGUUAUGUUCAUCAAGGUCUCUACUGAAAAACGAAUAAGUGGAAAGAAGAUAUCAAACUUGGAUGGACAUAGUAAGAUUGUGGAUAGGUUUCUCAUAUUUUCUCAAAUUCUUUUGGGGAUAUGUCUUAUAGAUUGUGUAAUUACUUUUUUUUUUUUUUUUUUUGCUUUCUUAAGAGGUGUAUUAGUUUAUAGGAUAUCUAAGAGGAUUUUUGGGUUAUAUUGUAGUCAAAAUCAUCAAAAGAUAUUUGUUAACAUAAAUGUCCCAUUUUUCAUGAAAAUUAUAUGAUAAGGAAGAAGGCAUAGAGUGAUAUCGAUUGGAGGAUAUAUUAGAAGAUAGUCCCACAUUGCAUAGGAUACUAUGGAUCCAGAGAGUUAAAGACAUACCAUUCCUAUGAUUUCUAGUACACCAGUACCUCAUCAUAGUGGGAAGUUUAUAUCCCACAGAUAAUGAUGAAGCGGUGAGCAAUGUUUAUGCUCACUUAAGGCAAGGAUGUGUGAUCAUGAAAUCUAUGAACCCAUAGUAAUUCAUUUAGUGAAAUUUGAGAUAUGGUCUUAGUGAGUUAGAGUAUGUUAUUUAAUCACAAAAUAAGAUGAUCUAUAAGUCAAAGAUUGUAAAGGUAGUCUUGAAAGGAUGAUAACUUUCACCUUGUUAGACUACGAACAACCAAUUCAUGGGAAGACUAUAUACAAUAGAUAGCAAGUCACAAACUUGAGCACUUGGUGUUUCGCUGUAAUAUACAUAGGGUUCUAGAGUACAAUUAACUCUCUAUAGUAGGAUAUUGAGUUAACUUUAGAAUUGGAUUCUAAGGGAUCUAGUAUUGUCCUAUGGUUCCAUUGGUCUCUACUAAAGCUCAUCUUCCUUGAUAGCAUGGUUUAUGAGAGUUGGAUAGGUUUUUAGUUCACUCGUGUGCAUAAAGGCAUUUUGGUAAUUGCAUAAGGUUACACAAGGGUAACUGUGCAGUAUCUUCGAACUUGGUUAAUUGAUUAAUUGGAGCCUUAUUUUGUUAAUUAAUCAAUUAGCAACCUUUUUGGGCUAAAUUAAGUGACCCACACCCCUAGUGGGCUCAAGUCACUUAAGCAUAGUAGGAGUAUAAAUACCUUUCUCAAGGGUUUGGGUUUCUAAUUCAAUCUUGUCAUUCUCUCCCCAUAGUCUAGAGAGAAAACCCUAGUCUUCAACCUUGAGAUUUCCAUCAUUUCAGUGCCUAGACUCAAGGAGGAGUCAUCGAGUGGAUGAUUAUGGGUUUAUAAGAUCUUUCUUAAAUUUGGAGCUUUCUACAUUAACAAGAAUUGAUUUGGGAACAUCCGAAUAAUACGUAUAACACUUUUCUCUAGAUCUAUGAUAUGUUUUUUAAAUACCAAAGUUUUCAACUAUGCUUAGAUCUAGAAAGCAUAAGAUAGGAUUACAUGCACCCUAAUAAUCCAAGGCCUAGGAAUAUAGCGAUCUAAGGUUUCCUACCAAAUAUAACCCAAUAAGUAAGAAUGAUUUAUAGGAACUAAAAUUUCUUUCAAAAAGAAAAGAAGUUUAUUGGAGUAAGAUAAGUAUACAAGAGAAGGAAAAAUGCAAAAGGAGUAGACAAAUACAAAGCAACAUUGGUGCAAAGGAUUACAAGCAAGAAUAAUGCACCAACAAGACGAGGGCAUUUGCUCUCAUUGCUCUUUUAGUAACUAUAAGAUUAAAAAUCUCUUUGAUAGCUUAAAUUAGUUGAAAAUUUUCAAAUGGAUGUGAAAUCCAAUUUUUUGAAUUGACAUCUGGAAGAAGUGUAUGUAGAAUAAACCAUAGUUGGUAUACAUAUAUAGGCAUGAGAAUAAAGUUCCAAAAUUGAAAAUAGCCUUGUAUGGAAUAAAACAAACACUAAGAGCAUGGAAUAAUAGAAUUGACCAAUAUUUUCACGAUAAUAAUUUUGUUUGAUACCUUAAUGAACAUGCUCUUUACAUAAAAGUGAAAGAAAAAAGUGAUAUAUUACUUAUUUGUUUGGAUGUGAAUUAUUUGAUCUUUAUUGGAACUAAUCCAAUCAUGUUUAGUGAGUUCAAAGAAGUAAUAGGACAAAAGUUUGAGAUGAUUGGAUUAGUCUCAUAUCAUACUCUCUUGCCAUAGACUUGAAGACAAUUGAAAAGAGUACUUUUUAUUUCUCAAGAAGACCAUGCAAAAUAAAUUUUUAGAAAGUUUAACUUGAAUAUGUGUAAUAUGGUAAACACAAUAAUAUAAUGCAAAGCUAAAUUAUCAAAGACAUGUAGAAGGAGAAAAAGUGGAUUCAACAUAACAUAAAAUCUUAGUUGGAACCAUACACUAUUUGACUCAUACAAGUUCAAACAUUCUCUUUGGAGUUGGAUUUGUCCAUCAUUAUAUGGAAGCACUAAUGAUUAUUUACACUAAGACCUCCUAGUGAAUUUUUCACUACAUCAACGACACAUUUGAUUAUGACUAAUAUUAUUCACCUUUAACAAUUUUAGACUUGUUGGAUAUAAUGAUAGUGAUUAAGGUGGAGACUUGGAUGAUACAAAGAGAACCAAUAGCUUUGUAUUCAUCAUGGGAGAGAUACCAUGUUCACUUGGACUUCAAAGAAGCAACCUAUUAUGAAACUUUCAAUCUAUGAAGUGGAAUUUGUGAAAAUGUUUACAAAAUCUCAUAAUCAAAUUGUGAAAACGUUUACAAAGUCUCUCAAGUUUAAUGAUUUUAGAAUGCUAAAGAUGCUACUUUUACAAAUCAAGUUGAAGGCAUGAGUGAAAAUGUUGACAAAGUUUAAAAUUUUUAGAAAACUAAGGAUGCAUUUUUACAAACCAAGUUGAAGGGAGGAUGCUAGUUAACCUAGAUUUAGGAAGUUUCUAAAAAUUAGAAUUUGAGUUGGAUUCUAAAAUGCUUGAUUUAGUUUGUAUAUUUGUUAGUACAAGAUUUUAUAUUUUACCAUUAUGAGUAUCUUUUUUUGUUUUUUUAGGAGUUAAUAUCUAUAAAUAAGAUGUUAAUAUCUAAAUAUAUAAUUAAAAUUGUUGUGUUUGCAAUUUUAAUGAAAUCUAGCAUUGGAUACUUAACUACAUCCCACAAAACGACAAAAAAAUGGUGGCGAUUUCAUGGAGGCUAACCAUUCACUAGCCUUUAGCCAAGUUGUGUUUCAACAGUAAAGUAAUUACCUCAGUCAAAACACAAAAUUUAGUUUUCUAAACAAUUAUUGUUCUUGGAAAACAUGCAAGGAAUUUAAGCAACUUAAGGUACUUAAGCAAUCCUAGUUGGACGUCCAGUAUUCAGAUCUUUUCAUUAAUUGGUUUUUCUCUUUUUGUACCAACACCUGCUCUCUCUCUCCAGCAUGCAAGCAUAAGUGGUAGGCACCUCUUUUGUGCUUUAAAUUAAUUGAAUACUUUAUCUUAUUCCGCCAUUCUUUUGGGUCUAACCCAAAAAUACAUUUACCAUGCCUUCUUUUCAUGUCCUCAACUUACUCAUAAGUCCCAUUGGAUAUGAUGUACUGAGUUUCAGAUUUUUCAAGUAAAAUUAUCAACAUCGUCUAGCAUAUAUACUAAUAGGUUAUACUCUUUUCAACAGUUUAAAUUGUUUUUGUUAAUAGAUUAUAUGGAUGUUUUAACACUCAGAGAAAUUGAAAUGCAGCCAAAUAUGCAGAAAAAAAAAAUGGUUGUGACUAAUAGUUAUAUUUAUUCUCUUUUAUUUCUGUUGAUACUCAAAUUUUUAGGGAUAGAGCAUCAACAAUCCUUGUGAUGAGUUACUAAUGUUGAGAAAAGUCAAUGACUACACAAUGUAGCUUAAAACCACAUAUGUCAUCAAAGAAGACAUCAAUAAUCACCCCCACACAAUGAUAUGUUGUAUAAUUCAUUACUUGUAUCAAACACAAAUUUCCUUCAAUGUGUGUCUAUGAAUAAAAGAGAGUUCUUGGUUUAUAUUCGACAUACACGCUAUAUAGGCCAUGCUAAAAGCAAUUGAUAACAAGAAUCUCAACACUGAAGUCCACGUAGAAUCAAGUGUGCACCAUAUUGGGGUUGCAUAGUUAGGAUACUGAAGGGAGCAUGAGCAUAGGAUGGCGAAAGUUCAAAUGAGAAGUGUUGUAAGAUCAUUGCCAAAGCUAUUUUUGCCUCCAUCAUUGCAAAAUUUUGUCCAAUGCAUACCCGAGGACCCCAACCAAAUGGGAAAAAUGAAACUUGGUUUUUUGUUGCCUUCAAAACUGCUUCUGCAAACCUCUUUGGAUUAAACUCCUUUGCAUCAUCCCCCCAAAUUUCAUGAUCAUGGUGAACUAGGAUGGUGGGCAACACGACCUGCACUCCAACUGGAAAACACAUGUCUCCCACUUGAGUGUCCUUAUAAACAGCUCUAUGAAGCAUUGCUACUAGUGGGUAUAACCUAAGAACCUCAUGAAAAAUCAUGGUAACCUGUGGUAGAGAAACUUUAGAAGUUGUUGCAUGAGAAUUCCUACUAAAAUACAUUCUAAAUCAGUAUGAAGGACACUGAAGAAUAAAGCAAUUUCUUAAAAUAGUGAUGCAGAAGAGAAAAUGUUCUAAAUCAUGCAUAACAAAAUAUCAAGUAUGCAAAGGACAUUGCAUAUCCCAUGCAUAUAACAACUUAAGAACCUCAUGAAAAAUCAUCAUAAUCUAGCAGAGGAAUUUGAAAUCAUGGCAUGAGAACCCGUUCCUGAGGUACUAAGUGAAAGCAAAUGUUUAGUACAAGAUAUAAAAACUUAAGAGAAACGUGUUUUCAAUUUUACUCCAAUUAUGGGGAAAAAAACAGAGUACUAUAUGAUUUUAGUGAGAAUCACUAAACUAAAGAUUGGAUUGAGUACUCACAAUUUUUAGGUGAUUUAAUCCAUCAGCUUCCGGUUUUUUAUUCCCAAAAACUGUAAAACCUCUUCUCUUGCACAAGCUUGCCAGUUUGGAUGCUCGCUUAGCAGGACCAUUGUCCAUACAAGCAAAACUGAGGUUGUCUCUUGGCCAUCAAGAGAGAAUAGCUUACACUCUUCAAUGACAUCUUUGACACUCAUUCCAAUCUUCUUGUUAUUUUGAUGUUCUUGAAUUUCUCUAAAAUUGGAUUCCAUUAGUAUACCUAAUAAGUCACUACUAGCAGUUUCGCCAGCCUUCAUUGCCUUCUCCCUAUUGCUAACGAUACCCCUCAACAAUGCAUAUACUUCUUUGCUUAUUUGCUUCAUCCUCCUGUUCCGUCUUUGUGGGUAAAAACCUGCGCGCAUGUUAGUAAUUCUAGUAAAUAAAACAUCACAUGAAACACACAUACAUUAAUUCUUAUUUUCAUCCAUGCCUUCUACUUCUCCAUUAAUUUUUUGAAACUUGUAUAAGGCUUCAAAGGUAGAAACUAUGAAGACAAUAACUAAUGGUUUCAUCUACACAUGUGUUGUAGUGGUAUCUCAUCAUCUUGACACAAUAUCCUACAAACAUAAGAUUGAGGAUACUAAACAUCAAUUAGAGAAACAUACUACUUUCUAAGUGUUAUACAAAAGAAGUAAUUGACUAAAAGGGGAUGAAGUGAUCUCAGAGUUGUAAAUCUAAUAUCUCUUAUGCUUGACCUUGAAAAGUAAUCCAUUUUUAACAUAAAUUCUCUUCGAACAUAAAUUCCCUUCAACCUUGUUAGCCAAACACACACUUGAGCAUUGUGAAACUUUCAACCUAUGAAGCGAAAUUUGUGUUGGCAUCAUUUGUAGGUCAUGAAAUUUGUUCAAGAAACUUAAAUUACCACACAAGAGACUGAUAAAGAUCUAUAUGGAUAUAAAAUCAACAAUUACCUUAUGAGAAAAAUCUAGUUCUCCAUGAUGGUGUUGAAUUUUGAAUUUUGCCUUAGUAUCUGCUGGAAUUUGAAUUUUGAAGUUAAAUUUUGUAGCUGGAGUCUUACAAAAAAUAUGCAACAUCCAAAUAUUUUAUUGUUUUUAUUUGGUCAAGAUUUGGUUUCUAUUUUAUUGGAAGUAAUUGUUCAUCAUCUAGUAGCUUGAUUUUCUAUUAUUCUAAUGUCAUUUCAGUUACAAGCUCAUGUAUAAAUUCAACACUCUUCAUCAAUAAAAUGUGUGUUCCAGCAAUCCAAAAAUAUAUAUUCUGCAUAAGUGUUUCAAUCUAAGAUCAACAGAUGGAAGACAGUAUAUUGAUACAAAAUAUCAUUUAUUAUAGAGUACAUUAUGAAAUAUGAAGUGCAAUUAAAAUUUACAAAAUCUCAUGAUCAAAUUGUGAAAACAUUAACCAAGUCUCUCAAGUUUAAAGAUUUUAGAAAGCUAAGGAUGCUAUUUUUACAAAUCAAGUUGAUGGGAGGAUGUUAGUUAAACUAGAUUUAUAAAGUUUCUAAAAAUUAGAUUUUGAGUUAGGUUUUAAAAGUUAAUUAAAAUAUUUUAUACAAAAUUCUUGAUUUAGUUUGUAUAUUUUGUUACUGCAAGAUUUUAUAUUUUACUAUCGUGAGUAUCUAUUUUUUUUAGGUGUUAGUUUCUAUAAAUAAGAUGUUAUGUAAUAGUUGAUCAAGUGUACAGGUGGAUGAUAAUAAAUUUUUUCUUAAUCAUCUCAAUUAUUUAUAUAUGUAAUUGCUUAUGUGUUUUUUCAACCACAUUGCUGCAACAUAGGUGAAUCUGCUGGUUGGUCUAUAAAAAUUCAUAUCAAUUGUUCAACCUGUUACAUUCUGUUAGGCUUAUGUAACGAUGUAGAUUAUAGUCUCUUUCCCUAAAAUUUCAUGGUGUUAACAUUUCAGGAAAGCAAAAUUUCCUAAAAUGGAAUAUGGUGUGCAAGGACAAAGAGACUUAUUAGGCAUCUAAACUCCAGGGAAAUCUGUCGAAACACUGCUGCAAAAAGAAAACAAAGCCCCAAAUAACUCUUUGAUCUUUUGUACCAAGCAGACUCGUGUAUGAAUAGUUUCAGAAAAAUAAGCUGCAUAUUUCUUGAAAUAUUUUUAUGCAUACCUCCAUCCCGGGAUAUAAACUGACAUUGUAACUGUUAAAAGGUAGUCUUUUUUCUUAUUUUUCCUUGUGUGUUGAAUACAAUACUAUAUAGAUUCAGAACAAAGGAACCUAUUCUAGCCUAUACAUAUCUUGCGGCAAAAAAUAAGGCCAUCCCUUGAAGUAUGGGAUUUACAUAAACAGAUUUCUAUACUUAUCUCAUUAGACAGCUCACGACAACACUCCCCCUCAAGUUGGUGCAUAGAUAUCUUUUAUGCCCAACUUGUCAAGUGAGUUGUAGAAAUUCCUUACAAACACUGCUUUUGUGAGUACAUCAGCCAACUGGUCUUCUGAUUUGACAAAUGGAAGCUGAAUAAUCUUUUCUUCAAGGUUUUGUUUGAUGAAGUUCCGAUCCACCUCAACGUGCUUAGUGCGAUCAUGUUGAACCGGAUUGUGGGAGAUAGCAAUGGUCGUUGUGUUAUCACAUAACAAGUUCAUUUCGGAACUAGGAGCAACAUCGAUCUCAGCUAGCAGCUUUUUCAGCCAAAUGAGCUCACAUAUUCCCUUGACCAUUCCCCGAAAUUCAGCUUCAGCACUAGAUAGGACAACUACUUUCUGUUUCUUGCUCCUCCAUGUAACUAGGUUGCCUCCCACAAAAGUAAAGUACCCAGCAGUGGAUUUCCUGUAUGUGAUGUUCCCUGCCCAGUCCGCAUCUGUGUAGCCAGCAACCUUCAAAUGACCAUUCUUUGAGAACAUAAGCCCUUUCCCCGGAGAGGACUUCAAAAAAUGAAGGAUUCGCAUUACAACAUCCAUAUGGUCUUCACUCGGCCGGUGCAUGAAUUGACUCACUACACUCACAGCAUAAGCAAUGUCUGGCCGAGAAUGAGAUAAAUAGAUGAGUUUACCCACUAACUGUUGAUACCUCUGUUUGUCCGCUGGUACCUGGUCUACAUAUUCUCCAAGUUUAUGAUUUUGGACAAUUGGAAUAUCAACAGGCUUACACUCUAGUAAUCCCACCUCUGCUAGCAAGUCUAGUAUAUAUUUCCUUUGGGAAAGAAAUAUGCCUUGUCUUGACCUUGCCACUUCAAUGCCCAAAAAAUAUUUAAGCCCCCCUAAGUUCUUCAUCUCAAACUCAGUUGACAAUUGAUCUUGAAGCCUGGAUAUUUCUUCUACAUCAUCCCCUGUAAUUAUCAUGUCGUCUACAUAGACUAUGAGGGCUGUUAUUUUUCCCAAUCGAUGUUUUGGGAAGAGAGUGUGGUCAGAGUUGCUUUGUUGAAAUCCAUAUUUCCUCAUUACCGAACUCAACCUGCCAAACCAUGCUCGAGGUGAUUGCUUUAGUCCAUACAAUGCUCGUUGUAACCUACAUGCAAUCUUUGCCUCUGAUGUAGCAGUAUAGCCUGGUGGAAUAUCCAUGUAAAUCUCCUCUUCAAGAUCACCAUGGAGAAAGGCAUUUUUUACGUCAAGUUGGUACAAUGGCCAAUCUAAGUUUGCUGCAAGAGACAACAGAACUCUAACAGUUUUUAGUUUUGCUACAGGUGAGAAAGUUUCCUGAUAAUCUAUACCAUGUUUCUGUGUAUAACCCUUUGCUACCAACCUCGCCUUGUAUUGAUCAAUCGACCCAUCUGCUUUAUAUUUAAUAGAGAAAAUCCACUUGCACCCCACUGUCUUCCUCUCUUCCGGCAACACACUCAAAACCCAUGUAUUAUUUUUCUACAACACCUCCAAUUCUUCUUUUAUAGCUUGAGCCCAUUUCAGAUCCGAGAAAGCUUCUUCAACCCUACUUGGAAUCUGACAUGAGGAGAGUGUAUGUGCAAAAGCUCUGAGAGGUUCAGAUAAUCUUUGUGUAGACACAUAAUUGGCUAUUGGAUACUUGGAUCGUCGUUCUUCUAUGUCUAGGGAGUAUCGAUUUGGAGGCUUGCCUCGAUUGUGUCUGAAAGGUAGAACAUAACCCGCAGAUGUAUCUAUAGCAUUAGUUUGUAAAGGUGUGGUAGGAGAGCUUACCUCAGGAAUAUUCUUAGUAGGAGGGUCGUUGGGUACUAACGAGUGAGGGAAUACAUCAGAUUCUGCAUCUUCCGAUGAUUCAGGUGCUGGUUCAGCUUCAGUUCUCAGAGGUUCAGGUACAGGAUCAUGUUCAACCAUGUCGUUGUCAUCAUUCGGAUGUGUUGGAUUGUCACCAACGUCUAACACUUCAACAUCAGACCAAUUCCGUUCUUCACCAUAGAUCUCCCCCUGAAGAGGGGAAUUGGAUAUCGGUGACAAAAAAAAAUUCAGAUUCAAGGAAGGUGACAUCCAUGGUAAUGUAGGUUCUUUUAGCAAUGGGAUCGUAGCAUCUGUAUCCCUUUUUGUGUACUCCAUACCCCAAGAAUAAACACCGGACAGCACAUGGGUCCAACUUAGUUCGUUGAUUUUUAUGGAGGUGAACAAAAGCAACACAACCAAAAAUUCGGGGAGGAAUCAUCAAAACAGUCGGUAAGGAGACAUGAUAAGAAAGCACCUUUAGUGGAGUCUGAAAUUGUAAGACUUUGGUGGGCAUACGGUUCAGUAGAUACACGGCUGUGGUAACAGCAUCACUCCAGUAUCUAUUCGGCACAUGUGCAUUGAUCAAUAGAGCACGGGCAGUUUCUAAGAUAUGCCUAUUUUUCCUUUCAGCAAUACCAUUCUGUUGUGGGGUUUGUGAACAUGAGGUUUCAUGGAGAAUACCAUGGUUGUUGAAGUAUGUCUGGAAUUAUUGAUUAACAUAUUCCCCUCCAUUGUCAGAACGAAUGAUCUUAAUUCUUGCAGAGAAUUGUGUCUGAACCAUGGCAUGAAAUGAUUGAAAAAUAGAAAAUACUUCAUCUUUGUGUUUUAGGAGGUAAAGCCAUGUCAUUCGUGUGCAAUCAUCAACAAAUAUUACAAACCAACGAUGACCAGAAGACGUAGUUACUAGUGAAGGUCCCCAAACAUCGGAACGUAUUAAAUCAAAAGGAACCAUACUUUUAUUCAUGCUCAUGGGAUAAGAAGCCCUAUGACUUUUGGCUAAGAUGCAAGUAUCACAUUUAAAACCUAAAUGUGUUACAUUUGAAAAUAACCCAGGUAAUAAGUGCUUCAAAUACCCAAAUGAUGGAUGCCCAAGUCGAUGAUGCCAUAACCAAAUCUGUCUCUCCUUGUUACCAACCUUGUGGUGCAUGUGAUUUGCUCUUCCCGAACUGAAGGCAUCCACGUAGUAUAACCCCCCCUCCUCUUAGUACCACACCCAAUUAUCUCAUUGGUGAGAAUAUCUUGAAGAAGGCAAAAAGUAGAAUACAUCAAUACCACACAAUUAAGAUAUGAAGUAACUUGGCUUACAGACAUCAAUCUAUUUGAAAGAGAGGGUACAAGUAAUGUAUUAGAUAAUGAAAGGGAAAGAGAAAAAGUCACUGUUCCAGCCCCUGUAACUAGAUAGGUGACCCCAUUAGCAUUUGCAACACAGCUCCUUCUCGGCUGAGUUGUAUUAGAGAAAUCCUUUGAAUCAAAUGUCAUAUGGUCUGUAGCCCCAGAGUCGAGAAUCCAGUCCUCAUCAUCCUUGUGAGUAGAGAUAUGAAAUGCCUUACUCGAAGUACCUGAAUCAUGUGAAGAUUCAGCUUGAGGAAUGAGGGAUAACGAAGCAUCACAAGUAACCACUGCAGCUCUCCUAGUGUGGUUAUCAUUAGCAAUGAUUUCCCAUUUUUUUCGUGCUUGAAGGUCAUUCCACCAAUCUGGAUAUCCAUGCAGUUUGAAGCAGGUGUCACGGGUGUGUUUGGAGUUGCCUCAAUGGGUACACUUCAUGUCGUCAGAUGGUGGUUUAGUUUUGGAUGAGGAGUUGGAUUUCCCGCUGCUUAGGGAAAGAGCUCCAGGUUUCGGUGGCAUCUGGUGAUGGCUGCCCUUGAUCCCUUUGGAAGCCAUAACUGCUCCUGGAGGAGUAUCUGCACCUGAGAUCAUCAAGGUCUGCCUGACCUCUUCCCUACGGACAAAUGCAUAGGCCUGUUCCACCGUAGGGAAUGGUUUAAUUUGUAGAACAUCACUCCGAGUUUUAUCCAAUCUGUCAUCUAGUCCAUCAAGGAAGGUAUAAACUCGAUCUUCUUGUAGAAUGGAAUUGUAUUUCUGUAUGUCAAUUGCACACUCCAUCGGGUUAGGACGAUGAAAAUUGAUUUCUCGCCACAGCCCUUGAAGGUUGUUGUAGUAUUUUUCAAUGGAUCCACCCGCCUGCUUCAUACGAGUAACCCGACGUCGGAGAUCAUAGAUGUCCCAUCAAAAUAGGUUAUAGAAGCAGAAUCCCAAACCUAUUUUGCAGUUGGGAAUCGGAUAAAAUUGGCAAUCAAGGAAGGGUCCAUCGAAUUGAUCAACCAUCCCUUGACAAUGGCGUUUUCGGUGCGCCAUCUCCUGAAUGAAGGAUCGGUUUCUGGAGGCUGAGGAGAAUCUCCAUUGAUAUAUCCCAGCUUGUCCUUGCCAGAGAUAUACAUCUCGACAACCUGGGACCAUAAGGCAUAGUUGGAUCCUUCCAACUUGAUACCGAUCGGAGUAGUUGACGAAUCAGCAAGCAGAGGUUGAGGGGAGGUCUGGGCUCUAGUCAGGACCUCGGUCACUCUUGUAGUUAGAUCGCUAAGGAUGGAAUCAGUCUGGGGAAUGAGAGGUUGUGUUAUGUCUCUAGAUUCCGCAAUGGAGUCUGUCGGUUCUGGUUUGACAAGAUUUGUUGUAUAUUAACGGAUAACCGGCUGGAAGGAAUCAGAGGGAAGCAGCGCUGGAAACUGACCAGGAAGAUGAAGAUGAUACCAGGUGGGUCUUCCGGAGUUUUUUCCUGGUCAUAGUGGCUGAGCAGAGGUCCUAGGGACGUGCUCUGAUACCAUGUUAAAAGGUAGUCUUUUUUCUUAUUUUUCCUUGUGUGUUGAAUACAAUACUAUAUAGAUUUAGAGCAAAGGAACCUAUUCUAGCCUAUACAUAUCUUGCGGCAAAAAAUAAGGCCAUCCCUUGAAGUAUGAGAUUUACAUAAAUAGAUUUCUAUACUUAUCUCAUUAGACAGCUCACACUAACAGUAACCUGGCUUGCAAAAUGUGUUUGUUCUUUCUGGAGCUAGAAUAUCCUUCUUCCUUCUUCAUAGCUACUACCAAAUGCUGUCCGAGAAAUCACAUCCCCUGUCAAAUUUUCAAGAUAGGGCCAAACAUCCAACUCACAUGAUCCCCCCACCGAAAGCAUUUUCCAUUUGGUCACCAUGUCGCUACAACUCAAAUGAAAUGCCGGCAACAUAUUCUAUAACAAAUUCAACCAAAAAAUAAAUUAAUAUCCAGUUUCAAAUUCAAUAUACAGCCAUUUAUCACUGACCUGUGAAAUAACAAUUUAACUAGUUCAUAAAGUAUGUACUACUUAAAGUCACCAUAUGUUAGGAAGAGUCAUAUGGGUGGAGGAUGAGGAAUAUUCAGUUUUACCAUGGAGGCACUGACUAAAGAAAUCAUAGAAAAAAAAUGAGCAUAUUCAUGAAAAGUUAGAUGUACUGGUAAUAUUAAUGAAAAGUUAGAUGUAUUGGUAAUAAGCAAGUAAGAUAAGAAAGUUGUUAAGAUCUUACUGUCAUAUGUAUCAAGUAUUUUGAUCCUUAUGGUUUACUUUGGCAAAUAAAACUUCUGAAAAUUUCUAUUGGAGACUGGAAAAAGACUUUAUAUGAGUAAGAAAAAAAAAACAAGGUAAAGGUAGGACACAUUGGGUAUGUGAAAAUACUUUAUUAAACUGAUCGAAAUAUUUGGGAAUUUCGAUAUUUAUACAGGUUUUUAGAAAAAAUUUUAUAAAAAAUUGGUAGUUAUUAUUUUUCGAAUACUAAUAUAAAUUUAUCUUUCAAAGACACAAUUUUAGUGUAGUUUUCAAGUGUUAAAAUUAUUUUUUUUAAAAGACAACUUUAUAAAAUUCAUUUCUUUUAACUUUUAAAUGAUAACUUUCUAAUUAGUAUCUAGCAAACUGAUGUAGAAUUGAAAAUAAUUUUUCAACUAACAUAUUUUAGAAGAUUAUAUAUAUAUCAACCUAAGAUACAUGAGAUGAGAAAUGGGUAUUCAUAACCUCCAAAUCUUAUAUAUAUUAUCGCUUAAAUUUUUGUUCCACUGCAUUCACAUGUUCAAUCUCUUUUCCAACAGUGGGAGGGCUAUGCAGAGAUUAUGGAACUGUAAUAUGUCACAAUUGAAACAGUUUCAAUUAUGGAACUGUUUGUUCACUUUCACAGUUUGUGAAAAGAUUAAAAAAAAAAACAUGGAAAUUAAGGUAAAAUAUUCUGGUUUGGAAACUGGGCAUUGAAAAUUACCUUCAACUUUUCUAGAUGGAAAGCUGGGUUGAUGAUCUUUCUACGUUUAGCCCAUCGUUCGCCUUCCAAGGUCACCAGACCAGAAACCAGCAACUUGCCAAGUGGGUGUGGGGGUGGCUUUUGAAAGACAUUGGACUUUAGCAAAACAUCCCUUAUUAGCUCAGGCUCCAUAAUGUUUACCAUUGGAUUUGGACCGAACCAUGCAAAGGAAUUUUUACCUGCACGUUUAUGCCAUUAUUGGAUAGUGUUAGCCUCAAAUUGCUUUUAAUUUGGACUUCACACAAAUUCAACUUUGGGUAUCAAAAUUUAGUUGAACCCAACUUGGACCAUCGAAAACAAUGAAAACUUCAGCCAUAGUUUCUAUGAUGAGUUAUUAUAAAUGGACUAAAUCAUUUUUUCAGAAUUGUCUCAAUGUCAAUUGAUAUUAAGGAAUGAACUCUAUUCAUUGUAGCCUUGAGAUUAAAUAAUGAAAUCAAGAGGGCUAUCAAUAUGCUUGGCAGGCUGGGUGACAGUUUUGGAUAGAUGCAACAAUUUUAAUUAUAUAUUUAGCUUUGGAUUCUUUCCAGAGAAUAUUCUGCAAUCUAGCAUGGGAUACUUAAAGACUACAUCCCACAAAAAGACAAAAAAAAUGGUGGCAAUUUCAAGGAGGCUAAUCAUUCGCCUGCCUUUAGCCAAGGAUUAGUUCCAAACAAAACCUUCCGAAAAGAAAGGGGGAGAGCCCUUCUGGAUGGACUUGGCAUCGACACAAUAGAAUUGGCAUCGAAAGAAAAAUAAAGAUUUAACCAAUUGAGCACAAAUAACUGACAUAAAAAUUAACACUUGAAAAAAAAAGUUGAAAAUUUGGCAUAAAUUAAAAGUUAUUCACAGCUCCCAGAAAUUAAACAAUUGAAAAGUAAAAACAGUACUUUUCAAAGUGGUUAAGAAAUACAGUUAGCAAAGAUUACGAACUACCACUGAAAUCUAAACCUUUGGUGUAAUUUAAAAAAGAGGAAAAAAACAGAAAGGAAAAGAAAAAUAGUUAGGAAGAGAAGAGCAGAAAACAAACAAAAGCUUUAGGGGAGUAUAAAAAAGUUGGCCAUAAUUUGAAGAGAUCAGCAAACUUUAAUACUAUGAUGAAAAGUAAUAAGUCAUAUCGGUACCGUAUUUCUUAAUGAAAUGAAAAUGGAAGGGCAGGACACGUGGAGUAGUAUCAUCGGAGAGGCUGAUUGGUCUUGAAUAUGCUUCUUUUAACAUCAUGGACAUCUCUUUGAAGUCCCCAUGUAAAAGCCUAUAAGAAUUCCCAGCCAGGCCUUGCUCUCUAAGGCAUCUUUCUAACCUCUUUGGCCUCAACCACACCCAAUUCAGUAGCCUCCAUAAACAGCUUAUGAGCACAGUAAGGAACCCAAAAGAAAUUGCAACUGAGCUAUGCUUCAUUUCCAGUUUGAGGGACUUCUAUCAGGAGAGGUAUGUUAAAUCACUUCAGAGUGAGAAAAUGACUUUAUGCUGCCGCUGUGUAUAAAUUGGCCCCUAUUCUAUUCCCUCGUGCCGGCAAACAUAGAAGAUUUCGUAAAUGCCUAAUGGGGAGAAGAAUGACUAGUAUUUUAAAAUCUAUAAAUUAUCUAUUUUAAUUGUCUCCAUCAAUAUGGCUUUUAAACUUCUCAAUGAAUUAUUAAUUUAUUCUAUUUGAUGCAUUUCAAAGUUUGUGCAAUCGUCACUGCUUAUUAAAAACUGUAUAUGCCAUGAAUGUAGAAGGCAAAAUUUGAGCAUACGGAAUAUGGAAUUCUAUUUGAUGGACCAGCUUUCACUUGUGAGUCGAUGGAGCAUGUGGAUGCUCACUUUCAGAGCCUCAAGGGACAGCUCGCAUCCCUCACAUCUUGGCAGAUGUCUCAGGGUGCUUCCAGCUCUACAACUCCAUCUGAUCUGGACUUUUUGAUACUUCAUGUUUUUUUGAUACUUUAUGUUUUUUUUUUUUUGUUUUUUGUUUUUUUUUUUGUUUUGUUUUGUUUUGUUUUGUUUUUUUGUUUUUGUUUUUUUUUUUUUUUUGUGGAUAAGUUUAUUUUGUACACCUAACCCAUGUUGGCUCAGUUUAUCACAUAUUUUGUUUGUCUAGAUGUACUUUUAUUUUCUUAUCUCUUGUAUCCAGAACCUUUUUUACCAUAUAUGUCCAUGUGUUUGCUUUUCUUUUCUCCUUUUCGUAUGCUUACUGCUUCAUCAUGCUCUUUGUCAUUUUUUGCAACAAAAAAGGGGAGAUGGAUUGUUGAUUUGAUUGAGUGUUUUGAUAUUCAUAUUUUUUUUACAUCUGUUUCGUGGCUUGCACCCUUACUCGUAUACCUAAUUUGAUAAAAUUGAUCAGUUAUCUUUCUUCCCACACACUACUUUACCUGGGUAUGUUGUUUAGUGUGUGGAAAUUCUAGGUACUAGGGUAUUGCUCAUUUUUUGGAUGUGGCUUCUAGUCCUUUGCACGUUAGAUGAUGAAUUGGUUUAGAUAAGAGGUAUUGAGAGAUUUGUAAACUCCAUUUGAGAGUAUUGAGGGGUUUAUGCAAUUUGUAGUUUAUCACAAAAUUGCAUAGGGGAGAGAUUGUUCGUACAUUAGGUGAUGUAGUUUAAAAUUGUCAAUUUUGUUCUAUUCAUUUUGGUUUAGGAUCUUUCUAGAUUGUGUCUCACUCCCCAUUGAAGACUCAAGGUUAUUAAUUGAUCAACUAGGAUUACAUAGGUAGGUGUAAAAAGAUUUGGGAAAGACAAGUUAGUGUUUGGUAUGACAUGGCAUGGAUUGAGUAGUUUAACAUUGAUGAGCAAAAUGAUUUUCUAACCGGGUUUAAAAAAUGCCUAAAGCGCUCAAUCACUCUAAGAGCAUUUGAGUCCUAGCAACAAAAUUCUCUAGAAUUUUGGAGAUCUGUCUUUCUAUUUUUAAAGGAUUUAUUUUGAGGAACUUUUUAGAAUUAGUCCACUAGGUUCCUAGGCUUAUAUAUACAUUGCCUAAAAAGGUUUUUGGUUUGAUGCUUUUGAGUUGAAAAACCUAGAUUGUCUUCCUAUUUCCAAAAUUCUAAAAGAAACAUUCAUAUUUACUUAUGCAUAGUUGAGAUGGAGAUUUGUAUCCUCCUCAAGUGCUGAAGUGAGAUCCUCUAUGAGCACAUGAGAUGUUGCAUUGUGGAAGCAAAACACAAUGUAAGUGUUAGGUAGUAAGUCUUAGUAGUAGCUUUCUAAUGCGACUCAUGGUAGCUUAGUUUUAAAGGCGUAUCAACAAAAUUUAUACCUUGAAUACUAUUACUAAAGUAGCCAAGCUACUAUAGCAUAGUGGUUCUAGGAUUGUUCACUGGGAAGGGUUUUCGCAAACACAAGUGAUAUUCAAAUUAGGAAAAUAGGUGAUUUUCUUAUGGAUGUUAGCUUUAAAAGAAGAUGUAAAUGUUUUAGAAAGAUUUAAACUAAUCUAAGCUAACAUUAAAGACUAAAAUGAAAGGGUGUAAAAACAAGUUUCUCAAAGAUAGGAUAGCUAUGCUCUGACUCUUAUGCAAAUUGGAAAUCUCAAGAUAGGCUCCUUGAGUUGGGGUUGCAACUAUGGUGAUGCUUGCUUCCCGAACCGGUAUGGAUUUAACAAAUCAAGUUUUAAUCCUUUAAAAUGGAAAAAUAGAUGGUAGUGAAUUUCAUCAAUGGUUAUUCACCUUAGACUUCCUUUGAAUGGCUUGUAAGAGAUAACUAAUGGUCUAAAGCCAAAAGCUUCCCAAAUAUUGGCAACUCAAAGUCAUUCCAAGUGAUAAACUCACCUUUCAAUGGCCAUUGAAAUUGGUUAUAACGGAUUAAUGCAAAACUUGGAAUUGAAAACCUCACCUUCCAAUAGCUCGUAGGAGAUAACUAAUGGAUAGAAAUCCAAAAGCUUAUCAAGUAUUGGCCGUUGGAAGUUGUCCAAAGGAAAUAAAAACCAAACUUUGCAUUAAUGAACCUUUAAUGAAAAACGGCUACUUUACCUUCCGGGUGCGAGAAAUUUCCAUGGGAUUGCAUCCAAGUCAUCACAUAACAUCCAUACUCUGAGAAACUAAAAGUUUUAGCCAAUCAUCCUCUGAAGAAAAGCUCUCAGAGGCUGUUUGGCUUCCAAGAAAAUAAAAUAGUAAAGAGAAAAGAUAAACGAGAGAGCUCUCCCCUGUUUUCUAAGUGUAAAACGUAAUAUGUAUCAUAUCCUUCCAAGAGGUGAUUUCCACCCCUUAUAUAGUCUUUACAAAAGCAAAAGCUUGUGAUUGGUUAGUUACAAGGAUAAGAAAGGAAAUUACAUCAAAAAAUACAUAAGAAAAUAUCUAAAUUGGAGUCGGCAAAAACAGAGCAAAAUUCGCACCACGCAUGGGCUGUGCGAAUUUUGAAGGUGUUGUGCGAAUUUCGCACAACACAAGGUGUCGUGCGAAUUUCGCACAACACAAGGUGUCGUGCGAAAUUUUCGCACAACCUAGAGCGGUUGGCUUCCGAAGGCCAUAUCUUCCUCAUUUCAGCUCCAAAUCAUACACGGUUUGAAGCAUUGGAUUCUUGACUUCCUGAGCUUUCAAAUGGUAUAUAGAAUGUAGAAAAUGGACUUCGGGAAGUGCUCCAAAAGUGCGAAAGAAUACUGCAGCUGCUGUCCUCUGAUUUUUUCACUUUGCUUUCCUCUUCUCCAUUGUUCUUUCCUUGCAUACUUUGAACGACUUUGGCAAAGGGCUAUGGAGCUCCAAAGCUUGGUUCUUCAUGAAUUUGAGCUUCCAAAAGCUUUGCCAUAACUUGUCCAAUUAGCUCCUCCAUCAUUUGGCAUGCUUGAAUUGAUUCAUAAGCUGAUAAAAACAUGUAAACUUGCCACAAAAUGGUUAAAACCAAUUACUAAGGACCUUAAUGAAUUAAUUGGGUUAAAUGAAUAUGAUUACUACUCAAAGGUGCUUAAAACCAUUAUAAUUAGGUCUACAAAAUAGCACUUUUUGGUAGUAAUCACUUUCAUCAGGUAAAAUUGAGUACAUACCCCAUUAUAUAUGAUGGAGAGCUCCUCAAAUGCAUAUCCUAGAAUCAAAAUCAAUUGAUACUAAAUUAACACCUAACCCAUAUUUCAAACAAAAUCUUGCUAUUUCACAUUUUCAGCACCAAUCCAUGAAAAUGGUGUUUUUGGGGAGCAAUUUCAAUUGAUUUAGAAGAUCAUAUGAGAUCUUACUCUUCCCAUCUUGAGACUUGAGACUUAAGAGUAAUCUGUUUUCAGAUAGAUUCAAUAUCACUAUUUGAUUAAUUUCUAUGUACAGUAUGUUUUUCUAUAUUUUAAACUCAUAAAAAUUCCAUCCUUUUAAUUCUAUUAGAAUAACGUAAAUCAUAUGGAAGUUAGAUUCUAAAUCUCCAAUCUUCACAUCAUCAAGUAUCAACUAUAAGAACUCAAACUCAACACUUUAGUGGCUCUAAAGAGUCUAUUUUAGUGCAUUUGAGGUAUUUAAAAAUGACCUAAUGCUUGUUUAUUGUGCAUCUCUCAAGUGUGCCACCAAACUAAAUUGCACACUCCCUCUAGCAAUUUAAAUUGACCACUUUCCCCAUGAUUCAAAUGUUGCAUGGCCCCUCAACAAUUGAACCCAACAAGAGCACUCAAGUUGUGCAUGUCUGUAACAUCUUAAUUGCACUUUUCCCUACCACUAUAGUAGUGUAUCCCUAGGGCCACUCAACAUGCAUUGUCACGCCCCAAAGCCCACUCCAAGGACAUGAUGAUCUUUUCACACCUAGCUCAAGCCCAAGGGCUCAAAGUGGAAACGACACAAACAUUUGUAUUGUAACUGGAAAUUUAUUAAUUACUAAAUUCCUGGAUCAAACAUUUUAAUUAUGCUUGCAAAUAGGAGAUAUAACAUAUACUUAUUUUCAUAAAAACUUUUGAGCUCAAAAUGCUAAUACCUUCAAACUUUUCAACAAAAAUUUCUCAUAUCCAUUUCAAAACAAUUUCUCAUCAAACCACUCCGAAUACAUUCAAAAUAUCUUUACUCUGGUUAUCGUAUGACAAAUGGUGCCCAAUUAGGUGGGACCUUGCAAUUGAGUAACUAGUUUCAAAUUUGUUCGAUUUAAGGUUAACAAAACCAAAUGUCAACAAUUAUAACCCAUUGACUAGGGUCAUAAGGUCAACUAUUAUAAUCCAUUAACUAAGAUCAUAUAAUAUCAACUAUUAUAACCCAUUGACUAAGGCUAAAAAUGUCAACUAUUAUAACCCGUUGACUAAGGCCAUAUAAUUCAGAGUCAAAUAUUUUAUUUCAUUAAUUCAAACUUACAAAACAAAACAUCAUAUCUCCUCAAUUUUUCAUUUUUCAUAAACAAAGAAUAUACUCAAAUAUACUUUCAAUACAAAACAUAUAUUUGAUUUAUGUUUAAAGAUAAAAAUAAUAUUUUUACACAUUUCAAAAUACAAUAUAAAAAGAAAAUUAUUUUCUUUUACAAAAAUCUGCAUUAAUUUCAUUUACCUUGAAGAAGCACUCAAAAUCUUAAAUUAUUUAGCUUUGAAGAAUUUCCUCACCUAACAUAAUAUCAUACACAAUAUUGAUUAUUGAUUGUUUAUCUAAAUAUAUAAAUUUGACAAUCUUAAAAAUAUUUUAUUUAGUAUUAGGGAUCCUAAUUAAUUUCUCAUGUUAAUAUUAUUACCAUCCAAUAUUAUUUUCAACUUCCUAAACAAUAAUUUAUUUCUUUUUUCUAACUUAUCUAAAUUAAAUCUUUUAAGAAUAUUUAUUUGCAUUAAACAUUAUUACUAUUAUUUAAAUCUCCUACGAAAACUUAACAAAUUCCCCAUACAAAUCUUUUUUUUUCCCAGCAACUUCACACCAACUCCAUUCAUUAUUAUUAUUUCUUUUAUUAUUAUUAUUAUUAUUAUUAUUAUUAUUAUUAUUAUUAUUAUUAAUUUCAAUACCCAACAACAGCUUAACCUAUUUCUCUUCCAAGCCAUCAACGUCCUUUUCUUCCUCAUUGUUUACCAAAAUACUAUUUACUUCCUUUCCUAGGUCAAUGUGCUGACCAUUUCUUAGUUUUUUUUUUCAACAUACAUCUUUCAUCAUUUUUUUUCUCCUCUCUAAAGUCAAAACUUUUAAUCUCCAUACUCACAAAUUUUAUGUUAUUUUCACAUCCGAAACUAUAUAUAUAUAUAUAUAUUUAUCUAGAUCUAUUCGUUUGAGCAAUCAAAAUUUGUCGAUCUCCAUUAAUAAAUCAAACUAUGUUCAUAUUUUUUUAAAUAUUUUUGACCUAAAUUAAUUAAACGAACUCUAAUCAAAGAAUAUCUAUAGUGUUCAAAACUAAUUAACGAAUAUAAAAUAUUAAUUUAAGUAUUAAAAAUCUUACUUGAAAAAUUGAUCUUCAAAUCCUAAACCUUCAAAUCUUAAACCAUAUGCUCUCUAAUAUUUCUGGUCUCUAUGUAAAAGGGUUUUCUGAAUAGAGAGGAUGGGAAAAGUCUAAUUUAUACCUAGGAGUUUUAAAUAAGAAAAUACCUUUUUGCCCUUAUUAAAUUACUUAAUUAAUUAUUAAUUUCUAAAUUAUGAUUUUACCCCUAAAUUGGGUUUAGGGCAUUAUAUGCACACUAUUCCCACUUUUGCAAAGGUUGCGCACCUGAGAAAACUCCUUUCAAUGAUUUGUUCACUCACCAAAGUAAUGCAAGCAUCUAAGCCUUAAGUCAUCAUCUAUACUAUCAAUUCUCCCAUACUGAUUGCAUUGAAAGCUAAGUGCAACCACCAACUCCAAGUUGACAAGUCAAGUACAAGAAAGAUGGCUAGUUGACUACAUUGACACAUGAUCUGAUCCUCAACAUGGGCAAGAGGUAGUUCUAGGAGAAUAGUUUGAGCAAUAAGAAUGGAUUACCUAAAGGGAAACCCAUCUAUAAAUAGAGGAUUGUUUGGGCGCGUGCACACAUACACACACACACACACACAUAUAUAAAUAUGUAUGUAUGUAUGGGGAGAAGAAAAAAAAAAGGAAUGUUGAAGAGUUUGAAUCUUUAAUGGAGGUGAUAUUAACCUUCUUAGGAUUUAGUUAGGAAUUUAAUUUGGUAAUUAAAAUGACAAUUAAUUAUUUGGAUAGGAUUUGUUAGGUAGUUUCCUAUUUCUUUCUAUAUAUUUUCCUUAUUUUUAUAGGUUUCCUAUAGUUAUAUAAAUAGAGAACAUUUUCUCUUCUUUUCCCUAUGAAUGAAUAUAUGACUAGGUAAAAUUAAGCUACACGUUUCUUAAUGGUAUCAAAGCCAAAUUCUAAUUACUAGGAAUAAUGGUUAAAAUAGCAAUGAUAGAUGCUUCCAAUUAUGAUAACAACUUGAAGGAGGCAGAAAGAAAACCUAUCCCUCAUUAGAAUUUUGUGACCAAUGGUCAUGGUCACUCUUCUUAGCUAAUUACCUCUCACAAAUUAACUUAAUGGAGAAAAUUAUCUUUAAUGGCCUCAAUUUGUCAAACCUUUCAUUCAUGGGCAUGGACAAAUUGAAUAUUUUAUUAGAGCAACAUCAAUACCACAAGGAAUAAUUCUCAUCAAGACAUAGGAAGUAGAUAAUGUCAUGAUUAUGUCAAGGUUGAUCAACUCAAUGGAACUCAAGAUUAGGAAGACAAACACGUUCAUGACCAUAACUAGAGAGAUUUAGGAGGCUACCAAGGAAACCUAUUACGACUUGGUAAUUUGCUCAGGUCCACGAGAUAGCCAUACAAAUAAAAAAUACUAAGCAAGGUAAUAUGAAUGUAAUUCAGUACUAUAAUACACUCAAAACUCUUUGGUAAGAACUUAAUUCGUUCUAUGAUUAUGAAUAACAUUGUGCAUAAGAUAGUGAAAUGUUCUAAAAGAUGAUUGAGAAGGAUUGAGUAUUUGCAUUCCUAAUGGGGUUUAAAUAAUAAAUUAGAUGAGGUUUACCUCUUUACUUAACAUUACCCUAGUUAUUACAAAACCAGUAAGCUUCACAUUUCAGCCAAUGAUCCAAAAUUCAAAAGGAUUCAUGGAAGGCCCUAGUGUGACCUUCAUCUCCUUUAAAUGCUUCCAGAAUUCCAAAUAUUCAUUGACAAGUGAUUAACCAUCAUCUUUUCCAAAUGCAUCUUUAGAUGUCAUAUACCCAAAGGUGUUCAAAUUCGUAAGAUAUUAACCAAGUCUAGAUAUUAAAAAGGUAUAUCAUCCUCUACCAUUAGAAAGAAGAACAUACAUUAUCCUCUAUUAGUGAAAGCACAUAUGUCAUCAUCUCAACAAAUCAAGCAUGCGUGCAAAUUUGUCUUCUUGGUCUUCUAAUUAUGGUCAAGCAAGUAUUAAUGAAGUACUUAGUUUGAAGCAUCUGUUUAUCAUCUAUAGUGGUUGUAGUUGCUAAUCCAAUAAUUGCACUCCUUUGAAAGUGGUACAAAUUAUUCUUCCUUAUUCCUUGCAUCACCACAAGUUUACUUGGCAUAACUUUCAAAAUCCCAUAUUUUAUAGUAACAAUAUUGAACCCUAUGGGAUCUAAUACUCCAAUUGAGAUGAGACACUUAUUCAUACUAGGAACAUACCAAACAUCACUCAAAAUUUUAGUUGAUUCAUCAUGAGUCUUCAACUGGAUGGUAUCUAUUAUUGUUAUCUCACAAGCAUUAUCAUUCCCCAUGUAAACAACUCCAUCUUAUAGUUCUUUAAAGCAAGAAAACCACUCCUUGUAAGAAUGCAUGUGAAGGUGGACCUAAUAUCCAAAAUCCAUUCAUCUAAGUUAUAAAACAAGGAUAAGCAAACCAAAGCAAAGUUUGACCCAUCUUCUCCAAACUUAGCCACACAAGCAUCGAAUACUAUUUCUUCUUUAUUCUUAUUUUGUAGCUUAGGACAAUCAUUAUUCUGACACUACCAAAAAUUAAGUAUGGUUGAACCAUUUAUAUUUACUUUUCUGACAUAUUUAAGUUGACGCAAAUUGAAUUGUCUGUCGCUUAUAUGUAACUAUUUACCAACAGUAAUUGCAACAACAAAUACCUGUCGGCAAAAAUAUUAUUGCAAUGGAUUUAAACCAUUGCAAAUGUUCAACUAAUAUACUUUGUUACAAAAGCAAUUUACCUAUAAAAUAGAAAAAAAAUAGUUUUAUUAUAGUGGAUAAUAAUACCACACAUAAUUUGUUCCAAAAAUAAUUGUAGUCAUAUGAAUAUAAAAUAUUUUCACCAUAGUUGUAUGAUAAAUACGAUAUAGCUAGUGACAAAACAAUUUUAUGAUUAUUUUUUUAGGUUCAUACAAUAUUUACAUUUUUUUUAAUCAUAAUGGUUUUAACAUUUUAAUAUUUUUUAACUACUUUUAAUUGUCCAUUUUAGAAAGAAAUACAUUAAAUAUAUAUAUAUAUAUAUAUAUAUAUAUAUAUAUAUAUAUAUAUAUAUAUAUAUAUGUAUGUAUGUAUGUAUGUAUGAUAUAAUUUAUGAUAUCGAAUAAUAAUAUUUAAAAUUUAAAAAUACAUUUUAUAGAGAUUUAUCUAAUUUGAAUGUAUUCAAUAACAUAAAAAAAAUGAUAGUACAUGUAUAAGUAUUUUUAUUUUAAAAUGUUGAUAAUUUUAUUUAUAAAUUUAUAUUUAUUUUAUAUUUAAUUAUUAUACAAAAUACACAAGAAUCAAAAUUAAUUAAUUUAUAAUAAAUUUAUUUUAAUUAAUUUAUAUAUAUAUAUAUAUAUAUAUUAGUUCAUGCAUGUAUAAUUUAUAUAUAAUAUGUAUUUAUAUAUAGAUAAUAUUUAUUAUAUAACUGCUUAAGUAUAUAAUAUUUCCAUUUAUGAAUCUUAUAUACAUUCUUUAUAUUACACAUAACAAAGUUGACUUGGAGGCACAAUUGCUUCCUUUCAAACUUGAGGUCAAGGGUUCAAUCUCAAGAAACAAUAUCCAAGCCAAUAUCCAAAACUAGCAAGGAGAGGAGUGUACAAGAUGCUCCAUGUGAAUGUAAUGAAAUCGAAAUUUCAUGAAAACCUAAAAUCUUUUAUUACUUAUAUUUCUCAACCAACUUAAUUUGUUGGUAAUAGUGAUGGUCUAAAUCCAUUGGAUAGUUUGUCGCUAAAUAUUUUUUAUUGGCAAUGGAAAAUUCCCAUCAAUAGACUUUUGCCAACACACCUUUCCUCUCCUACCAUGCGAUGGGAUUAUCAAUUGGUAAAUGUUUAUUUUGACUGUGCAUAUUAGUCGAGAAAAGUCAAAUUUCUUGUAGUGCAAUGACCCUUGUCAUGAAAAAAGACACAUUCAUCUUUUGCAAGUAUACAUUUAAAUUAAGAAUUGUCUUCUUUUCUAGGUUUUCAACUUUGAGAUUAGUCAUUAACUGUUAAAGCUUCCAAUGAUAUAUCUCUAUGAUCGCUAUGGUCCUUCUUCCUUUAUUUAGAGCUUAGCAAAGUGGAACACACAACAUUGAAAGUAAUCUUAUCCUUACCAUAAAGUAAGGUGAUGGUAAGAUCUUCAUACACAUCAAGAAACAAAUUCAAUAACAAUAAGGCCUUAUUCUCAUCUUCAAUGAUCUCAUCUAAAUUCAACAAAUUUGCUUCGAUUCUAUCAAAUGCGUGCAUAUGAUCAUUCAUAGACAUAUCUAGUUGAUACUAGAAGCAAAAAAGUUUUUUCUUCAAAUAUAGUUGAUUUUCUAGACCUUUUUUUUCAUAUACUUGUCCUCCAAUGUCUUCCAUAAAUGUUUUUGUGGAUAUCUCUUUCAUAAUGGAAUAAUUUUAAGCUUUAACAAGAUAUAAGUGGAUGGAACUAUAAAAUUGGCAAUUGAUCCCUUACCCAUUCUUUAGCAUUCAUGUUUUCAAGUUUUUCUUCCAAACCAAUAUCCAAAUCCUAUUGACAUAUCUAAUUAAUGCCUCUUAUUGCCACAUUCCAAAAGUACUAGUCCUAUCAAAGUUUGCAUUAUUAACCAUAGUUUUAACUAACGAAGUUUUUACCUUUUCUUUUAACUAGUGCAAUAACAAAUAACCUUGAAACCAACCUUGGAUAGAACUACUGCUCUUAUACCAUUUUGUUGUGCUUUAACCUAAUCCCACAAGACUUCCAAAAGUACCAAAUAAAAUACAAACUAAACUAGUCUAUAAUAUAAAGAGAAAUAUCAAGAGAAAUAAAAAUAAAGGAGGGUACACAAUAUUUAUGAGGUUUAGUAAGGAUGUCUUACCUAUAUCAUCAGACAAUGAUAAUCAAUCCACUAAUCUUCAAAUCAAAAUUACAAAAUCAAGUUGGGAAAGAUUGUCUCACAAAAUGGCUGCAAUUACAAAGAUUGACUGAAGCUACUCUAAUAACUUUGCUAAAGUCAUUCUCACACUACUAUGAUGAAAAGACGUAAGACUCAUUUAUAGAACCUAAAUAAGUCCCCGAGCCUUGACAAAACUAAUUCAUAAUUCCUAUGGACAAGGACUCCUAACAUAUAACAAAUUAUGAAAUCAUAAUCCUUAUAGGACAAGGAUCCCUAAAAUAUAUUAAACUCUUAAUUGAGCUAAAAGCCAAUACCUAAUAUAGAAGCCACACCAUAUUUUCCAUAACUCUACUAUGUAGAUGGUUGUUAAGAAAAAUUAUCACUUCCAAAAGUUAAAUAACCAUUUAUUUUUCCUUCCCUUUCCAUUCAUCCAGACAAUAACAAUAAAAAAUGUAGUGUAACUUUUGUUACUUUGCUACUUGUUCUCUCAAGUUACUUGCCUACUUGCGAAUGACCUCCACAAUCAAAUUAAGUAAAUGGAGAAAUAAUGUGGAGUUCCAAGAUAUAGGUAGAAAAGAGUGGAAAACCCCUAGUUCUACAAAAUAGUUUGCAAUUUUGUCUCUAGAUCUCUCAUUUUCGUGGUAAUGGCCAUUGAAGAUGUCAUCACUGAGAAGAUCACAAAGUGAAGAAGGCAUGACUGAGAGUUGGUAGAGUAGAGAGUUAAGGUAGAAAAUAGCAAAGAUAGGAUUUUGACGUUUUUAGAAUUUGUAGAUAAAAAAUAAAUACAAUCCAAAAAUCACUUUCAGAACAUGAUUUUACCUAACCAUGCCAAACAUAUAUUUUUUUUAUGUGGUUUGUAUUUGAUGUUCUCGAAAACAUUGAAUACAUUUUGGAUUGACUAUUAAACACAACCUUAGUAAUUAAAUCAGCAUAUUGAUAAAUUAUCAAGAGGCUCUUAUCAAUUUGGUCAACUCUUAGAAAAGUGUUGUUGAAAACACUAAAUACAAUCUAUAUAUUUAAAAAAAAAAUUGAAACAUGAAUUUACUUGACCAUACCAAACACAUUAUUUUUUAUUUGGAUUGUGUUCAAUAUUUUCAAAAACACUAAAUACAUGCAAUUUGAUUAACUAAUGAACAUGAACUUAGUAAUUAAAUUAGAAAUUUCAAAUGAAUUAAUGUCUUUUAUUUUGCAAGCAAAUCAUGAUUUUUUGUUUUCUACUAAAAUUUUGAAUACAUCACUAAAAGUAACAUCACCACUUUCUGGUUAGAAAGUUUUAAGAAGAUAUUUUUUAUCAACACAUAUUGUUGUUUGCUUUGAUGUCAAGAUACCAAAUCCUUUUUUCCUAAAAUUUUUCCUUUUUAUGCAAAUAAUAAAGUGUGGUUUUUUUCUUGAUUCAUUUUUUAACAUAGUUUUCCAUUCUACAUUGUUAAUAUACCAACACUUUUCAUUUUUUCUUGAAUUUUGGAUGUUCCUUCAUUAUUUGAUGAACUAUUUCCUUAGCCACAACCAUGAUGACCAUGACCAUGACAAUGAUUAUUUGGCUUCCUUCAUACCAAAUUUUUUCCCUCUUGUUGAUAUAUUAAACUUUGUUAACAAUUUUCUUUUAUUUAUAUAUUGAGUCUAAUACAUCAUACUUCCAAGGGUCAUAUUGAUGUCACUCAACUUCAAGCUACUUUUGAGUUAACUAUAUUACUAGGUAUAUGUGCAACAUUAGGUUGAAUUAGGGCACAAGGAAUGGCUACCACAUGUAUGCUAGGUGAAAUAUUAGAGUGUUUUUUUUCUCUUUUCUUUUUUUGUCAAGGUUAAGGAUUUGAGUAACUAAAGCCUCUAUAAAGUCUUUGAGGUAUCCACUAAGAAGCACAAGGAGUGUCGCAUGGGGGCUUGGAAGAAGAAUGUAAGUUACUUGUAUCUUGUUUUUAUAUUUAGUAGAUUGUUUGUGGUUGAUAAACUAUUCAUGUAACGACCUGCUCCCAACCAUGUAGAUAUUGUCCACUUUGGACCCAAAGGGGCCUUCAUGGCUUUAAAACGCCUCUACAAAAUUAAGAGAAGUCCAUACUUAUAUAGCGCCAAGAACUUCCCCCUCUAUCUGAUGUGGGAUGUUAAAAACACCCCUUUCCCCAUGUAGACACAAUGUCCUCGUUGUGUCCCACGGGAUUGCGGGGACAAACAAACCCCUGAACUAAGGUUGAAGAUUGACUUUGAUACCACUUGUAACAACCCAUUCUUAACCGGGUAGAUAUUGUCCGCUUUGGACCCAAAGGGGCCUUCAUGGCUUUAAAACGCAUCUACAAAGUUAAAAGAAGUCCAUACUUAUAUAGCGCUAAGAACUUGCCCCCUAUCCAAUGUGGGAUGUCACAAACACCUCCAUCCCCCACCCCAUUAUAUAAAUAUAUUAUUAUUAUUACUUUCAAAAGACCCUGCAACACCAUUACUCCAAGCCACCAACUACACCCAUUAUUAUUAUUAUAAUAAUAACAUUUUUUUUCUCUUGUUUCUUCCUUCUUGGACAUCCACACACAUCUUUUUUUUUUUUUUAUGACAUCCCACAUUGGAUAGGGCCAAAGUUCUUGGUGUUAUAUAAUUAUGGACUCCUCGUAACCCUGUAGAUGUGUUUUAAAGCCAUGAGGGCCUCUUUGGAUCCAAAAUGAACAAUAUCUACAUGGUUGGGAGUGGGUCAUUACAAAUGGUAUCAAAGCCAAUCCCCAACCUCGGUGUGGGGUUUGUUUGGCCCCGUAAGGGUAUUUGUUUGUUUGACCCCACAAUCCUGUGGGACACAACGAGGACAUUGUGUUUGCAUGGGGGUUGUUUGUGACAUCCCACAUCAAAUAGGGGGGAACGUUCUUGGCGCUAUAUAAGUAUGGACUCUUCAUAACCUUAUAGACGUGUUUUGAAACUGUGGGGGCCCCUUUGGGUCCAAAGUGGACAAUAUCUACAUGGUUGAGAGCGGGUCAUUACAAAUGGUAUCAAAAUCGAUCCUUGAUCUCGGUGUGGGGUUUGUUUGGCCCCAUAAGGGUGUUUGUCUGUUUGACCCCAUAAUCCCGUGGGACACAAUGAGGUCGUUGUGUGUGCAUAGGGGGAGGGGUGUUUAUGACAUCCCACAUCGGAUAAGGGGGAAAGUUCUUGGCUCUAUAUAAGUAUGGACUUCUCGUAACCUUGUAGAUGCAUUUUAAAGCUGUGAGGGCCCCUUUGGGUCCAAAGUGGACAAUAUCUACAUGGUUGGGAGUGGCUCGUUACAAUUCAUGGAUUUUUACACCCAAAAGGUUUUAAGCAGUUUUUUCAUGUUACAUUUUGUGUCAUACGUUUGAUUGAUUAUUCCUAUUCAAAGAAUUGAUGAAAACUUAAUUAUAAUUGAUAUAGCUAGGUGUUUAGGAAUGUUUCUAUUUAAAGUGCUUUUAAUUGAUUGUUUUUUUAGAAACAUUUUUUAAAGAAUCACCUCUCAAGAGCUUCUCAAAAAAGCAUUACAAGUGAUUUUUAACUUUUUAAAGAAUGUUUUCUAUGUUUUUCCAAGUGUAUAGUUUUUCUCUAAAUUUUUUAUUUUUAUUUUUUAAUACCAGAAGCAUUUUCUAAAAGUACUACUAAAUGGACUCUUAAAUUUUGAGGAUAUUUCACUUAGACAACCUAUUCAUCCCCCUCACUAUGUAGUUUUGUGUCUCAAGAUAAAAGUUCUCUCCUUUAUUUUAACAUAAUCUUUGUUUGAAGAAUUGUAUUUUUACUUGACUUUUGUUUUUAAUAUGUCUUCCAAGGCUUUUAAUGAUCCCAUAAAUUGGUCAAUGGCUAUAGAAUCCAAAUAUUUAGGCUUUUCAAUAACAAGAAAAUAAAAGAUGAAAACUUUUUUUUUUUUAGUUACACAAAUAUCAUCAAACUUUCACCAUUUAUUUUUACUUAAUUUACAUAUGUCAAUAUUUUUGAAAAAUAAUAAAAGAUUCUCUUAUAUUUAAACUUUAAAAUUCACUUUUAAAAGUAUGAAAUUGAACUUUAAAAAAAAAAAAAAACUUAUCAAAACUUUUAUAUUUAUUUGUAAUAUUUUUCAUGUUUCCUUUGACCUGGUUGCACUUAAAAUCAUUUCAAAGUUGUCUACAUCUAUUUCUUAAUAAAUGAGGUUAAAAGCCUUCUUGUCUUUCUUUCUUAUAUCUUCGAAAAGUUUAUUUAAUUUUGGGAUAGAUUGGUUUUAUCCAAUAGCUCCUUGUAGUUUUUCUCUACAAUCUCUUAUAUAUAUCUUGCAACCAAAUAAAACCUUUGUCUUGAUAUUCAAAUCGUCAAAAUUGUUAAAACUGUCUUUAUUGAGUUAAGCAACUUAAUUGAAUUACACGUCUUUUGAAAAAUAAAAUAAAAUAAGAAUCUUAUUAUAUGCAUAAAUUUCAUGAAAGUCUUGCAACAUAUAGGGGGUAGGCCUUGAAGUUAUAGUGAUAAUUUAUUCUACUAAAAAUUUUGAUCUCUACAUUGAUAUCAUUUUUUUAGGAGUAAUAGGGAUAAAUACACAAAUAAUAGUACUAUUAAAAGAGAUAAGUAGAGGAGAAAAUUAAAAGAAAUUUUUUGUGUUUUUAAUACUUUAAUUGAAGUAUUAUAUACACAACUCCAAUUACAAUAUGUUUUAAUUCACUUUUAAAAACUAAAUCAAAUGUAAUUUUUGAAAACUUCUUGAAACUCAAAUUUAGAUUUCAAUGUGUGAUUGAAUGAUAGGGAUGGUAAAAAAUAGGUAAAUAAAACAUAUGUAAUAUUAUUGUAUAUUAUUAAUUGCUUCCAUACCAUUAGCAUAUCAAUGGCAUCUUGCUAAGAAGAAGAACCACCGACAACAGUCCAUUAUAAUAGUUUCAGAAUGAAUGACAUUUAUUUGUUUGUAUUAUAUUGUUUUGCUAUUUAGGCCAUAUUCACAUGAACUGACUUUUUGUUUGGAGUAGUGUUUUAGUAGAGUAUUCAUAGUACACCUAGAUAUAGCCUAUGGGUUGCAUUAAUUAAUGGUUUUGGACCAACUUAACAAAAUUCUAUGCUAUCAUAAAUGCCAAAUUUUGGCACCCCUUGCCAAAUUUUCGCAUACCCUGCCAAAUUGAUGAUUUUGCCUUGCGAAAUGCUUUGUUUUCCUCCAUCUUGCUAAUGAUAGUUUUGGCAACCCCUUGCCAAGUUUGACAAGGGGUUUUGAAGUGCUCCAAAGCUCGGAUUCUUCAUGUGCUCCAAACUCUCCCUCAAUCUUGGCCUAUUUCAGUGAUCAAAAAGCUACUAAAAACACUAAAACUUACCAAAAAUUGGUUAGUAACAUUUGCUAGGUCCUUAACAUGCCAAUUGGGAUAAAAGGUCUAACUACUACUCAAAAGUGCUUAAUACAAUUAAGUUUACGCUUAUAAAAAUGCACUUUUUGAGUAGUAAUCAAUAAAGUAGUUGAUUGCCCAUGAUUGCGCAAUGCCAUCAUAAAGGAACCGAAUGCCCAACACACGUACAUGUGAGGUACCAUAUUUUUUAAGAAAGACAAGUCGGUUUGCAAUUGAUGUUAAUAUCUUUCCAAGGCAGAAACAUCAUUUUGUAGGCAUAAUUGAAUUAGUUAAACUUAAACCCCAAUUUGCAUUCUUUCAAGUAAAAUUAUUUUUAACCUAUAAUGCUCAACACUUUUAUGAGAAUCAUAAAAGUAUCAGAAUCAUAGAGAAUUAUUGAAAGUGAUUUUGUAGUGUUGUUGAUAAUAUGUCACAUGACUAUAAAAAUGCUUUUAAUAUUAGUAAAUUAUCAAAAAGGACAUCAAAUUUAAUUUCAAGGAAAUAUUAUAAUAAACUAAUACUUUUUCAUGAUAAAAGAAUUUAUAAACAUUUAUAGUAAAAGAAUAUAUAAACAUCUAUUUUACUAACAAAAACUAAAAAAUAAUAGUUCUUGCGAUUACAAGAAAAUUUUAGAAAAUAUUUGCAACAUGAUUUGGAUUAAUAGACAAACAUCAAUCCUAAUAUAAUAAUUUUUAAAAUAAAAAAAUCAUUUGAUUAUUUAUUCACUUAAAAAUAAUAAUUUUUUAUUACUACAAAAUUUUGAAAAAUACUUACAAAAAAUCUAGAUUAAUAAUGAAAAAUUGAAUAAAAACAUAUUAGUUUAGUUUCUAAAAAAAAAAUAGUAAUUAAAAGCAAAUGAGAAGACAAAUUUUCUCAUAGUAAAAAAAAUGAGAAAAUUAUAUAUAUAUUUUUUCAUAUUAGUGUUAUAAUAAAACAUCAACAAGAUAUAAAAUGACCAGCAAUUCGAUCACAUUCUUCUUACAUCUCUCUUACAUGAUAGAACCGUCUUUCUCAACUCAUGAAUCCACUCUACUCUCUUUUUUACUAAAGCAAAUGUAACCCUUGAUCAUCAUCAUAAGGUUUAAAUUUCAUAUCUAUCCUAGCAUUAAUCAUUAUUAAGUUGUAAAAACCAUCAAAGUAAUAACAAUGUUGACUUAUUUUUCAAGAGAAAAACUAUGCAUUUCUCAUAUUGUUCCACAUCUAUUCUUCAAAAAGGCAAAUGUUCAAUUGUUCUCCUCAAAGAUAUCUAUGGUUAAAUAUUUCCUUCUUACCUCUUGGUAAACUACUCCAUCGAAAUCUAGAAGAUGGUAACACUCGCCCUUCAAGGGCCUAAUUAUAUUAUCCAUUCAUUUAAGGAUAACCAACAUUAAGGUAGAUAAUAUUUACCUACAAAAAAAAAAUUAUAUAAGAUUAUGAAAAUCUAAUCACAAAAGUAACUUUCAUAUUUUUAGUCACUAAUCUCUAGAAGGAUGAGGAAAACCUAAUUCUAGCAUUAUUUUUAAUGCCUAUGAAAAGAUGCAUGCAUCAUGAGCAAAACCUUCCCAUCUAGCCAAUGCAAAUGUGAAAUACAUAUUGAAAUAAUAUAUGACCAUAAUAUUUUAGGUAGUUAUGCUUUUUGUACCAAUAUAUGAUAUUUGCCUAUCUCUAAAAACCAUAAUGGGCAUAUGAGUUCCAUUAAUUACCCCUAUACAAUUCUUAAAAUAUGGUCAAUAACAUCAACAUUUCUUAUUUUAUCAAGGGUCUCCCUAAACUAUGAAUCACUUGGUUUUAAAAUAUCCAUAGCUAUAAGACAAACAACAUCUAAUAUAAUCUCAAACCAUCUAGAAAUAAAUUCAUUGGAGUGCUAAAAUCUUUCUUAGGUCGUCAUGUUGUCAGGUCUAUGAACUAUUGUAGUGAGAAACAUUGCUAAAGCCUCUAUUAAGGGCAUAUCUAAACCUUCUCUUAGACCAUGCCUUUUAAUAAGUAUUUCACGACCAAAAGUAUUUCCUUGGGGUUCUCCUACAAAAGUAUCCAAUUUAUUAUAUUUCACGACCAAAAUAUAAAUUAACUAAAUAAACUUAGUAAAAAAAUAAAAAUGUAUCUUCAAUUUAUUAUCCCACCAUUCAUUUUUAGCAUUAGUGGUUUGCCUCAUAAGAUCCCACCCAAGGCCAAUCUUUUUCUGAAUCAAGGCAUUCCAAAGUUGUCAAUAUUUUUUAAGAGAACUUAAUAUAUUCUUAGGUUGCUUAUAUUGGUAGGUUCUUCUAGGUAGAUUGUUGAAUACCUUUGUCACUUUUUUCCAUCCAAUUUACUAAAGUGACUAUUUGGUCUAUUUUUAGCCAAAAUCUUAGCAACACAAACUGUGAGAUAUGCAUUAACAACAAUAUCAUUCAAUAUACUUUGCUUUAUUGAUCAUUUUCUUUACCACUUGUUUGUUGUAGUGGUUGAACUAUACUGUUAGACAUCUAAUAACAAAGUAAAGAACAAAGAAGUAUUAAAAGAAAAUGUUGUCAAUGUACUUUUAUAUUUUAUAGUUUAGACAUCUAAUGAGAACCAUAAAAAAGUGAACCUUAAAGAAAUUGGUCAACUAGAGGAAUAUGAAUCUUGGAAUACUGAAUAGGAAAGACUCACAUUCAUGGAAUAAAUUAAUAUAUAAUAUUGUAAUUUUAUUAAUUCUUUUCAUUAGGUUGCUAAAAGUUGAAAAAGAAUUCCUCAUGAAACGGAUUAAAUAAUUUCCUCAUGAAAGAAUCCAAUCAUGGCCUCAUUAUGAAGUACUGAAUUAACUCAAUGAACUUGAAUAUCAUCUAAUAAAUUCUUUCAUGGGUUUGUUUUUAUAACUUUAAUGUUACCAAUAUAGAAAGAAAUGAAACAUGUUUUAAAUAAUGUAAGAAACUAUGGUAGAAAAGUGGAAAUAAUUAAGGAUAAGAGGCUUUAUAUGAACUUUAAUAUUGUUAGUAACAGAGAGGCAAAUGAGAUAUCUCAAUAUUAAAUUAUGCAUAAUUAGUAUAAUUUUUUAAAAAUAAAUGGAAGAGAAUUUAGGAGGAAAAUAAGUAAUUAGAGUAUGAGAUAACAUGAAUGCUUAAAAUUGUCAAUCAUUAAAUUUAAGAUAAUUGUUAAUAUUUCACUACAUUUUCCAACUCCAUGAAUUAAAGCAAUGGGAGGAAAUGAGUUGGAUUUCUUAAUAGUAUUAAGUGUUGGAUUGACACAAAAUUAGGGUGCUAGUGGACACUUGAAAUGAGGACCAAGUAACAAUUGCAGAUAGCAUUUUACUCAUCCAACAUAGUUAAAAUUUUCAAAACCCAAUUCUUAUUUAGUACUUUUAUUGAAUAUAUGGGUAUAGUUUAACUUCAAAUCUAAUAUGAGUGUACUUUGAAUUUCCUAAAGCUUACAUGUUUCUUCACAUAUUAACAAAGAGAAAAGAUUAACAUUUUUUACAAUUACAAUUUAUUAGGACUCAAGGUUUAUUUCCUAAACUUUUAAAGUGGGGAAAAAAAAGUGUAAGGGAGAAAAAAGGAAAAGGAAAAGAAAGGAAAAACAAAAAGAAGAAAAAACUAUUAAAAGGCAUUAGAAGCCUAAGAUGGGCAUAUCCAUGAUUGAGGUGUAAAUGGGGGUGACAAUUCAUGUUGGUGGAUAGUGUUUGUGUUGUGUCAAAGCCUAGGUGUUCUACUACAUAGCUUAACCCAUCCCCAACACUACUAAUAAUCAGAUUAAGUUAGGUCUUCUAUAUGUCAAUAUGAUUAAUAUCUCAAGAAAAAGAUGUUUUUGUCUCAAUUGACCAAUCUAUUUAGAAACAAAUUUAAAAUGAGUCAAAUAUGGGUCAAACGUCUUUCAAAUAUAAUUAAGUUAAUAGUGGGAUUAUUAAAUAGGUUAAUUCGAGUCAAAUUCGUGUUAUGCAGGUUGACCAAAAAAGUGCUUAUUUAUUAAAUGAGUUAUAUAAGUCGACACAAAAUUUACCUAAACUCAUUUAUACUUGACCCAAACCCAUGAAAAGCGUGUUAGGUUUGUGUAAUGUCGGGAAUCGUAUCAAACUUUGUCAUCCCUAGGUUCAAACAACUCCAAGACCCUAUUUUUAAGGAGAAUAUAUGGACUUGAGAUUGCUACAUUAUUUAGACUAAUCCACACCUACUUAUUAAGGGAAAAAAAAUAAAAGAGGAGAAAUGUAGAGUAUAGGAUGAUGGGACAAGGCACAAAAUGACAAGACGUAGGAUGGUAGGACAUAGGAUGAUAAAAAUCCACUUCAAUUAAUAUUUCCAUAAAUCAAGAGUAAUCAAAUAUUAAAAUAUUUUAUUCUCCUAAUUUAGGAUAUAAUAUCUAUUCUAAAUAAAUCAAGAGCAAUCAAAUAUUAAUAAUAUUUGAUUCUCUUAAUUUAAGAAAUAAUAUUUAUAUUCCUUAAUUUUAGGAUAUUUAUUAUUUAUUUCUUCUAUAAUUCACAAUGCAUUCUUGUAUAAAUUUAUGAAAAGAAAUAAUAAAAAUUCAUUGCUUCUAUUUUCAAAUUAUAAAUUCUUCUUGGUAUUAGAGUUAGAGGAGGAGGCUCAAACUUGGGUUUUCUCCAAAGGUGGUUGAAUACCCUAAAAGACUUGACCUAUCCACACAAACAAUGUCUUACUCUUCAUUCAUUCAUUCAAAAAUAAAAUAAAAUAAAAUCCUUAGUGCUCUAGCUUUCCAUCAACAUUUUUUCUAAUUUGAUUUCAAUCAAGCUAAACACAACAAAUUUUCUACUAUGGGGAAAUCAAACUAUCCUCUUAGCUUGUGGCUUCGGUGUUUGAACCUUUCAUCAAUGUUUUACCCUUUCAUUGGUGUUAUUUUUAGUUUGAUUUUAAUCAAGUUAAACACCAUAAAUUUUCUAGUAUGGCAAAAUCAAAUCAUUCUCUUAGUUCAUGGUGUGUUCUCUAACAUCUCUUAGGUGGAGAAAGACUUGCUAAAGAAUUAAAUAUGAUGAGGAAAGCAAAAGUUUUAUCCUACAAUACUAGUAAUCAAUUAAUAAUAACAUAUUUGUCACUUCAUGAGUUCUCAAAACCAUGAUAAAAGACAUUUUCAUUAUGAUCCUUGGGACUAACAAGAUAUAUAAGGUAUAAACUUCUCUUAAGGAGUAAUUGCUUCCUAUUAUAGUUGAAAAAAAAAAUGAUCUCUUCAAGAAUAUUUAAGAGAUUUCAAAAAUAUAUAUGAUAAUCUCAUGACAAUCAAAAGCUAAUUUCAGACUAAGACAAAGUUUGUUGAUUCACUCAUGGUUUAGGAUAAUGGAAUGAUUUUUUUUAACCUACUAUGCUUUUCUAACCAAUUCAUAGCAACUCUUUAGGGACAUAAGCAAUCACUUACCACCAAAGGGAUGGAAAGAAAAUUUUUAUAGAGUAUGCACAAUUUUUUAUUUGGACAACAUAGUUAUGGUCAUAAUGGUUGAAAAUGCAUAAAUUUUAAUUUGAGGGGAAGAAGCUUUACACUUUCUAUGUGUUACAAUUCUUUUAAAAAAAUAUACUUUUAUGAUUUUAUCAAGUCCUUGUCAAAGGAUAUCUUCAUCAUGUUUUGAGAUAAGCUGGGUGUGCAUAUUCUUUCCCACUCCAAUUUAAGCUUGCAUAUUAAGAGAAAGAAUAAAAUAAGAUAAAAAGCACAUAGGAUAGCAACACGUAGGAUGAUAAAAAUCCGCUUCAAUUAAUAUUUCCACAAAUCAAGAGUAAUGAAAUAUUAAAAUAUUUGAUUCUCCUAAUUUAGGAUAUAAUAUUUAUUUUAAAUAAAAAACAAACAAUCAAAUAUUAAUAAUAUUUUAUUCUCUUAAUUUAGGAAAUAAUAUUUAUUUUCCUUAAUUUUAGGAUACUUGUUAUUUCUUUCUUUGUAUAAUUCACAAUGCAUUCUUGUAUAAAUUUUCUAAAAGAAACAAUAAAAUUCAUCAUUUUCAUUGCCAAAUUAUCAAAUCCUUUACUAAUGACCUUACGAUUAAAAUCUUGUUUGUUUGGUAAGUGUUGAACAAAAUGCCUUAGUAGCUACAAACGUGAUGGAAGAUGUGUGAAAGUUGUUGUGAACUGAGGAAGCUUAAGAAUCUAUUAAGAAGGUUGCUGAGGUGUGAAGAGAUGCUGAAAUUGAGGCUGUAACCAUAAAACAACUUAGUCAAUGAAGCUAAUAGAGUUUCAUAGAGCUGUUAUGCUGUUAUUGUUAUUUUAUAGGAAGUAGCUCUUAGUUCCAGCUAUUUUUUCUACUUUUCUAUUGUUUUCUAUUGCAAACUUGUGUAUAAAUGUUGCAUUGAUCAUUCAAUGAGAGUAGACAUUUUUGUUGUCUCAAAUGCAACUUUUGGUUGUUGCUUCCAACACUCUAGAUUCUAAAACCUAUGGAUUAGUAUCAGAGCCUUCUAUUUUGAAGGACCUGUGAGGAUUGAGUGAAGCCAAAAUACCUUCACACAUAUUGAACUCCAAAGCCAACAUAAACACACAACCUUUAACAGCUUGUAACUAUCAUUCUACAACAAAUAGAUGGAGCCACAAGCUUUUUGUCAGUACCAGUUUUCAAUGGUGAUAAUUAUCAGGCGUGGGCUAUUAGAAUGACAGUCCACCUUGAAGCUUUGGAUCUUUGGGAGGCAGUAGAAGAAGAUUAUGAAGUACCACCACUUGUAGACAAUCCAAGUAUCAAUCAAAUGAAGAUUCACAAGGAAAGAAAAGCAAGGAAAGCCAAAGCCAAGGUUUGCCUCUUCUCUGCAGUUUCACCUUCCAUUCUCACCAGAAUCAUGCAAAUGGAGUCUACUACAGCAAUCUGGAAGUGAUUUCGCAGCAUUUUUGUACAGUAAGGUGUUUCUCCUUCUGACGAUGCACGAUUUAUGCCGCGAGAAGGAAGCUAGAAACCUCAAGGUAGAAGCCAACUUCGCAGCCCUGUGAAGAUAGCUUGGUGUUGCGAAAUAAUUUCGCAGCCCUCUUGAGUGUCUGCGAAAUCUCGCAGACACCAUUUUUCUCCUGCGAAAUGGUUCCUAAAGCUUCCCGAUAUUUGCUACCGACAUUGGGAGAUAUUUUCCAUUAGAUUUUUGUUGUCUAAAUCCCAAAAUACUCCUUGUAAACCACCAAUUACAUGAUUCCUUAGUUUUUAAGUUAGUAAAAAGACUAAAUAUCCAUGUAAUAAUUAGUUUUAUAUUAUGUUCAUAUAUAUACCUCUCGAGAGCCUGUUCUCAGAGAGGAGUUCCUUCUGUAAAAGUUGGGGUAAGCAAGUAAAGUCUCUUUUCUUUCUACUGCCUUACCUUCUCACUUUGUAUUUUUUACUUAUUACUAAGUUAUGAACUCUCUGAGGAGUUUUCCCUAGAGAAUGAGUAACUAAACCUCUAAUUCCUUGGAGCUAAGGUUGCCGGGGGAGGUUCCAAGUGCAAGAAUGCAAAGCUUUGUGGUUUUAGCUAGUAAUGAAGAGGAAGUGAAAUCCUUCAAUGAUUUCUAUGUUUUUAGUUAACUUAAAACACCUUGGAGUCACCUGGGCCAACACUUGGUAAGGCAAGUGAUUUCCAACUAUGGAAAUGCACUAGUUUACCCCUUGCGAGCCUUUGGGAGGUGACUUCAAGGUAGGAUUUUCUAGAAUAGCCAACACUUGGUAAGCUUUUGGACUCCUAGGAGACAUCCAUUAGUUAUCUCUUGCGAGCUUUUGACGGGUAAUCCAAGGUUAAAGAUCACCUUGAAUGGUUAAGGCUUAGUGAGAGGCUUAAACCAUUGCAAGUUGCAUCAGUGAGAGAAUUAAAGUGAAAUCUAAUUGAAGGAGUCUCUGUACAUCACCAGUUAGAGAAUUGACUAUAUGUUGAAUCUCUAAUGCGAGGAAAUGAACCAUCUGACCAAAGCCGUGUCUUUUGCAUGAGGAACCACCCCAGUGAACCUAAAUCUCCAAGGAAUGCUUUUCUUCCUAAAUUAUUCCAAACUUCUGUUAUGUUAGUUAGUUUAAGUCUAAACCUUUACCAAUCAAAGUUUGUGUUUUACUUCUUAAGCUAACCUUGAAAUGAAAGAAGGCCAAUUCACUUGGAAUUGGUAUCAUUGAUUGCUUGUUAAUCAUUCCCAGUGAACGAUCCUAGAGCCACUAUACUAUAGUAGCUUUGUCUUUGCUACCCUAGUAUAUGGUGUAAUAGGUUAUAAAUUUUGUUGAUUACUCCCUCAAUCAAGGAGCACCAGCUGGACGCAAAUCAGCUGAGACACCAAUUGGGCAUGAAUCAAAUGGCGCCGUUGCCGGGGAAUGAGUGUCAAGUUUAUAUUGAUACCAUUUUUGAGCACUUGUGAUUUUCAUCACAAGUUGGUAAAGUUUCUUUCACUUUACUAAUUUUCAUUCUUUCUUUGUUUAUUUAUAAUCUAAGUUUAUCUUUUAAAAUUUAGCCUAGUUUAGUUUUAUUGUUGUAGCCCUGUUUCUUUUGUUUUCUUUUGUUUUCAUUUUUAGUUGCAGAUAAAUACUAGUUGUGUAUGCCAAAGUGGAUACAAGACAGUGGAGGAAGGCUUGUUAAGUGUGAUACACCUCAGAGGGGAGAAUUUGAAGUAAUCUUGAAUAUCAUGGAAUCUACACCUGAAGAUCAGCAUAGUCACCAAGGUCGUCAAGACAAUCUCAAUGAAUUCAGAUCAAUGAGGGACCGUAUGCAUCCACCUCGUAUGAGUGCACCAUCAUGUAUAGUGCCCCCUACAGAGCAGCUAGUGAUCAGACCGUAUCUUGUUCCACUUCUACCAACUUUCCAUGGGAUGGAAAGUGAGAAUCCGUAUGCACACAUCAAGGAAUUUGAAGAUGUUUGUAAUACAUUCCAAGAGGGAGGAGCUUCAAUUGAUUUGAUGAGGCUUAAGUUAUUUCCUUUUACUUUAAAGGAUAAGGCCAAAAUUUGGCUUAAUUCUUUAAGGCUAAGGAGUAUCCGCUCUUGGACUGAUUUACAAGCUGAAUUCCUCAAGAAAUUUUUUCCCACUCAUAGAACAAAUGGCUUGAAAAGGCAAAUUUCAAACUUCCCAGCUAAAGAGAAUGAGAAAUUCUAUGAGUGUUGGGAAAGAUACAUGGAAGCUAUAAAUGCUUGUCCUCACCAUGGCUUUGAUACUUGGCUAUUGGUGAGCUAUUUUUAUGAUGGUAUGUCAUCCUCAAUGAAGCAACUCCUCGAGACAAUGUGUGGAGGAGAUUUCAUGAGCAAAAAUCCAGAGGAAGCUAUGGAUUUCUUGAGCUAUUGAUUCGCGUGUAACUCCAAAUGGGUCAUUUAAUCAAAAACAUUUAUAAAACCUAUGACCUCAUACUAAUGUAGCAAAGCUACUAUAGUAUAGUGGCUCUAGGGUCGAACUCUGGGAUGGGUUUUCAUUCUACCAGUGAUAUACUCAAAAUUAGAAAUUGUAUUUAAUGAUUUCCUUAAUAAAAAACUUAAAGUUUAAAAGAAAAUAAAAUUUGUUUUGAAAGUGUUUGAAACUAAACUAACAUAAACUAAUUAAAAAUGGAAGAAAGAAAGUCUCCCGGAGCUAAGGGUUGCUAGGAUCAAGUUCAGAAUAGAAAGUGGAAAAUUCCGGAUUUUUCUCCUCGCAUUGGGGAUUUAACCUAUAGUUAUUUCCCGAACCGGUAUAGGUUUGAAAAUGAAGAUUUAAUCCAUAAAAGGUCAAUAGAAAUGGUAGUCAAGGUCCAUUAAUGGCUUAAGACACUAUGGGUCUUCACCUUGAAUCACUUUCCAAUGACUCGUACAUGAUAACUAAUGGACUAAUAUGGAUCUAGCAAUAAGCAUCCAUAAAGACCUGAAGCUUACCAUGUAUUGGUCAUUCAAAGUGAUUCUAAGGGAUUUAAAGCAAAACUUUGGAUUUAGAAGCCAUUUAUGAAUUCCAACUACCUGAAUUUAAUGCAUGGAAGCUUUCCACCUUUUCAUCUGGAAUUUUCACCUAGCUUCCUUUACUCCAAGAAACCGAAAGUUUAGCCUCUCAUCCUCCGGGCAAACAUCCUUAGAGGUUGUUUGGCUUCCAAGAAAAAGAAAAUAGUAAAGAACAAAGAGAACGAGAGAGCUCUGUAAAAUUCACAGUGUAAAAACGUAAUACGUAUUCUAUAUAUUCCAAGAGGUGAUUUCCACCCCUUAUAAAGUCUUUACAAAAGCCAAAGCUUAUGAUUGGUUAGUUACAAGGAUAAUAAAGGAAAUUACAUCACAAAAUACAAAGGAAAAUAUCUAAAGUGGAGUCGGCAAAGGGCAGAGCAAAAUUCGCAACACGCAUGGGUUAUGCGAACCAUAUGCGAAUGUUAUGCGAAUUUCGCAUAACCUCUUGUGGAAUGCGAAAUUUUCGCAUAACCUGGAGCAGUUGGCUUCCGAAGGCCAUAUCUUCCUCAUUUCAGAUCCAAAUCGUACACGGUUUGAAGCGUUGGAUUCUUGACUUCCAGAGCUUUGAAAUGGUAUAUAGCAUAUAUAAAAUGGACUUCGGGAAGUGCUCCAAAAGUGUGAAAGAAGACUGCAGCUGCUACAUCUUGAUUUUUUUCACUUUGCUUCUCUUUGCUUCUCUCCUUUGCUUGACUUGUCUUAAUGAUCCAAAAAGCUGUCAAAACAUUAAAACUAGCCACAAAUAUGAUUAGAAGACAUUGCUAGGUCCUUAACAUGCCAAUUGGACUAAAGAUGGAGAACUACUACACAAAAGUGCUUAAAACAUAAUGCAUUAAAGGUGUAAAAUAGCACUUUUUGGGUAGUAAUCAGCUAUGUAGCUGAUGUUUCAAGGGGAUGGGAUGAACCAACUAAAGGAGAAGUGGGAAAGAUGAAGUCUCAGUUGAAUGCUUACAAUGCAAAGGCUGGGAUGUAUACCUUAAAAGAAGAUGAUGACAUGAAAGCAAAGUUGGCAGCUAUGACAAGAAGAUUGGAGGAGCUGGAGCUGAAAAGAAUACAUGAAGUGCAAGCUGUUGCUGAAGCACCAGUGCAAGUGAAGCUGUGUCCCAAUUGUCAGUCUUAUGAACACUUGGUGGAGGAAUGCCCUGCAAUUCCAACUGAAAGGGAAAUGUUUAGAGAUCAAGCAAAUGUUGUUGGACAAUUUAGGCCCAAUAACAAUGCGCCAUAUGGAAAUACCUACAACUCAAGUUGGAGGAAUCAUCCAAAUUUCUCAUGGAAGGCCAGAGCAACUCAAUACCAACAGCCGGAUCCACCAUCUCAACAAUCUUCAAGUAUUGAACAAGCAAUGGCUAAUCUCAGUAAGGUAAUGGGAGAUUUUAUUGAAAAGCAAGAAGCCACUAAUGCUCGAGUCGAUCAAAGAAUUGAUAGAGUGGAGAGUAUGUUGAAUAAAAGGAUGGAUGGAAUGCAAAAUGAUAUGAACCAAAAGUUUGAUAACAUCCAAUAUUCAAUUUCAAGGCUUACAAAUUUGAAUACACUGCAAGAAAAGGGAAGAUUUCCUUCUCAACCUCACCAAAAUCCUAAAGGUGUCCAUGAAGUGGAAAGCCAAGAGGGAGAAUCAUCACAGGUGAAAGAUGUGAAAGCCUUGAUCACUCUAAGGAGUGGUAAAAAAAUUGAGCAGCCAACACCCAAGCCACAUGUUGAGAAAGAAAAAGAGAUAAAGAAAAGGAAGGAAAUGGAAGAUAAAGAGAGUGAUAUCAGUGAAGAAAAGAAGGACUCUGAUGCAACAAUGAAUGCAAUUCCAGAGAAGGAGCUUCUGAAGGAAGAAAUGCUGAAGAAAUCAACUUCUCCACCUUUUCCUCAAGCAUUACAUGGGAAAAAGGGGAUUAGAAAUGCAGCUGAAAUCCUUGAAGUCUUGAAGCAAGUGAAAGUUAAUAUUCCACUGCUGUAUAUGAUUAAACAAGUUCCAACGUAUGCAAAAUUCCUUAAGGACUUAUGUACUAUCAAAAGAGGGUUGACUGUAAACAAGAAAGCCUUCUUGACUGAGCAAGUAAGUGCAAUCUUACAAUGUAAGUCUCCUUUGAAGUACAAAGACCCUAGAAGUCCUACCAUUUCAGUCAUGAUUGGAGGAAAGGUAGUGGAGAAAGCCUUGUUAGAUUUGGGAGCAAGUGCGAAUUUGCUUCCAUAUUCUGUCUACAAGCAAUUGGGACUUGGAGAGUUGAAGCCAACAACAAUCACUCUAUCUCUGGCAGAUAGAUCAGUGAAAAUUCCAAGAGGGGUAAUUGAGGAUGUAUUGGUUCAAGUGGAUAAUUUCUACUAUCCAGUAGAUUUUAUUGUUCUUAAUACAGAUCCUACUGUAAAGGAAGCUAAUUUAGUUCCUAUCAUCCUUGGAAGGCCAUUUCUUGCAACUUCAAAUGCAAUCAUCAACUGCAGGAAUGGGCUUAUGCAGCUCACUUUUGGUAACAUGACACUGGAUCUCAAUAUUUUCUACAUGUCUAAAAAGCAAAUCACUGCGGAGGAAGAAGAAGGUCCAGAAGAGCUAUGUAUAAUUGAUACUUUGGUAGAGGAGCACUGCAAUCAACAUAUGCAAGAAAAGUUGAAUGAAAGUCUUGAGGAUAUUGAGGAAGGUUUUUCUGAAUCUCCUAUUGGGCUUACUACUCUACAAAGUUGGAGAAAGAUAGAAGGAAUUCUACCUUUGUUCAAUAAGGAAGAGGAGGCAGCUGCUGAAAAAGAAAUUCCAAAACUCAAUCUGAAGCCUUUACCUGUGGAGCUGAAAUAUACAUAUCUUGAAGAAAAUAAUCAAUGUCCUGUUGUGAUAUCUUCAUCUCUGACCAGUCAUCAAGAGAAUUGUUUAAUGGAAGUUCUCAAGAGGUGUAAGAAGGCAAUAUGAUGGCAAAUAUCUGAUUUGAAAGGCAUUAGUCCUUUAGUUUGUACUCAUCAUAUAUAUAUGGAGGAGGAAGCAAAGCUAAUUCGUCAAUUUCAAAGAAGGUUGAAUCCUCAUCUACAAGAGGUGGUGCGAGCUGAGGUGCUGAAGCUACUUCAAGCAGGAAUCAUUUACCCUAUAUCUGAUAGCCCUUGGGUGAGUCCUACUCAAGUAGUACCAAAGAAGUCAGGGAUCACAGUGGUUCAGAAUGAAAAAGGGGAAGAAAUUACUACACGCCUCACUUCAGGUUGGAGGGUGUGUAUUGAUUAUAGAAAGCUGAAUGCUGUAACCAGGAAAGAUCAUUUUCCAUUGCCAUUUAUUGAUCAAGUGCUGGAGAGAGUCUCUGGACAUCCAUUCUAUUGUUUCUUGGAUGGGUAUUCAGGGUAUUUUCAUAUUGAAAUUGAUUUGGCAGAUCAAGAAAAGACCACUUUUACAUGUCCAUUUGAAACAUAUGCUUAUAGAAGAAUGCCUUUUGGUUUAUGCAAUGCACUUGCUACAUUUCAAAGAUGUAUGUUGAGUAUUUUCAGUGAUAUGGUGGAGCGAAUUAUGGAGGUUUUCAUGGAUGACAUCACCGUAUAUGGAGGUACAUUUGAGGAAUGCUUGGUUAAUUUGGAAACAGUUCUUCAUAGAUGCAUUGAAAAAGACCUGGUGCUGAACUGGGAGAAAUGCCAUUUUAUGGUACGACAAGGAAUUGUCCUUGGCCAUAUCAUCUCUGAAAAAGGCAUUGAAGUUGAUAAAGCAAAGGUGGAGCUUAUUGUCAAAUUACCAUCUCCAACAACUAUAAAAGGAGUAAGGCAGUUCCUUGGCCAUGCAGGGUUCUAUAGGAGGUUUAUAAAAGGUUUUUCAAGUCUUUCAAAACCUCUUUGUGAGCUGUUAGCUAAGGAUGCUAAGUUUAUAUGGGAUGAAAGGUGUCAGAAUAGCUUUGAUCAACUGAAGAAAUUUUUAACAACAACUCCAAUAGUGAGAGCCCCUAACUGGCAAUUACCUUUUGAAUUGAUGUGUGAUGCCAAUGACUUUGCUAUAGGAGCUGUGCUUGGCCAAAGAGAAGAUGGGAAGCCCUAUGUGAUUUACUAUGCAAGUAAAACACUAAAUGAAGCUCAGAGGAACUACACAACUACAGAAAAAGAAUUGUUAGCUAUGGUAUUUGCUUUGGACAAAUUUCGUGCUUAUUUAGUGGGGUCUUUCAUCAUAGUCUUCACUGACCAUUCAGCCUUAAAGUAUUUAUUGACAAAGCAAGAUGCAAAAGCAAGGUUGAUUAGAUGGAUUCUUUUGUUACAAGAAUUCGAUCUUCAAAUCAAAGAUAAGAAAGGAGUGGAGAAUAUGGUAGCUGACCACUUGUCAAGGUUAGUUAUAGCACAUAACUCCCAUCCCUUGCCUAUCAAUGAUGAUUUUCCUGAAGAAUCACUCAUGUUCCUAGUGAAAACUCCUUGGUAUGCUCAUAUUGCUAAUUAUUUAGUAACUGGUGAAAUUCCAAGUGAGUGGAAUGCACAGGACAGGAAGCACUUCUUUGCCAAAAUUCAUUCUUAUUAUUGGGAAGAGCCCUUUCUCUUUAAGUAUUGUGCAGAUCAGAUUAUUAGAAAGUGUGUCCCUGAAGAUGAGCAGCAAGGGAUUCUAUCUCAUUGUCAUGAGAAUGCAUGUGGAGGCCACUUUGCCUCUCAGAAAACAGCCAUGAAGGUAUUGCAAUCAGGGUUUACUUGGCCAUCUCUUUUCAAAGAUGCCCACAUCAUGUGUAGGAAUUGUGAUAGAUGCCAAAGGCUUGGAAAGCUAACAAAAAGAAAUCAAAUGCCUAUGAACCCCAUUAUGAUAGUUGAGUUAUUUGAUGUAUGGGGCAUUGACUUCAUGGGACCUUUCCCAAUGUCUUUUGGUAAUUCUUACAUUUUGGUGGGGGUGGAUUAUGUUUCUAAAUGGGUUGAGGCAAUCCCCUGUAAACAAAAUGAUCACAGGGUGGUUCUCAAGUUUCUUAAAGAGAACAUUUUCUCAAGAUUUGGGGUGCCCAAGGCCAUAAUCAGUGAUGGAGGUGCUCAUUUUUGCAACAAACCUUUUGAAGCUCUGUUAUCCAAGUAUGGAGUGAAGCAUAAGGUGGCUACACCUUAUCAUCCUCAGACUUCCGGGCAAGUUGAGCUAGCUAACAGGGAAAUAAAGAACAUCUUGAUGAAAGUGGUGAAUUCCAAUAGAAAGGAUUGGUCUAUUAGGCUUCAUGAUUCAUUGUGGGUAUAUAGAACAGCUUAUAAGACUAUUCUUGGGAUGUCUCCCUAUCGUCUUGUCUAUAGUAAAGCAUGCCAUCUCCCUGUGGAAGUUGAAUACAAAGCUUGGUGGGCAAUAAAGAAGCUGAACAUGGACUUGAUCAAGGUAGGAGAAAAGAGAUUUCUAGACCUUAAUGAGAUGGAGGAAUUAAGAAAUAAUGCUUAUAUCAAUUCCAAAGUUGCAAAACAGAGGAUGAAGAAGUGGCAUGAUCAACUCAUCUCCAACAAGGAAUUUCAGGAAGGGCAAAGAGUUUUGAUGUAUGACACAAGACUCCAUAUCUUUCCUGGGAAACUCAAGUCAAGGUGGAUAGGCCCGUUCAUUAUUCACCGAGUAUAUUCCAAUGGAGUGGUGGAAUUAUUGAAUUCCAAUGGCAAGGAUAGCUUUAAAGUCAAUGGAUAUCGUCUCAGGCCAUUCUUGGAGCCAUUCAAACCAGAAAAGGAGGAGAUCAACCUCCUUGAACCUCAAAAAGCUUAAGUGAAAAAGGGUUUGCUGGACGUGGUUUUACCACAGUCCAAAAUUUUUGUAAAUUUUGUAAAUUUUCAAGUUGUUUCCAUACUUUUGAUCUUAGUUUUUGAUCUUAAAUCAUGUUUUUAGGUGUGUUUUAAUUGUUUUGAAUGAUCCCAGGUGGAAGAAAUUUCAAGGAAAUUGAAAGAAAAAAAAAAUCAGGUCGAAAUCGGAGCCAAAAUAGAGUAAAAACAGGGGAAAAACAAAGCUCUGCGAAAUGAGCAUUUUGUUGCCAAACCAUUCCGCAACACUGUAGAAGUCUCUGCAAGGGUAUUUCGCAGUUGCGAAAGCAAAUUUGGCACACGAGUGCCACUUCGCAGUACAGUAGCAUCCAUUUGGCAGCUGCGAAACGCAUUGCGAAGGGAAAAAGCGUGAUUUCGCACCAAAAGUCCCAUUCCGCAGGGUAUUUCGCAAUUGCGAAAGUGGUUUUGGCACACGAGUGCCACUUCGCAGCAUAGGAACUCUCAUUUCGUAGCUGCGAAACUCACUGCGAAGUUGCUGCAAAAAUGGCAUUUUGCUGUGAAAUUGACGUUUUGUUGCGAAACUUAAACUGACCCUUAGGCUUCCAUUUUUCCUAUUUAUACCGAUCAUUUGAGCUGCGAAAAGGGUUUCAAAAAUCAGAGCGCCAUUUUCGCAGACCUUUCAUCUUCUUCCUUGAGCCACGCCGUCCGAGCCUCCGGUCAUCUCCUCCGAUUAGCAACGCCGGCCAAAGUUUGGUAUCCCGAAAUGGCACGAACACGAGAGGCUAAGUCUUCAUCUUCUUCGAACCACAAGAAGAGUCUGCGAAAGGAGCCAAGUCUAGGUUCUGCUCCAGAGCCUUCGCCGUCAAGGCCAAAUCCUCCUCCGGUGAAGCCCGCGCCACCAAAGCCACCUGCAAGACGAUACCUUACCAGGUCAGGAGGUCGGCCAUUGCAGAAGAAACCCAGGGUGGAGAGCUCAGAACCCAUCGAUUUGACUGAGCAAUCUCCAGAGCCUUCACCAAUUCCAUCACCGGUUCAAACUCCAGUGCCGUCUCCAGUUCCCUCGCCUAGUCCCCUGCCAGUUCCAUCGCCGGUACCAUCUCCGGCACCGCAAGAAAAAUCUCAGGAGCCUCAAGCGCCACUUCCCGAGCCCCAAAUUCAAGCUGAAACAGCUCUGGAAGAAGUAAUCUGGAGGCCAAUGCUACCUCAGCCCCCAAUUGAGGGAAACUUGGAUUGUAGAACACGGGCAUUUCACUCCGAGCUUUGCUUUGACUUACCGGCAUUCAGAGUGAGGCUGGAGCUUGCCCAAUCAUUCCAGCUGCUGAGAAGGUACCAUAUGGAGCAACUGCUAGCUCCAAGAGACUUUUUCUAUCCCCGGAUAGCCACGGAUUUCUACCAAUCCAUGACAACCAAAGAGGUAAGGAAUCCGACUUUGAUUCAUUUCACAAUCGAUGGGAGACAUGGCAUAUUGGGAGCACGACAUAUUGCUGAAGCCCUGCAAAUUCCCUUUGAGCCAACCCAAUUCGAUAAUUUUACAGCUUGGGCAAAUCCUACUGAGCUAAAGAUGGUGCGCACCCUUUCCAGAGGAGCUGCAAAUCGAUCACAUCUGUUGAGGGGGGAGCUUCCUCCAGUUAUGUUUUUGAUUGAUGCCUUUUUGCGUCAUAAUAUAUACCCAUUGCAGCAUUGGACCCAAAGAAGGGGAGUCCUCCUGGAAGCUCUUUAUAAGAUGUCAGAAGGAUUUUUCUUUGGGCCUCAUCAUCUGAUCAUGGCAGCCCUUCUCUAUUUUGAAGAGAAGGCUCAUAAAAGGAAGCUUCAGAGAGCAUAUUGCAUUCCCCUCCUCUUCCCAAGGCUGCUAUGCCCAAUUUUGGAGCAUCUGGGAUACCCCUCUGAGCCUCAGCUGGAGAGAAAGCGAAUUUGCCGUGAGCCAUUCACUCUUGAUAAAUGGAAUAAUAUGACGGCCUACAAAGUUGAUCAGCCUGGGCAGCCUCAACCAGCUGCAAGGAGAGCCUCCCCAAGACAUAUACCUGAAGGUAUAACAGUUGCUACUCCUGCCAUUCCUAGAGCUCCACCAGUUGCACCUGCUUCAUUUCAGCCAUCCACAUCAGCUGAGCCGAGGAUGGCCAUUCCUAUAUCUGAAUAUCGAGAGUUGUGCCGUGCAUUGGAGACACUUACAGCUUCUUAGAGCAAUCUUGCUCAAGAGAUGGCAGCCAUCAGAGCAUGCCAAGAGCAGAUGUUAGCCACUCAAGCUCAACAAGCUGCCAUCUUAAGGCAGCUCCAAGACCAUUUCGAUCUGCCACAAGCUGUAGAGUCCUCCACUUCUACUCCAACAGAGCCACACCCUCAUCCUUCAGAGUCUCAUCCUCCUGAGCCCCAAGCCCCAGCUGAUGCACCUACUGAAGAGGUAGAUCCUUCUGCCUAAUCCCAGCACCACCCCACUCAUCAGACUAUAUUAGAUAUCUAAUAUUUUCAUGUAUUUCAUUUUUUUUAGUUGAAAAGAAAUCCCAGUAUUUUGGUACUAUAUUUGGGAUUCCUUGUGUUACUUGUCUUUUGCAUUGUAAUCAAAUGAAUUUAAAGUAAUACAAGUUGAAUAUUUCUUGUUAAAAGUUAGCAUUAAGUUAUUCUUAUUUCCUUUUCUCACAUAUUCUAUUCUUUUUGAAACAUGUGGUUUUCCCCAAUCAAUAUUCGAAUUUGAUUUCAGCAAGGAGGUACCACUUCCUCCCUUUUAUUACAUUCACUCAAAUCACAUUGAGGACAAUGCUCAGUUCGGUUGGGGGGUAUGAGGAAGGAAGUAUUCUAAAUCUUUUUGGUAUUGCAAUUAUAUUGGUUAAUUAGUUGUAGUUUUUACUUUUUACUCUUGUUACUCUAUUCUCCAUGAAUUUUGAGGAAAAAUUUUCAAAUUAAACCAAGAGAAAUUGAACUGUUGUUUUUCACUUGACUUAGAGUAUGGAUUAUGCUUACUAAAGUGGUUCAAUUGUUGAAGCUUCUAUUGAAAUUGAAGUUAGUUCUUCCACUUUAAGCUAUCCACACACUGUGCACAUUAGAUUCCGAUUAUAAGAUGAAAAGCUAUUUCCCUCUUGACUUAGGAUAAUUUUGGGACUUGGUAUAUUUGACCUCAUUUGAUAAAAUUGAAACACCCUGCAAAAGGCCAAUGAGCCUUUGAAAUAAAGAAAGUUGUUUGCUUGCCUUGAAACCCGAGCAAGGUCUGAGGGGUAUAUGGUGAAAAUCUUUAAAGCCUGGUGCCCUAAGCCUUAAUUGGUUGGGAGUCACCGACCUCAAUGCUCGUUAUAAGGGUGAAUAGGUAGAGCUAGCAUAUGGUAGAUGCUUGGGUAUUAGAAUCUCAUUCUUAAAAGUCCGGGGAAAAAUCCGAGGAGUUAGUGGUUGAAAGAUCCUUAAAGCUUGGUGCCCUAAACCUUAAUUGGUUGGGAGUCAUCGAUGGACCCCCAUUACAUGGACAAGUCAGAAAGAGUACCCCAUAAAGCUACCUUAAAAAAAAAAAUGAUGAAAAUGUGUUCUUUUCUUAUUGAUUUUGGUCAGAUUGCUAAAGUAUUGAAAAGAGAUAGGUUGGGGGGAGAGACUAGUUUAGCAUAUUAUUCUCGGAACCUAAGGAACCAAUACACAUAGAUUUUUGUGGAAGAUUAAAGUUUGAUUCUUAGAAAGUGGAAAUGAUUUUAAAACUUCAGUUUGCAUAAUGCACUCCCUUGAUUGACAGUGUUUAGCAUAGGUGUUAUGACUCUUGUUGAGAUUUGGGUUUGUAUUUCUUUACUACUUCAUGUGAGAAUUAGAUCAUCAUGCCACUUGAGAAUUAUUUUCCUUUAGCAUGAUGUUGUAAAUUUUAGAUUAGUUUGCUUUUUAUUUUCAUUUUUCUCUCCUAUAUUGCUAAGGGACUAGCAAUAUGUCGGUUGGGGGGAGUGAUUACUACUCAAAAAGUGCUAUUUGAUAGCCUAUAAUUAAUCCUUUUAAACACUUUUGAGUAGUAGUUUAGGCCUUUUAACUCAAUUGGCAUGUUAAGGAUCCUUUAAAGCAAUUUUAAUCACUUUGUGCAAGUUUUGGUGUUUUUGUUAGUAUUUUGAUCACCAAAGCAAGUCAAGACUGAGGAGAGCUAUGAGGAAUCUUGGGCAAAGCUUAGAAGUCAUUUUCCAAGAGUGAAUCCGGAUUGCAAGGAGAAAAAAGCAAAGAGAAUCUGCCAUAAAGCAUAUUCUUGAUGACAGUCGUAGCAGCCACUUUUGGAGCACUUUCUGAAGUCCAAAUGAUGUAUUCCAUAUACCAUUUCAAAGCUCAGGAAGUCAAAAAUCCAAUGCUUCAAACGGUGCUCAAUUCGGAGUUGAAAUGAAGAAGUUGCAGCCGUUACAAGCCAAUCACUCCGAGCUGAAGGAAGCAUUUUGCAAAGUGUUGCGAAAUCACCCUUUUGUUGCGAAGUGAUUUCGCAGCAUUUUUGUACAGUAAGGUGUUUCUCCUUCUGACGAUGCACGAUUUAUGCCGCGAGAAGGAAGCUAGGAACCUCAAGGUAGAAGACAACUUCGCAGCCCUGUGAAGAUAGCUUGGUGUUGCGAAAUAAUUUUGCAGCCCUCUUGAGUGUAUGCGAAAUCUCGUAGACACCAUUUUUCUCAUGCGAAAUGGUUCCUAAAACCUCCCGAUAUUUGCUACCGACAUUGGGAGAUAUUUUCCAUUAGAUUUUUGUUGUCUAAAUCCCAAAAUACUCCUUGUAAACCACCAAUUACAUGAUUCCUUAGUUUUUAAGUUAGUAAAAAGACUAAAUAUCUAUGUAAUAAUUAGUUUUAUAUUAUGUUCAUAUAUAUACCUCUCGAGAGCCUGUUCUCAGAGAGGAGUUCCUUCUUUAAAAGUUUGAGUAAGCAAGUAAAGUCUCUUUUCUUUCUACUGCCUUACCUUCUCACUUUGUAUUUUUUACUUAUUACUAAGUUAUGAACUCUCUGAGGAGUUUUCCCUAGAGAAUGAGUAACUAAACCUCUAAUUCCUUGGAGCUAAGGUUGCUGGGGGAGGUUCCAAGUGCAAGAAUGCAAAGCUUUGUGGUUUUAGCUAGUAAUGAAGAGCAAGUGAAAUCCUUCAAUGAUUUCUAUGUUUUUAGUUAACUUAAAACACCUUGGAGUCACCUGGGCCAACACUUGGUAAGGCAAGUGAUUUCCAACCAUGGAAAUGCACUAGUUUACCCCUUGCGAGCCUCUGGGAGGUGACUUUAAGGUAGGAUUUUCUAGAAUAGACAACACUUGGUAAGCUUUUGGACUCCUAGGAGACAUCCAUUAGUUAUCUCUUGCGAGCUUUUGACGGGUAAUCCAAGGUUAAAGAUCACCUUGAAUGGUUAAGGCUUAGUGAGAGGCUUAAACCAUUGCAAGUUGCAUCAGUGAGAGAAUUAAAGUGAAAUCUAAUUGAAGGAGUCUCUGUACAUCACCAGUUAGAGAAUUGACUAUAUGUUGAAUCUUUAAUGCGAGGAAAUGAACCAUCUGACCAAAGCCGUGUCUUUUGCAUGAGGAACCACCCCAGUGAACCUAAAUCUCCAAGGAAUGCUUUUCUUCCUAAAUUAUUCCAAACUUCUGUUAUGUUAGUUAGUUUAAGUCUAAACCUUUACCAAUCAAAGUUUGUGUUUUACUUCUUAAGCUAACCUUGAAAUGAAACAAGGCCAAUUCACUUGGAAUUGGUAUCAUUGAUUGCUUGUUAAUCAUUCCCAGUGAACGAUCCUAGAGCCACUAUACUAUAGUAGCUUUGUCUUUGCUACCCUAGUAUAUGGUGUUAUAGGUUAUAAAUUUUGUUGAUUACUCCCUCAAUCAAGGAGCACCAGCUGGACGCAAAUCAGCUGAGACACCAAUUGGGCAUGAAUCACACCCUAUGCCCAUUUAGGCAUCCUCGGUCCAUUUAGACACCUUAGGCCCAUUUAGGCACCCUAGGCUCAUUUAGACACCCUUGGCCCAUUUAGGCACCCUAGGCUCAUUUAGGCACCCUUGGCACAUUUAGGCACCCUAGGCCCACUUAGUAACCCUAAGCCCACUUAGACACCCUUGGCCCAUUUAGGCACCCUAGGUCCACUUAAGCACUCUAGGCCCAUUUAGGCACCCUACGCCCACUAAGACACCCUAAGCCCACUUAGACACCCUUGGCCCAAUUAGGCACCCUAGGUCCACUUAGGCACUCUAGGCCCAUUUAGGCACCCUAGGUCCACUUAGGCACGCUAGGCCCACUUAGGCACCCUAAAUCCACUUAGACACCUUACGCCCAUUUAAGCACCCAAAGCCCACUUAGGCACCCUUAGCCCAUUUAGGAACCCUAGGCUCAUUUAGGCACCCUAGGUCCACUUAGGCACCCUACGACCAUUUAGGCACCCUAGGUCCACUUAGGCACUCUAGACCCAUUUAAGCACCCUAGGUCCACUUAGGCACCCUAGGCCCAUUUAGGCACCCUAGGUCCAUUUAGGUACCCUUGGCCCAUUUAGGCACCCUAGGCCCACUUAGCCACCCUAGGCCCAUUUAGGCACCUAAGGACCAAUUUGGCACCCUAGGCUCAUUUAAGAACCCUAGGCCCAUUUAAGAACCCUAUGUCCACUUAGACACCUUCUGCCCAUGUAGGCACCCUUGGUCCACUUAGGCACUCUAGACCCAUUUAGGCACCCUAGGUCCGCUUAGGCACCCUAGGCCCAUUUAGGCACCCUAGGUCCAUUUAGGCAUCCUUGGCCCAUUUAGGUACCCUAGGCCCACUUAGGCACCCUAGGCCCAUUUAGGCAACCUUGGGCAAUUUAGGCACCCUAGGUCCAUUUAGGCACCUAAGGAUCAUUUAGGCACUCAGAGGCCCAUUUAGGCACCCUAGGUCCAUUUAGGCACCUUAGGGUCAUUUAGGCAUCCAUAGGCCCAUUUAGGCAUCCAUAGGCCCAUUUAGGCACCUUAGGCUCAUUUAGGCACCCUUGGCCCAUUUAGGCACCCUAGGCCCACUUAGACACCCUGAGCCCACUUAGACACCCUCUGCCCAUUUAGGAACCCUAGGUCCACUUAGGCACUCUAGACCCAUUUAGGCACCCUAGGUCCACUUAGGCACGCUAGGCCCACUUAGGCACCCUAAAUCCACUUAGACACCUUACGCCCAUUUAAGCACCCAAAGCCAACUUAGGCACCCUUAGCCCAUUUAGGAAACCUAGGCUCAUUUAGGCACCCUAGGCCCACUUAGGCACCCUAGACCCAUUUAGGCACCCUAGGUCCACUUAGGCACUCUAGACCCAUUUAGGCACCCUAGGUCCACUUAGGCACCCUAGGCCCAUUUAGGCACCCUAGGUCCAUUUAGGUACCCUUGGCCCAUUUAGGCACCCUAGGCCCACUUAGGCACCCUAGGCCCAUUUAGGCACCUAAGGUCCAAUUUGGCACCCUAGGCUCAUUUAAGAACCCUAGGCCCAUUUAAGAACCCUAUGUCCACUUAGACACCUUCUGCCCAUGUAGGCACCCUUGGUCCACUUAGGCACUCUAGACCCAUUUAGGCACCCUAGGUCCGCUUAGGCACCCUAGGCCCAUUUAGGCACCCUAGGUCCAUUUAGGCAUCCUUGGCCCAUUUAGGUACCCUAGGCCCACAUAGGCACCCUAGGCCCAUUUAGGCAACCUUGGGCCAUUUAGGCACCCUAGGUCCAUUUAGGCACCUAAGGUUCAUUUAGGCACUCAGAGGCCCAUUUAGGCACCCUAGGUCCACUUAGACACCAUAGACCCAUUUCGGCACCCUAGGCUCAUUUAGGCACCCUUGGCUCAUUUAGGCACCUUAGGCUCAUUUAGGCACCCUUGGCCCAUUUAGGCACCCUAGGCCCACUUAGACACCCUGAGCCCACUUCGACACCCUCUGCCCAUUUAGGAACCCUAGGUCCACUUAGGCACUCUAGACCCAUUUAGGCACCCUAGGUCCACUUAGGCACCCUAGGCCCAUUUAGGCACCCUAGGUCCAUUUAGGCACCCUUAGCCCAUUUAGGUACCCUAGGCCCAUUUAGGCACCCUAGGUCCAUUUAGGCACCUUAGGGUCAUUUAGGCAUCCAUAGGCCCAUUAAGGCAUCCAUAGGCCCAUUUAGGCACCCUAAGUCCACUUAGACACCUUAAGCCCAUUUAGGCACCCUAGGCUCAUUUAGGCACCGUUGGCCCAUUUAGGCACCCUAGGCCUACUUAGACACCGUAAUCCCACUUCGACACGCUGCGUUCAUCUAGGCACCCUAGGUCCACUUAGGCACCUUAGGCCCACAUAGUCACCCUUGGCCCAUUUAGGCACCUUAGGUCCACUUAGGCACCCUAGGCCCAUUUAGGCACCCUACGUCCACUUAGGCACCCUUAGCCCAUUUAGGCACCCUAAGUCCACUUAGGCACCUUAGGCCCAUGUAGGCACCCUAGGCCCAUUUAGGCACCCUAGGUAACCUUAAGCACCCUACGUCCACUUAGGCACCCCAGGUCUAUUUACGCACCCCUUGCCCAUUUAGGCACCCUAGGCCCACUUAGGCACCCUAGGCUCAUUCAGGCACCCUAGGUCCACUUAGGAACCCUAGGCCCAUUUAGGCAUCCUUGGUCCACUUAGGCACCCUAGGCCAAUUUAGGCACCCUAGGUCCAGUUAGGCACUCUUGACACAUUUAGGCACCCUAGGCCCAUUUAGGAACCCUAUGUCCACUUAGACACCUUAUGCCCAUUUCGGCACCCUAGGUCAACUAAGGUAAUCUAGACCCAUUUAGGCACCCUAGGUCUACUUAGGCACCCUAUGCUCAUUUCAGCACCCUAGGCCCAUUUAGGAACCCUAUGUCCACUUAGACACCAUAUGCCCAUUUAGGCAUCCUAGGUCCACUUAGGCACUCUAGACCCAUUUAGGCACCCUAGGUCCACUUAGGCACCCUACGCCCAUUUAGGCACCCUAGGUCCAUUUAGGCACCCUUGGCCCAUUUAGGUACGCUAGGCCCACUAAGGCACCCUAGGCCCAUUUAGGCACCCUAUGUCCAUUUAGGCACCCUAGGCUCAUUUAGGCACCCUAGGUCCCCUUAGGCAACCUAGGCCCAUUUAGGCAUCCUUGGUCCACUUAGGCACCCUAGGCCAAUUUAGGCACCCUAGGUCCAGUUAGGCACUCUUGACACAUUUAGGCACCGUAGGCCCAUUUAGGAACCCUAUGUCCACUUAGACACCUUAUGCCCAUUUAGGCACCCUAGGCUCAUUUAGGCACCGUUGGCCCAUUUCGGCACCCUAGGCCUACUUAGACACCGUAAGCCCACUUCGACACGCUGCGUUCAUCUAGGCACCCUAGGUCCACUUAGGCACCUUAGGCCCACUUAGGCACCCUUGGCCCAUUUAGGCACCUUAGGUCCACUUAGGCACCCUAGGCCCAUUUAGGCACCCUACGUCCACUUAGGCACCCUUAGCCCAUUUAGGAACCCUAGGUCCACUUAGGCACCUUAGGCCCAUGUAGGCACCCUAGGCCCAUUUAGGCACCCUAGGCAACCUUAAGCACCCUACGUCCACUUAGGCACCCCAGGUCUAUUUACGCACCCCUUGCCCAUUUAGGCACCCUAGGCCCACUUAGGCACCCUAGGCCCAUUUAGGCACCCUAUGUCCAUUUAGGCACCCUAGGCUCAUUCAGGCACCCUAGGUCCACUUAGGCACCCUAGGCCCAUUUAGGCAUCCUUGGUCCACUUAGGCACCCUAGGCCAAUUUAGGCACCCUAGGUCCAGUUAGGCACUCUUGACACAUUUAGGCACCCUAGGCCCAUUUAGGAACCCUAUGUCCACUUAGACACCUUAUGCCCAUUUCGGCACCCUAGGUCAACUAAGGUAAUCUAGACCCAUUUAGGCACCCUAGGUCUACUUAGGCACCCUAUGCUCAUUUCGGCACCCUAGGCCCAUUUAGGAACCCUAUGUCCACUUAGACACUAUAUGCCCAUUUAGGCAUCCUAGGUCCACUUAGGCACUCUAGACCCAUUUAGGCACCCUAGGUCCACUUAGGGACCCUACGCCCAUUUAGGCACCCUAGGUCCAUUUAGGCACCCUUGGCCCAUUUAGGUACGCUAGGCCCAUUUAGGCACCUUAGGUCCAUUUAGGCACAUCAGGCUCAUUUAGGCACCCAUAGGUCCAUUUAGGCACCCUAGGCUCAUUUAGGCACCCUAGGCUCAUUUAGGCACCCUUGGCCCAUUUAGGCACCCUAGGCUCAUUUAAGCACCCUUGGCCCAUUUAGGCACCGUAGGCCCACUUAGUAACCCUAAGCCCACUUAGACACCCUUGACCCAUUUAGGCACCCUAGGUCCACCUAAGCACUCUAGGCUCAUUUAGGCACCCUAGGUCCACUUAGACAGGCUAGGCCCAUUUAAGCCCCCUAAGCCCACUUAGGCACCCUUGGCCCAUUUGGGAACCCUAGGCUCAUUUAGGUACUCUAGGUCCACUUAGGCACCCUAAGCCCAUUUAGGCACCUUAGGUCCAAUUAGGCACUCUAGACCCAUUUAGGCACCCUAGGUCCACUUAGGCACCCUAGGCCCAUUUAGGCACCCUGGUCCAUUUAGGCACCCUUGGCGCCUUUAGGCACCCUUGGCGCCUUUAGGCACCCUAGAACCACUUAGACACCCUUGGACCAUUUAGGCACCCUAGGUCCAUUUAGGCACCGUUGGCUCAUUUACGCACCCUAGACCUAUUUAGGCACCCUAGGUCCACUUAGACACCUUAGGCUCAUUUAGGCACCCUAGGUCCACUUAGGCACUCUAGACCCAUUUAGGCACCCUAGGUCCACUAAGGCACCCUAGGUCCAUUUACGCACCCUUGGCUCAUUUAGGUACCUUAGGCCCAUUUAGGCACCCUAGGUCCCUUUAGGCAACUUAGGGUCAUUUAGGCAUCCAUAGGCCCAUUGAGGCACCCUAGGUCCACUUAGACACCUUAGGCCUAUUUAGGCACUCUAGGCCCACUUAGACACCCUAAGCCCACUUAGACACGCUGCUCCCAUUUAGGCACCUUAGGCCUACUUAGGCACCCUUGGCCCAUUUACGCACCCCUAGGUCCACUUAGGCACCCUAGGCCCAUUUAGGCACCCUCGGUCCCCUUAGACACCUUAGGCCCAUUUAGGCAUCCUAGGCUCUUUUAGGCACCCUUGGCCCAUUUAGGCACCCUAGGCCCAUUUACGACCCUAGGUCAACUUAGGCACCCUAGGUCCACUUAGGCACCCUAGGUCCACUUAGGCACCCUAGGCCGAUUUAGCCACCCUAGGUCCAGUUAGGCACUGUACACCCAUUUAGGCACCUUAGGCCCAUUUAGGCACCCUAAGUCCAAUUAGGCACCUUAGGCUCAUUUAGGCACCCUAGGCCCAUUUAGGAACCCUAUGUCCACUUAGACACCUUAUGCCCAUUUAGGCACCCUAGGUCCACUUAGGCACUCUAGACCCAUUUAGGAACCCUAGGUCCACUUAGGCACGCUAGGCCCAUUUAGGCACCCUAGGUCCAUUUAGGCACCCUUUGCCCAUUUAGGUACCCUAGGCCCACUUAGGUACCCUAGGACCAUGUAGGCACCCUAUGUCCAUUUAGGCACAUAUGGCUCAUUUAGGCACCCAUAGGCCCAUUUAGGCACCCUAGGUCCACUUAGACCCCUUAGGCCCAUUUAGGCACCCUAGACUAAUUUAGGCACCCUUGGCCCAUUUAUGCACCCUAGGCUCAUUUAGGCACCCUUGGCCCAUUUAGGUACCCUAGGCCCACUUAGUAACCCUAAGCCCACUUAGACACACUUGGCCCAUUUAGGCACCCUAGGUCCACUUAGGCACUCUAGGCCCAUUUAGGCACCCUAGGUCAUUUUACGCACCCUAGGCUCAUUUAAGUACCCGAGGCCCAUUUAGGCACCCUAGGUCCAUUUAGGCACCUUAGGGUCAUUUAGGCAUCCAUAGGCCCAUUUAGGCACCCUAGGUCCACUUAGACACCUUAGGCCUAUUUAGGCACCCUAGUCUCAUUUAGGAACUCUUGGCCCAUUUAGGCACCCUAGGCCCACUUAGACACCCUAAGCCCACUUAGACACCCUGCGCCCAUUUAGGCACCCUAGGUCCACUUAGGCACCUUAGUGUCACGGACUUAGUCGUUCACUAAGCUCGUGCGGCACUUAGGCAAGUCAAGACGCUUGAUCUUGCUAAGUCAGCCUUGAUCCUCAAUGCUUAGCUUGCUCGGCUAAGACACUCACGACUCGAAAUCUUAAGAAGCUUGGUAGGCAACUCCUUAAUGAAUGGAAGCUCUUAUUAACUCAAGAAAGCCUUUACAAGUGCUUAGAUGCUCACUUGCUUGGUUAGGAAGUGAUUUGGGUGGUGCCUUGGCCAAAUGAGGCCUUCACCUAUUUAUAGGCACCAAUGGAACUCUCUGGAACCUUGGAGGGUUCCUUAGAAAUGAAGAAUAUUCUAGAACAUCCUACCCUAUUCUAUGUACAACCCUAUGUACAAGAGAUUCUUAGAAGUCUCUAGAAAGCCCUGGACUCCUCCCAUGCCUUCCUCCAUAGUGUAGAGAUGUGCGGACAUCUCUAGGCAUUUCUAGAACCUUCCACACUCUUCCCACCAAUGGCUUAUUGUAAAUGGUUCCAGGAGUCUCCAGAAGCUUCCCUCUUUCUAUAUAAGCCCAUAGGGAGGGUCAUUUGAAACAUCCUGUGACACUCUCCCCCACUGAUGCCGUCGACGUCCUCGUCGUUGCCUCAUUCUGAAACCUCUCGAUGUGUUUCCAGAAUUUUCUCAAGGCAUCCGCAUGUUCCCAGCUUACCGGUCUCUUAGGUAGUCCUUUCCAUCGGACUAGAUACUCUAUCACAGGAGGGACCCCUUGUCUCCUAGUGACCCGUUCAGCCAGGAUAUUCUUCACCUCCUUCUCCUGUGAGGCUUCAGAUAGAUGCAGACCCAUGCGCUUUCGAUGCUUAGAGUGUUGCUUCUUCUUACCGAUUGAGUUCACCUUUCCCUUGGUGACCUCUUCCAUGUGUGUGCGGGCUACCUCAGCUCGCUCCUCUUUUUCCUCCUUUACUUGCACCCCUGCUAGUAAGGAGGUCUUAGGCGUACUAGGCUUCGGGUUAAAUUGGAGGGCACCUAGUAGCUGCAUUGAGCCCAUAUGUGCUUCGUCCUCCUGCUCCCUCUCCUCGAUCAUGGCACUGAACGCCUUCCUCUUUGGACAAUCCCGUGCCCAAUGUGGACCGUCACACAGGAAGCAUUUGAUUUUAGGUGUAAACUCCUUCCUUUCCGCCUUAUCCCUUCCUUCUCGGACGUUAGACGUCUUUCCUGAUCCCUUUUUAGGAGCAUUGUGGUCCCUUGGAACCUCGUCUCCCCUACCCUUGGCGUGGCUAUCCUCCAAAGACUUAACCUUGGAGGAGUCUCCUCUCUUAUAAUCCGUUAAAGACUCUGCUACUGCCAUAGCAGUGGCUAAGUCUUAAACGCCUCGGCGCCUUAAUUCUUGCUCGGCCCACCCUUGCAGGUUAUCCAUGAAGUUGAAUAACAACUCCUCCUCAAUUAUGUUAGGAAUCUCAAGCAUGAGCGAAGAGAAUUCCUUGACAUAUUCACGUAUCGAGCUUGUGUGCUUGAGACGCCUCAUGUUUUUCCUAGCCAGGUAAGCCACGUCCUCGGGGUAGAACUGCCUCUUGAUCUGCCUCCUGAAGUCCUCCCACGUCCCUAUGGUGCAAAUGCCUUUCUCCAUAUCGGCAAACCUUCGACGCCACCAUAGAGUAGCUGUGUCAGUAAGGUAGAGGGUCGUAGUUCUCACCUUAGCCACCUCAUUCGUUAAUGCGAUAGCUUCGAAGUAUCGCUCCAUAUGCCAUAAGAAGUUAUCCAACUUCUUGGCAUCCCGCUUGCCACUAAACCUAUGUGGCUUCGGCACCUCCACCCUAGAUGCCUCCUAUGUGGUCAUGACCCGUGCCGACACAGCAGCCUUGUAGAUGUCCAACUCCUGCCUAACCUCCUGGUCUCGGGACUCCAUUCGAGUGGCCAAGGCCUCUAUCCUUGACUCCAUGCUAGCAAGCAUGCUCAAGACCUUUCCUUGGAAGGACACAAACUCCUCGUGCGACACUGGUUGAACCUGUGAGACUAGCACCCUCUCACGAAGGUCUUGGAUCUGCUCCCCUAGAUCCUCUAAGCCCUUCUCCAUGCCUUGCUCGAUCAAGUCCAACCCCUCCCGAGUGUCCGCCAUGGCUAGCUCUACCUUGGCUAACCUUGCCUCCAUAUUGGCAACGGCAUCACGAGACUUAUCCUUCUUAUCCCUGCCCCGUGCAGUAGGCUCGGUCUCCCUUCCACGGGUUUGCUCACUAGUCUCCUCCACGUUAGAGCCCGACAUGCUUCCUUUGCUAUGCCCACCUUGUAACCGUGCUCUGAUACCACUUGUCACGGACUUAGUCGUUCACUAAGCUCGUGCGGCACUUAGGCAAGUCAAGACGCUUGAUCUUGCUAAGUCAGCCUUGAUCCCCAAUGCUUAGCUUGCUCGGCUAAGACACUCGCGACUCGAAAGCUUAAGAAGCUUGGUAGGCAACUCCUUAAAGAAUGGAAGCUCUUAUUAACUCAAGAAAGCCUUUACAAGUGCUUAGAUGCUCACUUGCUUGGUUAGGAAGUGAUUUGGGUGGUGCCUUGGCCAAAUGAGGCCUUCACCUAUUUAUAGGCACCAAUGGAACUCUCUGGAACCUUGGAGGGUUCCUUACAAAUCAAGAAUAUUCUAGAACAUCCUACCCUAUUCUAUGUACAACCCUAUGUACAAGAGAUUCUUAGAAGUCUCUAGAAAGCCCUGGACUCCUCCCAUGCCUUCCUCCAUAGUGUAGAGAUGUGCGGACAUCUCUAGGCACUUCUAGAACCUUCCACACUCUUCCCACCAAUGGCUUAGAGUAGAUGGUUCCAGGAGUCUCCAGAAGCUUCCCUCUUUCUAUAUAAGCCCAUAGAGAGGGUCAUUUGAAACAUCCUAUGACAUUAGGCCCAUUUAGGCACCCUUAGCCCAUUUACGCACCCUAGGUCCACUUAGGCAGCCUAGGCCCAUUUAGGCACCCUAGGUCCCCUUAGACACCUUAGGCCCAUUUAGGCACCCUAGCCUCAUUUAGACACCCUUGGCCCAUUGAGGCACCCUAGGCCCAUUGAGGCACCCUAGGCCCAUUUACGACACUAGGUCAACUUAGGCACCCUAGGUCCACUUAGGCACCCUAGGUCCACUUAGGCACCCUAGGCCCAUUUAGGCACCCUAGGACCAAUUAGGCACUGUAAACCCAUUUAGGCACCUUAGGCCCAUUUAGGCACCCUAAGUCCAAUUGGGCAGCUUAGGCUCAUUUAGGCACCCUAGGCCCAUUUAGGAACCCUAUGUCCACUUAGACACCUUAUGCCCAUUUAGGCACCCUAGGUCCACUUAUGCACUCUAGACCCAUUUAGGCACCCUAGGUCCACUUAGGCACCUUAGGCCCAUUUAGGCACCCUAGGUCCAUUUAGGCACCCUUUGCCCAUUUAGGUACCCUAGGCCCACUUAGGUACCCUAGGACCAUUUAGGCACCCUAGGUCCAUUUAGGCACAUAAGGCUCAUUUAGGCACCCAUAGGCCCAUUUACGCACCCUAGGUCCACUUAGACCCCUUAGGCCCAUUUAGGCACCCUAGGCUCAUUUAGGCACCCUUCGCCCAUUUAGGCACCCUAGGCCCACUUAGUAACCCUAAGCCCACUUAGAACCCUUGGCCCAUUUAGGCACCCUAGGUCCACUUAGGCACUCUAGGCCCAUUUAGGCACCCUAGGUCUCUUAGACACGCUAGGCCCAUUUAAGCACCCUAAGCCCACUUAGGCACCCUUGGCCCAUUUUGGAACCCUAGGCUCAUUUAGGCACCCUAGGUCCACUUAGGCACCCUUGGCCCAUUUAGGCCCCCUAAGCCUAAAUGGCACCCUAGGUCAACUUAGGCACCCUACGUCCACUUAGGCACCCCAGGUCCAUUUAGGCACCCUUGGCCCAUUUAGGCACCCUAGGCCCACUUAGGCACCCUAGGCCCAUUUUGGCACCCUAUGUCCAUUCAGGCACCAUAGGGUCGUUUAGGUACCCUAGGUCCACUUAGGCACCCUAGGCCCAUUUAGGCACCCUAGGUCCAUUUAGGCACAUAAGGCUCAUUUAGGCACCCAUAGGCCUAUUUCGGCACCCUACCUCCACUUAGACACCUUAGGCCCAUUUUGGCACCCUAGGCUCAUUUAGGAACCCUUGGCCCAUUUAGGCACCCUAGGCCCACUUAGUAACCCUAAGCCCACUUAGACACCCUUGGCCCAUUUAGGCACCCUAGGUCCACUUUAGCACUCUAGUCCAAUUUAGGCACCCUAGGUCCACUUAGACACGCUAGGCACAUUUAAGCAGCCAAAGCCCACUUAGGCACCCUUGGGCCAUUUUGGAACCCUAGGCUCAUUUAGGCACCCUAGGUACCCUUAGGCACCCUAAGCCCAUUUAGGCAUCCUUGGCCCAUUUAGGCACCUUAGGCCCACUUAGGCACCUAGGUCCACUUAGACACCUUAGGCCCAUUCAGGCACCCUAGGUCCACUUAGGCACUCUAGACCCAUUUAGGCACCCUAGGUCCACCUAGGCACCCUAAGCCCAUUUAGGCACCCUAGGUCCAUUUACGCACCCUUGGCCCAUUUAGGUACCCUAGGCCCAUUUAGGCACCCUAGGUCCAUUUACGCACCUUAGAGUCAUUUAGGCAUCCAUAGGCCCAUUUAGGCACCCUAGGUCCACUUAGACUCCUUAGGCCCAUUUAGUCACCCUAAGCUCAUUUAGGCACCCUUGGCCAAUUUAGGCACCUAGGCCCACUUAGACACCCUAAACCCACUUAGACACGCAGCGCCCAUUUAGGCACCCUACGUCCACUUAGGCACCUUAGGCCCACUUAGGCACCCUUGGCCCAUUUACGCACCUAGGUCCACUUAGGCACCCUAGGCCCAUUUAGGGGACCCUAAGUCGACUUAGACACCUUACGGCCAUUUAGGCACCCUAGGCUCAUUUAGGGACCCUUCGCCCAUUUAGGCACCCUAGGUCCAUUUACGACCCUAGGUCAACUUAGGCACCCUAGGUCCAUUUAGGUACCCUAGGUCCACUUAGACAGCCUAGGCCCAUUUAGGCACCCUAGGCUCAUUUAGGCACCCUUGGCCCAUUUAGGCACCCUACGCCCAUUUAGGCACCCUAGGUCAACUUAGGCAACCUAGGUCCACUUAUGCACCCCAGGUCCAUUUAGGCACCCUUGGCCCAUUGAGGCACCCUAGGCCCACUUAGGCACCCUAGGCCCAUUUACGCACCCUAGGUCCAUUUACGCACCCUAGUCCCAUUUAGGCACCAUAGGUCCACUUAGACACCCUAGGCCCAUUUAGGCACCCUAAGCCCACUUAGGCACCCUUGGUCCAUUUAGGCACCCUAGGCUCAUUUAGGUACCCUAGGUCCACUUAGGCACCCUAGGCCCAUUUAGGCACCCUUGGUCCACUUAGGCACCCUAGGCCCAUUUAGGUACCCUAGGUCUAGUAAGGAACUCUAGACCCAUUUAGGCACCUUAGGCUCAUUUAGGCACCCUAGGUCCAAUUAGGCACCUUAGGCUUAUUUAGGCACCCUAGGCCCAUUUAGAAACCCUAUGUCCACUUAGACACCUUAUGCCCAUUUAGGCACCCUAGGUCCACGUAGGCACUCUAGACCCAUUAGGCACCCUAGGUUCACUUGGGCACCCUAGGCCCAUUUAGGCACCCUAGGUCCACUUUGGCACCAUAGGCCCAUUUAGCCACCCUAGGUCCACUUACACACCUUAGGCCCAUUUAGGCACCCUAGGCUCAUUUAGGCACCCUUGGCCCAUUUAGGCACUCUAGGCCCACUUAGACACCCUAAGCCCACUUAGACACACUGUGCCCAUUUAGGCACUCUAGGUCCACUUAGGCACCCUAGGCCCAUUUAGGCACCGUAGGUCUAUUUAGGCACAUAAGGCUCAUUUAGGCACCCAUAGGCCCAUUUAGAAAAUUUCGCACAGCCUGAUGCAGUUGUCUUCCGAAGGCCAUAUCUUUCUCAUUUCAGCUCCAAAUCAUACAUGGUUUGAACCGUUGGAUUCUUGACUUUCUGAGCUUUGAAAUGGUAUAUAGAAUGUAAAAAAUGGACUUCGGGAAGUGCUCCAAAAGUGCAAUGAAAGACUGCAGCUGUGUCCCCUGUUUUCCUCUUCUCCAUUGUUUCUUCCUUGUAUACUUUGAACCACUAAGGCAAAGGAUUAUGAGGCUCCAUAGCUUGAUUUCUUCAUAAAUUUAAGCUUUCAAAAGCUUUGCUCUGAACUAUAAAUAGCUCUCCCUCAUUCUUAAAUUGCUUUGGUGAGCAUAAAGCUAUCAAAAAGCACCAAAACUUAACACAUUUGUUAGAAACGAUUGCAAAGGUCCCUAAUAUGUUAAUUGAGUUAAAAGAUAAUAAUUACUACUCAAGGGUGUUUAAAAGAGCUAAUUACAAGCUACAAAAUAGCAUGUUUUGAGUAGUAAUCACUCCCCCCAACCGACAUAUUGCUAGUCCCUUAGCAAUUAAGGAGAGAAAAACUAAGCAAACGUAAUAAUAUACAUAAAAGAAGUCAUGCAAUUCAUUCCAAAAAAUAAUUGAGUGGCAUGACUGAUAUCCAAACACAUCUCUCCUGGUGAACUAAAGAUAUGAAGAUUCAAAAUGCAAUAGGAGUUGUCAAAGCUUAAACUUAAACAAAAAGUACAAAGAGUGGAGAUUAUGCAAUUAAGUAUCAAAAGAAUCUCUACUCUCAAGGUUUCAAAUCAAACUCUUCCAUAAUAAGCUAAGUGUUAAUGAAAUUAGCUUCCGGAUAUAGUAUAUACAACUAUCCUCACCCUCCAAACUAAGCUUUUCUCGAAUAUUGGCAAAAUUAAUCAACUCUUAAUAGGUUAAGAACGCACCUUCUUAUUCACAAUUCUUUUUUUUUUUACUCACUAAACUUAACCAAUUCACCUAUGUAGCAAGCAGAGGAUCGAUGACUCCCAACCAAUUAAGGUUUAGGGCAUUGGGUUUUAAAGGCUUUCGCCACCCCUUCGGAUCAUACUUAGGUUUCAAGGAAAGAAUAGAGGCUUAUUCUCUUUUUCUUUUUCUAAGACUCAUUGGUCUUUUUCUAAGACUCAUUGGUCUUUAUGAGGUGUCCCAACACUAUUAAAAAGAGGUUAAGUAAUAAACCAAGUCAAAAUUUUCCUAAGCUUAGAAAGUGAGAAAGUUUUACAUCUUAUAUCCGGGAUCUAAUGUGCACAGUGUGUGUAAAGCUCGAAAUGGAAGAAGAAAGUUCAAAAUCAAAGAGGCUUCAAUAGAUUAUCAACUUUGAAAGCAUAAAACAAACUCUAAGACUUAAAUAAUUAAGUUAAAACUCGACUUAUCCUAUUUUAUUUUUGAAAAAUUAUCUUUAACAACCAGAGAGAAUGAUUCAAAAAACUUUUUAAAAAAUUUAAAAUUUAAGCAAAAAUUAACUAAAAUACCAAAAUAACUUAAUAUUGACAACAAAACUUCCUUUCUCAAUUCUCCCCCCCAACCAAGUUGAACAUUGUCCCCAAUGUUUCAAAAGCGAUUAAAAAUAAAGGGAGGAAGUGGUACCUCCUGAGUGAGAUAAAGUCUGAGUGUAAAGGAGGUAUGGAGUACCUUAAACCACAUGUUCCAAGGACAAAAGAGUAAUGAGAAAAGGGAAUAUAAUCAAAAAGGAUAUAUAUAUAUAUAUAUAUUACUUGAAAAAGAAAUAUACAAUGUAUGAUUUCAAGUACUAUUUCCAAUCCCAAUUUAUAACACAUGCAAAAGAUGGGAUUUACAAGUCUAAAAUAAAAAGUAAAACAUAAAAAAAUCAGAUAUGAGUGGGGUCAUGUGAUGGCUCUGCUCUGAUCUCCUCCUCUGGUAUAGGCUGCUCAGCUGGCAAGCUCUCCUCAUCUGGCACUAGAGGCUCGGAUGGUGCAGACCUAUCAUGCCCAAGAGGGAUCUGCAUACUCAGAUGCUGCUGAAUCUGAUGAAGGAUCGUGGUAUGCUGGGCCUGAGUAGCGAUGAUCUGAUCCUGGUGUGCACGAAUAGUGGCCAUCUGGUGGAUAAUAGAAUCCUGAGCAGUGCUCAGUGUCCGCAAUGAACGCUCUAAGCCUCUGAAUUCUGUAAGAGAAAUGGUGACAGUGGGCUCAGAUGAAGGAGGAGGUGCUGGGGUAGCUGGCACGACUGGUGGAGCACCCUGAGUGAUAGGGGAGGUAGAAUGUAUAGCCUCGGGCAUGUGCACUGAGGGCUGUGCUGCAGGGGCAGGAGGUGGUGUCUCUGUGAGAAUCUCAUCCUGCUGGGCCUGAGGUAUCUGCUCAUCUCGGGGUAGCUCUGGAGGUGCAUGUACAGCUGGGGCUCCCUGAGGUGCAAAGUAGGCUACCAAGUGAUGCCAUUUGUCGAGAGAGAAGUCCUCUCGGCAAUGGCGGCGCCUCUCAAGACGGGGCUCUUCAGGAUAGCCCAAGUGCUCUAAAAUCUGGCAGAGGAGCCUCGGAAAUAGUAAUGGGAUGCCAUCUGCCCUCUGAAGCUUCUUCUGAUGGACUUUCUCUUCAAAAUGAAGAAGAGAAGUCAUAAUCAAAUGAUGAGGGCCGAAGAAAUAGCCCUCAGAAAUCCUGAAUAACGCCUCAAGUAUAGCUCCUCUCCUCUGAACCUUAUGCUGAAGGGGGAAUAGGUUGGCACGCAGGAGCACAUCAAUGAGGAGCAUCCCAGAUGGAAGCUCUCUCCUGGUCAAUACCGAGGCUGUAGAAGUCCCCCUGGACAAAAUGCGGACCAUGUCACUCUGAGAGAAUGAGGACCACUCCCUGAAAUCUGCCUGAAACACGGGCUCAUAAGGUAUACGGAGGGCCUCAGCAAUGUGGCGAGCUCCAAUGGCACCCUGGCGUCCGUCUAUGGUAAAUUGGAUGAGAGUAGGAUUGCGGAGGCCUCGAGUAGUCAUAGAUUGAUAAAAAUCUAAAACUACUCUGGGAUAGUAGAAUUGCCUAGGAGUGAGAAGAUCCUCCAUGUGAUACCUCUACAGCAGUCGGAAUGAAUCUCUGAGCUCUGGCUGCUGUCUGAGGGCCUCUAUAUCAAAGUAGGUCUCAGAGUGGAAGGAUCGAUUUCUGCAAUCCAAGUUGCCCUCUAUCGGUGGUCCGGCUAUCAUGGGACGCCUGAUAAUGGUCUCGGGAGUAUUUUCUACAGGAAUCUGAGGUUCCUCUGUAGCUGGCUCUGGCUGAGGUGCGUGGGAUGGCUCUCCAGGACCCGAGAACCUGGUCCUCUUCGCUGGUGGCCGAGAAACAGGGCUCGUGGCCUGAUCGACUGGUGCCACAGGGUCCGCGGGUGGCCUCCGGGUGGGGUAUCGGCUCUGAGAAGGAGCUUCCCCCUCAGAUGGGGGAAUGGCCGGGGCCUGAACAGGUGGUGAAGGUGCGGCUCCCAUGGCGGCUCGCUGUGGUCGAGGUGUCGGUGAGGACGGGGAGGCGGAAUGGCCUCCUCUGGUCUUCGCCAUGGCCGAAAUGAAGGGAGGUGGGUGUUCGGGAUUCCAGAGGUUUUUCAGCUGGUGCUUAGGAGAGUCCUUUGAGCUUCUGGACUUCAGGGGUUUAUAUAGGAAUGAGGUUUAAGGGGUUUCUGAUCUUUUAAAAUUUUUCAAGGCAACCGAAAAGUCGUUUUUGGAUGUUAGGCACAAUUUCGGGGGUAAAAUUUUAAUUUAAAAGUCGGUUUUAAAUUUGUAGAAGUUAAAAUUUUACCGUGCGAAAUUUUCGCACCUUGGCCUGCAAAUUUCGCACCUUGGAAUUGGGUGUGCGAAAAUGGCACCCCUUUGGCCGAUGAUUUCGCACGUUAAAAGGAGGUGUGCGAAAUUUUCGCACCUUGAAUAGUGGUGUGCGAAAUUUUCGCACACUAUUUCGCACAGUGCGAAAAUCAGCUUGAGGUGUGCGAAAUUGGCACACGUGUGCCAGGAGAGGAUUUCGCACAGUGCGAAAAUUUUCGCACCUUCCACAGUGGUGUGCGAAAUUGGAUUUUAGGAAAUUCGCACCUUGAAAAGGGAUUUCGCACCUUGAAAUUGAUUUCGCACCUUGAGGUAGGGGUGUGCGAAAAUUGCUUCCUUUGGCCCAAGGAUUUCGCACCUUGGUAUUGAGGUGUGCGAAAUUUUCGCACCUUGAAAUCAGGUGUGCGAAAAUUUGGCACCUUGAAAUUGGGUGCUCUGUUUCCUUGGUUUUUCUCCCCUUGGCUGCUUUUGACGAGCUCUCCCCAUCUUUCAUGAUUUUUUUCUGAAAUUUAUUAUCAAAAUUAACUUGAAUUAAGACAAUAUAAACUAAGAUUAGGAGAAAAUUAAAAUAUAAAGAAAUAAAAAUACUAAUAUAACUAUAAAACUAUAACAAAAAAUUCAUGGACUUCUUUAGCCCAUGAUACCCUGCUUUCCCUCAGAUUUGUGGUAGUUCAAGGAGAUUGAUCUCCUCCUUGUCUGUACUGUAAGGCUCUAAGAAUGGCUUGAGACGAUGGCCAUUGACUUUGAAGGUUUGAUUGCCUGUGGGAUUGAAUAUUUCCACCACUCCGUUGGGAUGCACUUCAUGAAUUAUGAAAGGACCCGUCCAUCUGGAUUUCAAUUUUUUUCGGUAAAAGAUAAAGCUUAGAGUCAUAAAGUAAGACUCUUUGUCCCAAAACAGCCCCCAUAGCAAGAUCUUAAAAAAAAAAACUAAGUUAAAUCAAACCAAAAUAAAAUUAAAGCAAGAAAUCAAAAUUAAAACAAGUUUAAAAAUAAAACAAAAAGAUAUGGACUAGCUAGUCUUUAGAAAGACUAAGUCCAUAAAAAAAAUUGGAUCCGGAUUUAGCUUGCCCGGAUCCCAUAUGAAGUUUGCAUCCCUCCCUUGAGACUUGCUUUGUAUGAUGGUGCCAUACAAAGCUUGGGGGAAAGGUGGAGGGAUGUGAUUCUUCAUCAUUUCUUCCUUUAAAAGAAUUUGAGGUUCCUCAUCCAUGCUUGGAAUGAUGCUUUCUUUCAUCUGAACUCCCUUUCCCUUUUGUUCUUUCUUCUUUUCUUCUUUUCUAUCAGCCUUGUCUUCUUUGGCUUUCCUCUGAUCAUGCUCCGGCUGAUGCACUUCCUUACCACUUCUCAAAGUGAUAAUAGCUUGCACGUCCCUCACCUUUGAAGAAUCCUCAUCUUUGGAUUCCACUUCAUGUAUCCCCUUAGGAUUUUGGUGAGGCUGAGAGGGAAACUUCCCUUUCUCAUUGACAGUGUUCAAAUUUGUGAGCCUUGAGAUGGAAUAUUGGAUGUUGUCAAUUUUCUGAGACAACUCAUUAUGCAUCCCAUCUAUCUUCUUGUUCAAUGUACUCUCUACGUUGUCAAUCUUCUGAUUUAGUUGAGAGUUGAUGGAUUUUUGCUCGCUCACAAAGUCACCCAUAACCUUGCUAAGGCUUACGAGUGCUUGCUCAACUGAGGAUUGACCUUGACUCUGUUGGCUUGAUUGGGCUGGUGACUGAUAUGGGUUUGGCCUUGGCUUCCAUGCAAAGUUUGGGUGGUUCCUCCAGCUAGAGUUGUACGUGUUGCCAUAGGGAGCAUUUGAAUUUGGCUUCCAUUGGCCAAUCAGGUUAGCUUGUUCCCCGAACAUUUCUCUUGCUGCCAGAAUGGUGGGACAUUCUUCCACCAUAUGUUCAAAUGACUGACAUAUGGAGCAAGGAUUGGCUUGUUGUUGAGGUUCUGAAAUAGCUUGGACUUCGUGAACUUUUCUCAACUCCAUUUCCUCUAUUUUUCUAGCCAUGGCAGCUACCUUGGCUUUCAUCUCCAUGUCUUCACUCAGACUGUACAUCCCCCCUCUUGACAUUUGCUGAACUGGCCUCUUCCCCAUUUCUCUACUAUUGGGCUCAUCCCAUCCACGGGAAACCUCUGAGACAUAACUUAGGAAGUCCAUAGCCUCCUCAGGGUUCUUGCUCAUGAAAUCACCCCCACACAUUGUCUCCAAUAUCUGCUUCAUUGAAGAUGACAUGCCAUCAUAAAAAUAGCUCACCAAAAGCCAUGUAUCAAAGCCGUGGUGAGGACAUGCAUUGAUGGCCUCCAUAUACCUCUCCCAGCAUUCAUAAAAUUUUUCAUUUUCACGUGCUGAGAAGUUGGAGAUUUGUCUCUUCAAUCCAUUUGUUCUGUGAGUAGGGAAAAACUUCUUCAAAAAAUCAGCUUGAAGUUCUGUCCAUGUUCUUAUGCUUCUCGGCCUCAAGGAAUUAAGCCAUAUCUUGGCUUUGUCCUUUAAUGUGAAUGGAAAGAGCUUCAACCUCAUAAGCUCAAUAGUUGUUCCCCCUUCUUGAAAAGUAUUGCACACAUCUUCGAAUUCCUUUAUGUGCGCAUAUGGAUUUUCACUUUCCAUCCCAUGGAAAGUAGGAAGCAGAGGCACGAUGUGUGGCAUGAUAAUCAAUUGCUCUGUAGGAGGAAUGAUGCAAGAUGGUGCACUCAUCCUCGGAGGGUGCAUCCUGUCCCUCAUGGACCUAUACAAGUUCGGAUCAUUCCCCUGCCCGUGUUGUGAAUGUUGAUCCUCUGGUUGAUUCUCCAUGAUCUCCAAAAUAAUAUCUAAUUCAGUAGCUCGUGGAGUCUCUAUCCGCACUAACCUUCCCUCUUGGUCUCUAAUCCAAUAGGGCAUGCACGGAUUCAGCUGGAACAAAACAAAUAAACAAAACAAAGAAAAAGAAAAAAAAAACAGAGCAUGCGGAAGGAAAAACAGAGUAUGAAAAAUAAACUAAAAAUGAAAGUUAAAAGCUAAAAGAAACUUAUCUAAACUAAGUUAAAAAUGUUCUAAAACUAAAAUAAAAAGUUAGUAAAUGAAAAAGGAGAUAGAAUUCACCUUACUCAUGAGAAGUCUCACAAGUUACCUCCGGCUGAUAUAUUCACAGUGAAGUAGCACCUUCCCCGGCAACGGCGCCAUUUGAUACGCUUGACUCUUGGUAGCUUGGCAUGUAAGGGUAUCAACAAAAUUUAUACCUAAGGUCCUUACACUAAAGUAGCAAAGCUACUAUAGUAUAGUGGCUCUAGGAUCGAACACUGGGAAGGGUUUUUACUUUAACUAGUGAAGUUCAGAGGAUGGAGUGAACUUUUCUUAAUAAAAAUUAGGUUAAGAUGAAAACAUAAAAAGAUGAAGGUGUUGUAAACUAAACUAACAUGAAAAUAGGAUAAAAGAUGGAAAAAGAAGUUUCUCAAAGCUUUGGAUAGCCAUGCUUAACUCACCAUGUAAAAAUGGAGAUUUUGGGACUUUUCACCUCGCGUUGGGGAAGCAACUAAGGUGAUGCUUACUUCCCGAACCGGUAUGAGUUUAACAACUGAGUUUUAGUCCUUGAAAACUUACAAAAAGGGUAGCUGAACCUCAUAAAUGCCCUUUUAAUGAUAUAGGUCAUCUACUCGACUUGCAAUACAAUGGCUCGUAGGAGAUAACUAACGAACGUCAGUGGAUCUAACAAUAAGAAUCCACUGAGACCAAAAGCUUAUCAAGUAUUGGCCAUUCAAAGCAAGUCAGAGGGAUUAAAAGCUUUACUUUGAAUGAAAACAUUUAUGGUGCUCAGCUACUUACAUUCAUGGCUUGGAAAUCUCCAUCCUGACACGGGAGCUUCACAUGGCAUCCAUUACUUCAAGAAACUAAAAGGUUUUAGCCUCUCAUCCUUGGGGAUUUCAUCCUCCAAGGAUGUUUGGCUACUAAGAAAAUGAGAAAAUAGAAGAGAGAAAAAGAAAAAACAAAAGAGAUCUCUGUAUUUCACUAAGUAACUAAUUUACAUUGGUCUCCUGGAGAAAGCUCCCCGAAAAGAUAUUGUUUUCAGUGAUUACAAGAGAAUUUAUAUAGGAAGGUAGUUUUACCCUUCCUUGGAUACUUCCUAGCUAAGGAAUUACAUGGUUGGUUGAAUACAAGGAGAAAAUGGAAAUUUAAACACAAAAAUAUCAGAAGAAGAAGAGUCGGCAAACAUAUCCAAUUUUCGCACGCUGAAGUUCCAAUUUCGCACGUUGAUUUGAGGUGUGCGAAAUUUUCGCACAGUGGACUGAGGAUUUCGCACCUUGAUUUCCAUCGUGCGAAAAUUUCGCAUAGCCUGAUGCAGUUGUCUUCCGAAGGCCAUAUCUUUCUCAUUUCAGCUCUAAAUCAUACAUGGUUUAAACCGUUGGAUUCUUGACUUUCUGAGCUUUGAAAUGGUAUAUAGAAUGUAAAAAAUGAACUUCGGGAAGUGCUCCAAAAGUGCAAUGAAAGACUGCAGCUGUGUCCCCUGUUUUCCUCUUCUCCAUUGUUUCUUCCUUGUAUACUUUGAACCACUAAGGCAAAGGAUUAUGAGGCUCCAUAGCUUGAUUUCUUCAUAAAUUUAAGCUUUCAAAAGCUUUGCUCUGAACUAUAAAUAGCUCUCCCUCAUUCUUAAAUUGCUUUGGUGAGCAUAAAGCUAUCAAAAAGCACCAAAACUUAACACAUUUGUUAGAAAUGAUUGCAAAGGUCCCUAAUAUGUUAAUUGAGUUAAAAGAUAAUAAUUACUACUCAAGGGUGUUUAAAAGAGCUAAUUACAAGCUACAAAAUAGCAUGUUUUGAGUAGUAAUCAGCACCCUAGGUCCACUUACACACCCUAGGUCCACUUAGGCACCCUAGGCCCAUUUAGGCACCCUAGGUCCAUUUAGGCACAUAAGGCUCAUUUAGGCACCCAUAGGCCUAUUUCGGCACCCUACCUCCACUUAGACACCUUAGGCCCAUUUUGGCACCCUAGGCUCAUUUAGGAACCCUUGGCCCAUUUAGGCACCCUAGGCCCACUUAGUAACCCUAAGCCCACUUAGACACCCUUGGCCCAUUUAGGCACCCUAGGUCCACUUUAGCACUCUAGUCCCAUUUAGGCACCCUAGGUCCACUUAGACACGCUAGGCACAUUUAAGCAGCCAAAGCCCACUUAGGCACCCUUGGGCCAUUUUGGAACCCUAGGCUCAUUUAGGCACCCUAGGUACACUUAGGCACCCUAAGCCCAUUUAGGCAUCCUUGGCCCAUUUAGGCACCUUAGGCCCACUUAGGCACCUAGGUCCACUUAGACACCUUAGGCCCAUUCAGGCACCCUAGGUCCACUUAGGCACUCUAGACCCAUUUAGGCACCCUAGGUCCACCUAGGCACCCUAGGCCCAUUUAGGCACCCUAGGUCCAUUUACGCACCCUUGGCCCAUUUAGGUACCCUAGGCCCAUUUAGGCACCCUAGGUCCAUUUAGGCACCUUAGAGUCAUUUAGGCAUCCAUAGGCCCAUUUAGGCACCCUAGGUCCACUUAGACUCCUUAGGCCCAUUUAGGCACCCUAAGCUCAUUUAGGCACCCUUGGCCAAUUUAGGCACCUAGGCCCACUUAGACACCCUAAACCCACUUAGACACGCAGCGCCCAUUUAGGCACCCUAGGUCCACUUAGGCACCUUAGGCCCACUUAGGCACCCUUGGCCCAUUUACGCACCUAGGUCCACUUAGGCACCCUAGGCCAAUUUAGGGACCCUAAGUCGACUUAGACACCUUACGGCCAUUUAGGCACCCUAGGCUCAUUUAGGGACCCUUCGCCCAUUUAGGCACCCUAGGUCCAUUUACGACCCUAGGUCAACUUAGGCACCCUAGGUCCAUUUAGGUACCCUAGGUCCACUUAGACAGCCUAGGCCCAUUUAGGCACCCUAGGCUCAUUUAGGCACCCUUGGCCCAUUUAGGCACCCUACGCCCAUUUAGGCACCCUAGGUCAACUUAGGCAACCUAGGUCCACUUAGGCACCCCAGGUCCAUUUAGGCACCCUUGGCCCAUUGAGGCACCCUAGGCCCACUUAGGCACCCUAGUCCCAUUUACGCACCCUAGGUCCAUUUACGCACCCUAGUCCCAUUUAGGCACCAUAGGUCCACUUAGACACCCUAGGCCCAUUUAGGCACCCUAAGCCCACUUAGGCACCCUUGGUCCAUUUAGGCACCCUAGGCUCAUUUAGGUACCCUAGGUCCACUUAGGCACCCUAGGCCCAUUUAGGCACCCUUGGUCCACUUAGGCACCCUAGGCCCAUUUAGGUACCCUAGGUCUAGUUAGGAACUCUAGACCCAUUUAGGCACCUUAGGCCCAUUUAGCCACCCUAGGUCCAAUUAGGCACCUUAGGCUUAUUUAGGCACCCUAGGCCCAUUUAGAAACCCUAUGUCCACUUAGACACCUUAUGCCCAUUUAGGCACCCUAGGUCCACGUAGGCACUCUAGACCCAUUAGGCACCCUAGGUUCACUUGGGCACCCUAGGCCCAUUUAGGCACCCUAGGUCCACUUUGGCACCAUAGGCCCAUUUAGCCACCCUAGGUCCACUUACACACCUUAGGCCCAUUUAGGCACCCUAGGCUCAUUUAGGCACCCUUGGCCCAUUUAGGCACUCUAGGCCCACUUAGACACCCUAAGCCCACUUAGACACACUGUGCCCAUUUAGGCACCCUAGGUCCACUUAGGCACCCUAGGCCCAUUUAGGCACCCUAGGUCUAUUUAGGCACAUAAGGCUCAUUUAGGCACCCAUAGGCCCAUUUAGGCACCCUAGGUCCACUUACACACCCUAGGCCCAUUUAGGCACCCUAGGCUCAUUUAGGCACCCUUCGCCUAUUUAGGCACCCUAGGCUCAUUUAGUCACCCUUGGCCCAUUUACGCACCCUAGGGCCACUUAGUAACCCUAAGCCCACUUAGACACCCUUGGCCCAUUUAGGCACCCUAGGUCCACUUAGGCACUCUACGCCCAUUUAGGCACCCUAGGUCCACUUAGACACGCUAGGCCCAUUGAAGCACCCUAAGCCCACUUAGGCACCCUUGGCCCAUUUAGGAACCCUAGGCUCAUUUAGGCACCCUAGGUCCACUUAGGCACCCUAAGCCCAUUUAGGCACUCUAGGUCCAAUUAGGUACUCUAGACCCAUUUAGGCACCCUAGGUCCACUUAGGCCCCCUUGGCCCAUUUAGUCACCCUAGGUCCAUUUAGGGACGCUUGGCCCAUUUAGGCACCUUAGGCCCACUUAGGCACCCUUGGCCCAUUUAGGCACCCUAGGUCCAUUUAGGCACCCCAGGCUCAUUUAGGCAUCCUAGGCCCAUUUAGGCACCCUAGGUCCAGUUAGACACCUUAGGCCCGUUUUGGCACCCUAGGUGCAGUUAGGCAUUCUAGACCCAUUAAGGCACCCUAGGUCCACUUAGGCAGCCUAGGCCCAUUUAGGCACCCUAGGUCCAUUUAGGCACCCUUGGCCCAUUUAGGUACCCUAGGCCCAUUUAGGCACCCUAGGUCCAUUUAGGCACCUUAGGGCAUUUAGGCAUCCAUAGGCCCACUUAGGCACCCUAGGUCCACUUAGACACCUUAGGCCCAUUUAGGCACCCUAGUGUCACAAGCUGAUCCAAAUGAGCCUCCCCAUGGCCUUAUAUAGGGCCAGGAAGCUUCUGGAGACUCCUAGAGUGGGAAGAGUGUGGAAGGUUCUAGAGAAGUCUGGAGGAAUCCACACAAUUCUACACUAUGGUGGAAGGCACAAGAGGAGUCCUGGGCUUUCUAGAGGAAUCUAGAAGACUCUUGUAUAUACUUGUAUAUAGGCUUGUAUCUAGAAUGAUGUAGGACAUUCUAGAAUAGUCUUGAGUUGUAAGGAACCCUCCAAGGUUCCAGAGAGUUCCAUUGGUGCCUAUAAAUAGGUGAGGGCCUCAUUUGGCCAAGGCACCAAGCAAGUGAGCAUCCAAGCACUUGUAAAGGCUUUCUUGAGUUAAUAGAGCUUCCAUUCUUUCAAGAGUUGCCUACCAAGCUUCUUAAGCUUUUUGAGUCGCAGGUGUCUUAGACGAGCAAGCUAAGCAUUGGGGAUCAAGGCUGACUUAGCAAGAUGAAGCGUCUUGGCUUGUCUAAGUGCCGCACGAGCUUAGUGAAUGACUAAGUCUGUGAUACUAGGCUCAUUUAGGCACCCUUGGCCCAUUUAGGCACCCUAGGCCCACUUAGACACCCUAAGCCCACUUAGACACGCUACGCCCAUUUAGGCACCCUAGGUCCACUUAGGCACCUUAGGCCCACUUAGGCACCCUAGACCCAUUUAGGCACCCUAGGUCCAAUUAGGCACCCUAAGCUCAUUUUGGCACCCUAGGCCCAUUUAGGAACCCUAUGUCCACUUAGACACCUUAGGCCCAUUUAGGCACCGUCGGUCCACUUAGGCACUCUAGACCCAUUUAGGCACCCUAGGUCUACUUAGGCACCCUAGGCCCAUUUAGGUACCCUAGGUCCAUUUAGGCACCCCUUGCCCAUUUAGGUACCCUAGGCCAACUUAGGUACCCUAGGACCAUUUAGGCACCCUAGGUCCAUUUAGGCACAGAAGGCUCAUUUAAGCACCCAUAGGCCCAUUUAGGCACCCUAGGUCCACUUAGACCCCUUAAGCCCAUUUAAGCACCCUAGGCUCAUUUAGGCACCCUUGGCCCAUUUAGGCACCCUUGGCUCAUUUAGGCACCCUUGGCCCAUUUAGGCACCCUAGUGUCACAGGAUGCUUAAAAUGACCCUCCCCAUGGGCUUAUAUAGGAGGAGGGAAGCUUUUGGAGACUCCUGGAGCCAUCUACACUAAGCCAUUGGUGGGAAGAGUGUGGAAGGUUCUAGAAAUGCCUAGAGAAGUCCACACAACUCUACACUAUGGUAGAAGGCACGAGAAGGGUCCAAAGCUUUCUAGAGAAAUCUAGAAGUCUCUUGAAUAUUCUAGAAUAGUGUAGGACAUUCUAGAAGUCUCUUGAAUAUUCUUGAAUAGUGUAGGACAUUCUAGAAUAUUCAUGAAUUGUAAGGAACCCUCUAAGGUUCUAGAGAGUUCCAUUGGUGCCUAUAAAUAGGUGAGGGCCUCAUUUGGCCAAGGCACCAAGCAAGUGAGCAUCCAAGCACUUGUAAAGGCUUUCUUGAGAUAAUAAAGCUUCCAUUCUUUAAGGAGUUGCCUACUAAGCUCUUAAGCUUUCGAGUCGCGAGUGUCUUAGUCAAGCAAGCUAAGCAUUGGGGAUCAAGGCUGACUUAGCAAGAUCAAGCGUCUUGACUUGCCUAAGUGCCGCACGAGCUUAUUGAACGACUAAGUCCGUGACAAGUGGUAUCAGAGCAUGGUUACAAGGUGGGCAUAGCAAAGGAAGCAUGUCGGGCUCUAACGUGGAGGAGACUAGUGAGCAAACCCGUGGAAGGGAGACCGAGCCUACUGCACGGGGCAGGGGUAGGAAGGAUAAAUCUCGUGAUGCCAUUGCCAACAUGGAGGCAAGGUUAGCCAAGGUGGAGCUAGCCAUGGCGGACACUCGGGAGGGGUUGGACUUGAUCGAGCAAGGCAUGGAGAAGGGCUUAGAGGAUCUAAGGGAACAGAUCCAAGACCUUCGUGAGAGGGUGCUAGUCUCAAAAGUUCAGCCAGUGUCGCACGAGGAGUUUGUGUCCUUCCAAGGAAAGGUCUUGAGCAUGCUUGCUAGCAUGGAGUCAAGGAUAGAGGCCUUGACCACUCGAAUGGAGUCCCGAGACCAGGAAGUUAGGCAGGAGUUGGCCAUUUACAAGGCUGCUGUGUCGGCACGGGUCAUGGCCACACAAGGGGCAUCUAGGGUGGAGGUGCCGAAGCCACAAGGGUUUAGUGGCAAGAGGGAUGCCAAGGAGUUAGAUAACUUCUUAUGGCAUAUGGAGCGAUACUUCGAAGCUAUCGCAUUGACGGAUGAGGCGGCUAAGGUGAGAAUUGCGACCCUCUACCUUACUGACACAGCUACUCUAUGGUGGCGUCGAAGGUUUGCCGAUAUGGAGAAAGGCAUUUGCACCAUAAAGACGUGGGAGGACUUCAAGAAGGAGAUCAAGAGGCAGUUCUACCCCGAGGACGUGGCUUACCUGGCUAGGAAAAACAUGAGGCGUCUCAAGCACACAGGCUCGAUACGUGAAUAUGUCAAGGAAUUCUCUUCGCUCAUGCUUGAGAUUCCUAACAUGACUCAGGAAGAGUUGCUAUUCAACUUCAUGGAUAACCUGCAAGGGUGGGCCGAGCAGGAAUUAAGGCGCCGGGGCGUUCAAGACUUAGCCACUGCUAUGGCAAUAGCAGAAUCUUUAGCGGAUUAUAAGAGGGGAGACUCCUCCAAGAUUGAGUCUUUAGAGGAUAGCCACGCCAUGGGUGGGGGAGACGAGGAUCUAAUGGACCACAAUGCUCCUAAAAAGGGAUCAAGCAAGACGCCUAACGUCCAAGAAGGAAGGGGUAAGGCGGCAAGCAAGGAGUUCACGCCUAAAAUCAAAUGCUUCCUAUGUGACGGACCACAUUGGGCACGGGAUUGUCCAAAGAGGAAGGCGCUUAGUGCCAUGAUCGAGGAGAGGGAGCAGGAGGAUGAAGCACAUAUGGGCUCAAUGCAGCUACUAGGUGCCCUCCAAUUCAACCCGAAGCCUAGUACGCCUGAGACCUCCUUACUAGCAGGCGUGCAAGUAAAGGAGGAAAAAGGGGAGCGAGCUGAGGUAGCCCACACACGCAUGGAAGAAGUCACCAAGGGAAAGGUGAACUCAAUGGGUAAAAGGAAGCAGCACUCUAAGCAUCGAAAGCGCAUGGGUCUGCAUCCAUCUAAGGCCUCACGGGAGAAGGAGGUGAAGAAUAUCCUAGCUGAACGGGUCACUAGGAGACAAGGGGUCCCUCCUGUGAUAGAGUAUCUAGUCCGAUGGAAAGGACUACCUAAGAGGCCGCUAAGCUGGGAACAUGCGGAUGCCUUGAGAAAAUUCUGGAAACACAUCGAGAGGUUUCAGAAUGAGGCAACGACGAGGACGUCGACGGCAUCGGUGGGGGAGAGUGUCACAGGAUGCUUAAAAUGACCCUCCCCAUGGGCUUAUAUAGGAGGAGGGAAGCUUUUGGAGACUCCUGGAGCCAUCUACACUAAGCCAUUGGUAGGAAGAGUGUGGAAGGUUCUAGAAAUGCCUAGAGAAGUCCACACAACUCUACACUAUGGUAGAAGGCAUGAGAAGGGUCCAAAGCUUUCUAGAGAAAUCUAGAAGUCUCUUGAAUAUUCUAGAAUAGUGUAGGACAUUCUAGAAGUCUCUUGAAUAUUCUAGAAUAGUGUAGGACAUUCUAGAAUAUUCAUGAAUUGUAAGGAACCCUCCAAGGUUCUAGAGAGUUCCAUUGGUGCCUAUAAAUAGGUGAGGGCCUCAUUUGGCCAAGGCACCAAGCAAGUGAGCAUCCAAGCACUUGUAAAGGCUUUCUUGAGAUAAUAAAGCUUCCAUUCUUUAAGGAGUUGCCUACUAAGCUCUUAAGCUUUCGAGUCGCGAGUGUCUUAGCCGAGCAAGCUAAGCAUUGGGGAUCAAGGCUGACUUAGCAAGAUCAAGCGUCUUGACUUGCCUAAGUGCCGCACGAGCUUAGUGAACGACUAAGUCCGUGACACUAGGCCCACUUAGUAACCCUAAGCACACUUAGACACCCUUGGCCCAUUUAGGCACCCUAGGUCCACUUGGGCACUCUAGGCCCAUUUAGGCACCCUAGGUCCACUUAGACACGCGAGGCCCAUUUAAGCACCCUAAGUCCACUUAGGCACCCUUGGCCCAUUUAGGAACCCUAGGCUCAUUUAGGCACCCUAGGUCCACUUAGGGACCCUAAGCCCAUUUAGGCACUCUAGGUCAUAUUAGGCACUCUUGACCCAUUUAGGCACCCUAGGCCCAUUUAUGCACCCUAGGUCCAUUUAGGCACCGUUGGCCCAUUUAGGCACCCUAGGCCCACUUAGGCAACCUUGGCCCAUUUAGGCACCCUAGGUCCAUUUAAACACCCUAGGCUCAUUUAGGCACCCUAGGCCCAUUUAGGCACCCUAGGUCCAAUUAGACACCUUAGGCCCAUUUUGGCACCCUAGGUUCACUUAGGCAUUCUAGACCCAUUUAGGCACCCUAGGUCUACUUAGGCACCCUAGGCCCAUUUAGGCACCCUAGGUCCAUUUAAGCAUCCUUAGCCCAUUUAGGUACCCUAGGCCCAUUUAGGCCCCCUAGGUCCAUUUAGGCCCCCUAGGUCCAUUUAGGCCCCCUAGGUCCAUUUAGGCAUCUUAGGGUCAUUUAGGCAUCCAUAGGCCCAUUUAGGCACCCUAGGUCCACUUAGCCACCUUAGGCCCAUUUAGGCACCCUACGCUCAUUUAGGCACCCUUGGCACAUUUAAGCACCGUAGGCCCACUUAGACACCCUAAGCCCACUUAGACACACUGCACCCAUUUAGGCACCCUAGGUCCACUAAGGCACCUUAGGCCCAUUUAGGCACCCUAGGUCCACUUAGACACCUUAGGCCCAUUUAGGCACCCUAGGCUCAUUUAGGCACCCUUGGCCCAUUUAGGUACCCUAGGCCCAUUUAGGCACACUUGGUCCACUUAGGCACCCUAGGUUCACUUAGGCACCCCAGGUCCAUUUAGGCACCCUUGGCCCAUUUAGGCACCCUACGCCCACUUAGGCACCCUAGGCCCAUAUAGGCACCCUAGGUCCAUUUAGGCACCCUAGGCCCAUUUAGACCCCUUAGGCCCAUUUAGGCACCCUAACCCCACUUAGGCACGCUUGGCCCAUUAGGCACCCUAGCCUCAUUUAGGCACCCUAGGUCCACUUAGGCACCCUAGGCCCAUUCAGGCACCCUUGGUCCACUUAGGCACCCUAGGCCCAUUUAGGCACCCUAAGUCCAAUUAGGCUCUCUAGACCCAUUUAGGCACCUUAGGCAUCCUUGACCCAGUUAUGCACCCUAGGUCCACUUAGACACCUUAGGCCCACCUAGGCACCCUAGGCCCAUUUAGGCACCCUAGGUCCAAUUAGGCACCCUACGCUCAUUUUGGCACCCUAGGCCUAUUUAGGAACCCUAUGUCCACUUAGACAACUUAGGCCCAUUUAGGCACCUUAGGUCCACUUAGGCACUCUAGACCCAUUUAGGCACCUUAGGUUUACUUAGGCACCCUAGACCCAUUUAGGUACCCUAGGUCCAUUUAGGCACCCUUUGCCCAUUUAGGUACCGUAGGCCCACUUAGGUACCCUAGGACUAUUUAGGCAUCCUAGGUCCAUUUAGGCACAUAAGGCUCAUUUAAGCACCCAUAGGCCCAUUUAGGCACCCUAGGUCCACUUAGACACCUUAGGGCUAUUUAGGCACCUUAGGCUCAUUUAGGCACCCUUGGCUCAUUUAGGCACCCUAGGCUCAUUUAGGCACCCUUGGUCCAUUUAGGCACAUAAGGCUCAUUUAAGCACCCAUAGGCCCAUUUAGGCACCCUAGGUCCACUUAGACACCUUAGGGCUAUUUAGGCACCUUAGGCUCAUUUAGGCACCCUUGGCUCAUUUAGGCACCCUAGGCUCAUUUAGGCACCCUUGGUCCAUUUAGGCACAUAAGGCUCAUUUAAGCACCCAUAGGCCCAUUUAGGCACCCUAGGUCCACUUAGACACCUUAGGGCUAUUUAGGCACCUUAGGCUCAUUUAGGCACCCUUGGCUCAUUUAGGCACCCUAGGCUCAUUUAGGCACCCUUGGCCCAUUUAGGCACCCUUGGCCCAUUUCGGCACCCUAGGCCCAUUUAGUAACCCUAAGCCCACUUAGACACCCUUGGCCCAUUUAGGCACCCUAGGUCCACUUAGGCAUUCUAGGCCCAUUUAGGCACCCUAGGUCCACUUAGACACGCUAGGCCCAUUUAAGCACCGUAAGCCCACUUAGGCACCUUUGUCCCAUUUAGGAACCCUAGGCUCAUUUAGGCACCCUAGGUCUACUUAGGCACCCUAAGCCCAUUUAAGCACUCUAGGUCAUAUUAGGCACUCUAGACCCAUUUAGGCACCCUAGGUCCACUUAGGCACCCUAGGCCCAUUUAUGCACCCUAGGUCCAUUUAGGCACCCUUGGCUCAUUUAGGCACCCUAGGCCCACUUAGGCACCCUUGGCCCAUUUAGGCACCCUAGGUCCAUUUAGCCACCCUAGGCUCAUUUAGGCACCCUAGGCCCAUUUAGGCACCCUAGGUCCAAUUAGACACCUUAUGCCCAUUUUGGCACCCUAGGUCCACUUAGGCAUUCUAGACCCAUUUAGGCACCCUAGGUCCACUUAGUCACCUUAGGCCCAUUUAGGCACCCUAGGUCCAUUUUGGCAUCCUUAGCCCAUUUAGGUACCCUAGGCCCAUUUAGGCCCCCUACGUCCAUUUAGGCACCUUAGGGUCAUUUAGGCAUCCAUAGGCCCAUUUAGGCUCUUUAGGUCGACUUAGCCACCUUAGGCCCAUUUAGGCACCCUACGCUCAUUUAGGCACCCUUGGCCCAUUUAGGCACCCUAGGCCCACUUAGACACCCUAAGCCCACACGCUGUGCCUAUUUAGGCACCCUAGGUCCACUUAGGCACCCUAGGCCCAUUUAGGCACCCCGGGUCCAUUAAGGCACCCUUGGCCUAUUUAGGUACCCUAUGCCCAUUUAGGCACCCUAGGUCCAUUUGGGCACCUUAGGGUCAUUUGGGCAUCCAUAGGCCCAUUUAGGCACCCUAGGUGCACUUAGACACCCUUGGCCCAUUUAGGCACCCUAGGCCCACUUAGACACCCCACGCCCACUUAGACACGCUACGCCCAUUUAGGCACCCUAGGUCCACUUAGGCACCAUAGGCCCACUUAGGCACCCCAGGUCCAUUUAGGCACCCUUGGCCCGUUUAGGCACCCUACGCCCACUUAGGCACCCUAGGCCCAUUAAAGCACCCAAGUCCAUUUAAGCACCCUAGGUCCAUUUAAGCACCCUNNNNNNNNNNNNNNNNNNNNNNNNNNNNNNNNNNNNNNNNNNNNNNNNNNNNNNNNNNNNNNNNNNNNNNNNNNNNNNNNNNNNNNNNNNNNNNNNNNNNUAGUCCAUUUGGCAUCCUUAGCCUUUAGGUACCUUAGGUCCAUUUAGGCCCCUUACGGCCAGUUAGGCACCAAGAGUCAUUUAGGCAUCCAUAGUCCCAUUAGGCUCUUUAGGUCGAUUUAGACACUUAGGCCCAUUUAGGCAACCNUACGGUCAUUUAGGCACCCUUGGCCCAUAUAGGCACCGUAGGCCCACUUAGACACCCUAAGCCACACGCUGUGCCUAAUUAGGCACCUUAGGUCCAAAUAGGCACCCUAGGCCCAUUUAGGCACCCCGGGUCCAUUAAGGCACCCUUGGCCUAUUUAGGUACCCUAUGCCCAUUUAGGCACCCUAGGUCCAUUUGGGCACCUUAGGGUCAUUUGGGCAUCCAUAGGCCCAUUUAGGCACCCUAGGUGCACUUAGACACCCUUGGCCCAUUUAGGCACCCUAGGCCCACUUAGACACCCCACGCCCACUUAGACACGCUACGCCCAUUUAGGCACCCUAGGUCCACUUAGGCACCAUAGGCCCACUUAGGCACCCCAGGUCCAUUUAGGCACCCUUGGCCCGUUUAGGCACCCUACGCCCACUUAGGCACCCUAGGCCCAUUUAGGCACCCAAGGUCCAUUUAGGCACCCUAGGCCCAUUUAGGCACCCUAGGUCCACUUAGACACCUUAGGCCCAUUUAGGUACCCUAAGCCCACUUAGGCACCCUAGGCCCAUUUAGGCACCCUAAGUCCAAUUAGGCUCUCUAGACCCAUUUAGGCACCUUAGGCAUCCUUGGCCCAGUUAUGCACCCUAGGUCCACUUAGACACCUUAGGCCCACUUAGGCACCCUAGGCCCAUUUAGGCACCCUAGGUCCAAUUAGGCACCCUACGCUCAUUUUGGCACCCUAGGCCUAUUUAGGAACCCUAUGUCCACUUAGACAACUUAGGCCCAUUUAGGCACCUUAGGUCCACUUAGGCACUCUAGACCCAUUUAGGCACCUUAGGUCUACUUAGGCACCCUAGACCCAUUUAGGUACCCUAGGUCCAUUUAGGCACCCUUUGCCCAUUUAGGUACCGUAGGCCCACUUAGGUACCCUAGGACUAUUUAGGCAUCCUAGGUCCAUUUAGGCACAUAAGGCUCAUUUAAGCACCCAUAGGCCCAUUUAGGCACCCUAGGUCCACUUAGACACCUUAGGGCUAUUUAGGCACCUUAGGCUCGUUUAGGCACCCUUGGCUCAUUUAGGCACCCUAGGCUCAUUUAGGCACCCUUGGCCCAUUUAGGCACCCUUGGCCCAUUUCGGCACCCUAGGUCCAUUUAGUAACCCUAAGCCCACUUAGACACCCUUGGCCCAUUUAGGCACCCUAGGUCCACUUAGGCAUUCUAGGCCCAUUUAGGCACCCUAGGUCCACUUAGACACGCUAGGCCCAUUUAAGCACCGUAAGCCCACUUAGGCACCCUUGUCCCGUUUAGGAACCCUAGGCUCAUUUAGGCACCCUAGGUCUACUUAGGCACCCUAAGCCCAUUUAAGCACUCUAGGUCAUAUUAGGCACUCUAGACCCAUUUAGGCACCCUAAGUCCACUUAGGCACCCUAGGCCCAUUUAUGCACCCUAGGUCCAUUUAGGCACCCUUGGCUCAUUUAGGCACCCUAGGCCCACUUAGGCACCCUUGGCCCAUUUAGGCACCCUAGGUCCAUUUAGCCACCCUAGGCUCAUUUAGGCACCCCAGGCCCAUUUAGGCACCCUAGGUCCAAUUAGACACCUUAUGCCCAUUUUGGCACCCUAGGUCCACUUAGGCAUUCUAGACCCAUUUAGGCACCCUAGGUCCACUUAGUCACCUUAGGCCCAUUUAGGCACCCUAGGUCCAUUUUGGCAUCCUUAGCCCAUUUAGGUACCCUAGGCCCAUUUAGGCCCCCUACGUCCAUUUAGGCACCUUAGGGUCAUUUAGGCAUCCAUAGGCCCAUUUAGGCUCUUUAGGUCGACUUAGCCACCUUAGGCCCAUUUAGGCACCCUACGCUCAUUUAGGCACCCUUGGCCCAUUUAGGCACCCUAGGCCCACUUAGACACCAUAAGCCCACACGCUGCGCCUAUUUAGGCACCCUAGGUCCACUUAGGCACCCUAGGCCCAUUUAGGCACCCCGGGUCCAUUAAGGCACCCUUGGCCUAUUUAGGUACCCUAUGCCCAUUUAGGCACCCUAGGUCCAUUUGGGCACCUUAGGGUCAUUUGGGCAUCCAUAGGCCCAUUUAGGCACCCUAGGUGCACUUAGACACCCUUGGCCCAUUUAGGCACCCUAGGCCCACUUAGACACCCCACGCCCACUUAGACACGCUACGCCCAUUUAGGCACCCUAGGUCCACUUAGGCACCAUAGGCCCACUUAGGCACCCUAGGUCCACUUAGGCACCCCAGGUCCAUUUAGGCACCCUUGGCCCGUUUAGGCACCCUACGCCCACUUAGGCACCCUAGGCCCAUUUAGGCACCCAAGGUCCAUUUAGGCACCCUAGGCCCAUUUAGGCACCCUAGGUCCACUUAGACACCUUAGGCCCAUUUAGGUACCCUAAGCCCACUUAGGCACCCUUGGCCCAUUUAGGCACUCUAGGCUCAUUUGGGCACCCUAGGUCCACUUAGGCACCCUAGGCCCAUUUAGGCACCCUUGGUACACUUAGGCACCCUAGGCCCAUUUAGUCACCCUAAGUCCAGUUAGGCACUCUAGACCCAUUUAGGCACCUUAGGCCCACUUAGGCAUUGUUGGCCCAUUUAGGCACCCUAGGUCCACUUAGACACCUUUGGCCCACUUAAGCACCCUAGGCCCUUUUAGGCGCCCUAGGUCCCUUUAGGAACCCUUGGCUCAUUUAGGCACCCUAGGCCCACUUAGGCACCCUAGGCCCAUUUAGGCACUCUAGGUCCAUUUAGGCACCUUAGGCUCAUUUAGGCACCUUAGGCCCAUUUAGGAACCCUAUGUCUACUUAGACACCUUUUGCCCAUUUAGGCACCCUAGGUCCACUUAGGCACUCUAGACCCAUUUAGGCACCCUAGGUCCACUUAGGCACCCUAGGCCCAUUUAGGCACCUUAGGUCCAUUUAGGCUCUCUAGGCCCAUUUCGGCACCAUAGGUCCACUAAGACACGCUAGGCACAUUUAAGCACCUAAGCACCCUAGGCACAUUUACGAACCUAAGGCUCAUUUAGGCACUCAUGGGCCCAUUUAGGCCCCCUAGGUCCACUUAGACACCUUAGGCUCAUUUAGGCACCCGAGGCUCAUUUAGGCACCCUUGGCCCAUUUAGGCACCUAGGCUCAUUUAGGCACCUUUGGCCCAUUUAGGCACCCUAGGCCCACUUAGACACCCUGAGCCCACUUAGACAUCCUUGGCCCAUUUAGGCACCCUAGGUCCAAUUAGGCUCUCUAGGCCCAUUUCGGCACCCUAGGUCCACUAAGACACGCUAGGAACAUUUAAGCACCCUAAGCCCACUUAGGCACCCUUGGCCCAUUUACGAACCCUAGGCUCAUUUAGGCACCAUAGGUCCACUUAGGUACCCUAGGCCCAUUUAGGCAUUCUAGGUCCAAUUAGGCACUUUAGACCCAUUUGGGCACCCUAGGUCCACUUAGGCACCCUAGGCCCAUUUAGGCACCCUAGGUCCACUCAGGCACCCUAGGCCGAUUUAGGCACCCUUGGUCCACUUAAGCACCCUAGGCCCAUUUUGGCACCCUAGGUCCAGUUAGCCACUCUAGACCCAUUUAGGCACCUUAGGUCCACUUAAGCAUCCUUGGCCCAUUUUGGCACCCUAGGUCCACUUAGGCACUCUAGUCCCAUUUAGGCACCCUAGGUCCACUUAGGCACCCUAGGCCCAUUUAGGCACCCUAGGUCCAUUUAGGCACCCUAGGUCCAUUUAGGCACCCUAGGUCCAUGUAGGCACCCUAGGCUCAUUUAGGCACCCUAGGCCAAUUUAGACACCCUAGGUCCACUUAGACAGCUUAGGCCCAUUUAGGCACCCUAGGUCCACUUAGGCACCCUUGGCCCAUUAAGGCACCCUAGGUCCAUUUAGGCACCCUUGGCCCAUUUAGGUACCCUAGGCCCAUUUAGGCACCUUAGGUCCAUUUAGGCAGCUUAGUGUCACAAGAUGCUUCAAAUGACCCUCCCCAUGGCUUAUAUAGGAGGUGAGAAGCUUCUAGAGACCCUUGGAGACAUCCACACUUAGCCACUAGUGGGAAGAGUGUGGAAGGUUCUAGAAAUGCCUAGAGAAGUCCACACAACUCUACACUAUGGUAGAAGGCAUGAGAAGGGUCCAAAGCUUUCUAGAGAAAUCUAGAAGUCUCUUGAAUAUUCUAGAAUAGUGUAGGACAUUCUAGAAGUCUCUUGAAUAUUCUAGAAUAGUGUAGGACAUUCUAGAAUAUUCAUGAAUUAUAAGGAACCCUCCAAGGUUCUAGAGAGUUCCAUUGAUGCCUAUAAAUAGGUGAGGGCCUCAUUUGGCCAAGGCACCAAGCAAGUGAGCAUCCAAGCACUUGUAAAGGCUUUCUUGAGAUAAUAAAGCUUCCAUUCUUUAAGGAGUUGCCUACUAAGCUCUUAAGCUUUCGAGUCGCGAGUGUCUUAACCGAGCAAGCUAAGCAUUGGGGAUCAAGGCUGACUUAGCNNNNNNNNNNNNNNNNNNNNNNNNNNNNNNNNNNNNNNNNNNNNNNNNNNNNNNNNNNNNNNNNNNNNNNNNNNNNNNNNNNNNNNNNNNNNNNNNNNNNGCACCUUAGGUCCAUUUUUGCAGCUUAGUGUCACAAGAUGCUUCAAAUGACCCUCCCCAUGGCUUAUAUAGGAGGUGAGAAGCUUCUAGAGACCCUUGGAGACAUCCACACUUAGCCACUAGUGGGAAGAGUGUGGAAGGUUCUAGAAAUGCCUAGAGAAGUCCACACAACUCUACACUAUGGUAGAAGGCAUGAGAAGGGUCCAAAGCUUUCUAGAGAAAUCUAGAAGUCUCUUGAAUAUUCUAGAAUAGUGUAGGACAUUCUAGAAGUCUCUUGAAUAUUCUAGAAUAGUGUAGGACAUUCUAGAAUAUUCAUGAAUUAUAAGGAACCCUCCAAGGUUCUAGAGAGUUCCAUUGAUGCCUAUAAAUAGGUGAGGGCCUCAUUUGGCCAAGGCACCAAGCAAGUGAGCAUCCAAGCACUUGUAAAGGCUUUCUUGAGAUAAUAAAGCUUCCAUUCUUUAAGGAGUUGCCUACUAAGCUCUUAAGCUUUCGAGUCGCGAGUGUCUUAACCGAGCAAGCUAAGCAUUGGGGAUCAAGGCUGACUUAGCAAGAUCAAGCGUCUUGACUUGCCUAAGUGCCGCACGAGCUUAGUGAACGACUAAGUCCGUGACAAGUGGCAUCAGAGCGUGGCUACGAAGCGGGCAUAAGGGAAGCAUGUCGGGCUCUAACGUGGAGGAGACUAGCGAACAAACCCGUGGGAGGGAGGCCGAGCCUACUGCAUGGGGCAGGGGCAGAGGUAAGAAGGAUACAUCUCGUGAUGUUGUUGCCAACAUGGAGGCAAGGUUAGGCAAGGUGGAGCUAGCCAUGGCAGACACCCGGGAAGGGGUGGACUUGAUCGAGCAAGGCAUGGAGAAGGGCUUAGAGGAUCUAAGGGAGCAGAUCCAAGACCUUCGCGAGGGGGUGCUGGUCUCGCAAGUUCAACCGGUGUCACACGAGGAGUUCAUGUCUUUCCAAGACAAAGUCAUGAGCAUGUUCGCUAGUGUGGAGUCAAGGAUGGAGGCCUUGACUACACGAGUGGAGGCCCGAGACCAAGAGAUUCGACAAGAGUUGGCCAUCUAUAAGACCGCUGUAUCAGCACGAGUCAUGGCCACUCAUGAGGCACCAAGGGUGGAGGUGCCCAAGCCACACACGUUCAGUGGCAAGAGGGAUGCCAGGGAGCUAGAUAACUUCUUGUGGCACAUGGAGCGUUACUUUGAGGCAAUUGCAUUAACGGAUGAAGCCACUAAGGUACGCACCGCGACCCUUUACCUCACUGAUAAUGCUACUCUAUGGUGGCGUCGACGAUUUGCCGACAUAGAGAGAGGGACGUGCACCAUAGACACAUGGGAUGCCUUUAAGAGAGAAAUCAAGAGGCAAUUCUAUCCCGAAGACGUGGCUUACCUAGCAAGGAAGAGUUUGAAGCGUCUCAAGCACACGGGCUCGAUCCGUGAGUAUGUCAAAGAAUUCUCUACUCUUAUGCUUGAGAUACCUAACAUGGCUGAGGAGGAGCUACUGUUCAACUUCAUGGACAACUUGCAAAGUUGGGCCGAGCAAGAGUUGAGGAGACGUGGUGUCCAAGACCUAGCCACGGCCAUGGCAGUAGCCGAGUCCUUAGUAGAUUAUAGAAGGGGAGACUCCUCCAAGCCCAAGCCACCAUCCAAGGGUAACCAGGCCAAAGGUGGGGGAGACAAGAGGUCGCAAGGCCAUACCUCUAAGGAAGGAUCAAGCAAAGGCCCUAGUGGCAAGGAUGGCAAAGGCAAGGACAAGCGAAAGGAGUUCACGCCCAGGACCAAUUGCUUCCUGUGCGAUGGUCCGCACUGGGCACGGGACUGCCCUAAGAGGAAGGCCUUAAAUGCUAUGAUCGAGGAAAAGGAGCAAGAAGGCGAUGCUAAGAUGGGAUCGUUGCAGCUCUUAAAUGCCCUUAAGGCCAAGCCGAUGCCUAAGACGCCUCAAAGCAAAGGGCUGAUGUAUGUGGAGGCCCUUGUGAAUGAGAAGGCCACCAAGGCCCUGGUGGACACAGGUGCCACUCACAACUUUGUCUCGGAGGAUGAGGCAAGAAGGUUGGAGCUCCAAGCAUCCAAGGAAGGAGGAUGGCUCAAGGCAGUCAAUUCAGCCGCCAAGCCAUCACAUGGAGUAGCUCGCGGGGUGACUAUGCACAUUGGCUCGUGGGAAGGAAGGGUCGACUUCACAGUGGCACCCAUGGAUGACUUCAAGAUGGUGCUAGGAAUGGACUUCCUACAGAAGGUCAAGGCCGUGCCACUACCUUUCCUAUGCUCAAUGGCUAUCCUAGAGGAGGAGAAGUCGUGCAUGGUCCCUACGGUCAAUGAAGGUACGCUCAAGACCCCUAUGUUAUCCGCUAUGCAAGUAAAGAAGGGGUUAAAGAGGGAAGAGGUGACCUACCUCGCCACCCUAAAGGAAGAAAAGGAUGAUGGGUCGGGAGAACCCAUGCCUAGAGAAAUCGAGGGGGUCCUUGAUGAGUUCAAGGACGUUAUGCCGCCCGAGUUGCCCAAAAGACUUUCUCCUAGGAGAGAGGAAGAUCACAAGAUUGAGCUGGAGCCGGGAGCCAAGCCCCCUGCUAUGGGGCCAUAUAGGAUGGCACCACCCGAGUUGGAGGAGCUAAGGAGACAACUCAAGGAGUUGCUAGAUGCGGGGUUCAUCCAACCAUCCAAGGCUCCUUAUGGCGCGCCGGUUCUAUUUCAGAAAAAGCAUGAUGGGUCCCUACGAAUGUGCAUAGAUUACCGGGCACUCAACAAGGUGACGGUGAAGAACAAGUAUCCCAUCCCGCUCAUUGCUGACUUGUUCGAUCAACCUGGUAGGGCAAGGUACUUCACGAAGCUAGACUUAAGGUUAGGCUACUACCAAGUGAGGAUUGCUGAGGGAGAUGAGCCGAAGACUACAUGUGUGACCAGGUAUGGCUCAUAUGAGUUCUUAGUAAUGCCUUUCGGAAUCACCAAUGCCCCAGCAACGUUUUGCACCCUCAUGAACAAGAUCUUCCACCCAUACUUGGACAAGUUUGUGGUGGUGUACUUGGAUGACAUAGUCAUCUAUAGUAACACUCUAAAGGAGCACGUAGAGCACUUGAGGAAGGUCUUUAAGAUCUUGAGGCAGAACGAGCUAUACGUGAAGAAGGAGAAGUGUUCGUUUGCUAAGGAGGAAGUGAGCUUCCUUGGGUAUCGCAUCAGAGAUGGCAAGCUGAUGAUGGAUGAUAGCAAGGUGAAGGCCAUCCAAGAAUGGGAUUCACCAACCAAGGUACCUCAACUCAGAUCUUUCCUUGGUUUAGUUAAUUACUAUCGGCGGUUCAUAAAGGGUUAUUCGGCAAGGGCUGCUCCACUCACUGAUCUUCUGAAGAAGAAUAAGGCAUGGGAAUGGGAUGAAAGGUGCCAACAAGCCUUUGAGGACCUGAAGAAGGUUGUGACUGAGGAGCCAGUGUUGGCACUACCCGACCACACCAAGGUCUUGGAGGUACACACAGAUGCCUCAGACUUCGCUAUUGGGGGAGUCCUUAUGCAAGAAAGACACCCAAUUGCAUUUGAGAGUCGCAAGCUAAACGACGCGGAGAGGCGUUACACGGUGCAAGAAAAGGAGAUGACCGCUAUCGUUCACUGCUUGCGCACCUGGAGGCACUAUUUGCUAGGGUCUCACUUCAUAGUGAAGACCGACAAUGUGGCCACUAGCUACUUCCAGACACAGAAGAAGCUGAGUCCUAAACAAGCUAGGUGGCAAGACUUCCUGGCCGAGUUCGACUAUACGCUGGAGUAUAAGCCAGGAAGUGCUAAUCAUGUGGCUGACGCCGUAAGUCCCAAAGCUGAGCUAGCGUCCAUAACGAGUCAGCCCCAAGGAGACAUAAUGGAUCUUCUAAGGGAGGGACUGUAACAUAAUCCAGUGGCUAAGAGCCUCAUCGCCCUGGCUCAUGAAGGGAAGACCAAGCGGUUUUGGGUGGAGGACGGCUUACUCUACACCAAAGGGAGACGACUCUACGUGCCUAAGUGGGGGAACAUAAGGCGGAACCUGAUUAAGGAGUGCCAUGACACCAAGUGGGCAGGGCACCCUGGGCAACGACGCACUAGGGCACUACUCGAGUCGGCUUACUAUUGGCCUCAGAUACGGGACGAGGUUGAGGCCUAUGUGAGGACUUGUCUUGUGUGCCAACAAGACAAGGUGGAACAACGACAACCUAGAGACAUGUUAGAGCCACUACCUGUAGCAGAACGCCCAUGGGACAGCGUCACCAUGGACUUCAUCAUCGGGCUACCUAAGUUAGAGGACAACGACUCUAUCAUAGUGGUGGUGGAUAGGUUCUCUAAGUAUGCAACCUUCAUAGCAGCCCCGACUGACUGCACUGCGGAAGAGACGGCGAGGCUAUUCCUAAAGCACGUAGUCAAGUAUUGGGGGUUGCCUAAGUUCAUCAUCAGUGAUCGCGACCCGCGCUUCACUGGGAAGUUUUGGACGAAGCUCUUCAAGCUUAUGGGUUCGGAGCUUCACUUCUCCACCAGCUUUCACCCACAGACAGAUGGGCAGACUGAGAGGGUGAACGCCUUGCUGGAGCUAUACUUGAGGCACUUUGUGAGUGCCAACCAGAGGGAUUGGGCUAAGUUGCUAGAUAUAGCCCAGUUCUCAUACAACUUGCAAAGGAGUGAGGCGACCAACAAGAGCCCGUUCGAGCUAGCCACAAGGCAGCAACCCUUAACUCCUCACACGCUAACGAUAGGCUACACAGGGAGAAGUCCAGCGGCUUUCAAGUUCGCGAAGGGGUGGCAUGAGUAAGCUGACAUAGCACGCUCGUACUUGGACAAGGCCGCUAAGAAAAUGAAGAAGUGGGCUGACAAGAAGCGACGUCACACGGAGUACAAGGUUGGAGACAUGGUGCUUGUCAAGCUCCUUCCUCAACAAUUCAAAUCCCUAAGGCCAGUGCAUAAGGGCCUUGUGAGGAGGUAUGAAGGACCCUUCCCUAUACUUGGAAAGGUCGGCAAGGUGUCCUACAAAGUGGAGUUACCGCCAAGGUUAAAGAUUCACCUUGUCUUCCACAUGAGUUACUUGAAGCCAUAUCACGAAGACAAGGAUGAUCCAAGCCGAGGGCUUUCUAAGAGGGCACCUACAGCGGUUGUGACCUCCUAUGACAAGGAGGUGGAACACAUCAUUGCAGACCGAAUCAUCAGAAGGCGUGGUGUGCCUCCUGCUACGGAGUACUUAGUGAAAUGGAAGGGACUACCAGAAAGCGAGGCUAGUUGGGAGCCAGCAAAUGCACUAUGGCAGUUCCAGGAACAGAUUGAGCGGUUCCGGGCAGAAGACACGACGAGGACGUCUGCGGCUUAGGUGGGGGAGAGUGUCACAAGAUGCUUCAAAUGACCCUCCCCAUGGCUUAUAUAGGAGGUGAGAAGCUUCUAGAGACCCUUGGAGACAUCCACACUUAGCCACUAGUGGGAAGAGUGUGGAAGGUUCUAGAAAUGCCUAGAGAAGUCCACACAACUCUACACUAUGGUAGAAGGCAUGAGAAGGGUCCAAAGCUUUCUAGAGAAAUCUAGAAGUCUCUUGAAUAUUCUAGAAUAGUGUAGGACAUUCUAGAAGUCUCUUGAAUAUUCUAGAAUCGUGUAGGAGAUUCUAGAGAGUUCCAUUGGUGCCUAUAAAUAGGUGAGGGCCUCAUUUGGCCAAGGCACCAAACAAAGUGAGCAUCCAAGCACUUGUAAAGGCUUCUUUGAGUAAUAAGAGCUUCCAUUAUUUAAAAGUUGCCUACUACACUUCUCAGCUUCCGAGUCGUGAGCAUCUUAGCCUAGCAAGCUAAGUGUCGGGGGUAAGGCUGACUUAGCAAGANNNNNNNNNNNNNNNNNNNNNNNNNNNNNNNNNNNNNNNNNNNNNNNNNNNNNNNNNNNNNNNNNNNNNNNNNNNNNNNNNNNNNNNNNNNNNNNNNNNNNNNNNNNNNNNNNNNNNNNNNNNNNNNNNNNNNNNNNNNNNNNNNNNNNNNNNNNNNNNNNNNNNNNNNNNNNNNNNNNNNNNNNNNNNNNNNNNNNNNNNNNNNNNNNNNNNNNNNNNNNNNNNNNNNNNNNNNNNNNNNNNNNNNNNNNNNNNNNNNNNNNNNNNNNNNNNNNNNNNNNNNNNNNNNNNNNNNNNNNNNNNNNNNNNNNNNNNNNNNNNNNNNNNNNNNNNNNNNNNNNNNNNNNNNNNNNNNNNNNNNNNNNNNNNNNNNNNNNNNNNNNNNNNNNNNNNNNNNNNNNNNNNNNNNNNNNNNNNNNNNNNNNNNNNNNNNNNNNNNNNNNNNNNNNNNNNNNNNNNNNNNNNNNNNNNNNNNNNNNNNNNNNNNNNNNNNNNNNNNNNNNNNNNNNNNNNNNNNNNNNNNNNNNNNNNNNNNNNNNNNNNNNNNNNNNNNNNNNNNNNNNNNNNNNNNNNNNNNNNNNNNNNNNNNNNNNNNNNNNNNNNNNNNNNNNNNNNNNNNNNNNNNNNNNNNNNNNNNNNNNNNNNNNNNNNNNNNNNNNNNNNNNNNNNNNNNNNNNNNNNNNNNNNNNNNNNNNNNNNNNNNNNNNNNNNNNNNNNNNNNNNNNNNNNNNNNNNNNNNNNNNNNNNNNNNNNNNNNNNNNNNNNNNNNNNNNNNNNNNNNNNNNNNNNNNNNNNNNNNNNNNNNNNNNNNNNNNNNNNNNNNNNNNNNNNNNNNNNNNNNNNNNNNNNNNNNNNNNNNNNNNNNNNNNNNNNNNNNNNNNNNNNNNNNNNNNNNNNNNNNNNNNNNNNNNNNNNNNNNNNNNNNNNNNNNNNNNNNNNNNNNNNNNNNNNNNNNNNNNNNNNNNNNNNNNNNNNNNNNNNNNNNNNNNNNNNNNNNNNNNNNNNNNNNNNNNNNNNNNCAUUUAGGAACCCUAGGCUUAUUUAGGCACCCUAGGUCUACUUAGGCACCCUAAGCCCAUUUAGGCACUCUAGGUCAUAUUAGGCACUCUAGACCCAUUUAGGCACCCUAGGUCCACUUAGGCACCCUAGGCCCAUUUAUGCACCCUAGGUCCAUUUAGGCACCCUUGGCCCAUUUAGGCACCCUAGGCCCACUUAGGCACCCUUGGCCCAUUUAGGCACCCUAGGUCCAUUUAGCCACCCUAGGCUCAUUUAGGCACCCCAGGCCCAUUUAGGCACCCUAGGUCCAAUUAGACACCUUAUGCCCAUUUUGGCACCCUAGGUCCACUUAGGCAUUCUAGACCCAUUUAGGCACCCUAGGUCCACUUAGUCACCUUAGGCCCAUUUAGGCACCCUAGGUCCAUUUUGGCAUCCUUAGCCCAUUUAGGUACCCUAGGCCCCCUAGGUCCAUUUAGGCACCUUAGGGUCAUUUAGGCAUCCAUAGGCCCAUUUAGGCUCCCUAGGUCUACUUAGCCACCUUAGGCCCAUUUAGGCACCCUAAGCCCAUUUAGGCACUCUAGGUCAUAUUAGGCACUCUAGACCCAUUUAGGCACCCUAGGUCCACUUAGGCACCCUAGGCCCAUUUAUGCACCCUAGGUCCAUUUAGGUACCCUUGGCCCAUUUAGGCACCCUAGGCCCACUUAGGCACCCUAGGCCCAUUUAGGCACCUAAGGUCCAAUUUGGCACCCUAGGUCCACUUAGGCACCCUAGGCCCAUUUAGGCACCGUAGGUCCAUUUAGGCACCCUUAGCCCAUUUAGGCACCCUAGGCCCAUUUAGGCACCCUAGGCCCAAUUAGGCACCCUAGGUCCAUUUAGGCACCCUAGGUCCACUUAGACACCUUGGCCCAUUUAGGCACCCUAGGUCCACUUAGGCACUCUAGGCCCAUUUAGGCACCCUAGGUCCACUUAGACACGCUAGGCCCAUUUAAGCACCCUAAGCCCACUUAGGCACCCUUGUCCCAUUUAGGAACCCUAGGCUUAUUUAGGCACCCUAGGUCUACUUAGGCACCCUAAGCCCAUUUAGGCACUCUAGGUCAUAUUAGGCACUCUAGACCCAUUUAGGCACCCUAGGUCCACUUAGGCACCCUAGGCCCAUUUAUGCACCCUAGGUCCAUUUAGGCACCCUUGGCCCAUUUAGGCACCCUAGGCCCACUUAGGCACCCUUGGCCCAUUUAGGCACCCUAGGUCCAUUUAGCCACCCUAGGCUCAUUUAGGCACCCCAGGCCCAUUUAGGCACCCUAGGUCCAAUUAGACACCUUAUGCCCAUUUUGGCACCCUAGGUCCACUUAGCAUUCUAGACCCAUUUAGCACCCUAGGUCCACUUAGUCACCUUAGCCCAUUUAGCACCCUAUGUCCAUUUUGGCAUCCUUAGCCCAUUUAGUACCCUAAGGCCCCCUAGUCCAUUUAGCACCUUUAGGGUCAUUUAAGGCAUCCAUAGGCCAUUUAAGCUCCCUAGGUCUANNNNNNNNNNNNNNNNNNNNNNNNNNNNNNNNNNNNNNNNNNNNNNNNNNNNNNNNNNNNNNNNNNNNNNNNNNNNNNNNNNNNNNNNNNNNNNNNNNNNCAGAAAGCGAGGCUAGUUGGGAGCCAGCAAAUGCACUAUGGCAGUUCCAGGAACAGAUUGAGCGGUUCCGGGCAGAAGACACGACGAGGACGUCUGCGGCUUAGGUGGGGGAGAGUGUCACAAGAUGCUUCAAAUGACCCUCCCCAUGGCUUAUAUAGGAGGUGAGAAGCUUCUAGAGACCCUUGGAGACAUCCACACUUAGCCACUAGUGGGAAGAGUGUGGAAGGUUCUAGAAAUGCCUAGAGAAGUCCACACAACUCUACACUAUGGUAGAAGGCAUGAGAAGGGUCCAAAGCUUUCUAGAGAAAUCUAGAAGUCUCUUGAAUAUUCUAGAAUAGUGUAGGACAUUCUAGAAGUCUCUUGAAUAUUCUAGAAUAGUGUAGGACAUUCUAGAAUAUUCAUGAAUUAUAAGGAACCCUCCAAGGUUCUAGAGAGUUCCAUUGGUGCCUAUAAAUAGGUGAGGGCCUCAUUUGGCCAAGGCACCAAGCAAGUGAGCAUCCAAGCACUUGUAAAGGCUUUCUUGAGAUAAUAAAGCUUCCAUUCUUUAAGGAGUUGCCUACUAAGCUCUUAAGCUUUCGAGUCGCGAGUGUCUUAGCCGAGCAAGCUAAGCACUGGGGAUCAAGGCUGACUUAGCAAGAUCAAGCGUCUUGACUUGCCUAAGUGCCGCACGAGCUUAGUGAACGACUAAGUCCGUGACAUUAGGCUCAUUUAGGCACCCAUAAGCCCAUUUUGGCACCCUAGGUCCACUUAGACACCUUAGGCCCAUUUAGGUACCCUAGGCUCAUUUAGGCACCCUUGGUCCAUUUAGGCACCCUAGGCCUACUUAGACACCCUAAGCCCACUUAGACACGCUACGCCCAUUUAGGCACCCUAGGUCCACUUAGGCACCUUAGGCCCACUUAGGCACCCUUGGCCCAUUUAGGCACCCUAGGUCCACUUAGGCACUCUAGGCCUAUUUAGGCACCCUAGGUCCACUUAGGCACCCUAGGCCCAUUUAGGCACCCUAGGUCCACUUAGACACCUUAGGCCCAUUUAGGCACCCUAAUGUCACAAAAUGCUUCAAAUGACCCUCCCCAUGGCUUAUAUAGGAGGUAAGAAGCUUCUAGAGACCCUUGGAGACAUGCACACUUAGCCACUAGUGGGAAGAGUGUGGAAGGUUCUAGAAAUGCCUAGAGAAGUCCACACAACUCUACACUAUGGUAGAAGGCAUGAGAAGGGUCCAAAGUUUUCUAGAGAAAUCUAGAAGUUUCUUGUAUAUAGGCUUGUACAUAGAAUAGUGUACGACAUUCUAGAAUAUUCAUGAAUUGUAAGGAACCCUCCAAGGUUCUAGAAAGUUCCAUUUGUGCCUAUAAAUAGGUGAGGGCCUCAUUUGGCCAAGGCACCAAACAAGUGAGCAUCCAAGCACUUGUAAAGGCUUUCUUGAGUUAAUAAGAGCUUCCAUUCUUUAAGGAGUUGCCUACUAAGCUCUUAAGCUUUCGAGUCGCGAGUGUCUUAGCCGAGCAAGCUAAGCGUUGGGGAUCAAGGCUGACUUAGCAAGAUCAAGCGUCUUGACUUGCCUAAGUGCCGCACAAGCUUAGUGAACGACUAAUUCCGUGACACUAAGCCCACUUAGGCACCCUUUGCCCAUUUAGGCACCCUAGGCUCAUUUAGGCACCCUAGGUCCACUUAGGCACCCUAGGCCCAUUUAGGCACCCUAGGUCCACUUAGGCACCCUAGGCCCAUUUAGGCACCGUAGGUCCAUUUAGGCACCCUUAGCCCAUUUAGGCACCCUAGGCCCAUUUAGGCACCCUAGGCCCAAUUAGGCACCCUAGGUCCAUUUAGGCACCCUAGGUCCACUUAGACACCUUGGCCCAUUUAGGCACCCUAGGUCCACUUAGGCACUCUAGGCCCAUUUAGGCACCCUAGGUCCACUUAGACACGCUAGGCCCAUUUAAGCACCCUAAGCCCACUUAGGCACCCUUGUCCCAUUUAGGAACCCUAGGCUUAUUUAGGCACCCUAGGUCUACUUAGGCACCCUAAGCCCAUUUAGGCACUCUAGGUCAUAUUAGGCACUCUAGACCCAUUUAGGCACCCUAGGUCCACUUAGGCACCCUAGGCCCAUUUAUGCACCCUAGGUCCAUUUAGGCACCCUUGGCCCAUUUAGGCACCCUAGGCCCACUUAGGCACCCUUGGCCCAUUUAGGCACCCUAGGUCCAUUUAGCCACCCUAGGCUCAUUUAGGCACCCCAGGCCCAUUUAGGCACCCCAGGUCCAAUUAGACACGUUGCGCCCAUUUAGGCACCCUAGGUCCACUUAGGCACCAUAGGCCCACUUAGGCACCCUAGGUCCACUUAGGCACCCCAGGUCCAUUUAGGCACCCUUGGCCAAUUUAGGCACCCUACGCCCACUUAGGCACCCUAGGCCCAUUUAGGCACCCAAGGUCCAUUUAGGCACCCUAGGCCCAUUUAGGGACCCUAGGCCCACUUAGACACCUUAGGCCCAUUUAGGUACCCUAAGCCCACUUAGGCACCUGUGGACACCGCAUUUCGUGCUUGAUGCGUUUCCCACUCGAUGGCGAGCUCGAUUUUUAUUUUGAAAAAUUAAUUUUAUUUAUUGUUUGUUUAAAAAAAUGACUUGGAGUCGCCACUUAUUUUUGUUUUAUUUUUAAAGGGUAAACAAAAUAAGAAAGAAAAACCCUAAGUGUGACUCCUUAUUUUGGAAAAGGCGGUCUGUGAAAAACCGGAUCGGGUUCGGGGGUCAGGUUACUUAUCGGGAAGGUACGGUAAAGACCGUAGCACCCCUCUAAGUCCCUAAAAUCGUGUCUCUACUAAUAGAAUAAAGCUGACGUGGCAAUCAAUGAGGAAAUCAGCGGAUACUCAAAUCAAACUUGCACAUAUGAAAAUAAGAGUAUGCAUAGAGAAUAAUCAAAAUGAGAAUGAGUGCGUACCUGGACCUCCAGUGACAAAUGCGCUAUCAUGAAACAGGAUUAGUGAGCAAUGAACAAGAUAUAAUUAAGCGCAUAUCAAGAAAUAGAGUAAACCAAUCAUGCAUGGCAAAUAAAUCAAUCGAUCUGUCAAUCAAUCAUGAAGUCAAGUAUGUGGGGCCCCCACCAAAGCCCGUUUAUUUUGCAUGAAUUAAUUCCAUAAAUUCCAUUAGUCGGAAUUAUGGAAUUUAAUUCUUGCUUAUUUUUAAAACAUUUUAAAAGAUUAUGAAAGAUUUGAAAAUUGCUUACCGAAUAGAAAGUGGAAGCAAAUUUGAUUAAAAGUGAGACUCUUAGGUGAUCCUAAAAAUUCUAAGGAUGAAAGAGUGUGGAAUUGAAAUUAUUGUUUUAUUGAAAAAUGAGGAACUGGGAAAUUAUUAAAAAAAGUGAGAUUUGAAAAAUUGUUGUCAAAGUCAAAGAGGAUAAAAGGGAAGAUGUCACGUGACCAAAGGUGGCCAUGCAACUGAAUGCUCAUAUGCGCGGACCCAAGGAGGUCACUGGGGCUACUUUGUCGGCGCACCAUCCUCUCUUAUAACUGCAAAUAGGCUCGGUAUGAAAGAAACUUGAGACAGGUCUGGUGACUCAGAAUAUGGAUCAGAACCCACAGAACCUUUGAUCACGAUCACCUAGGAUGUAACACGUCCCUCUCUCAAAGCAAAUCUUUGUCCAGCUUCAAGAGGAACAGCAGAUAUCAACUCGAAAAACUACUGUAACAUCAUUCCCGGGCAUAACCAUCUUAACUUCUUCAAGCAAUUGAACCUUCCUAGUGGCAUCUGCAGUCCUCAGGUGGCUUUGAUUUAUCAGAAGAAUUGAAAGCCGAAGAUUUAGGCAUUGGAGGGGUCACAUGCAUUAGUUGCCUAGAUUGCUUAAAUGCCAAUUCCUCAAGCCGAUGUGUGUUAACAGGCAGCUGUGGUGUAGUGCAAGCCCAUGAUGGAGCCCGUGCCAAUGCUUCAGCCAUAUUAAGACCAACUGUAAUACUUGGAAGCCCAGGUGCUGUGGCAGAACGAUAUUUUGUUGAGCAGAUGAGGAUCCAAUGAGCAAAUUCUGAACAGCCAUGUUCAACCCAGGUGACGAAACCCUCCCAAGAUCCAAUUCGGUUCCAAGUGAAGAGAAAUCCUUAUCAAACACAGUCUUGUGGAUGGUUUCUCACAAAGCAAUCUCAUGGUUUACACUUUCUGCUUAUUUAUGAAGUUUGCUAAUCCUUUCCUUUCUUAUCCUCGGGACGACCUUCUUCCGAUCGAGCCUUCCUAUCCUCGGUGUGGCAUUUAUACGACAUAACCCAACUCACCUAUCAACCCAUAUCUGAAUUUGGCUGCGUCUUAGCAAGAUGCUUCACGGCGUCUUUCUCCAGCUGCAGCCACAACGUGUCAGCUGCCUCCACCCAAAACCUGAUAUGCUGAGAAGUUUCCGUCUAUUAUUGGAUUCGGUAUCUGAUUCCUCAGUCGCUUUCAUUCUCUCAAUCCCUUCCAUGCAUGCAUGAGGGUUGGUGUUAUGUGGUGUAAGGAGAGAAACGGGUAUGGGAUGUGAUCAAAUGGGUGUAUGUGUGAGGGUAUGAAAUAUAGGUGUGGAGACGGGUAUUAUAGGCAAAAGAAGUGGCCAUGCACAUGAGAUGAGUGUGAAGCACGGCCACGGGUAGUGAGAGAAAAUGGGUGGUUAUGUGUUAAGUAUGAGUGGUGAUGAAAUGUGUAUGAAGGUUUAAACAAUGGGUUUGGAGGAUGGAGAUAGGAGUGAGUGGAGUGGGUGGUUGGACGAGUAGUAAGGCUUAGAGAGAUGGUAGUGGGUUUGGAAUAGGUGCAGGGGAAGAUAAUGAAUGAAGAUGAAUGAAGAGAGCGUGAGAUAGAAGAUGGAUGUGAUGGACAAGAAGGUGGCCACGUGCCUGGAGCUUCAUGUAUAUGGGUAUGAAAGAGUUUGAAGAGAGAGAAAAGGUGGUAAUAUGGAAUGGGUUUGGUGGGUGCAAGCAUGAGGCAUGAAGAUGAGGGUUAGUAUGGAAGUGUGGGUAUGAUGAGCGAAAGAGAGAGAUGAGAUGAGUGCAUGGUGGUGUAGAAAGAAAGGUGAUCAUACAAAUGGGCAUAGGUAUGGAGGUAUAAUGGGUAUAGGGUCAUGGGUAUGCUAAAUGGGCAAAAAGGGUAUAAGCCCGAAAUUAAUGGAGUAGGUAGUGGGAGAUAAUAGGAAAUGGGUGUUCAUGGGGAUCCUCUGCGUACAUGGUGGGAAAGGAAACAGUGAAGAGUACCCACAGCCAACUGAACUUUCAUUAUUCCUCUCAUUUUAACAUAAGCUUGACCACAAUAUUUCUGAACUCUCUCUUAGGACUCAUACUUCCGAUGGCUAUUUUGUGGUCUACAAUGCCAAUGGUGAUAUUUUCCGUCUUUCAAAGCCGAAAAGAGGUAAGUGACCCUCAUCAAUCGAACAACUCACUUUCUUAUAUAUUCAGGCAACAACUAGAGCAACUCCAGAUCUAUGAAUAGUAUGGGCCCAAGAAUCUGCUUAACAGAAUGCUCCAAAUCUUCAACAAGUGUAAAUCAGUUGGAUACGAUUGCACAUUGUGUUGUAGCGUGAACAACAGAGAUGGCAAAAGGACUUCAUUGUCAUGACCGAAAAAGCGUCAACUUCUUUCUCAUUGACUGGCAUAAUAUCCUCAGUAACAAACUGAUCCAGAUCAAAUAUAAAUGCAGUAUUCCCACAAGAUACAACCGGAACAGGACCUUGCUUCUUUUCCAUCUAAGAUCUUUGCGCAACCCAGAUCAUCUGGAGGAGUUUUGUUCAUCCUCAACACUCACGAGCUAUGAUCUGUGCUAUCACCACCUGGCUCUCUCAAAUAGGGAUGUACAACCUGAUGUAUAACAAGGUAGGAUGCCGAAAACAGGGGAAUGGCAAAACCAAAUAGAAAACAAACCAGUGAAACAAAUAAAACAACCAAAGCCAUGUUUCAUGUUUAGAUCAACAGGUUUGGCUGUAGGUGAGUGAACUAGAAUGCACCUAAAGAGAUAAGAACAAGACAAAACUCCUAUAUGUGGCAUAGCGAAAACUAAAACAGAGCUGAGCCAUUCUCAAAUCAUCAUAAGGAAAAUAGGCAAGAUAGCCGCCAAGGAAAUCCGAGAACCAAGCAGGAACCAUAAGAUAGAACGUAUACCCAAACAAAUCACAGACAAUAUCAAGCAAAAGGAAUGAAACUACAUACUGAUAAAGAAUAUGAAGGAUCCAUGGCAGUCAUACCUCGCUUUUCUUCCCCCUCAAGCUCUCUGUUCUCUCUGGAUAUCUUAGCCAAAACUCCUCCUAGUUUUCCCUCUGAGCUCUCCUCAAGCUCCCAGAAAAACUCUCCCUCAGGCUCCUCCGGAAUCUCUCCUUUUUCUCUCCUCCUCUCUCAAUAUCCAGCUUGCUCCUUGCAAAAUCAGCACCCUCUCUCCAAAAACAUGCUCUGUUUUUCUUAGCUUCUCCCUGGUCCCUGCAUCCCCUAAAAAUCUCCUUUUCUCCUUUUUCUUUUCUCUCGGAUUUGCCCUUCUAACCAUAUCUGCAGAGACAGCCCCCUUCAUGCAGCUGGCAACCUUCCCAUAACAGAAAAAUACGCUCCCCUGAUUCCAGAAGAUUCUUUCCCUUUACAGGUGUCUUCCCCGGAUUAGUCCAUCAAUUCCACUAUUUUGAUCCCAUAUUGACUAAUUCGGGAGUGACACGUGGCCAGAAUGAGCUGCAUGAAAUAGCACCCAAAUAGGGGUCUACAAAUAUGUCCCUCUUUGGUAGAGUUCACGAGUGUAAAGAAUAUGAACACUGGAGUGAAAAGCAAGUGUGAAUAGUGAGUGCAAUGAAGUGAACUCUACUGAAGAACAAAGGAGACCCCCAAAAGGACACCAGUGGAACCCAAACUCACUCAGGCCAACAGAAUGAACAAUGAGGCUCUAAUCCUAAGAGAGAAAAAUGUCACAAAAUGCCUCUGAAGCCACACUAAGGAUCCAAGCUCCCUCUAAGACAUCUCCAAAAGUGACUCGAAGAUCAAUGUCAAAGAUGAGUAACGGUCGAACCACCCUGGAGUACAAUAAAGAAUGUGCCCGAAGGAGACUGCCCUAUGUGAACUAUACGAGAAUGCCAAGUGUAGGGUGCCCAACAACAUGAUCGAAAUAUGCGUCACGGAUCUCAAAAGACUGUGUCAUGUGUAGUGGAAAGGGAAGUCUAAAAGAGCAAUGAUGAAUAGGCGAUAAGCAUCAAGUAACCAGGUGAGGAGAAUGGCUCUGAACGCCUAAAAUGGAAAUGUGAUCCUGAAUGUCAUACUGAAGCAAAGACCUGGACGCCAAACUGACUUGAUAGGAAGAAUGAAUGACCGAUCUAUAUGGGUGCGGUCCCGACUCAAACUAAACACAAUCUGAUAGGGAAAUGACCGAUCGAUAUGGGUGCGGCCCCGACUCAAACUGAACUGAUAAGAAGAUGGCCGAUUUAUAUAGGUGCGGCCCUAGAAACUAAACUGACAUGACAAGGAGAUGGUCGAUCGAUAUAGGUGCGGCCCCGACUCAAACUGACACGAUAAUGACCGAUCGUAUAGGUGCGGUCCCAGAAACUGAACUGACAUGACAAGCAGAUGACCGAUCGAUAUAGGUGCAGUCCCAGAAACUGAACUGACAUGACAAAGAGAUGACCGAUCGAUAUAGGUGCGGUCCCGACUCAAACUGACACGAUAAUGACCGAUCGUAUAGGUGCGGUCCUGGAAACUGAACUAACAUGACAAAGAGAUGGUCGAUCGUAUAGGUGCGGCCUCGACUCAAACUGACACGAUAAUGACCGAUCGUAUAGGUGCGGUCCCAGAAACUGAACUGCCAUGACAAAGAGAUGGUCGAUCGUAUAGGUGCGGCCUCGACUCAAACUGACACGAUGAUGACCGAUCGUAUAGGUGCGGUCCCAAAAACUGAAUUGACAUGACAAAGAGAUGGUCGAUCGUAUAGGUGUGGCCUCGACUCAAACUGGCACGAUAAUGACCGAUCGUAUAGGUGCGGUCCCAGAAACUGAACUAACAUGACAAAGAGAUGGUCGAUCGUAUAGGUGCGGCCCCGACUCAAACUGACACGAUGAUGACCGAUCGUAUAGGUGCGGCCUCGACUCAAACUGACACGAUGAUGACCGAUCGUAUAGGUGCGGUCCUAGAAACUGAACUAUCAUGACAAAGAGAUGGUCGAUCAUAUAGGUGCGGCCCCGACUCAAACUGACACGAUGAUGACCGAUCGUAUAGGUGCGGUCCCAGAAACUGAACUGACAUGACAAAGAGAUGGCUGAUCGUAUAGGUGCGGCCUCGACUCAAACUGGCACGAUAAUGACCGAUCGUAUAGGUGUGGUCCCAGAAACUGAACUGACAUGACAAAGAGAUGGCCGAUCGUAUAGGUGCGGCCCCGACUCAAACUGACACGAUGAUGACCGAUCGUAUAGGUGCGGUCCCAGAAACUGAACUGUCAUGACAAAGAGAUGGUCGAUCGUAUAGGUGCGGCCCCGACUCAAACUGACACGAUGAUGACCGAUCGUAUAGGUGCGGUCCCAGAAACUGAACUGACAUGACAAAGAGAUGGCCGAUCGUAUAGGUGCUGCCCCGACUCAAACUGACACGAUGAUGACCGAUCGUAUAGGUGCGGUCUCAGAAACUGAACUGACAUGACAAAGAUAUGGUCGAUCGUAUAGGUGCGGCCUCGACUCAAACUGACACGAUGAUGACCGAUCGUAUAGGUGCGGUCCCAGAAACUGAACUGUCAUGACAAAGAGAUGGUCGAUCAUAUAGGUACGGUCCCAGAAACUGAACUGACAUGACAGGAAGAUGGCCGAUCGUAUAGGUGCGGUCCCGACUCAAACUGACAUGAUAAUGACCGAUCGAUAUAGGUGCGGUCCCGACUCAAAGUGAACUGAUAAGAAGAUGGCCGAUCGAUAUAGGUGCGGCCCCGACUCAAACUGACACGAUAAUGACCGAUCGUAUAGGUGCGGUCCCAGAAACUGAACUGUCAUGACAAAGAGAUGGCCGAUCGUAUAGGUGCGGCCUCGACUCAAACUGACACGAUAAUGACCGAUCGUAUAGGUGCGGUCCCAGAAACUGAACUGUCAUGACAAAGAGAUGGUCGAUCGUAUAGGUGCGGUCCCAGAAACUGAACUGACAUGACAGGAAGAUGGCCGAUCGUAUAGGUGCGGUCCCGACCCAAACUGACACGAUAAUGACCGAUCGAUAUAGGUGCGGUCCCGACUCGAACUGAACUGAUAAGAAGAUGGCCGAUCGAUAUAGGUGCGGCCCUGACUCAAACUGACACGAUAAUGACCGAUCGUAUAGGUGCGGUCCCAGAAACUGAAUUGACAUGACAAAGAAAUGACUGAUCGUAUAGGUGUGGUCCCGACUCAAACUGACACGAUAAUGACCGAUCGAUAUAGGUGUGGUCCCGACUCGAACUGAACUGAUAAGAAGAUGGCCGAUCGAUAUAGGUGCGGCCCCGACUCAAACUGACACGAUAAGAUGAUGAAUGACCUGAUCAAGUGACCCAAAACCACCACAAUUCUCCAUGCAAUGACGUGUGAAAAACCACCACUCAAGGUGAAACAAGGAUAAUGUCGAGUAAUCAAUGAGGAAAGGAAAAGACAGAGAACGAAUAUCACAAGUGGUGGUAUGUGAUAUCGAAAAAUAGUGAUGAAAUGAUGUCCAAGCGGAAAAUAUCACAGUGAAGAGUGAAGAAUGAGGCUCGAAUAUGUAUGUCAGGUCUAGAACUCAUGACGUAUCCAAACAUAGCAUGCAAGCACUACAGGGUCCCCAACCCGGUGUAAUAAGUAAAUGAGGUGAUGAAAGAAAAAGCUAUGUGCUCGUGUGAGGCUCAAAGGGCUAGCAACGGGUAACUCUAUAUGUGAGGGUGAUAAAGUAAAUAGGCUCAUGAAAUGAUGGCCACCCAUCCUUUGACCAAAACCUCGAACAUCGUGCUUUUGAGAUCUCACAUGGUCAAUACUAAAGACUGGCAUCCAUCCAACAUAGUCAUGACGACUCCUCUGAAAUCGUGCAAAAGGCUCCCACUGAUGCUCUGUGAUGAUCAUCAAUGUCGUCUGAAAAUCAACUCACUCUAUCAUCACAAGCCACUCACCAUCAUCUCAUAAAAUCACCAUGUCUAAUCAUCCCGACUCUCUGAAGUCAUGUGCAAUGGCUCAAAUCUGGAUGCUCCAUGAUAACCUCUCUAUCUCAACAAUAUCGUCAAACAAAUCAAGCCACUCUCUCAUCGUGAUCCAUCUAUCAUCAUGUAAAGCUCACCUCGGGUCUAACCAUCUCGGACUCUACCUGGUCAGAUCCAUGAAAUGAUGGAAAGGAUAGGCAAUGGUACUGUAGCAUGAUAAGGCGAAUCAAGGGUAGUAAAGGUCGUACGAUGGUACCAAGGGAUGGUGUCAUGUCAAGCUCAAAAUGGGUAGGUCAUCAAGUCCACAAAGUCAAGGUACGAAUAUGGAUAUGGUAUCGCUCUAAUCAAAAGGUGAUAUGAGGCACAGUCUCGAACUCCCUAGGUCGAUCUCCUGAUCCUAGGUCAAUAGACUCAAUAUCCUCCAUGAUAGGUCAGGCCAAAGUGAUCGUGAUGUAAGUGAAAGAUGUAUCAUAUUGAAAGUACAACACAUCAUAUGAAAUAUGGUCCCGUGAUGGCAAUCCUAAACUGGAAAUAUGACAGAAACUCUAAGGUCAUAAAGGUGUCCACUAUGAGAUGGCUACAAAUGUGACCAGAGAAUCUCCAUCAAUAAUCCGAGAUAAAGAGAGGUGUGAAAAACACGCUAUCACGAGAUCGGUACUCCAUCUAUAAACAUAUAUCCUUGAAUCAACCUUCAACUCGAGCUCCAUAAGAGAAAAAUAAUAAGGUGAUCAAGGCGAAUCUCUCGAAGACAGUGUGGAUGUGAAAAAUGCGCCUUUCACCUUUCUGUAAUGAAAAUAUGAGCAUCGAGUCGAAAAUUGAACCAAGGAUCAAACAAAUGAUGAGGUACUGAGCCCGUGAUAAGCAUACAGUGUAAAAAGAUGAUCAAUGAACAUAUCCCAAAGCAUCAUGUGAGUGAUAACAAAGUGAAGGGGUGUGUCGAGCCAAGAAAUGAGAAUGAAAACCCUAGGGAGAAAACAUGCUAAACUCGUCAAGUAAAAAGCAUAAUCUAGAGCGACGAGACAAAGGUGAUCCAAUCGAUACUCAAACUCAUACCGAUCUCCGAGCACUCUCAACUGGAGACUAAAAAGAGGGAACACUGGAUCCGAACUGUAACUAAAGAGGCUCUGAAGGCCCUCAGAUGCACCCACGUGUAGGGAGGGAGUCCUAAUCGAAGGAUCUACGGCUCAACCUACGAGAUCAAGGUGGCUCUAAAUGGAUAUGGGUGGACUUUAAAAAAAAUCCCUAGCAGAAGCGAUCAUACCCUCCAGCGGUACACAACCCUCUGCACGCCUAAAAAAAAGACGGGGCGCUUCCAUGCAAGGUGGACAUCGCAUCCACACAUGCACUACCUCGACAUCCUAGGGGGUUUCCUAUGGUGAAUCCUCUCAAACUCUCAACGCUCAAUAGUCAACUAGGGUGCAUAGUGAUCGGUGUGGGUGCAUCCGAAACCCUAAGAAGCUAAAGCAGAAGAUGAAACAUACUGGUCGCAUAAAUAUCCAUGAAACCUAGCUCGGGGCUAUACAGGUCUUCAAUGAUCGGACUCUAAUCGACAACAAUGCGCCGCUCGCCUCCAGAAUGCUCCCAAACAUCAGUAUAGCCCGUCGCUAGACCCUACUCUUAACUUCUAUCUCAGUCAGAGUACAAGCACACACAAGGCCUCACACUUGCAAAAGUGAGAACCGUAAUGAAGAAAGUGACUGAGACUAGAGAGUGAGAGAUAAGGGGAUAGAUGUGCGACCCACAUAAACAAGCGGCACGAAAUCACACAGAUGAGGGCAAUCAUGCAACACACAGUCAAACAAAACUCAGAUAUAUCAUCAAUGUACACACAAGAUAAGCGAGAAUACGACAAUCAGAUGGAUAGUGAUACAAAGACAACACGCUCAAAGAUGAUCAAAAUAAUAUACCAACAAGUGGAUCAGCAUGUCGAGUCGAAUGAUGUACAGUAGUGAGUGUAUGCACGUGAAGUGAUCAAAACAAUCAUGACAAAAUCAGGGUCAAUGUGCUAAGCAAAGCAAUAAGAUCAAUCAUCAAUGAUCCAGCAUGUCAAUGUCUCAAACAAAUAUAUCAAUGCAACACAGAAGAAAUCAUGGCAUCAGAAUCCUCAAUCAAUAUAAAUCAAUCAACACGAUCGACGUGUCAAAGUCUCAAGUGGAUAUAAAAUCCGAGCAUGCAUCAAAUAUCCUCAAUGUGCAAUCAAGAAAUGGGCAUCCACUGAUUGUCCAAUCGAAUGCCACGUUUGCUUCAUUCUAAGUUCAAGUUUGACCCUCUAAAUGAUCCCCAGUGGAGUCGCCAUUUUGUGGACCCCGCAUUUCGUGCUUGAUGCGUUUCCCACUCGAUGGCGAGCUCGAUUUUUAUUUUGAAAAAUUAAUUUUAUUUAUUGUUUGUUGAAAAAAAUGACUUGGAGUCGCCACUUAUUUUUGUUUUAUUUUUAAAGGGUAAACAAAAUAAGAAAGAAAAACCCUAAGUGUGACUCCUUAUUUUGGAAAAGGCGGUCUGUGAAAAACUGGAUCGGGUUCGGGGGUCAGGUUACUUAUUGGGAAGGUACGGUAAAGACCGUAGCACCCCUCUAAGUCCCUAAAAUCGGGUCUCUACUAAUAGAAUGAAGUUGACGUGGCAAUCAAUGAGGAAAUCAGCGGAUACUCAAAUCAAACUUGCACAUAUGAAAAUAAGAGUAUGCAUAGAGAAUAAUCAAAAUGAGAAUGAGUGCGUACCUGGACCUCUAGUGACAAAUGCGCUAUCAUGAAACAGGAUUAGUGAGCAAUGAACAAGAUAUAAUUAAGCGCAUAUCAAGAAAUAGAGUAAACCAAUCAUGCAUGGCAAAUAAAUCAAUCGAUCUGUCAAUCAAUCAUGAAGUCAAGUAUGUGGGGCCCCCACCAAAGCCCGUUUAUUUUGCAUGAAUUAAUUCCAUAAAUUCCAUUAGUCGGAAUUACGGAAUUUAAUUCUUGCUUAUUUUUACAACAUUUUAAAAGAUUAUGAAAGAUUUGAAAAUUGCUUACCGAAUAGAAAGUGGAAGCAAAUUUGAUUAAAAGUGAGACUCUUGGGUGAUCCUAAAAAUUCUAAGGAUGAAAGAGUGUGGAAUUGAAAUUAUUGUUUUAUUGAAAAAUGAGGAACUGGGAAAUUAUUAAAAAAAAUGAGAUUUGAAAAAUUGUUGUCAAAGUCAAAGAGGAUAAAAGGGAAGAUGUCACGUGACCAAAGGUGGCCAUGCAACUGAAUGCUCAUAUGCGCGGACCCAAGGAGGUCACUGGGGCUGCUUUGUCGGCGCACCAUCCUCUCUUAUAACUGCAAAUAGGCUCGGUAUGAAAGAAACUUGAGACAGGUCUGGUGACUCAAAAUAUGGAUCAGAACCCACAGAACCUUUGAUCACGAUCACCUAGGAUGUAACACGUCCCUCUCUCAAAGCAAAUCUUUGUCCAGCUUCAAGAGGAACAACAGAUAUCAACUCGAAAAACUACUGUAACAUCAUUCCCAGGCAUAACCAUCUUAACUUCUUCAAGCAAUUGAACCUUCCCAGUGGCAUCUGUAGUCCUCAGGUGGCUUUGAUUUAUCAGAAGAAUUGAAAGCCGAAGAUUUAGGCAUUGGAGGGGUCACAUGCAUUAGUUGCCUAGAUUGCUUAAAUGCCAAUUCCUCAAGCCGAUGUGUGUUAACAGGCAGCUGUGGUGUAGUGCAAGCCCAUGAUGGAGCCCGUGCCAAUGCUUCAGCCAUAUUAAGACCAACUGUAAUACUUGGAAGCCCAGGUGCCGGGGCAGAACGAUAUUUUGUUGAGCAGAUGAGGAUCCAAUGAGCAAAUUCUGAACAGCCAUGUUCAACCCAGGUGACGAAACCCUCCCAAGAUCCAAUUCGGUUCCAAGUGAAGAGAAAUCCUUAUCAAACACAGUCUUGUGGAUGGUUUCUCACUAAGCAAUCUCAUGGUUUACACUUUCUGCUUAUUUAUGAAGUUUGCUAAUCCUUUCCUUUCUUAUCCUCGAGACGACCUUCUUCCGAUCGAGCCUUCCUAUCCUCGGUGUGGCAUUUAUACGACAUAACCCAACUCACCUAUCAACCCAUAUCUGAAUUUGGCUGCGUCUUAGCAAGAUGCUUCACGGCGUCUUUCUCCAGCUGCAGCCACAACGUGUCAGCUGCCUCCACCCAAAACCUGAUAUGCUGAGAAGUUUCCGUCUAUUAUUGGAUUCGGUAUCUGAUUCCUCAGUCGCUUUCAUUCUCUCAAUCCCUUCCAUGCAUGCAUGAGGGUUGGUGUUAUGUGGUGUAAGGAGAGAAACGGGUAUGGGAUGUGAUCAAAUGGGUGUAUGUGUGAGGGUAUGAAAUAUAGGUGUGGAGACGGGUAUUAUAGGCAAAAGAGGUGGCCAUGCACAUGAGAUGAGUGUGAAGCACGGCCACGGGUAGUGAGAGAAAAUGGGUGGUUAUGUGUUAAGUAUGAGUGGUGAUGAAAUGUGUAUGAAGGUUAGAACAAUGGGUUUGGAGGAUGGAGAUAGGAGUGAGUGGAGUGGGUGGUUGGACGAGUAGUAAGGCUUAGAGAGAUGGUAGUGGGUUUGGAAUAGGUGCAGGGGAAGAUAAUGAAUGAAGAUGAAUGAAGAGAGCGUGAGAUAGAAGAUGGAUGUGAUGGACAAGAAGGUGGCCACGUGCCUGGAGCUUCAUGUAUAUGGGUAUGAAAGAGUUUGAAGAGAGAGAAAAGGUGGUAAUGUGGAAUGGGUUUGGUGGGUGCAAGCAUGGGGCAUGAAGAUGAGGGUUAGUAUGGAAGUGUGGGUAUAAUGAGCGAAUGAGAGAGAUGAGAUGGGUGCAUGGUGGUGUAGAAAGAAAGGUGAUCAUACAAAUGGGCAUAGGUAUGGAGGUAUAAUGGGUAUAGGGUCAUGGGUAUGCUAAAUGGGCAAAAAGGGUAUAAGCCCGGAAUUAAUGGAGUAGGUAGUGGGAGAUAAUAGGAAAUGGGUGUUCAUGGGGAUCCUCUGCGUACAUGGUGGGAAAGGAAACAGUGAAGAGUACCCACAACCAACUGAACUUUCAUUAUUCCUCUCAUUUUAACAUAAGCUUGACCAUAAUAUUUCUAAACUCUCUCUUAGGACUCAUACUUCCGAUGGCUAUUUUGUGGUCUACAAUGCCAAUGGUGAUAUUUUCCGUCUUUCAAAGCCGAAAAGAGAGGUAAGUGACCCUCAUCAAUCGAACAACUCACUUUCUUAUAUAUUCAGGCAACAACUAGAGCAACUCCAGAUCUAUGAAUAGUAUGGGCCCAAGAAUCUGCUUAACAGAAUGCUCCAAAUCUUCAACAAGUGUAAAUCAGUUGGAUACGAUUGCACAUUGUGCUGCAGCGUGAACAACAGAGAUGGCAAAAGGACUUCAUUGUCAUGACCGAAAAAGCGUCAAGUUCUUUCUCAUUGACUGGCAUAAUAUCCUCAGUAACAAACUGAUCCAGAUCAAAUAUAAAUGCAGUAUUCCCACAAGAUACAACCUGAACAGGACCUUGCUUCUUUUCCAUCUAAGAUCUUUGCGCAACCCAGAUCAUCUGGAGGAGUUUUGUUCAUCCUCAACACUCACGAGCUAUGAUCUGUGCUAUCACCACCUGGCUCUCUCAAAUAGGGAUGUACAACCUGAUGUAUAACAAGGUAGGAUGCCGAAAACAGGGGAAUGGCAAAACCAAAUAGAAAACAAACCAGUGAAACAAAUAAAACAACCAAAGCCAUGUUUCAUGUUUAGAUCAACAGGUUUGGUUGUAGGUGAGUGAACUAGAAUGCACCUAAAGAGAUAAGAACAAGACAAAACUCCUAUAUGUGGCAUAGCGAAAACUAAAACAGAGCUGAGCCAUUCUCAAAUCAUCAUAAGGAAAAUAGGCAAGAUAGCCGCCAAGGAAAUCCGAGAACCAAGCAGGAACCAUAAGAUAGAACGUAUACCCAAACAAAUCACAAACAAUAUCAAGCAAAAGGAAUGAAACUACAUACUGAUAAAGAAUAUGAAGGAUCCAUGGCAGUCAUACCUCGCUUUUCUUCCCCCUCAAGCUCUCUGUUCUCUCUGGAUAUCUUAGCCAAAACUCCUCCUAGUUUUCCCUCUGAGCUCUCCUCAAGCUCCCAGAAAAACUCUCCCUCAGGCUCCUCCGGAAUCUCUCCUUUUUCUCUCCUCCUCUCUCAAUAUCCAGCUUGCUCCUUGCAAAAUCUGCACCCUCUCUCCAAAAACAUGCUCUGUUUUUCUUAGCUUCUCCCUGGUCCCUGCAUCCCCUAAAAAUCUCCUUUUCUCCUUUUUCUUUUCUCUCGGAUUUGCCCUUCUAACCAUAUCUGCAGAGACACCCCCCUUCAUGCAGCUGACAACCUUCCCAUAACAGAAAAAUACGUUCCCCUGAUUCCAGAAGAUUCUUUCCCUUUACAGGUGUCUUCCCCGGAUUAGUCCAUCAAUUCCACUAUUUUGAUCCCAUAUUGACUAAUCCGGGAGUGACACGUGGCCAGAAUGAGCUGCAUGAAAUAGCACCCAAAUAGGGGUCUACAGCACCCUUGGCCCAUUUAGGCACUCUAAGCUCAUUUGGGCAUCCUAGGUCCACUUAAGCACCCUAGGCCCAUUUAGGCACCCUUGGUACACUUAGGCACCCUAGGCCCAUUUAGGCACCCUAAGUCCAGUUAGGCACUCUAGACCCAUUUAGGCACCUUAGGCCCACUUAGGCUUUGUUGGCCCAUUUAGGCACCCUAGGUCCACUUAGACACCUUAGGCCCACUUAAGCACCCUAGGCCCUUUUAGGCACCCUAGGUCCAUUUAGGCACCCUUGGCCCAUUUAGGUACCCUCGGCCCACUUAGGCACCCUAGGCCCAUUUAGGCUCCCUAGGUCCAUUUAGGCACCUAAGGCUCAUUUAGGCACUCAUAGGCCCAUUUAGGCACCCUAGGUCCACUUAGACACCUUACGCUCAUUUAGGCACCCGAGGCUCAUUUAGGCACCCUUGGCCCAUUUAGGCACCCUAGGCUCAUUUAGGCACCUUUGGCCCAUUUAGGCACCCUAGGCCCACUUAGACACCCUGAGCCCACUUAGACACCCUUGGCCCAUUUAGGCACCUUAGGUCCACUUAGACUCUCUAGGCCCAUUUCGGCACCCUAGGUCCACUAAGACACGCUAGGCACAUUUAAGCACCUAAGCACCCUAGGCACAUUUACGAACCUAAGGCUCAUUUAGGCACUCAUGGGCCCAUUUAGGCACCCUAGGUCCACUUAGACACGUUAGGCUCAUUUAGGCACCCGAGGCUCAUUUAGGCACCCUUGGCCCAUUUAGGCACCUAGGCUCAUUUAGGCACCUUUGGCCCAUUUAGGCACCCUAGGCCCACUUAGACACCCUGAACCCACUUAGACAUCCUUGGCCCAUUUAGGCACCCUAGGUCCAAUUAGGCUCUCUAGGCCCAUUUCGGCACCCUAUGUCCACUAAGACACGCUAGGAACAUUUAAGCACCCUAAGCCCACUUAGGCACCCUUGGCCCAUUUACGAACCCUAGGCUCAUUUAGGCACCAUAGGUCCACUUAGGUACCCUAGGCCCAUUUAGGCAUUCUAGGUCCAAUUAGGCACUUUAGACCCAUUUGGGCACCCUAGGUCCACUUAGGCACCCUAGGCCCAUUCAGGCACCCUAGGUCCACUCAGGCACCCUAGGCCGAUUUAGGCACCCUUGGUCCACUUAAGCACCCUAGGCCCAUUUUGGCACCCUAGGUCCAGUUAGCCACUCUAGACCCAUUUAGGCACCUUAGGCCCACUUAAGCAUCCUUGGCCAAUUUUGGCACCCUAGGUCCACUUAGGCACUCUAGUCCCAUUUAGGCACCCUAGGUCCACUUAGGCACCCUACGUCCAUUUAGGCACCCUAGGUCCAUUUAGGCACCCUAGGCUCAUUUAGGCACCCUAGGCCCAUUUAGGCACCCUAGGUCCACUUAGACACCUUAGGCCCAUUUAGGCACCCUAGGUCCACUUAGGCACCCUUGGCCCAUUUAGGCACCCUAGGUCCAUUUAGGCACCCUAGGCCCAUUUAGGCACCCUAGGCCCAUUUAGGCACCCUAGGUCCACUUAGGCACCCUAGGUCCACUUAGGCACCCUAGGCCCAUUUAGGCACCGUAGGUCCAUUUAGGCACCCUUAGCCCAUUUAGGCACCCUAGGCCCAAUUAGGCACCCUAGGUCCAUUUAGGCACCCUAGGUCCACUUAGACACCUUAGGCCCAUUUAGGCACCCUAAGCCCACUUAGGCACCCUUGGUCCAUUUAGGCCCCCUAAGCUCAUUUAGGCACCCUAGGUCCACUUAGGCACUCUAGGCCCAUUUAGGCACCCUUGGUCUACUUAGGCACCCUAGGCCCAUUUAGGCACCCUAGGUCCAGUUAGGCACUCUAGACCCAUUUAGGCACCUUAGGCCCACUUAGGCAUCCUUGGCCCAUUUAGGCACCCUAGGUCCACUUAGGCACUCUAGGCCCAUUUAGGCACGCUAGGUCCACUUAGGCACCCGAGGCCCAUUUAGGCACCCUAGGUCCACUUAGACACCUUAGGCCCAUUUAGGCACCCUAAGUCCACUUAGGCACCUUUGGCCCAUUUAGGCACCCUAGGCUCAUUUAGGCACCCUAGGUCCAGUUAGGCACCUCAGGCCCAUUUCAGCACCAUAGGUCCAGUUAGGCACUCUAUACCCAUUUAGGAACUCUAGGUCCACUUAGGCACCCUAGGCUCAUUGAGGCACCCUAGGUCCAUUUAGGCACCCUUGGCCCAUUUAGGCACCCUAGGCCCACUUAGGCACCCUAGGCCCAUUUAGGCACCCUAGGCUCAUUUAGGCACCCUAGGCCCAUUUAGGCACCCUAGGUCCACUUAGACACCAUAGGCCCAUUUAGGCACCCUAGGCUCAUUUAUGCACCCUUGGCCCAUUGAGGCACCCUAGGCCCACUUAGACACCCUAAGCCCACUUAGACACCCUUGGUCCAUUUAGGCACCCUAGGUCCACUUAGGCACCUUAGGCCCACAUAGGCACCCUUGGCCCAUUUAGGUACCCUUGGCCCAUUUAGUUAGGCCCACCUAGUCUCACCUUAGGCCCAUUUAGGCACACUUGGGCCAUUAAGAAAUUUUUAGCGUGACUUAUAUGACUUGCAUGGUUGCAUGGCUUGUGGGGCUCAGUUUUUUUUUUAUUUAUUUAUUUUUAUUUUUAGUUUUAUUUUUAUUUUUAUCAAUCACUUGUUUAUUUUUAUUUGUUAUAUUCCUUUCUAUAUUAUUUUUCUUAGUUUUUUAAUUAACUUAUUUAUUUAUUAUUGUUUUACCGUUUUCUAAUUUAUCUACUCAUUUAUUUAUUCAUUCAAUUAUUUAAUAUAAAAAAAUUUCAUGCUUUUGCAAGGAAACUUACCAUUGAAGUUUAAGGAAAGUGGGACUCUCCUUGGAAGGUUUUGGAGAGGGAGUUUGAAAUUGGGAGGAUUGUUUUUGAAUGGGAAGAUUGGAAAAAGAGGGAAAAAAAAUGGGGAAUUUCUCAGAGCCAUAUAAGGAGUAGACUGCCAUCAUGAGAUAAAGAAAAAGAAAAAAAAAAAAGUUAGAGAUUUUGAUUUUCUGGGGGAUAGAGAGAACAAUAGGAAUUUUUUAGAAGGGUUUUUUUGUUAGAGAUUCAAGCAUAAAGCAUAAUUUUUUUUAAAGAGAGCACACAGAAUUUUGGAAAAAAAGCAAGGGACUUGAGACGGAGAUCGGGCUGCCAUUUAAUCAUCAAGAGAGGAUUUUCUAUUUCACUUCAAAGGUUAGUUUUCUAUAUAGUACUUUUAUUUAGCCUAGACUUUUUUUUGGAAAUUUUAGUUUUUGAUUAAUUCUUUGUGUUAAAGUUUAUAUUAUUUUCUUUUUAAAUCCCCAAUUAGUUUAAUUCCAAUCUAUCUUUUAGUUUAAGUUUGUUAAUGAUUUUAAUUCUUAAGUUUAAAUAAUCAUAUUGAAUAAAGUUUGUAUUUUUAAUCCUGAUUAGUUUGAUUUCAAUUCGUUUUUAGUUUAAAUGUAUUUUGUUGAUCUUAAUUCUUGACUUUAAAUAAUCACGUUAAAUAAAGUUUGUAUUUUUAAUCCCAAUUAGUUUGAUUUCAAUUCGUUUUUUAUUUUAAAUGUGUCUUGUUGAUCUUAAUUCUUUACUUUAAAUAAUCACGUUAAUAAAGUUUGUAUUUUUAAUCCCAAUUAGUUUGAUUUCAAUUCGUUUUUAAUUUAAAUGCAUUAGUUGAUCUUAAUUCUUUACUUUAAAUAAUCACGUUAAAUAAAGUUUGUGUUUUUAAUCUCAAUUAGUUUGAUUUCAAUUCGUUUUUAAUUUAAAUGCAUUAGUUGAUCUUAAUUCUAUGUUUUAAAUAAUCAUGUUAAAUAAAGUUUGUAAUUUUAAUCCCAAUUAGUUUGAUUUCAAUUCGUUUUUUAGUUUAAAUGUAUCUUGUUGAUCUUAAUUCUUUACUUUAAAUAUCACGUUAAUAAAGUUUGUAUUUUUAAUCCCAAUUAGUUUGAUUUCAAUUCGUUUUUUAGUUUAAAUGUAUCUUGUUGAUCUUAAUUCUUUACUUUAAAUAAUCACGUUAAUAAAGUUUGUAUUUUUAAUCCCAAUUAGUUUGAUUUCAAUUUGUUUUUAAUUUAAAUGCAUUAGUUGAUCUUAAUUCCUUGUUUUAAAUAAUCACGUUAAAUAAAUUUGUAUUUUUAAUCCCAUUUAGUUUGAUUUCAAUUCGUUUUUUAGUUUAAAUGCAUUAGUUGAUCUUAAUUCUUAAGUUUAAAUAAGCACGUUAAUAAAGUUUGUGUUUUUAAUCCCAAUUAGUUUGAUUUUAAUUUGUUUUUAGUUUAAAUGCAUUUUGUUGAUCUUAAUUCUUUAGUUUAAAUAAUCAUAUUGAAUAAAGUUUGUGUUUUUAAUUCCAAUUAGUUUGAUAUUAAUUUGUUUUUAGCCUAAAUACAUUCAUUGAUCUUAGUUCUUUAGUUUAAAUAAUCAUAUUGAAUAAAGUUUGCGUUUUUAAUUCCAAUAAUAGAAUUUAAUUUCAAUUUAGUUUGAUUUUAAUUUAUUUUAUAAUUUGAAUGCGUUCAUGAUUUUAAUUGUUUGAUUAACUCUCUUAGACAAAUUCUAUAUAUUUAAUUUCGAUUUUAUUUUAAUUUUACUUUGUUAAUUUAUUUAUUUGUUUAAAAAUAUUUGCAAUUUCAUUUUGAUAGUUUAGCCAAUCUUAUUAGAUGAUGUUAAUGUUUUUAAUUUAAUCUAGUAUCAAUUAUUUUUAGUAUUGAAUGUGUUCGUGCGUUUCUGAAUUCGCCAUUUUGGAUUGUAAUCCAUUUAUAUCCAAUUUUGUAGUUGAUCAUAAUUUUAGUUAAUUAAUUUAGUCAAUCACAUGAUAUUAUACUCACAUUCUAAGUAUGGAAAUUUCAGCUUUGAUUCGUCAAUAUUUAGUAUGAGUUUUUUGGAAUUUUAGUUAAUUACAUGUUACUCUUUUAGUCAAUAUUUUCAAGUUUGCUAAACUUUGGUUUUUGAUUUAUCAUACUUUGCUAGAAUGUUAAUUUACCUUAAUUGAUUCCCUGUUAUUAUCUUUAUAUGCUAAGCUUGUUGACUUUAAUCUUUGGUUGGUUAUUUUUAUUUUAAUUCAUGUGUUUCUUGAAAUCUAGAUGUUAGUCUUGGAUAAUAUUUGUGUUAGUUUGUUUGAUUAGGAAACCAUUAGUUUGUUGCUUUAGUAAUUGUUGGUAAAAUCUUUUUUUUUGAAGGCCAUUGGAAAAUCAUGAAGAUUGGCAUCUACCAUCACCUUUAUCAUUUUUGUUAAUUACUAAAAAAAUUUUACUUUGAGGUUUCAUUUUUUUUUUUUUUUUUGUUUGGUAUUUUAUAUAUUUUAUUUUUUCCAAAUUAAUUCCUUUUAUUUUAAAAUAAAAUACUUUUCUCAAAAAAUCAUUUUAAAAAUCUAUUUCAAAAACUCAUUUAGAGUCCUCAGGAUCAAUUUUUUUUUUUUUAUAUUUAAAAAUAAUGUGCAACCAUAUCUUGUUCUGUUUGCAUCCUUCUCGGUUUUCAACAAAAAGUUUGGUUUUGAACAAAAACACGAAUCAAAGCUUGUGGUCCCAAAUAAAUGGGAUAAUUCUUGGCUAAAUUUGUGUAUAUUAAUUUGGGGAAUUGGUGAAACCCCUACAUAAGAAAAUCUUUUCAAAAAUUAUUUUUGUUGCCAUAUUUGUCACUUGUUGAAAUUAUGUCUAUCUUUUUUAGGAAUUGUAUACAAGAUGUGUGUGAUAAUUAAUGUUUUCAUAUACUUUGAUAAUUUUUGUUAUGCUAAUUAGAUAACAAGCAUGCUAGGGUUUCUUUAUUUUAUUAUUAUCUAAUCCCUCAUGUCUUAUGGAAGUGCAUUGUAAGUUAUCUAUGCUAUCCAGGUACAUCCCCUAUCACCUACUUUCUAAGUUUUGUAAACAUGAUUGUCACUGAGAACUAUGCUUAUGCUUGAGAAUACUUGGGUGUUCCGAUAUACAUGUUUCAUUGUUUGAUUAUUUCUAAUAAAACACAUGUUGGAUGAUAUAUUGUUUAAAUUAACCAUUGAUGUUUUAUGAUAGCGCUUGAGAAGCAGUCCGGGUACACACCCUAACUCUCCUUUAUUGUGAUUUAAUCUUGUUUAGCAUGUAAGUUUUUUGAAAUCACCUAGCCUACUUAGGUAUCUAUAAUUAAUUGAUUAAUUGCCACACUUCCCUUAACUUUGUCAGUAGAGACCUUUGUAGGGCUUAGAGGGGUGCUACCUUUUAAAGGUGCCUUCCCAAUAAGUAACCUGAUCCCCGGACUUAGACUUAGGUUUUUCAAAGACACACUUUUCCAAAAAUUAUGGAGUCAUUUUUUAGGGUUUUAUUUCUUGUUUUAUUUUCCCUUUUAAAAAAAAAUAAUAAGUGGCGACUCCAACUUUUUUUCAAAAAUCAAUUUUUCACAAAUAAAAAGCGAGUCUCGCCGAUUGAGUGGGGGCGCACGUGAAAAAUGCGGGUCCACAUGGAGUAAUUAGAGAUUAUUGCAUCACAUACGUCAAUGAAGUUGUAGGUAUUAGAGGGUAAGUUUUUAGGAUAAAACGACCAGGUAAAUUUGUGUAACUUGAUCUUGUAUAGUGGAUUUUGAUUAGUAGUCUUAGACCUUGUGGUUUUUUUUAUCUCCACAGUAGUGUGGGGAUUUUCCAUGUAAAAGUCAUUGUGUCCAUUGUUAUAUCUUGUGAUUAUCAUGAUUGUGGGGAUUUUGUUUAUCUCUGAUAUUAUCUCACAGGGUAAAAAUUGAGUAUAACAUAUAAUCUUUUUUUUAGAAUUCUUUUAAUUACACCCAUUCACCUCCGUCCUCUCUUUGGGUGUUACCCUACUAGACUUGGCUUUUUCAGUCUCAAAUUCUACAUUAGCAUUUUUUUACUUAAGUUAUAAAUGGAAAAAGUUAUAAACCCAAGAUAACUUGUUAAAAAAGUGAGAAAUAAUAAAGGACUCAUGUUAGAGUAUAAAUAAUUAAUCUAUUCUAGGCUUAAUAUAGCUCCAAUGUCAAACAUGAAUACUUAAUUAUUUAUUAUAUUUUGAAAAUAAAGUAAGUAUUUUUUAUAUAAAAAAUGAAACAACUUUUCUAGAACAACACAAGGCACUAAUGCAUAUAGUUGGUAACAAGUUGGAGAAAGAAAAUAAUGUGGAGAAAUAAAACAACAUGUACAAAGAAACAAAUUGGAGAUAAAGAAAAUGACUAACAAAAAAGAAAAUAGAGAAAUUAUAGAAUAUAAGAUAAUUAAACUUAUUUUCAUAAAAAUAAUAUAUUUUCGAAAAAUAGAAAAUUUCGUUCAUAUUCUCUUUUUCACUUAUUUUAAAAAUAAAAGUAAAAAUUAAUAUUUAUCAAAUGCAAAUAUUAAUAAUUAUGAAAUUAAUAUUUAUCACAUAUAUAAGAUUAAGAUUGAGAUAUAAACUUUUUAUAAUCUAAACUAUUAUUUUCAUUUUAAACAAGAAAGUUCGAUGUGACAUAAUAAAAUUUGUACACAAAAUUUAAAUUAUCUCUAUUCAUAUAGAAUUAUAUAUAGGUAUAGAUUCAUUUCAAAAUUCAAAUAAUUAUUUGAAAUUUACAUUUAAAUUUUAUUUUUAAAUUUAAAACUUAAUUAUUUUGUAAUAGGGUAUGUGUCAUAAAAUUGAAACUUAUAUAUAUAAAUGCGUCCACUUCCAUACCUCUCAUAAAAUUGGAGCCGACUUUUUUUGUUUUCUUUUGUGUGUUUAUAAAUGUCUCCAAUUCCAUAUCUAGCUGUGAUAUAGUUUUGGAGAUGAUUGUGAUUGAAGUAUAAUUUCUUUUAAUUUUAAUUUUAUAAGAAUUAAAAUCAAAGAAACUGUUGGGUAGAAAGAUGUUUCCCUCCAUACAAAUCUAUUUAAAAGAAAAAAAAAACACAAAGAAAGACAACAAUAGAUGAAAAUAAUUAUUCAUCUGUUAUGUUAGUGCAAAAUAUGAAAGAGAAGACAACAGUGUGCAUCUUCACUGUGACUGAGGAUCAAAUUCUCUUUGAGAUUGAUAUAAAUUAUUUAUAACUUCAUUGUUCAUGGAGAGUUGAUUCAGUAGUGUCUUCCAUUUGAAGACAUACAGAAAUGGUUAGAAUUAUCUAUUCAUUUCAAGAGAUAACUUGCAUCUAUGACCCUUAUACUCCCAUGAACUUUGAGCAUCUAUUAUUUAUAAAAUAUGGAUGAAAAUAGAAUAUAAAAAAAAUAUUUUCAUGGGAAGUGUAUUUUGGAAAAAAUAAUUCUCAUUUGAUACAUUGGAAAAGUGUCUACCUCACAUUACCCAAAAAUGUCGUUAUAUGUGUACAUGGGUCAUCAUCCAUAGUAACCCAAUUCACAUGAGGAUGGUACAUCAUUCAACCAAUAAAGGUACUUUAAGCUCAAAACAGUGGUACAUUAUAAUCAAAACAAUAUUACUUUAAUAUCAAAAUACAUGUAAGGACAUUUUAAGGUAAUGUGAGGUAAAUACUACUAUAAUACAUUAAAUAAGAAUUAUUUUCCCAAAAAUGUACUUCCCAUGAAAAUGAUUUAUGUAGGUUUUCUUUCAUUUAUAUUUUAUAAAUAGUGCAUGUUUACAUAAUUCUCUCAUUAAUAUAAUAUAAUCAUCUAUACCUGAUAAUUAAGGAAAUAAAAAAUAUUUACGUACUAAGCAAGGAUAAUUGAAAUUAAAGAGUAUGUCAAAAGAGAAAAAAAAUAUUAAAGAUAAAUUAAAACUCUAAAAUAAAAGCCUUCAUUUGCACAUAUAGGACAAUAUCUUAGGAGGUAUUUUAUUAAAAUAAUAAUAACAAUGAUUAAAAAAUGGAAAAAAUUAUGGGUCCCAUUUUUUAAGUAUUUUCAAUAACAUAAUUAUAAACUUCUUUAAAUUUAAAAUCAUUUAUUUAAACCACUUUAUUCAUUUAGCAACAAGGACUUAAUUAAUCACUAAGAUCAAACACAAUGAUUUAUAAUUUUUAUAAUAUUUUCUUCCAUUACUAUCAUUUUUUUGUUAAUAAAAUGAAGACUUCUAUUGAUGAAUUUUUAAUAAUAAAAUGUAACUUCUUUUAAAUUAAAACCAUUUAUUAUUAAAAAAAUUUAAUUCAUCUAGGAGAUUCUUUUAACUAAUUCUUUUAGAAUUUUUUACAUUUUUUUAUUUCAUAUUUAAAGAUAAAAAAUUAUUAUGAAAUAAUUUUCUUCAUUAUAAAAUUUAUCUUUCGUUUCUAAAUCAGAAUUUUUGUCAUGUCCAUUCAUAUAAUAAAAUUAAAAUUAUAAAUAAUAAAAAAACCUAUUUUAAUUGACAGCGUCAUGGAAUCUCUCCAUGCACACCUCUUAAACCAAGUGAGCUAUGAAUGCAUGUAAGAUGUAUAUAUAACUAUAAAUAAGGAUUCAAAAUGAGGGGAAAAAUCAUUGAGAAGGGUGAACCAUGGGUGAUAAGCCACUUUCCUUUGGAUAAAUAUUAAAAGUUAAAGAGUAUAAAAUGUCUAUGUAUGUCGUCAUUUUUUUUUUCACUUUUAAGUUAAAUAUAUUUUUAUUGUUAUAAAUGAAGUAAUGAAUGCCACCACAUUUAUUAUAUGAAAUGUUCAUUAAAAGCCUAUAAAAAUGUUUCCUAUCCCCUGUAAAAUGCAUCCCAAGCAAAGAAAUAAAUUUUCUUUCUCUCUUAUUCUUUUUUAUUUUUUUAUUUUUAUUCUCCAUAUCUUUCAUUCUUUCAAUUGUCCUAAUUAUCUUUUAUGAUUCCUUCCUCUCCAUUAUAUAUUAUUAUCAAAAUAAUAUAUAGUUGUUCUUUACUUUUAUUUGUGUUGCAUUUAUCCUCUUUUUACAACACAUAAUUAGCAUGAAUUGCUCUAAAGGUAAUUCUCAUAUCUUAAAUUUGAAGUUAUUUAUAUAGAAUAAAAUUUUACAUAUUUAUAUUGGUAUUGUUAAAUUCAUUUAAUUUGUGUUAUAUAUUAUUAAAAUCUAUAAGCAAAUUAUUUGAUUUUGAUUAUAAUCAAAAGUUAUACCAAUGCUAUUAAUUUAUAACUAAUUCUAGUAAUAUUGUUUUGUCAUAUAUCUAAAGUUAUUUAACAAUGUCAAAUCUCACAAAACUCAAAUUUGUGGCACUUGACAUUUUAGGAAAGAACUAUAUAUCUUGGAUCCUUAAUGCUGAAAUACAUCUUGAUGCAAUGAAUCUUGGAGCUACAAUUAAAGAAGGAAAUCAGGCUUCCUUGUAGGAUCAUGCAAAAGCGUUGAUUUUCCUUCACCAUCAUCUCUAUAAAGGUUUUAAAAAUGAGUAUCUUAUAGUAAAGGACACUUUUACGCUAUUGAGUAAUUUGAAGGAAAGAUAUGACCACUAAAAAAUUGUGAUUAUCCCAAAAGCUUGAUAUGAUUGGAUGCAUUUAAGGUUGUAGGAUUUUAAAACUAUUAGUGAAUAUAACUCUGCACUUUUCAAAAUCAACUCUCAAUUAAAGCUAUGUGGAGAAAAAAAUCAUAGAAGAUGACUAUUAGAAAAAACUUUACUACAUUUCAUGCCUCGAAUGUGCUCUUACAACAAUAAUACCAAGAGUGUAGAUUUACAAAAUACUCUGAAUUAAUAUCAUGUCUUCUUGUUGCUGAACAAAAUAAUGAGCUUUUGAUGAGAAAUCACUAGUCUCAUCCAAUUGGAUCUGAACCAUUCCCUGAAGUGAAUGCAAUAUUGUCCCAAACUCGUGGACAUGGGUGAGGACAAGGAAAUGGUUGUGGUCACGGAAGGAAUCUCCGAUAUAAUGGUUAUUAUGGUAAUAAUUCCUCAAAUUCUCAUAAAAUGAAAGCUUUAUUGCACCACUAGAAAUGGAAUAAUACUGAGGCAAAACAAGAAAAUGGGAAGUGUUUACAAGAUUAACCUCCAAAUAACCAUGAGAAUAAUUGUUAUAAAUGUGGUAUGAAGGGCCAUUGGUUGUGUACCUAUCAUACACUCAUACAUUUGGUCAACCUUUACCAAGCAUCAAUAUAAGUAAAAGGAAAAGAGAUAGAGAUGAAUUUUACCAAUGGUGAUGGAUUGAACCUAACCUACUAUGACAUCGAUUUCUUUGGAGGUCCUAGUGAAAAAAUAGACCAUUUAAUAAAUGAUGAGAAUGCUAACAUUGAUGGGUGUUACUUUAUAUAUCAAAUAAUAUAUUAUUAUGUGUUAUAUUUAUAUCUGAUUAUUACAUUUUCUUUUAUAUUGUUAUUUUAUUAUGCCUUGUUUUUUUAAUAUUAGUUGUAUCUAAAAUCCACGUGUUAUUUGGUCUCAAGAUGAAUGAAGAUGAUGUAUGUUUCACAAAUUGUGAAACCACGCACACAAUUCUUCGAGAUAAAAGAUAUUUCAUUGAAUUGACAUUGAUAAAAGCUAAUGUAAGUACCAUAUUUAGUACUACAAGCUUAGUUGAAGGCUUUGGAAGAGGAAACAUAAUGCUACUAAAUGGAACUAGAUUUCAUAUAAAUGAUGCUUUAUAUUCUAACAAAUCUAGAAGAAAUUUGCUCAGUUUUAAAGAUAUCCACAAAAAUGUAUAUCAUAUUGAAAUUUUGAAUGACUUCCAUUAUAUCUGGCCAAAAGCUUAUGAUAGAAAAACUCUCGACUUUUUCCUCUAGGUUGUAUCAUACAACUAUAAAGCAUAUUGAAUCAUAUUUUGUCAUGAACCAGAAGUUCAACGGCCCAAAAUUUUUUGUCCUUUGGCAUGUGAGACUAGGUCACCCAGGUUUUCAAUGAUGCGUCAAAUAAUCGAACACUCACAUGGGCAUCCACUAAAAAACCAGAAAAUUCUUUUGCAAAAUGAAUACUCAUGUGCUACUUGCUCACAAGGUAAAUUGAUAGUCAAACCAUUUUUUACUAAAGUCAUAUUUGAGUCACGAGUUUUUAAAAAGAAUACAUGAGAACAUAUGUGGGCCUAUCCAUCCACCAUGUGAACCAAUUCGUUAUUUUAUGAUCUUAAUAGAUACUUCUACUAGCUGGUUACAUGUUUGUCUCAUUUUUACAAGUAAUGUUGCCUUUGCUAACUCCUUUCACAAAUGAUCAAAUUAUGAGCACAAUUCCAAGAUUAUCUAAUUAAGAUAAUACAUCUUAAUAAUGUUGGCGAAUUUACUUCUCAAACAUUCAUUGACUACUGUCUAUUGGUAGGGAUAAAUAUUGAGCAUCCUAUUGCUCAUACUCAUACCCAAAAUGGUUUAGUAGAAUUCUUCAUCAAAUGUCUCUAAUUAAUAGCUCGACCAUUACAAAUGAAAACCAAAUUACCUAUUUCUACCUGGGGACAUGUUAUUAUGCAUGCUGCAACUUUAGAUUGUAUUCAACAUAUAGCUUGCCAUGAAUAAUUCCCUCCACAACUCAUACUUGGAAAACAACUAAAUAUCUCUCACUUAUGAAUCUUUGGUUGUGCAGUAUAUGUACCAAUUGCACCUAUGCAAUGGACUAAAAUGGGUCCCCAAUGAAGACUCGGGAUUUAUUUAGGUUUUAAUUCUCCAUCUAUCAUAAGAUAUUGUUAGAAAAAUUAGGCUAAUCCAACCUAAGGUAAUUACCCUAGAAGGAAAAGGAGAGGAUGAAUAGAGUGAUGGUAUUUUUUUUUAAAAAAAAAUUAAAUUAUAUGAAUACAAGAGACAAUUAUAUGCAAAUAUAUAAUAAAACAAUAUAAAGAUAGAUGCAUAUAAAGAUCUUAUCUUGAUCCUUAUACAAAUGAAUAUGAACUAGAAGUUCAAAGGAACAUUUAUUUGCAAAAUCUUGCAAACAUAUUACUAGAUGCAUUCAUUGAUACAAAGAAAGUGACAAAGUCACAUAUCUUGGCUACAAAUACUCCAACAUGGAUUGAUGUCCCUGUAGGACAGUUAACAAAUGAACCUAAGAUAUGCUUGAAGCGUAGUAAACCUGUCGACUCAAAUGAUGUAACUCCCUAGAAGAGGAGAACACAAGAAAAACUUGGCACUUUAGAAGAGUCGUUAAAAUGACUAAUCAGUCUAAAAUUGAUAAAUCUAUAGCCCCAAAAGAGGCACAAAUAAUGCAAAAAGCCCAUGAAGAGGCACUUAUUGAACAAGAAGCCCUUGAAGAGGCACAUAUUGAACAAGAAGCCCCUGAAAAGGCACAUCUACCUGAAAAUUGUGAAAUAUUAGUAAGUUAUGUACACAUGGGAAAAAAAUGGGAUCCAAAUAAUAUUGCUAUCAACAAUACUUUUACUUUUCAAGUGGCCUAUGAUAUCAUAAGAAAUUAAUAAGAUCCCGAAUAACAAAAUAUGGAAGAAUGCCGACAUAGAAAUGAUUGGCCAAAAUGGAAAGAAGCUAUGUAAGCAAAGUUAAACUUAUUAACAAAAUGAGAAGUUUUUGGACCUGUACUCUAAACACUUGAAGAUGCAAAGUUUGUUGGGUAAAAAUGGGUAUUUGUACAAAAGUGAAAUGAGAAUAAUGAAAUCAUAAGAUAUAAAGCGUGAUUAGUAGCACAAGGUUUCUUUUAGAGACCAAGUAUUGACUACGAGGAAACAUACUCUCCUGACAUGGACAUAAUCACAUUUCGUUUCUUAAUUAGUUUGGUAAUCUCAUAAGGAUUGGAUAUGAUCCUCAUGGAUGUUAUUACAACAUAUUUAUAUAGAUCCAUAGAUAAUGAUAUAUACAUGAAAAUCCCUGAAGAAUUUAAACUGCCUCAAACAAAUAAUACAAAGACUUGUAACAUUUACUCAAUCAAGUUACAAUGAUCCUUGUAUGGAUUAAAGUAAGCGGGAUACAUGUGGUACAAUCGCCUUAGAAAAUACUUCCUAAAAGAAGGGUAUGUGAAUAACCCUAUAUGUCCAUGCAUCUUCAUUAAGAAAUCAAAAACUGGAUAUGCAAUUAUUGCAGUGUAUGUUGAUGACAUAAAUCUUGUUGGAACUCCUGAAGAGCUCAUAAGAACAAAAAAUUACUUAAAAAAGGAAUUUGAGAUGAAGGAUCUUGGAAAAACAAAAUUUUCUAUUGGUUUACAAAUCAAGCAUUUUCCAAAUGGAGUUUAGUACAUCAAUCAACAUACAUUAAGAAAAUUUUGAAGCAUUUUUAUAUGGGUAAAGCGCAUCUUUUAGCCUUUCCAAUAGUUGUUUGAUCACUUGAUGUGAAAAAGAACCCAUUUCAGUCUUGCAAAAAAUGUGAAGAAUUAGUUGGUUCUAAAGUACCAUAUAUUAGUGCUGGGUGCACUUAUAUAUCUUUCCAAUUGUACAUGUCUAAACAUUGUUUUUUCUAUCAAUUUAUCAGCAAGAUAAAGUUCCACUCCAACUCAAAGACAUUGAAAUGGUAUCAAACAUAUAUUGCACUAUCUUUGCGGAGCUACUGAUGUGAGUCUAUUUUACUCAAAGGAAUCAAGCAACAAUUGCUUGGAUAUGUAGAUGCAGGAUACCUUUCAUAUCCACAUAAAGAUAGGUCAUAAACAGGGUAUAUGUUUAAUUGCAAUGGUACUGCUAUUUCAUGGAGAUUUGUUAAACAAACAAUGAUGUCACAUUAUCAAAUCAUUCAAAAAUACUUGCAAUUCAUGAAGCAAGUUAUGAAUGUGUUUGACUAAGAUCUAUGAUUCAACAUAUUCGAUAACCAUAUGGACUUUUCUCUAUCAAAAGUGGCACGACAAUAUUAUUUGAAGAUGAUGUUGCAUACAUUGCACAAAUAACAGGGGGUCAUAUUAAAAGAGAUAGAACUAAACACAUUUCAUCAAAAUUAUUUUAUACACAUGAACACCAGAAAAGUGGUGAAAUUGGUGUGCAACAAAUAUGCUCAAGUGAUAAUCUAGCAAAUUUAUUCACAAAGUCAUUGCCAACCUCAACAUUAAAGAAGUCAAUACACAAGAUUGGAAUGCAUCAACUCAUAUCAACAUGAGGGAGAGUUUGCUUGUAAAAGGGUGUUAGUGUACUGUACUUUUUUUCCCUUUGUCCAGAUUUUGUCCUUUUGGGUUUUACUAGCAAGGUUUUUAAUGAGACAGUCCUAACAUAUCAAGAGCAACUUAAAGAAUUAUCACAAUAUUGUACUGUUUUUCCUUCGCUAGGUUUUCCUAUAGGGUUUUUUACUAGCAAGGUUUUAAUGAGACAUAUUCUUCUAAUGUGGUUGACAUUCAAGGAAAAGUGUUUAAACAAAGUAAUGAAUACCACCACAUUUAUUAUAUUAAAUAUUCAUUAAUAUUAUUUAUGACUUCCAUUAAUAUUCAUUAAUGGAAGCCAUUUGGAAAGCCUAUAAAACAACUUCCCAUCCCCUGUAAGAUGCAUCCUAAGGAAAGAAAUAAAUUCUCUCGCUCUUAUUCUCUAUGUCUUUCAUUCUUUCAACUCUGUUAAUUCUCUUUUCUGAUUCUUUCAUUCCCAUUAUAUAUUAUUAUUAAAAUAAUAUAAAGUUGUUAUAUACUUUUAUUUACGUUGCAUUUAUCCUUGUUUUACAACACUUAGUUUUUUCUUUUCUCUAUUUUAUUUUAUUUUUUUCUCUUCUAGUUAUUAUAAUUAUAAUAAUAAUUAUUAUUGUUAUUUUAUAAACAUAAUAUAACCUAUCAAAAAAUAAUAAUAAUAACAUAUUUAUAAAUAAUAUAAUAAUUAAUUUACAAAUUAUUGUUUCAUUUGUUAUUAUUAUUAUUGUUAUUAUUAUUUCAAUUUUUUUUAAAUAUCAUAUAUAACUUAUACAAUAUGAAUAAUAAUAAAAUAAUUUUACAAAUAUUGUUUCAUUCAUGUUUUGAAGACAAAGUUUUCUUAUAUAAACUUUCAUAAAUUUUCAAUUGUUUUUUACAAUAUGAUUAUUAAGAAAAUAUUACAAUAAAAAAUUAGUAUUGAUAAUUAUGAAAAAACAAAAUUAAAGCAUGUGUUAUCGUACUUUUAGUGUACUUAUAUUUUAAUUUCAAUGCAUAACUAUGACACAUACAUUUUGUCACAAACUUAAUAGUGUUAGAAGCAUUGUCUUAUCCUAGUAUAUUGAUUUCUAUAUUAUUAAGGCAUCCCAAUGAAUUAGCAUCAUAUACUAGAUGCAUUCUUAUUAGCAAUAAUUCUUAUAAUGAAACUCAUACACCUUAUAAAAAAAAUGUCUUAUAAGGUUAAUUUAUAGUAGAUGAAAUGUUAAAAAAUAUACAAAAUAUAUGACAAUCAUUUAUCAAUGCUUGUUUAAAAGGAAAAAUUUUAAAAUAAAGUUAGGUUAUGCAGUAAUGUAUAAGACAUUUAAAGUAUUCAUGUUGUAAGAUCAUUAUAUUUUUGUGGUACGAAUACGUUGGCUUUUAUAUUAAUACAUAAUAUCGGUGUACUAGCAUUAUACAUUUAAUGAAUCAUUAUUAUGCAUGAUUUUUAUAAUAAAGCCUAUAAGUUUUAAGAAUUAGGUGAAAGAAAGAUCAUAUUCUAAGAUUGGUUUAUAAUCAAUGACAUUAUAAUAAUAAAAAAUAUGAAUAAUGACACAUAUGAAAUAUUAAUAAUGUAAAACUAAUAUCAUAAAUAAUAAUAUUAAUAAUGAUGAUAAUAAUAAAUAUAUAAUUAUAAUUUUUUUUAAUAAAUAGUAUAGUUAGUCUUAACAUAUAGUAAAUAAAGCACAAAAGGUAGAAAAGAAAAGUAGAAAAGUAAAGUUAUAUGGGAGUAGGAGGAAAAGACAAAAUGAUGUAAUUGGAAUUAUGGAAUGAUCAAGUUAUCAAACUAUAACUUGUGAAUUUGACAAGACUUUGAGACUUGGUGACCCUUAAGGGAGAGCUUAUCAUCACUUCGAGCUAGGUGACCAUUUUUUAAAAAAUUUCAAAAAUAAAGCCCAUGAAAAAUUUAUUUAUUAAGAAUAAUAACAAUUUUGUAUUUUUUUAUAUACAAAUUAGAUAUUUAAUUUAUUAGAAUCAUUUUGAUGGUAAUGACAAACAAAAUAACUCCUUAAAUAGGUGAAAUAAUUCAUUUUCUCAAAUUUAUAUGCAAAAUUAUUUUAAAACAAAAGGGAUGAUACAUUAUUUUUGUUCAACAAUCCACAUUUUGACUUUCAUUUUAAAAUCCAUCUAUAAAAAUCUCUCUUUAUAUAUAUCUGCCUAGAUUGCCUGAUCAUCUAUUCAUUCAUUGUCUAUAACUUCUUGCCUGAUUAUCAAUUUAGAUGUUCAUAUUUGCAUAUAUUUAUUCAUUCCACCAUGUAUUUUGUUGCUUAUUUGUAAUGUUUACAAUUUUGAUGAAAUGUUUGAUUAUUUGAAAACCGAAUUUCCCCAAACCCACUAAUAAAAAGCAACUAAAAGUCUGACCAAUCUAGAGGGGUGUUCUUGGCCGGUGGCCAUCCUGAUAAGUCACCUUAGCCGUAGACUAGAUUUAGAUUUUGCAAUUAGUACCUUUCUUUUCCUUCUAGGAAUCACUAUCAUCUUGACCAAUCUAGCCAUGUACCAAAAAGUCAAUUUUGCCAAGUUUAAAAAGUUUGCUUUAAGCCUGUUCAUCAUAGUUGACAGAAGUUAGAAUUACAAUGAAAUAUCUAGGAGAAAAUGUCCGCAGGAGCAGAGAGAGAGAGAGUGAAGGCAAUACAUUCAGUCAUGAAUUUGAUGCAAAUCCCAACGUACAUAAUUGUAUCGAAUACUCUCACCAUGAUUGUCGAUCUAUCGGAUCAGACGAUUACUAUGUUUGCCAAAAAUGCCUGGGCCGUAUGUGGAAUAAAUCAAUUCCACAAGGAAGGGAAACUGCAAAAUUCCGUACAAGGUCACUGGCAAACAGACUAAUGCUGCCAAGGUAAUAAGAAUCCAUGCCUUCUUUUCACCAAAGAGAAGAUAGAUUGCGCUACUGUAGGCUAUCAUCAUGAAUGUUACGGAGAGGAAUAGAGUAACAAGGCCAAAUAUCAACCUCCUGGGAAGGGCAAAAAGAAAAUCAUCUUCUGCAUAUCGUGCCGUGAGAAUGGAUAGGCAUAUCAGCACCGAAGCAAUGGAUAGUAAGAGGGAAAGAGCAUCGGAAGCUGCAAAAACUUUGAAGGCCUUUUCUUUGGUGAAAUUUGGUAUGCCAGUAUCAUCAUGGUUGCCACCCGGGAUGGUAAUUGCUGCUGCAAACACUACAGUAGCAAUAAGCGCUGCUGCUAAUGUGUAACAUUUUGCUGUGCCUUUCAUCCAUUUCUCCCUUUCUUUUAUCAAUUUUUCAUGUUCCUUUAUAAAUGCCAUUUUCGGUUUAUCUUUUUUUUCAUUUCUCAGAUUCACUGAAGGCUCUCGGGGCAUAUUUUUCAAUUUCCUUUGUAAAAAUCAAAAUGUUUCUAAGAUACAGAAAAAGAGUGGAUAUGUAUAAGAAAAUUAAUUCCCCUUCAAAACAAAAAUUAUUACCUUAAACCAAUGUAACUCGCGUUGCAUUUGUAGAGCUGCACCAGAAACGAGACUGAGCCGGUGCGGAGGGGCCAAUUUUCCAACCAAAUGCAAGAUGUUAUUUAAAUCAUCUUUGGCUCGUAUUAUAAGUUCUCUAUGCAUAUCGGUUCCACAGAUGAGGUUGAAAAUCUUUUCAUAACGAUUUAAUACUGCCAAUUUGAAUACAUCCUCAUCCAGAUACUCGAGGGCAAAAGGAUAUGACUUCAUAAUCUCUUGCAGAAUCUCGGGAAUCCCAUAUUUUGCCCCAGUAAUGAAGGCUAGUUUAAAUAUUUCCUGUGCUCUUGAUGCUUUCAAAACUUCAGUACAUAGGUGGUUAAGCAAUUGAAGAGUCAGAGAAUGCAUUGUUUUUGUUUCUUGGAUGUGCUUGAUGGGUGGUACUGCAAUUAAAAUUAUAUUAAGGACAACAUAACAUUGCAUUCAAAACUUUUGCAUGCUUUAGUGGUAGUUUUGUUGUGUUCCUUACCUAACCAUCCAACCAGUUCCCAGAACAUUGCAUUCACCUUUCGGCAAGUUGUGUGCAAUGAAAAUUGAAGCAGUUCAGAUGCAAAAGCAGGACUAACAGAAGAAAAAACAAAAAAGCAACCCUGAAUCAAGUACCAAUUAAACACUAAUCUAUCAGAGCUUUUUGGGAUUCAAUAGGUUUCAUAUACUUCCCUUAAACCGUCGCACUUGAAUUUAAAGGCUAGAAUCAAGAAGCCUAAUGAAACUUGGUACAAGCUCAAUUACUCGACUUCUUAUUAAUUAACCAGGAGCAUCAGGUGACAAGAUAUUCAUAAAAUCUAUCAGAGCAAUGAAAAUUGUGUAUCCUACAUAAUUCUUUGAGUAGUAGAGUAUUAUCCAUUGGAAUUUGAUUGUAGAGCUGAUUUCAAAUCCAUUACUUGAACUUAAAAGGAAAAAAAUGAACACAAUUUUGUGAGGACAAAUUAAAAUUGUGAGGAUCUCAAAUUCAACAAGUUAGCAUUUCUCUACCAGGUGCAAUUUGGCAAAUUGGUUUGACCUAACUUGAAUAUCGGAGAAGUUGAGAAACCAUUUUUAGUACUCAAGUUAGAAUUUGGUCAAGCUUCUCAACCAAAAGUUAAUUUGGGUUGAGCUCAAUUUUGGGCUGAGUUCAAACCAAUGCUUCAACAAUCUAAGUUGAAUUAAACUCCAUUAAUAUUUUAUAAUAUUUAUAGAAUAUAUUACUAUAUAAUAAUAUCAAUUUUUUUUUCUAAAAUAAUUUUAAGGGAAAAACCAUCAAAAUAUAUUAAGCCAACUCUCAGAAAUUUGCCUACCCCCUUGUGAACACUAUUUGGAAGGAAAAUUAAUUAGGAAGCCUCUUAAGCAAGCCAGAAAGGUAUUUGGUCCUCUGUAGCCUAUGCAUUCCAUAGUACAGGGCCUAAUGAACAUGAGAGCAAAGCAUGGUGCCUACUACUUCAUCACAUUUACGGAUGGUUAUAUCUACAAGUCCAAAUAAUUGCUUUGAUUUAGAUGUUAUAUGAAUAUUGUAAAAAAAUGAAAAGAAAAAACUAUUACAACAUUAAGGAUAAAUCAUGGACAUGAGUAUCCAUUGAAGAGUUUUAAAAAUCUCUAUGAUGAAAAGCAAAUCCAAAGAACAAUCAAUAGCUUCAAGGACUCCACAGUAAAAUGGUUGAACUGAAAAUAGUAACCAUAAACUUUUGGAUAUGGUUCACUCAAAAAGGCACAAGCCAACUAUCUAACAUCUUUCAAGGUGGGAAAGGAGGGUUACUAUUUUGAUUGCAACUUAAAUCUUGAGUGAAGUGCCCUCAAAAUCAAUUACUUCAAAUCCAUAUAGUUAAGAAGUCAAACCUAACUCACUUGUGAUCCUAAGGGUUAGUAGGUUUAGUUCAUGUAAAUUCUCAUAGAUAUUGUGCUAUAAAGGAAACAAGUGCACUUUCAUUCAUUAGAUAUUCUAAGAAAUCAAAGGUUGUGUGAUGCUUAGUGAACAACUCAAUGGGAGUAUAAUUGAAAUAAAGUCAGAUGAAAUCACUUUCUUAUAGGAUGAUAUUUUGAGCAGAGGAGCAUUGAACAGGAGUCUCAAUUUAUUUGAGGCAAUUAAACCAAAGGAAAAUACUAUGAUAUCUCAUAUCGAACAGGGGAAAAAGUUCUUGACAUUAUAUAUAUAUAUAUAUAUAUAUAUAUAUAUAUAUAUUAGCUUCUCUUAAUUAUUUAGACACAUUUUAAUGUUGUGAGGGUGUAGACCCUCAAUUUUGUCCCUUUAACACAUGUCUUUAAAUCCGUUUUCAAUGCUCCGUAAUAGUUCCUUGGUGGCCCAUAGCUACUCAUACCACUUACCUUUUUUUUGAGUCACCUUGGAGACUUUGGUUGAGGGAUUAUUUGAUCCCUUAUUGUGACCCUUGGCAACCCUAACUUAGACUUAGGCUUUUCUUGUUUUUUUUUUAGGAUAGCUUUUAGAUACACUUGGCCCAUUAGGCACCACCCUAGGCCCACUUAGUCUCACCUUAGGCCCGUUUAGGCACACUAGGCCUACGAAGACUUUUAUUUUAUUUUAUUUAUUUAUUUAUUUAUUUUGUUUUAGUUUUAAUUUUAUGAUUAUCAUUCACUUUUUAUUGGUUAUCUUCCUCUUUAUAUUAUUUUCCUUAACUUAUUUAUUUAUUUAUUAUUUUUACCAUUUUCUAAUUUAUUUACUUAUUUAUCUAUUCAUGCAAUUAUUUAACUUAAAAAAUUUCAUGUUUUUGCAAGGAAACUUACCAUUGGAGUUUAAGGAAGGCGGGACCCUCCUUGGAAGGUUUUGGAGGGGAAUUUGAAAUUGGGAAGAUUGCUUUUGAUUGGAAGAUUUAAAAAAAGAGAAGAGAAGAAGAAAGGAAAUAGGAGAAUUCUCCUUUUUGGAAACAAAUUUAGGUCUUGAGGAGUGAUAUAUAAAGAGAAAAAAGGAAAAGAAGAGAAAGAGGGGGCAGCACGCAUUGGAGGAGAUUGGUUUUAGAGAAGAAGAAGGAAGAUAGCAAAAAAAGAGAUUUUUUAAGAAAACUUUCAGCACGCAUUGAGAACGGAGGGGAAUUGGAAAAGAGAAGCAAUCUUUGCCUCUUUAAGAGAAGUUCUAAGGUAAGUUUUCGGAGGAUUCUUUUUAUUUUUAUUUUUCUGGCUUAUAUCCCUAAUCUAUGUUCUUCAUUCUCUCAUUUUAUGAUUUGGGACACUGUUUGCUUGGUGGGUUGAAGAUGUAAGAAACUUCAUGCGAACUUUAUUGAUUUCUGGUUCUUGUUUAUGCUUACUGAUAUGGUUUCAUUCCUCGCUAUUCUUUUUCUUUUUUUUUAUUAUUAUUUUCUAUCAUAUGAACUCAGUGAGACUCUGUUUUAUGGAAUAUUAUUUGAUGAUAUUGGUUGCCCUGUUUCUCUUUUACUCCUCCCACUAAUCCAAGCCCAUGGAUUAACAUUUGAAAUGGGGACAUGUUUAUUGGCAUCCUCUGCUUAUUCCUUCUCCGGUCUACUAUGUGUCUAUCCAUGUCCUCUGUUCCCCUUUCCAUACUGCAUUCCAGUCCUUGUCUGUAUAUUUGGGUGUGUAUCUGAGACCGAUAGAAGUACUGAUGUGAAAGAUAAGGUGUGUAGCACACGCAGUGUGCUCAGUGUAUUCCUGGUGGAGUGCGGAGAAUGAAGGGUAGUGAUGGAGAUUCAAAUCAUGUGAAUUUGGUUGAAUUACAGAAGAAGGCUACCACUUUGAAUUUUCUCUACGUGGCAUAUUGGGAUUAAAAGAGUUCCACGCAUAGUCCAUGAUGAAGACAGCCUGCAAGCAUAAAUGGGUAUCCCACGUGGCUAUGAGACUAAAUGAUAUUCCCAUACAAGUCUGCACCUUUGUGAGAGACGUGUCGCUAUUGAAGAAGCAGCCGCAUCCUUGAGACUGUCUGCGCACAAGGAGAAUCUCCAGGGGUGCUUACCUUAUGUACAGAUUUGCAUGGUGAUUAGCUACGCUCAGGUAGUCCUGAAAUGCUUGCAAAUCUGCAUGGUUCACCAAUUGAGUCCGGGAAUUCUGACAGAUCUUCAGGAAUGGAUGACGAGUCCAAUAACCGCGAGGUGAAUUCUAAUUUAGAAGUUCCUAAUGCAAAUGCUGGUCAUGCUAAUGCUCUGCAUGCCAGCGCUGAUGUUGAUAUGAAUGGUGCUAGUCUUGAAGAUCAAAUUGAGCCAACUGGCCCGGUUUCUAAAUAUGGCACGGGUGAGCCACAGUCAAGGCCAAACACUCUAGUUCCUUGCUAUUGAGAUCUACUAUUUAUCAAAAAGACCUAUCCCCAAAUCAGUCCAACAGAAGCCGAAUCAAUUGAAACAUGAAAGCAAUGAGGGUACAAUAUAAAGGGGCAGUUUUUGGCGAGCCGAAUCCGCACCCUUUCGUCCUUGUUGAUGUUGCAUAGAAACUUACGGUGAAUGAGAAAACCAGUCAGUCAAUUCUGGUUAGUGGUGAAAGUGGGAUGCUUAUGCGUUAUCUCGCCUACAUGGAAGGGAGAUCUGUAGCUAAGGGAAGGACUAUUGAGCAACAAAUUCUAGAGUCCAAUCUAGUUCUAGAAGCAUUCGGUGAUGCAAAGACUGUCAGAAACAAUAAUUCAAGUCGGUUUGGUAAGUUUGUGGAGAUUCAAUUUGAUCAGAGGAGAAGGAUUUCAAGAGCAACUAUCAGGACUUAUUUUCCGGAAAGAUCCUGUGUUUGUCAAGUGCCUAAUCCUGAGAAAUUAUCAUCGCUUCUACAUGCUUUGUGAUGCAUCAGCGGAGAAUGUUCAAAGGUCCAGAUUGGGAAAAGCAGGAAGUUUCCAUUAUCUGAAUCAAUCCAAUCGCUAUGAGCUGGAAGGUUGACAGCAACUAAAGACCUUUGCCAUCUCAUUUUUCCCUCACUAAAAUCUGAACCUAAGGCAUACAUGCAUGCUGUCACCAUGGCUCCCGGUCACUCACAUCUAGAAGAUAAGAACAUAAGGAAAAUUCUUGUGGUAAAUGAGCAAACAGACCUGUUUUUACACAGUUCGUUGAUGAUUCACAUGAAAGCAUUUGAUUCAAGACACCAUCUCGCGGAACUGAAAGCGAUGUUAAGGAGAGAACUGAAGGUUUGGUCUUCUGGUUUGUGCUUGGAGGGGAAUAGGAUUUCUGCUGGAGGUAGUGGGAGCCUUUCUGAUAAUUCUUCCAGAGAUUCUGUUGCAAAUGAAACCAGUGCAGCAUCUAGAACUGACAAACCAGCUUUGGAGCGAAGAGAUAAAAAGUACUCUUCAAAUAAUAAUGGUCCAGAAGUGGAGAUUAGUCGCUGUUGUGUAGUCCUUUAGUCUUCACUAAGACUAUUAGUUGGCAAAGUUCACCAGAUUUUGAGGCAAUUCAAGACUAAUUUACUUGAUAUGGAUGCUGCUCUCCCUGAGGAGGCUCCAAGGCCAUCAAGGCCUGACUUAGAAAAGAAAUUGGCAUGGCAUGCUUUUGAUUAAAUCUGCAGAGACAAUCUUUGAGAUGGUUAAAGCAACAAUCAUGCUCGAGGGCAUGAUUAAGAUUGAAUACUUGAUGAACGGAUGGUGGCAUUGGUCAUCACUCUCUGCUGUUGCCAAGACUUCUAUCGUUUCUUCCCUUGCCCUCUGCAUAUACUCUCUGGAUGCUGCCAUUGCGUAUGAGAAGAUCUCAUUUAAUUUGGAUGACUGGCAGUCCCUCGCUCAACCAGAAAUGACAGUAUCUCCCACUCAGCAGAUGCCACAUGCAGAACAGCCAAUUCCUCCAUAAGUUAACCAUCCUUCCUCAUCUUCAGCUAUUGCAUUAUCAAAUUUUCUCCAAAGUGCUAGUGCAAAUGAAUCAAAAGGAAGCUUAGUUAAAAGUCCUAACCUGCUUUUGUCCGAAUUAUCAGAGUUUUCAAAAGAAACAUUGCAGCAAAUACACGAAUCAAUUGGAUUCAGCUUAUAGUCUCAAUGCUGAUGGUGAAAAAUAGCUAUGCUGAUCCAGAAGAGUAUAGUGAUGAAGAUUACAGUAGUUUCCAGAGGCCAAAAGUAGUAAUUGAAGGAAAACCAGAGAAGACUCUCAAAGCCAAAAGAAUCAUGGGACUCUGAACAGUUUGAGGAUCUUUGAUCAGAUCAGUCCAGAAAUCAAUCCUAAUCAGAGGAUGCAUACUGAUAGAGAUCAGGGAAGGUAUCUGUUUACUAGGACACCGUCCAGACUUGAACUUACUGACAAGCACUCUAAAUUUGGCAUCCAUGUUUUCUACUAAAGAACAGCUACUGCCUCUUUGUGAGUGCUUCCCUGCGUCUGUUGCUUCAGAAAAAUCAAUGAGUGGCAGUGUGCAUUUGAAUUGGUUUGUGAAGCAAUGUAUACUGAGCUGCGAAUUGUUCAUCAAGAUAAGUAUGGCUGGGUCCUCCAUGCUGAAAGUGAGCGGCGAACCUAUCUCCAACGACUCGUACAUGAGCGAGGAAUACUUCCAAUGCACAAAACAAGUCUGAUUGAAGGUCCUGAAUAGCAGCUUUGUCCCAUUGAAAGUCCAUAUAGGACGUGCCAGAAGCUUGAAAGAUGCAAAUUAAAAAUCGAUACCAUCCAAAAUGUUCUAGAUGGACAGUGUGAAUCAGUGGAAAUAGAGCUGUCCGGAGAGAAAAAUGAGAUAGGUUUUUCGAAGCAUCUGAUACUGAUUCUGAGUCAUAUCUCCCUCUUUUAGACAGUGGUGUCAAACAGAUUGAUGACAAAUAUUUUGAUGAAUCAUUCUUUAAAGAAUCAGAUGAUAUUAAAGAUGUUGCUUCCGCAAGGAGUGGAUGGAAUGGUGACCGAGCUAGCAUCAUAAAUAAAGCAAGUCUUCACUCUGCUUUGAAUUUGGUGUCAAGUUUAGUGCAGCCACUGUCCUAAUGUCAGAGCAUUCAUGGGAUAUCUGACACAGGAUCUCCAAGGCAGUCUUCUUCUAAGAAAAAUUGAGGAGGGGAAAGAUAGUGAGGAUAAAGUGGAUAAGGAACCGCUUGAUAAUAGUGGAUACUUAACUAGACCGUACCUGGAACCUCUUGCAAAGAUGAAAUUCAGAUAUAAUUGCGAACAAGUAGUUGGCCUUGACAAACAUGAAGGAAUGCGAAGAUAAACUCUCUGUUAUUGAUUAAGCUUUGGGAGCAAUGAAGAAUAUUAAUUUGCGGGUGUGCCGUGGCAUGAGGGUUGCUGUUUGUGGUACUGUAAGCUCAGACAAGUCAAGCUUACUAUCCUGUAUGUUCUGAGAGGUGUCUAAGAUAUCUGGUAUCUUUAAACUGUGUGGAACAAAGGCCUAUGUUACUCAGUCUCCUUGGAUACAGAGUGGCAAGAUAGAAGAGAACAUCUUGUUGGUAAAGAGAUGGACAGAGAAAGACCAAAAUACGAUUGAUACAAACAUUGCAACAGCCAAUCAAGCCAUCCUUUGCCUCUUAAAACUAUGAUGAAUCCAUUAUGAGAUCGCCACCAUCCCCGAUAUAUUGAACCAUCACAAUCUUUUGAGUCUGAAUUCCCUACACUGCAUGUAUUAUCAAGAAACAACCCUUCAACAUCCUCACCGCUGUCAGCAUCUCAUGCAGAGCUAGAAGACAGCCCACAGCAGAACCCCCAACUUCUGUACAAAAGCAUCUAAAGAUAGCUCCAAUUCCAGGAGUUGAUGAUUUAAUUGAUCAAAUGGCUGUCACAACUGGUCUUCUUUUUUUUUAUUUUACCUUUUAAUGGAAGCCACUCAGCCUUCUGUUGUUGAUGCAAAUUCAGAGCGAGAAAUUGAAAUUGAAGUCUAGAGUGAGAUCCUUUUUUACGAAAAGGAAACAAACAUUGAUGAUAGUGAAUAAUGGUGUUCCCCUUAAUCAAGACUUCAUCAGUAACUUACCCUCUCUGAUCCUGUGCAUGGAACCAUGGAAUUCGUAUCCUCUGCAAUGAGCUUACAGCAUAUGUGCUGACACAAAGCAAAGGGAGAAUCAGAUUAUGAUGAGUACAGAUCAGCAUGGGGACGAGAAGGUCUGGGUUAACCAUCUUCAAAGAGCUUGUGUACCUUACCAAAUCUAAAUAGCAAAGGAGAAAUAAGAGAAUGGUGGAGUACGGUGUCUUCUAGGAGGUCACUCUCGAAAGUCCAGAAAUGUAGGAUCCAUCAGUAAGCUCUAAGUUACUGCCCCUUUGCCUUCACACACGCGAAGAAGUUGCUGAAUCCUAUUGACUGAGAGAUAGUUUCUGAUUCUGGGCAAUUUGAUAUGCCUAAAGAAUGGGAAGUUAUUCGGGAAACUGAACAUCUGAAGAUCAAUAAAGACAUAAGCAUUCAGUUAAUGUUUAGCAGGUUGACGACAGAAACAGAACCCUGAUGUUAAUAUAAGGGAAAUUGCUGAUACACAUUUCCAGAUCAGAUGAUAAGUAGAAAUUGCUUUUCUGCCAGCGUUUCCUCUUUUCUGCCAUGGCGAAGCACCUUUAGGAUGAUGACAAUGGUUCUACUUUCUCCAAUGUGGUGAAUCCAAAUGACUUCUUGUCAUUCUCUGAACCUGAAUUAGAAGAAAUAUUGGAAGAUAUCAGCUGGAGUGCACCAAUCUGGUUUGGGUUGUGAUGCCAGUAGCAUGAAAACAGGAACUUUAGGAAGAGAUGGUAGUGAAAUUUCUUUCUCCACAAUUGUAUGAGCGAAUCGAGUUUGCAGACAGCGACCACUGAUGUAAGAACGCAGAAUUCCAUUUCAGCAAUCUACAGAAACAUCUUCAGGCAACCCAAGUAAUUCAGUCUCAAAAGUAGCCUAGACACUAAUCCAGCUUGGCCACCUCACCACGCAUCAUACUCCUUCUAUUGUUUCUUUUUCUUCUUUUGUGAUUUUAUACAUCUUAAAUCUAGAUUUCAAAACCAUUCUACGUCAAAAUAACUCCAAUUUUCUUUAAACUUCUUUAGAAGCUCCUAGGUACAAAAUCCAGAUUUUAACAUGCAAUUUGCUGCCACUUUACUUCGGGUAUGCACUUUCACUGUUUUCUUUGAUUUUAACUAUUUUCGUGUUUUUCUUGAUUUUCCUAAGCAUGAACAAACUUCAUAAUUCCAAAUCAUGGAAUUUAUGGAAUCAACUCAUGCGAAAUUAAUUAGGGCUUUGGUGGGGGCCCGACAUUCAUGAUACCUUAUUCAAUAUUGUUUGCUUGAUAUGUUGAUUUUUGAUUCUUCUUGAUGAUAUACAUGAAUGUGUUUCGUAUUUAUUGUUGAGAUGCUCUUGAUCCCCAUAGAGGAGUACUAGCUUGCUAUUCAGGUACGCUCUCUUCUCAUCUAUUUUUUUUUAGAACUCUAUAGACUUGUAUGCCAUUGAUAACCAUAUCCAUAUUUGACGUGAUUCUUGGAUGACUUGAUAUAUGCCUGACUUGCUUGAAUAAAACAAAUGUUGUGUGCUACAUUCCUACACUAACUUUUAUGUUUUAUGAUAGCGCUUGAAGAGCGGUUCAGGUACGCACCCUAACUCUCCUUUAUUGUGAUUUGAUCUUGUUUAACAUGCAAUUUUUUGAAAUCACCUAGCCUACUUAGGUAUCCAUAAUUAACCGAUUAAUUGUCAUAUUCCCCUUAACUUAGUUAGUAGAGACCUUUAUAGGGCUUAGAGGGGUGCUGCCUUUCAAAGGUACCUUCCCAAUAGGUAACCUAAUCCCCGGACUUAGACUCGGGUUUUUCAAAGACGCUUUUUCCAAAAAUUAUGGAGUCAUUUUUUAGGGUUUUAUUUCUUGUUUUAUUUUCCCCUUUAAAAAAAAAUAAAAUAAGUGGCGACUCCAACUUUUUUUCCAAAAAUCAAUUUUUCACAAAAUAAUAAAAAGCGAGUCUCGCCGAUCGAGUGGGGACGCACGUGAAAAAUGCGGGUCCACAGAGGGCUCUUUGAGCCCAAAGUGGAUAGUAUAUAUUUACACAGUUGGAAGUGAGUCAUUACAAAUGGUAUCAAAGUGUAUCCCCAGUCAUGAUAUGAGAGUUUAUCUCAUCAUUGUAAUUAUGGGCAUUAAGGUGAAGCUUUCAUGUUUGCAUCAUAAGAUCAUGAUGUUAGGAUAGAUUCUUUAAAAGCAUGAUAUGAUGUAACCAUAAAUGGAAUUCAUUAAUACUUAUAUUAUGACUUUGAAUUUCUAUUCACUAUCCUAUUUAUGAAUUAUGUAUGUUAAGCCUUCAAACCUACAUCACUUGCAUGUACAUGACUUGAGUGAAUUAGGAGUUACAUGAAAAAUCUAAGUCAUAGAUUCCUUGCAAGUUAAUGACUCAUUCACAACUGGUUCAUGGACUUCAAUAAACCAUUUGAGGCUAUAGUGCACUACCUCCUAAUUGGAGGGAUAACUUGCCCUAGUCAUUAGGAUGGGUUUCCCAUGGUGAGUGUACGUACUAGUGUGUUUAGUUAUGUUGGGAAACCUAGAUCUCUCCAUUCCCAUAACCCUGGAUUGUAUAGGUGCAUGCAAAAUACCCUAGGCCUCUAAAUCCUAUGCAACAAAAGCAAAAAUCAAAAUUUUAACAUUCUAUAAUCUAGAGAAAAGUCACCAAAAACUUUGAGAAAAUUAAAGGUUAAUCUUAAUAGAGAAAACACCCAAGAGAGGAGGGAAGGGGGGGGGGGGGGGGGGGGGGUUUGAAUUGAGUUUUUAAAAAAUCAUUUUCAAACACCACAAAUUCAAGAAAAGGAAACACAAAUAUAAAGAGAUAAGGUUAAAAAGAGUAAAAUUAGAUUUUAUAGUGGUUCAGCACUUCCUUGCCUACAUCCACUCUCCUCAACCUCUUAACUGAGUGAAGGUUCCACUAUACUUGAAGCUUCAACUAAGCUUUUAAUCACCUUUACACUUGGAUUCUAGCUCCAAUGGACUAUUACAUAAUCCCUUCAAGUCUUAACUCACUUGAAGCUUUUAGCAUUCAAAAUAACAAGUUUGAAUCUCUCAACCUAGCUCAACAAGGGCUCAAAUACAACUUAAAUGUUAGGAAGAAUCACAAGGGGGCACUAAGGAAUAUGCAAAUGGAUAUUUAAUGCACUAAGGAAAGAAUGAGAGCUUUUGAGGCAAGAAUAAGUAGGCAGACAAAUAAAUGCAGGUGUUCUCUACCUCAUAAAUGAAGUGGAGUUCUCAAUUUGUAGGUUUCUAGCCUCAGGAGUCAAAAAUGCCGAAAAACGGCCUUGACCAGUCGAGUUGGGGUUACUAGCCAUUGGACAAUAAAUGCAUGAUAGGUGAUCGUUACACCUCGACUGGUCCUUGACCAAAUCUUGAUUAGAUCUCAACCGAGAAGGCAUAUCCCUUGAUCGGGAAUGCAAAGCUAUAAGAAGAGAGAGAAGAUUUUUGCAUUUCUGGACUAGACCUCGAUCAAGAAGGUGUAAUCAGUUAACCAGUGCCCUAGCCGGUUGAGCCAGUUGGCUAGUGCCUUGACCAGUUCACCAUUUUUUGCCUGAAAACCUUUUUUUUUUUUUUUUGUUCUUUUCUCUUCUAACACUUAAACAAGGUAUUUAGGUAAAUUAAUAUGCCAAUUUUGAAACAAUUUGCCUAAGGUUCAUAUGAUAAAACUCAUGUUUUGACGAAAAUGUAACUUUAAUGCCUAAACUGAGUUUUUAAAGUGCAUGAAAAGAUAUGAAAAUCCUAAGUGCACCAUGCAUUCAUCUUACAUAUGUUUCCUAUUAUUAAAGGGUCUUCCAAUUGUCUUGAUCUUGCAUCCAUUGGGUCCUUUGAUGAAUUUCCAAACUAAUACUUGAAAUUCUUUAUAAUUCAAACCAAGUAACAACUUAACCAUGGUUUGUUAUCAUCAAAACAUGAUUAGGAGAACCCUUGGGCUAACAAACUUUAGAUUUGAUUUAAAUGGUUCUUAAAUCAAUUUUGCUUAGUGAAGGUGAAUCCUAAAGAGUUCAGAUGUCUCACACACCAAAAAUCUUUUGCUUGAUGACUUGAUCCAUAAUCUUGGCACUCCAAAAUGUGGGCUUUGGAAUAGAGGAAUCCUAGGCUCUCUCUCUUUAGACAUAGAAGAUGAUUGUCUCUCAAAAAGUGAUUGGAACCCUAAGCUUUAAAGGGUAUUUAUAGCAUUUCCCUACUAGGCUUAAAUGACUUGAGCCCACUAAGGCUUGGGCCACUUAAUCUUAUCUAAAAUGGGUCUUAAUUGAUUAAUUAACCAUACAUGAUCAUCUAAUUAACCAAUUCAUGUCAAUGAGAUAAUAAAGAGAAAACAAAAAAUAUAAAUAAAUUUCUAUCUGUUACAUCAUGUCAUGCUUUUUAGGGCUCAAUCCUAAUAUGUUACACAUUAGAUAAGAUUUAUGGUGAGUCAGAGAUUGGUCAUUAGGUAGCCUUAACUUCACCAAGCUACUAUGUUGCAUAAGCUCUCAACCUUGAGAGAAUAUUGAUCUAGUGCUAAGGUCUUCAAAGGCUUUGACCCAUGAGUGAGACCCUAAAGUGGUCAUAUAUUCUCUAUAGAUAGGAUUACUAUGAUUGAGGCAUGUGAUAAUGGGUAUUCUCAAGAUAAGCACCAUGAUAUCUUAAGGGUUUGAGACAUUAUGUCCCCUUAGGUGAUCCUAAGGACAUGUGAUCGUGAAAAUUAUGGCCAUAAUGAUUCCUUAAGUGGAAUUUAACAUAUGCUCUUGGAGGGAUAUAGUAUGUCAAUUGAUCACAUAAUAGGAGGAUCUAAGACUCAAGGAUUGUAGAAGUAAUCUUGAGAGGUUGAUAACAUUCAUUUUGUUAAAUUAUGGAUACCAAUUCAUGAGGAGCUUGCAUGCAAUUGUUAGUAGGUCACAGACUGAAGUUUUCUAUCUC
rnacentral:lncRNA from 1 species